rnacentral:lncRNA from 1 species
GAUGUUUCCCUCAAGGAAUCGACAUCUAUUUCGAAAAUGUUGGGGGAAAGAUGCUGGACGCAGUGCUACUCAACAUGAGGCUCCGGGGCCGCAUUGCGGUAAGCAGUAUGAUCUCACAGUACAACCUGGAAAAACCCGAAGGCAUACACAACUUAGAGCAACUGAUCGGGAAACGGAUUCGCCUGGAAGGAUUUCUAGCAGGUGAUUACUAUCACCUCUAUCUGAAAUUCUUGGAACUGGUCAUUCCUGCAAUCAGAGAAGGAAAGAUGGUGUAUGUGGAAGACAUAGCCGAAGGACUCGAGAAAAUUUCUCGUAACUGCUACACAUUAAACGCGUUUCACAUUUCCACUCUCUCUCUAUAAAUAAACACGCACAUAAAAUUUCUCACUAUCCAAAAACAAAAUCUACAUAAAAAAUGGCGGGUGAAGAAGGAGUGAGCAACAAGCAGGUGAUUCUGAGCAACUACGUGACAGGGUUUCCCAAAGAAUCAGACAUGAAGAUAAUAGCAGGCUCAAUAAACCUCAGGUGCCAGAGGGUUCAAAAGACACAGUGCUUUUGAAGAAUCUUUGUCUUUCCUGUGAUCCUUACAUGAGAGGACGUGUGAGCGAGCUUGAUAAGCCUUCGUUUGUUGCCUCGUUCGAGUCUGGCGAGGUCAGUUACUUCAAUUCCCAUCUCUUGGUUUCAUAAUCUUUUAUGGUUUUAGAAGGUGUUUUAGGGAAACAUUGUGGUUUUGGUUAGUGGGCAUGAGCCUUUGAAGAGAUUAUAAUGUGUAGGACUAUGUAUGCAAUAAUAAGUAUAGGGGAUCUUGUUAGGAGAAGAUUCUCUUAGCAAAAUAAAAACUUUUAUCUUAUCAAAACAUAUGCAGGGAACUUAGUUAUGAUGUCAUGUUAGCAUUGUCUCUGAGGAUUUGAUUUCUUGAUGGGGAAAGGGGAAUUUAAGGUUACAUUAUUCAGCAAUGGUUUUUUUUUUUUUUUUUUAAUUAUGUUCAAAUUAUGCAGCCUUUGAGCGGAUAUGGAGUGUCCAAAGUGUUGGAUUCCACGCAUCCAAAUUAUAAGAAAGAUGACUUGGUCUGGGGCUUAACCAGUUGGGAGGAGUUCAGUCUCAUCCAAUCACCACAACUUCUGAUUAAAAUUCUGGAUACAAGUGUGCCUCUGCCAUACUAUACUGGGAUUCUUGGUAAGUUGUUACUAAAUUUAUCAAUGUCCAGUUCGCAUGAGCUGAAAAUCAUGUUUUAUUUAAUGCAAUGAGAGAGGGAAAUAGUAUGCUGCUUGAACGUCUAGCAUUUUGAAUUUUCAAUGAUUGUACCCUACGUAUUGGCAUGUAACUGAAGGAUUUCUCUUGAGGAAUUUACUAUUUUUUCUGAUUGUCGGGUAUUUUUCUGUUGACUCUAGGUAUGCCUGGUUUGACUGCAUAUGGUGGUUUAUAUGAGCUUUGCUCUCCUAAGAAAGGAGAGUAUGUCUAUGUAUCUGCAGCAUCUGGAGCUGUUGGUCAGCUUGUUGGGCAAUUUGCGAAGCUGGUAGGUUGCGAUGUUGUUGGAAGUGCCGGAAGCAAAGAAAAGGUGAGUUUGCACCUUUAACCCUUACGCUCUAAAUAAAAACAUAACACCUUCUGAAAGAAUUUGCAUAGAGAAUUUUGCAUGUCACAGUAUUUGUGUUCUAACUAAUCAUGGAUAUUUGAUCAUUAGUCUAACUAAAACUGACUUAUUACCACCUAGUUGAUUGGUCUUUGAGAAAUGUUAGUUGAUAUAUGCUUGAAAUCAUACUUUGUUUUAUUAGAUGAUUAUAUUAACCUGCUUCUUUUUCUUUGUGCUGUUUCUCGUUUGAUUACAUUUUCAACAUUAGGUCGAUCUAUUGAAGCACAAGUUUGGGUUUGAUGAUGCUUUUAACUAUAACGAAGAGCCUGACUUGGAUGCAGCUCUUAAUAGGUUAUCACGAAUGAAUGCCUUAACCAUUUUUCUCACUUCAUUAUUACAAUGCGCUGAUUGAAGUAAUCAGUGUUGGCUCUGAAAAUGUAAUGUAUACUUCUCUGUUUUCAUAAAACAGGACAAACAGUGAUCAGUGAUCUCAUUCGUUACAUUGAUAUUUUCUACCAUUGCCAUAUGCCCAUACAUAGUAUAAACUAGGAAUUCAGUUGCUUAAUUGAUAUUCAUUUCAGAGGGAAAUUUUCACUUGCAGCUAACAGAAUCAUGUUUGUGAUGUAUGUUUAUUUGGGAAAUGAAAGGAUUUGCUGCAUUAUUUUAUUCCAAGUUUGCUGAAAUCAUAUUUGUUUUCCCAGCUGCUUUCCUGAAGGUAUCGACAUCUAUUUCGAAAAUGUUGGGGGUAAGAUGCUUGAUGCAGUGCUAUUCAACAUGAGAAUUUGUGGCCACAUCGCUGUAUGCGGAAUGAUCUCACAGUACAACAUUGAGAAGCCUGAAGGUGUACACAACUUGAUGCAAGUAGUUGGAAAACGAAUUCCCACGGAAGGAUUUCUUGCCGGUGAUUUCUACCACCAAUAUCCAAAAUUCUUGGAACUGGUUAGUGGUUAUGGCGGCAAUCAAAGAAGGAAAGUUAGUAUAUGUCGAGGACAUAGCUGAAGGCCUUGAGAAAGCUCCAUCAGCUCUAGUUGGGAUAUUCACUGAGCAGAAUGUUGGAAAACAACUGGUUGCAGUUGCUCGGGAAUGAUAUGAUUAUUAUAUGACCAUGGACUUUAAAAGCUUAGUGAAGAUGCCUCUGUCUUAUUUGUGAUCCAUGUUAUGUUUGUUUGAGAUACAUGUUAUGUUUGUUUGAUCAAGCUGUACUCAGAUAUAAAUCAAAGAUUCAGAACAUGUGUAUGAUACUGGUUUCUAAAUCAAUGAACGCUUUGAAAUGUUAGUGUUUUCACAGGAGAAUGCAAUUUAAUUCAUCAACAAUGUCCCAACAAGACCCUCAGAGCUGUAGCUUGUAAAGUUAAUUACCAUAUUUUUUUGUAAAGUUAAUUACCAUAUUUUUUUCUUUCCAAUAUAUUGCUUAUUUCAUAGAAAGUUUACAUUAAAGUCUCAUGUUUCUUUGAAAGGUAAGCAAGUGUGAACGUUUCAAUCUAGAGCUGGAAAAUGCAUUUCCGGGCAACUUACUUGAUAAAUGAAGUUUUCAUCUCUGACCAUGAUGUUUCCCACAGGUGCAUUCAUUUCAGCUGAUCUAUUUAAUUUUGUUUUCGAAGGAGUGACACAAAAUCUCCUUUGUUAAGGGGAGAAUUUAGAGCGGCUUUGACUGUUAUCAAAUAGCCUAAUGUAAGACUUAACCAACUUCCUGCCCUGUUGUAUUCUUAUGAAUUUUGAUAGAGCUAAGAGUUUGCAGAAGCUACUGUAUUAUAUGUCGUUAGAGGCUGUAAAAAUCAAACACAUUUAAAUUUCAAUGAAAAUUUACUGGAAGUAAAUUUCCUAUGAUCCUACAGGUGACUAAUUAAUGAGAACUUGACAAUGACAAAAGAAAGUGUAUGAACUUUGCAGGCUGGCAUGCCAAUAUUGACUGGGUGGCACCAUCCACCAUCUGCAAGUGAAUAUCAUUGUUGUUUAAUCAACAUGGUGGAGUCCACUGGGACCACACCACAUCAUCAGCCUUAUCUCUAUUCCUCAAUUUUCAGUAUUCCAUACAUCAAACCAAUUUCAGUUUUGUUAUCAAUUAUAACUUUAUUGUUGGUGACGAUUCUGAUUCCUUUCUGACAAAAGGGAACCAUGGCUGCUGCUGGAGAGAUCUUACUCAACGCCUUCUUUCAGGUACUGUUCGACAGGUUGGCUUCUCGUAAUUUGAUCAGCUUUGUGCGUCAACUCCAAGGCGGGGUUGAUUCGGAGCUCAAAAAGUGGGAGAAAAAGCUGAAGAUGAUUCAGGCUGUCCUCUGCGAUGCAGAGGAGAAGCAACUGACCAACGAGGCUGUGAAGAUGUGGCUGGACGAACUCCAAGACUUGGCUUAUGACGCUGAGGACAUUCUUGAUGAGUUUGCUACUCAAGCUUUGGAAAGCAAGUUGAUGGCGCAAAAUCACGAUAGUUCUGGCCAGGUUCUCAGUUUCAUCCCGGCUGGUUUGAAUCCGAAUGCUAUUAUGUUCAAUUAUAGCAUGGGGUCCAAGAUUAAAGAUAUUACUAGCCGGCUGGAUCAACUCUGCCAAGAAAGAAUUGAACUUGGACUGCAACGGAUUACCGGAGAGGCAUCAUCAACUGCUGCUGGUGCACACCAGAGGCCACCCAGUUCGAGUGUCCCAACAGAACUUGAAGUAUUUGGAAGAGAAGAAGAUAAGGCCAAAAUUCUUGAUAUGUUAUUAGCCGAUACCCUAAGUGAUCAUGCUAACUUUGUUGUAAUACCCAUUGUUGGCAUGGGUGGGAUAGGAAAAACAACUCUUGCUCGGGAGGUUUACAAUGACAAGGCCGUUGGAGAUUGCAAGUUUGAUGUAAAAGCAUGGGUUUGCGUAUCUGACGUCUUUGAUGUUUUGGGCAUCUCAAAGGCACUUCUCGAGUCAAUCACCCGCACGCCUUGUCUUCUAAACAGUUUAAAUGAAGUGCAGGUUGAAUUGAAAGUAGCUGUGGAUAAGAAAAGAUUCUUGCUGGUCUUAGAUGAUGUUUGGAACGAGGACUACAGCUUGUGGGUAGACUUAAAAGCUCCGUUCCUGGGUGCUGCACCAAACAGUAAGAUGAUCGUCACCACGCGCAAUUCAAAUGUUGCAUCAACAAUGGGACCAGUUGAACAUUACAAUCUCAAGAGUCUGUCAGAUGAUGAUUGCUGGUCCAUUUUCAUAAAGCAUGCAUUUGAAUCUAGAGAUCUUAACGAACAUCAAAUUUCAGAAUCAUUCCGCAAGAAAGUUGUUGCCAAGUGUGGAGGCUUGGCCCUGGCAGCAAAAACACUCGGAGGCCUUCUGCGUACGACGAGGCAUGAUGUGUGGGAUGAUAUAUUAGAGAGCAAAAUAUGGGAUUUACCUCGACAAAGUGGGGUUCUCCCAGUAUUAAGAUUGAGUUACCAUCAUCUUCCUUCUCAUUUGAAAAGAUGUUUCGCUUACUGUGCAAUCUUUCCAAAAGAUUAUGAAUUCAAUGAGAAGGAGGUGACUUUUUUAUGGAUGGCCGGAGGUAUUAUUCGACAGUCCAGAAGCAAAGAGAGGCUAGAAGAUUGGGGCAGCAAGUGCUUCUAUGAUCUGGUGUCAAGGUCAAUUUUUCAGCAAACAGCAAUCUCUGAUAGUUCUAAAUUUGUAAUGCAUGACCUUAUUCAUGAUCUUGCUGAAUUGGUCUCUGGAGAAACCAUAUUCAGGUUAGAGGAGGCCAAUACUCUGUCAAGAAGAUUUGAAAGGGUUCGCCAUUCUUCCUAUGCUUGUGGUGGACGUGAUGGUAAAAAUAUGUUCGAGGUUUUCAAUGAAAUUGAACAUCUACGAACAUUCUUGCCAUUACGCUUACGCAUAAGAGGUGGCUCUAAUACUAGUUUCAUAACUCGUACGGUUCUAUCUGAUUUGCUGCCGAAGUUCAAAAUGUUGAGAGUGCUAUCUUUACAAGGAUACCGUAUCGGUGAGUUACCAAUUCCAUUUGAAGAUUUGAGACUUCUAAGGUUCCUCAACCUUGCUGACACUGACAUAAGAAGUUUACCUGAGUCAACAUGCAAAUUGCUGAACUUGGAAAUUUUGAUAUUAAGAAAUUGUUCCCGUUUGAUAAAGCUUCCGCAGAAAAUGAGGAAUUUGAUCAAUUUACGUCAUCUCGAUAUAAGAGGUGCAAAGCUGCUAAAGGAGAUGCCAUUUGGAAUGAAAGAGUUGAAGAAGCUUCAAACAUUGUCCAAUUUUAUUGUAGGCAAGGGUGAAUCCGCAUCUGGUUUGGAAGAUUUAAAAAGUUUAAACCUUCUUUGUGAUGAACUCUGCAUUGCUGGAUUAGAGAAUGUAAAUAGUCCACAGAAUGCAAGAGAAGCCACAUUAUGUGAGAAGCACAAUCUUGAAGCAUUGACUCUAGAAUGGGGGUCUCAAUCUGACAGUCCUCGGGAUGCAGUACUAGAAGAGAAUGUACUUGACACUCUACAACCUCAUGAACGUAUAAAAGAGCUGGCAAUCAGGCACUAUGGUGGUGCAGGAUUUCCACUUUGGAUCGGACAUCCUUUGUUCUCCGAGAUGAAGGUCCUUAAAUUGGAGAACUGUGACAAGUGUGUAUCUCUGCCAUCGCUUGGCCUGAUGAAUUCACUUAAGCACCUUGCUGUUAAAGGGCUGAAGAAACUAAAAAGCAUAGAGUCUGCGGUCUUUCCAUCAUUGGAGACUCUAAGUUUUGAGAAUUUGCCAGAAUGGCAGCAUUGGAACACCAAUAUCAAAGGAAAUGAGCCUGUUGAAAUAUUUCCUCGUCUCCAAGAACUUUCCAUUGCAGAAUGUCCCCAACUCUCUGGAGAACUGCCUGAGCUCCUGCCUUCUUUGGAGACACUUGUUGUUAGUAAAUGUGGAAAGUUGGUAGUUCCAUUGUCAAGCUAUCCGAUGCUCUGCAGAUUAGAAGUUGAUGAGUGCAAAGAGCUAGUGUGCAGGACUCCAAUUAAUUUUGAGUUGAUAAAGUCUGUGACUAUUUCAAAUAAUUCAUUACUCAUGAAUGGAUGCAAGGAGAUGCUAUGCCAUGGUCAAGCUGGCUCUUCACUGCAGAAACCCAAGACUAUUAUGAAUGUUUUGGAGUUCGGAAAAUUAUUGAAGCCUGGAUUUCAGAUAUUAGAAACUUUGGUAAUUGGCAAUUCUGAACGGCUCAAGUCAUGGAGUACUUUUAUUGAACCAGGGCUACAUUUGCUCGCUUCCCCUGAAGAGGUAGCAAUUGAAGAAAGUUGUGUACGUCUUGUUUUGUUUCCAGAGAUCAAUUUCUUUCCCAGAAAUCUGCGCUCUCUUCGAAUUUGCAACAGCACUGCUUUCAAAUCCUUACCCGAGGAAAUGAUGGAAAACAAUUCACAACUCGAAAGGUUGUAUAUCAGAGAUUGCGACUCUCUAACAUUCAUCGCAAGACGGAGGCUACCAGCAUCUCUUAAAAGGCUUGAGAUAGAAAAUUGUGAGAAAUUGCAACGUCUGUUCGAUGAUGAAGAGGAUGCUUCUUCUUCUUCUCCUUCAUCCUUGUCUUCCCCAGUGAUGCUGCAACACCUGAGAAUAGAGAAUUGCCCAGAGCUCACCAGUUUAUCAUCGGGUGUCCAAUUCCUUGAGGCGCUUGAAUACCUCAAGAUAGAGCAUUGUCCAAAGCUGGAGUCAAUACCGGAUGGCCUGCCCAAUCUUAAAUGUUUACAGAGCAUUUAUAUACGGAAAUGUCCAAGUCUUGUUUCCUUCUUAGAAAGAGGGCUUCCCAACGCCAUUUCAAGUUUUUACAUUUGCAGAUGUGACAAGCUCGAAGCCUUGCCCAAUGAUAUGCACAAACUCAACUCUCUUCGAGAUUUAAGCAUACAUGGGUGUCCAAGUCUUGUUUCCUUCCCAGAAAGAGGGCUUCCCAACGCCAUUUCAAGGGUUUACGUUUGCAGAUGUGAGAAGCUCGAAGCCUUGCCCAAUGAUUUGCACAAACUCAACUCUCUUCGAGGUUUAAGCAUACAGAUGUGUCCAAAUCUUGUAUCGUUUCCAGAAGAAGGUUUUCCUACCAAUCUAACAUCACUUACAAUUAGAUAUUUCAAAAUGUAUAAGACACUCGUCCAGUGGGGGUUGCACAGGCUUACCUCUCUUAAACGCCUCUGGAUUGCUGUACGUGAUGAUGAAGCAGAGUGUUUUCCAGACGAGGAGAUAGGAAUGACGCUGCCCACCUCUCUCACCGCUCUGCACCUUACUGGAUUCGAAAAUUUGAUAUUUCUGUCUUCAAUGGGUUUUCAAAACCUCACCUCUCUUCAAUCUUUGAGGAUCGAGAAUUGCCCGAAUCUCACAUCAUUUCCAGAGGUGGGCCUUCCAUCCUCACUUUUGGAAUUACACAUUAGAGAUUGUCUAAAGCUUAAAAAAGCGUGCAAAAGAGAUCAAGGAAAAGAGUGGCCCAAAAUUGCUCACAUCCCUCGCGUUGAGAUAGACGAUAAAUUCAUAUACGAUCCAGAAGCAGAGUAGAUUCUAUUAUUAAGGUCAGUUGAUUUGUAUUAUCCGCUAUAACAAGCUCCUCCUUUUUUUUUCAAAUAAUAAUUUUGCAGUCACUCAUAUGAUUCCGUUUUCACAAGUCAGAUUGUAUGUUGAGGCUAUUUGCCUUUUAAUUAUAACACUUAUUGGAGUAUAAUAUUUUGGAGCAAGCAUACUUGAAAUUUCUGUCUUCAAUAUUUUGAUGCUUUUUUAAUUUUUGAUCUAGUAAAAAUACAUAGCCUUCACCGGCAGGAUUCUAGUCUUGGCUUUCACCUCUCUAACUCAUCGUCCCCACUGGGAUUCCAGAAAUUGAAAUUUCUGUCUUCAAUGGGUUUUCAAAGCCUCGCCUCUCUUCGAUUUUUAUGGAUCGCUUCGAUUUUUGCACAAAUCUCACAUCAUUUCCCGAGGUCGAGGAAAAGAGCGGCCCAAACUUGCUCGCAUCCCUUGGGUUAUGAUAGAUGGAAAAUUCAUAUACGAUCCAGAGUCAGAGGUGUUGAUUCUCUUAUUAAGGUCAACUGAUUUCUAUUAUCCACUCUGACAAUCUCCUAUUAGUGUUUUUCCUUUUCUUUUUCAAAAUUUUGCAGUUCUGUAUAAUUGAAAAUGCCACUCACUUGUUUCCUUUUUCGCAGGUCAAAUAGUGCGUUGAGGCUAUUUGCUUUCUAUCGGUGUUUGUUAAGGUAAUUAGUGCUCCAUCAUAGGUAUGACUGGAUUUUUUUCACUUCCGUAAAUAUUGCAUUUCUAUCGGUGUUUGACUGGAUUUUUUUCACUUCCGAAAAUAUUGCAUUUUAGACUGGCAAAUUUAGCAGUAAUUUUAAUACAAUUUUGUUGGUGCCUUUUGUUCCAGAAGCUAGAAAAAUGUGUAGUUUUCAGAUAAGGAGGCUUGUCAGUUCUCUAAUAAGAAUCCAAUAAUUUGCUUUUGCACGUCCAUCUAAUUUGUGGAUCCUUGCAUCAGAAUUUGAUCAAUCCAAAAGGAAUUGCUUUUAGACAGAGGAAGAAUAGCAGUACCUAGCCUAUGUCAUAGUGUAUGGAACCGCAAACCUGAAACUAUUAGAUUGAGGUAAAAAAAUCAUUGACCCCCUCACAUGUUAACUUCUUCUAGUUACUUUCGUUGGAAAAAAAAACAUUUAAGGAAUUUGCAAUUUGUUGUUGGUUAUGGUAUCUGAUGUUCUUUUCUGUUUUAGUGUUUGUAGAAUCUACUGUAUUAUGUGUUGGCAGUUGCCGUAUCUGAGGUAACUUGCCUUUAUUUGACAAAGAUUUAGAGAAGCAUCUCAAAACACUUAGUAAACUUGACAAACUUCAAGAUGCACUUGCCCCCACGCCUUAUUCUCCACAACGCAAAACUUGUGAGUACACCUAUGCCUGCAAUUAUUGUGAAGUGUUUUCAAUUUUGAUGCAGAGAAAUGGUUUCUUGAUGCAAAAUAUUAAACUGUUAAGAUUUAUCCUGCAGGCUUGUUAGAUGCUGUAUGCUCGAAAAGCCAACAACAUCCAGAACUAGAACUCCAAGACCAGCUUUGCGUUAAUUCAGUCAACUGUAAUAAUAAUGCAAAUGACACUAUAUCAAGCUGGACUUAGAGACUAGUCAGAUCAAUCAUCCAUUUCAUCAACGGUUAAUGUCAUGAUGGUGGCUAUCAGAGGAAACAAAAGAUGUGUCGGAAUCUAUACGAACAUUGAGAAGCAUGAGAGGAGCUUUGAUUUUGAGUAGGGUCAAUGAACUCAUGUUGGUAAGUGGUAAUUAAAGAAAUUUGUAAGCUUAGUAGAGUUUCAGUAUUUUCUGUUUGGAGUAUAGUUGAUAAGUUGACUCUGUUUAAUAAGCCCGAUUAUAGUAGCUGACUGUAUUAACCUUUUUUUUUUUGGUCUACUGUUGUUUUUGGUUUCGAUUAUUUUUUCAACAUUGGGUUGAUCUGUUGAAGAACAAGCUUGGGUUCGAUUCUGCUUUAACUACAAGGAAGAGCCAGACUUGGAUGCAGGCGUUAAGAUUUUAAUGGGUAAGAACAAAUGAAUGCUUUAACCAUGUUUCUCACUAAUUAAAAUGCACGGAUUGAAGGCAUCUGGGUUGAUCCUGACAAUGUGAUGGAAAUACUUCUCUAUUUUGUUCCUGUGUUCACAUAAUGUUUGUGGGAUAUGCUUCGACGAAGACCAGCAAUGAUGAGCAGACACCUGGUAAUAGGGUUCCUCGAGCAGGUAUAUCUUGUAAGAGUAUGGUAUUCAGGGGAGCAGGAGCAGGAAUAUCCUGCUCAUCCGCGAGCACGUCAUCCACGAGGCCAAUCUCCUGUUGGAAGCAUAAAGCCAUUCCUGCUACAUUCCUGCUAAGGGUUGAGUCGAGGAGACCCGGUCAACGACAGUUGGCGAGGCGUGCUCUCCAGUCCGAGAAUCAAGGCAUGAAGGCCACGCAACCACCCACGACUACGGAAAUGGGGCAUCCACUUUCGAGAGGUGGGAGGAUAACGAGCGCGAAUGGAAGAAGGCCCGAGUUCAGAGAUGGCCUAUAAAAAAGUAGCCAACAAAGGUAAAAGGGUUAGAAUUUUUGACAUUGUAACAGAAAAAAAGAAAGCUCUAAAGAACUGAGACUAAAAAAGAAAAGCCAUAAGAUUUGUGGCUAGUGUUCCCAGAACCUUCAUAUCUAACUUGAGCGUCGGAGGGUUUACGCCGGGAAAACAACCGGCGUACUCUGACCUAGUUCUGUGUACGCAGGAACUUCUGGAGAAGAAGCCUUACGAGGAGAGAUCCUAAUCGAGGUGGAGUUGAUCGAGCAAAGAUCCUGGUCGUAACAAGAGAGCAACCAGAAUCUCGCAUCAACAUUUUGGCGCCAUCUGUGGGGACUUGAUCAAAAAGCUUCUGUUGAUAGCAAGAAGAGGAGUGAAGCAAGUGGAAAAGCAAUGGAGGCAAGAAGAAAUAGUGCACAAUGGGGUGAUAUGAGGCUUAACGAUUCCGUGACGCUGAGGGAGAUAGCCAGUGAAGCACGGGAAAAAGCCAUGUUUGACCGGAUGGAACGGAUGGAAAAGCAGAUGCAGACCCUGACAACCAUCCUACAUGAGCUGCGGAGUGAACGAAGGGGAACCCAGGAGGAAAGGGUGAGAGGUGGUGGAGUGGCACCAGGUCAUGAUAGUACGAGGAGAAGUCAAACCACCGAGAGAUUUGGUGGUGAGAGAGGUAACCUAUCUCUACGGGGAGAAAUUCAUAGAGAGGAAGAGCAAUCCCCGGCAAGACAGAUUUUUGACGAGGACGACGGGGUGGCGAAUGCAGAGGAAACAGAGUUGAGGUAACACUUGCAUGAUGUAGAGCAAGAGCGGGAUCAAGUUGCAGCACGUGACCUUGGUCGUGUAGUGCAGCUGGAGGAGGAAGUGCGCAGACUAGCGCAGAUAAUUGAUGACAUGUAAGGAAGGAGCAGAGCUCCUGGUUGGAGGAUAAUGCUGGACGGAGAAUCACCGCUCGCAGCAGAGAUCAUGAGGGCAGUUAUUCCAAGAGAUUUCCGCCUCCCAGACCUUAGAUAUUCGGGACGAACUGAUCCGCUGGUGCACAUAGAGCGCUUCAACGACAUAACCGGGGUACAAGGAUUAUCUCAAUCCCAAAGGUGCAGGGUGUUCCCACUAUCCCUUGAGGGACGUGCACGCAAGUGGUACAGGAAACUUCCUCGGUGGAGCAUUAAAACCUUCGAGCAGAUGUGACAGGAAUUUGUAGAGCAGUUUCGUGGGGCAAUAGCACCAGAAGAUGACAUGAUGGAGUUGAAAAGCAUGAAGCAGGGGGAACAAGAAACCCUUCGGGAAUUCAUCAAGAGGUUUCAUCGUGCUGUCCUCGAUUUGGGAGCCUUCAACCAUUCUCAGGCAUUAAGGGGAUUGAAAGAAGGGGUGAAGAUAGGAAGGCUGUGGCACAACUUGAGAAGCCCAGUUAUUCAGAUGUAUACAGCCGCAUACGAGCAGGCUAAGAGGGACAUUGAGAUUGAAGAAGAAAAGGCAGCACGGAUUAAGACAGACCAGCUAGAAGGGUUGGGAAAGAAAGAGAAGAAAGCAUUACCAGGGAAUGGGCCGAUCAGGAGGAAGGACCACCAGGCCUCAGGUAGUGGUGCAAGAGGUCGAGUAACCGCUUACCAGCCUCAUCAGAGACCACCACAGUAUUAGCACAGCAGAGCACAACCUCCUCGUUCCCCAGUUAGAGAGCUUUGGAGAAGGCAUGACUCGACAUAUGGUGGUCUUCAUCAACACUCCCACGGUAGUAGAGGGAGCAGACCAGAAGCGCUGCCACCGCCUCUAACUCAGAAUGGAACAAAUAGAGAAAGGGUAGUGCACAUGAUCGACCAGAACCAGGACUAUGGGCAGUAUACUUCCUUGAAGAUGUCCCUGGACGAGGUGUACGAGGCCAUAAAGGACCGGGGAUUGAUGUACCUCCCUGCCCCAAUAACAAAGCUACCCAGCAGGACGGAUAGGGGACGCUAUUGUAAGUUCCAUGGCACUUAUGGCCAUACCACUGCAGAAUGCAGAGAUCUCAAGACCCAAGUUGAAGAUUUGGUGAGAAAUCGGUACCUGGAUGAGUUUAUAGAUGAGACUUUCCCGAUGGUGGCCUCGACAUGUGAAGGGGAGCAGAGUGAUAGAAACUUUAGGCGCGAGCAGCCUGCAGUAAGGGUAAUAGCUGGGGGCCCAACAUUGGCCGGAGAUUUCAACAGAUCGAGGAAGAAUUAUGCUAGAUACGCCAUAACUAGUAAAGAGUUACUCUUCAACACCCCAGCAGCCAAAUGAGUAAGAGUCAGACAAGUGCCAAUCAUGUGGACGGAUGAAGAUGAAGAAGAGAUUCUAUACCCCCACGAGGAUGCUUUAGUCAUCAAGGCUACUGUUGCAAGUAAGAAGUUUGACCGGAUACUGGUUGAUACAGGGAGCUCAGUUGAUGUGUUAUUUAAGUCAACUCUGGAGGAGAUGGGAAUAGCAGGCCGGAAGUUGGAGUACACCAAUACCUCCUUGAAAGGGUUUGGAGGAGGAAAGCUGGUCCCUCUGGGCGUGGUCGAGCUGCCUAUCACGAUUGGGAGCUCCCCGACAAAAAGGACUAUGAUACUGGACUUUGUGGUGGUGGAUGAAGAAUGUCCUUACCAGAUGAUCUUAGGUCGGCCAUUUCUGAGGAUGAGCAAAGCGGUACUGUCCAACCAUUAUCUGGCUCUCAAGUACCGAGUGAAUGUGGUAGUUGGAGUGGUACGAGGAGACCAGAGAAUAGCACGAAGCUGCUACUCCUUGGCAGCAAGGGAAGCAAUGCAAAUAACAUCCCUUGAUACCCGAGUGGAAAACAUGAAUGGCAGACAAGAACCUGUAGAGGAGCUGGAGACAGUAAGCCUGGGACCAGAGAAUCCGGGAAAAACGAUCAGAAUCGAGUCGAGACUUAAGGAAGAGCAGAAGCAGGAGUUGGUGAAAUGCUUACAGGCUCAUGCAGAUGUGUUUGCUUGGACACAUGAAGACAUGCCAGAGAUUGAUCCUGAGGUAGCAUGUCAUAAGCUGGCAAUAAAGAAAGGUGCUCGGGCAGUAAGGCAGAAAAGGAGGUGCUUCAACCAGGAGAGGUAUGAGGCUAUAAAUGGCGAGGUGGAGAAGCUCUUGAUAGCAGGGUUCAUUUGCGAAGUCGAUUAUCCUGAGUGGAUAUCGAAUGUGGUGUUGGUAAAGAAGGCAAAUGGCAAGUGGAGGAUGUGUGUAGAUUUCACAGAUCUCAAUAAGGCGUGCCCGAAAGACAGCUUUCCUUUAUCAAAGAUCGACCAGCUAGUAGAUUCAACGGCUGGACACGGCCUGCUUAGCUUCAUGGACGCGUUUUCGGGAUACAACCAAAUUCCCAUGUAUGAGCAGGAUGAGGAGAGCACGGCUUUUAUUACUAACCAGGGUUUAUUUUGUUACAGGGUAAUGCCAUUUGGUCUUAAAAAUACUGGGGCCACGUACCAGAGGCUGGUGAAUAAAGUCUUUAAGCCAUUGAUUAGGAGAACCAUGGAGGUGUACGUGGACGACAUGAUAACCAAGUUGAACAUCCCGAAGGAACAUGUCAGAUACCUCGAGGAGACAUUCGGGCUUUUGAGGAAGUAUAAGAUGAAGCUCAACCCGGAAAAGUGUGCUUUUGGGGUCGAGUCAGGGAAAUUCCUUGGAUUCAUGGUGAGCCAUAGGGGGAUCGAAGCAAAUCCCGAGAAGAUCCACGCGAUCGUGUAAAUGAGGUCACCUCGUAGCCUGAAGGAGAUGCAGAGCCUCACGGGGAGGUUGGCGGCAUUGAGCCGAUUCAUAUCCAAGGCUACUGAUAAGUGUCAGCCAUUCUUUCAAGUGAUAAGGAGGGGAAAGAAAAUAGAAUGGACCCCAGAAUGUGAAGAAGCCUUCCAGAACUUGAAGCAGUACUUGCAGCAAGCACCUCUACUGUCCACACCGAGGGAUGGGGACAAGUUAUUUUUGUAUUUGGCGGUAUUAGAUCGGGCCGCAAGUUUUGUUCUGGUGAGAGAGGAAGAAGGGGUUCAGUAUCCGAUAUACUACACCAGCAAGGCUCUGCUCGACCCUGAGACCAGAUACCCACCGUUGGAGAAAUGGGCAUUUGCCCUUGUGGUUGCUGCUCAGAAGCUGAGGCCAUACUUUCAAGCAUUCCCAGUCUCGGUAAUAACAAACCAGCCAUUGCGUCAAACUCUGCACAAGCCAGAUGCUUCUGGUCGGCUCGUCAAGUGGACUAUAGAGCUGAGCGAGUUCGACAUAGACUACAAACCCCGAGCAGCGAUAAAGGCUCAGGCGAUGGCCGAUUUCAUAGCAGAAUUCACAGAGCCCGAAAUAUGUUUGGACCAGCGAGAUGUAGCUACAGACAGCAACGAAGCCCGAGUAUGGCAGAUGUCUGUAGAUGGAUCAUCCGGGGAGUAGGGAUCAGGAGCAGGAAUUGUUUUGGAAGGCCCAGAAGGGGAGGAGAUCUCUUAUGCUGUAAAGUUAGAAUUCGCAGCCACAAAUAACCAAGCAGAGUACGAAGCCUUGAUAGCAGGUUUGGAAUUGGCUAAGGCAGUGAAAGCGGAUAGAGUGAAGAUCAGAACUGAUUCCCAGCUGGUCGCAAAUCAUGUCAGUGAAAGAUUUCAACCGAGAGAGGAGAAGAUGGAGCAGUACCUGAAGAUAGUCAGGCAUAUGAUGGGGAAAUUUGAAGCGGUUUAGGUGAUACAAAUCCCCAGGGAGCAGAAUAGUCGAGCAGAUAUUUUGACGAGGAUGGCAGCGGUAGCAGACCCAAAAAUGCCAAAGUCGAUCCCUCUGGAGGUGAAGUCCAGCCCGAGCAUCGAGCAUAAUUUGGGGGUGCUGCGGAUAGAACAAAAAUGCUCGUGGAUGGACCCGAUAAUUUCAUACCUUAGAGACGGGGUAUUACCACCAGAGAAGCUGCGAGCUCGGAAGAUUAGAGCCCAGGCCUCGAGAUACACGAUGAUUGACGGGGUAUUAUAUCGGCGAGGAUAUACGCUACCUUUCCUUCGGUGUUUGGAUGAGGACGACGCGGACUACGUACUGAGAGAAGUACAUGAAGGAAUUUGCGAAAAUCACUAUGGUGGGAGGUCCCUGGCUCACAAGGUUCUAAGGCAGGGAUAUUUCUGGCCGACAAUGCACCAGGAUGCGCAAGAGAAGACCAGGAGCUGUGUAAGCUGCCAGAGUUUUGUGAGUUUCUCUAACCAACCACCAGAGAAGCUCACCUCUAUGGCCCCCCCCUGGCCAUUUGCUCAAUGGGGAAUUGAUCUGAUCGGCCCGUUGCCAAAGGGAUGAGGAGCAGCAACACAUGCAAUAGUUGCGAUAGACUACUUCACGAAGUGGAUAGAGGUAGAAGCCCUUAGUAGGAUCACAGAGAAGAAAACAACAGACUUUGUAUGGAGAAACCUGGUCUGUCGAUACGGGAUCCCUUAUGCCUUGGUAACGGAUAAUGGCAGGCAGUUUGAUAAUCACAGCUUCAGGGAUUUCUGCCAGAACCUCGAGAUAGAGUUGAAGUAUUGCUCGCCUGCUCACCCUCAAUCUAAUGGACAAGUAGAAGCAGCCAACAAGACCAUCAAGAGGCUUUUGAAAACCAGGCUUGGAGCAAAAAAGGGUGCAUGGGUUGAUGAGCUGUCAGGUGUCCUAUGGGUAUACAAGACAACCCACAAAACAGCAACUGGGGAGACACCGUUCGCCUUGGCUUUCGAACAUGAAGCGGUCGUACCAGCCGAGAUAGGAACGACCACGCACCGGACAGAUCAUUUCAAUGAGCAGGAGAACGACGAGCAGAUGUGUUUGAAUCUAGAUCUGCUAAUGGAAAAGAGGGAGCAAGCAGCCGAGCGAUCAACCAUUUGCCAGCAGAGGGUUGCUCGGUAUUAUAACCAGAAGGUGAAUGUACGGCAGUUCAAGGUCGGAGAUUGGGUGUUAAGAAGAGUGAAUCAGAAUACGAAAGACUCGGCUCAGGGAGUACUUGGACCAAAUUGGGAGGGGCCAUAUAGGGUCAAGCAGCUAGUUGGACCCGGAGCUUACAAGCUGGUUCGCUCGGAUGGCCACGAGGUGAAACGCCCAUGGAACGCAACACACCUCAGGAAAUAUUUCCAGUAAGAAUUGUCCAUGUUUUCAAGUUAUUUCUGUUCGUGUUUGUUGUUAUUUAUUUUAUGUCAAAACAAUUUCAUGUAAGUUGAAUCCUGCAAUUAAUGAAACGUCGAGGAAUUUCAUUCACUUGAAACUGUGAAAAAUCUACUAAGGCAUGCUAAGGCUCACUGAGUCUCAAAGCCUGUUUAUGGAAAGACCAGAAGCCAAGUGUGCCAGGAUCUGCUCGACCACGCGAAGGCCAGCAGAAUCCCAAAUCAUUGAAGAAUCUACCAAGGCAUGCAAAGGCUCGUCAAGUCUCAAAGCCUGUUUAUGGCGAGACCAGAAGCCAAGUGUGCCAGGAUCUGCUCAACCACGCGAAGGCGAGCAGAAUCCCAAUCAUUGAAGAAUCUACCAAGGCAUGCAAAGGCUCGUCAAGUCUCAAAGCCUGUUUAUGGCGAGACCAGAAGCCAAGUGUGCUAGGAUCUGCUCAACCACGCGAAGGCGAGCAGAAUCCCAAUCAUUGAAGAAUCUACUAAGGCAUGCUAAGGCUCACCGAGUCUCAAAGUCUGUUUAUGGCGAGACCAGAAGCCAAGUGUGCUAGGAUCUGCUCGACCACACGAAGGCGAGCAGAAUCCUAAAUCAUUGAAGAAUCUACCAAGGCAUGCAAAGGCUCGUCAAGUCUCAAAGCCUGUUUAUGGCGAGACCAGAAGCCAAGCAUGCCGGGAUCUGCUCGGCCAAGUAAAGGCCAGCAGACUCCCCAACAUCAAAAAAUUAUCCAAGGCAUGCAAAGGCUCGUCAAGUCUCAAAGCCUGUUUAUGGCGAUACCGGAAGCCAAGCAUGCCGGGAUCUGCUCGACCAAGUGAAGGCUAGCAGACUCCCCAACACUGGGAAAAUUAUCUAAGGCAUGAGAAAGCUCGUCAACUCUCAAGGCCUCCUCUGUGACGAGGUCAGAAGCCAAAUGGAUAAAUAAAUUAAAAUUCCAAUGCGAGGAAGCAAAUAAGAACAAUUUUAUUAAGCUCUUAAAAGUCUGCAAUUCUGUUACAUACAACGCUAAAAAAGCAAUUACAACGCAAGACAAGUUCAGGAGGACGGCGGAUCAGUAAACCGAGUAGCUUCGGUUGGCUGGUCCACUUCAGGGGUCGAGGGGGUGUCACCAGUUGCGUCCGGGGGGGUACUCGCCUCACCAACGUUAGCAGGGACUGCAUGAGGAGGAGAGUUUUCCUCCUCAACCACGAUUGGCUCCACCCCUUCGGCAUCCUCCUUUGCCGCCUCCUCGUCCAUGUGUUGAACAAUACUAGCCGCAAGGUCAUCCAUCUUCAGAUCAGGAUGCUGCUUCCCGAGGACGGCCAUGAUGCAACGAUAGGAAUGCCGAAGUCCCUGGUCGUACUGGUUGUCGGCUUCCUUCUCCAAGUUCUUGACCUGAACUCGGUGGGAAUCGCGGAGAGAUUCGAGCUGAGCCUCGUACAUAAUUUUCUGCCUUUGCAGAUCCUCCUUGACCUUAGUCAGCUCUUCCUCGAGAGUAACGGCCUAUGCUUGAGCAAGAGAUUCUUGCUCUAUCAGCUUCAGAUUCUCGAGAUUCAAGUCUCCCGCUUUCUUCUCGGCAGCAUCGGCUCUGGUCGUCGCCGAUUGAAUGUCCUCCUUCAUCUUCCGGUCGUAACGGCCAACCUUGGCCUUAUAGUAAGUGGUCAUGCAGCUGAGGUGGAAAGCGCUAUACUGCAUGGCCCCCACCAGCUCACCUAGGGUGCAGCCAUCAAAGUCCUCCAGGUCCUUCUUGCUCACGAGUUUAAAUAGCUCAUUGAGAUAGGGGACCAAGUGUUCUGCUCGGUGGUCAGAUAAACGAGAUCUAGGCCCGACAGGAGGAGAAGAGAAAGCAGGAUCAGUGGCAGCUCCACUAGUCUCUCUGACUUUGGCAGGAGGAGGAGGAGGUAGAGUCUGCAAGGGAGCAACCUGUUGCACGAUGUUCACCUGCUUUGCAGUAGGAGCAUCUUUAUUCUGGUCCUGCUUGGUCGUUGGAGGUCGAGAACGUUUCCUAGUCAGAGCCCCAAUCACAGCAUCCUCCAUCUUAUGGCCGGGAGGCACCAAACAAGACUCGAGCAGGUUAUAAGUAGUUAUCAGCUCUCGGCUCGAGCAGGAAUUGGCUAGUACAGCCUCGACCCGUUUGAGCUGGUCAGGUUUGAGCGGGAAGUAAACACCCCAAGAACCUGCAACACAAAUAGACACUUGGUUAGAGACAAACCAGUAUAGCGAGAACAAUUAUGGAUACAAGACAUCUAAAGCGAGCAGGCAACCUGAGAUCACGAAACGGGGUGGGACGCAAGAAUCCUUCCCGUCAAUUUGUGCAACUUGACCCCAGGAACCCCCAGCAAAAAAGAAUUUUUUCUUCCAAUUCCCACCACCACCAGUAAGAAGAUCGGUUAUGGGUUUCCUGGUCUUGGUACUAGAUUGGAAGUAGUACCAGCCGGCAUCUUUGGGGCUGCUCUUUAGCUGGUACAGGUGCUUCACCUCAUCAACUGUGGGCUUGCUUUGGCAACAUCUGUCCCACAAUAUGAACAGACCAGAGAGUACUUUCCACCCGUUGGGGUUCAGCUGACCAGGAGCUAGAUUUAGCCCGUUAAGCAUCCGGGCAAAGUAGGGUUGCAAGGGACACCUCAGCCCAUACUUAAAGCUCUCUAGAAACAGGGUAACGUAUCCCCUAGGAGGCCGGCUAGGGGUAUCCUUCUUUCCUGGGAUCUUAAGAGGUAUUUCACCAGGAAUACUAUACUUAAGCCGGAGGUCAGUGAGCUCGUCAAACGUGGUCGUGCACGUCAUGUAAUCAAUAGCGUAAUCCCGCGAUAGGGCUCUACCUCCUACUGUACUCUGCCCUUCUGGUCGCGAUGUUCAUAAUGGGGACACCUCACCAGAAUCACCUCUUCGAUCCUCACUCAGGGUGUUUUCCGAGCCAGAAAACCCCUCCUCACCGCUAUUUCUGCUCGAGGAGGUUGUUUGGGGGGACAUCCUCCUAGCGCUAGUACCAACACUAGGUCUAAUGGGUUCUAAGGGGAUCCCGGGGUCAAAAGCAGGAUCGGUGAGCAGACUAGGCAGGAAGUCCAACUCAUUGUCAUCAACCUCAAUGACCUUCUCUUUACCUUUCGACAUUCCCUAAGCUAUAACUAGAACACCACCACCAACUACUACCCAAGCAAAGCAAAGAGAAAAGAAAUUAUCUACAGCUAUCCGAGACUGAGGAGAUAGAAGUAAUACCUGAAAUAGUGGUUCAGUCGGAGAAGGACAGGGAUGGAGGCCUUUAUGCCGGAACUUCUUUGCCAGGGAGACAGGGACAGAGACGGGGUAAAUGACGAAUUUUCCUUUGGAGAGGUUUUAGGUUUUCCUAAUGGAGAAUAAACUCUUGGGUUGCCAGCAUUUAACAGCACCAAAUCCCGAGGGUCUCGUAACCGUUGGUUUGAAAUUCAAAUAGAGAGGUAGAUUUCUGUCACAUCACCUCGUCCGCAAUUAAAUGCGACACAACUCUUGGCAGCCUUUUUCCUAUCCCGCGCAAGCAAGAGCUGUCAAGUUUCUACUAUCGGCUUACUACGUUACCCAACACCAGAAACUGGGGGAUCGGUGUUUGUGGGAUAUGCUUCGACGAAGACCAGCAAUGAUGAGCAGACAUCUGGUAAUAGGGUUCCUCGAGCAGGUAUAUCUUGUAAGAGUCUAGUAUCCGGGGGAGCAGGAGCAGGAAUAUCCUGCUCAUCCGCGAGCACGUCAUCCACGAGGCCAAUCUCCUGUUGGAAGCAUAAAGUCAUUCAUGCUACAUUCCUGCUAAGGGUUGAGUCGAGGAGACCCGGUCAACGACAGUUGGCGAGAUGUGCUCUCCAGUCCGAGAAUCAAGGCACGAAGGCCACGCAACCACCCACGACUACGGAAAUGGGGCAUCCACUUUCGAGAGGUGGGAGGAUAACAAGCGCGAAUGGAGGGAAGGCCCGAGUUUAGAGGUGGCCUAUAAAAAGGUAGCCAACGAAGGUAAAAGGGUUAGAAUUUUUGACAUUGUAACAGAAAAAAAGAAAGCUCUAAAGAACUGAGACUAAAAAAGAAAAGCCAUAAGAUUUGUGGUUAGCGUUCCCAGAACCUUCAUAUCUGACUAGAGCGUCGGAGGGUUUACGCCGGGAAAAGAACCGGCAUACUCUGACCUGCUUCUGUAUACGCAGGAACUUCUGGAGAAGAAGCCUUACAAGGAGAGAUCCUGAUCGAGGUGGAGUUGAUCGAGCAGAGAUCCUGGUCGUAACAAGAGAGCAACCAGAAUCUCACAUCAACACAUAAUAUAAUAUAUAUAUAUAUAUAUAGAAAGCUGAAUUUAUUUAUUUACGCGCAUGUGCUAGUGCCCACUGGCAUCCACUUGAUUUGUAUCGGUUAAAUGUAUCAUACAAUACAAUAUUAGCUUGACUGUAGAAAAGAGGAGAACGAGUUGGUGUUGGUCUGAACUCUUAUCUUUGAAUCUCACGUGACUCCACUACUUUUUACUUGUUCUGUAGUCCAUUGUCGGCAGCUCAUACAAGGUCUUUUAGCUUUUUAAAAAGUUUUAGCUUUUUGGAUAAAUUACUGAUAAUUGUAAUCUAUAAAUAAUGAAAGGAAUUAAUUAAAUAUUUGGUAAAUUUUAUUUUUUAAAGUGUUAUGAGUUUUAAAAACGGUUGUAUGUAUAUAAAUUUAUUUACACAUAUAUUUAUAAAUAUGACUAUAUAAUAAUAUUUUAUGUGUACAUAUAAUAAUUGAUAACUAAAAUAAAUAUUUUUAUUUUAUUAAUGGUUUUUUCGUCUCAAUGUAGUUGGUAAUAAUAAUCUCUUGAGAUGUAACGAUUUUAUUUCCUAACUGAAUAAGGAAAAUUUUAGAUUUUUAUAAUAAAUGUUAAGAUAUAUUUAGAAUUACAUUAAGUAUGAAAUAAUCCUCAAAAUUAGAUUUUGAAAAGCAAUUCUUUUCUUGCCUUUAAAAAUAUGUCAUAUGAUGAGAUGAUUUUACUAAAAGUGAUUUUUUUUUAAAAAAUUACUAAACAUCAAAAUUAACUCUUAACUUUUUAAAAUCAUUUCUAAUCUUCUCAUCCUAAGUUCUCUAUUAUUUUGUACAAAAUCCAAGGUUUUGACUUUAAUAAAAUGCCCACUCAAAAAGAAAUUAUUUUCUAAUUAAGAUUUGUUGUUAAUGUAUAACUCGAAGUAAUAUUAGAUAUUUGUAAUUUUAUUUCAAAAAAUUUAUUCAAAUGAUAUGGCAAGCAAUGAACAAUAGUUGAUAGCAAUUUUUUUUUCUUUAACAAUGUUCAAAUCAAUCAGUUGCAUUAUCUCACCAUUUUUAUGAUGCCAUGUUAUUUUAAACGAUUUUUUUUUUAUAUAAAACAUACGACGUGUUAACAUCAUUUGCAUAACUUGACCUUUUUUUUUUUCCCUACAAAUAGUAAGUCAAAUUUACUCACCCUAUUUCUACCUAAAAUCUACCUAAAACUCAUGCAUCACUGCAAAACAAAUCCAAAGAUUGCGGUGCGUUUUUCUUGGUCAGAAAUCAAUAAUUAGGUCAAGUACUACUACUAAGCGUGCACAAUUAAUUCUAAAAUACGGUGAUCAAAAUCAUACUUUACGCAAGAGGAUCAGGGCUAAACUUCAAUUAGGCAUUAUUCAUCCAAAAAUCAUUGACUCGGCAUUCUUUGCAAGUUGUAGCAUGGGACAGCUAAGAUAAUUAGCAAAUGAUAUGGACCAUAUGCACCAAUACAUUUGUGACAUGUGAAUCUUGGCAUUAAAGGAAAGGCAAUGUGUCAAAAUUUAAUAGAGCCCAACUCUUCAUUGAAUGAUUAUCAGAUCCAAUACGCAUCCUUUGAUUGGAUUAUUUUAAGUCAAUUAUUGGUGGAUUGGGGCCCACUUGACUCUACCAAAUCGGGCUCGACCAUAUCACCUAUUAACGGCCACCUGUCCUUAUCAUAAAUAGCAAAUGUCACUUGUUUUAUUUUCUAUUUUACCAAAGUAAAGUCACUACGAACGCAAAAGAAAGUGACCUCAAUUUUGGGGGUCAUGAACUUUGGAUUAUUAUGGACACAAGAGACAAGCGCAAUGUUUCUCAUUUAUCACUGGAUAAGAUUUAAGUUAUCAACCCAAUAUUAAUAAAUUCUGCUUGAAAAGUAAAGUUUGAAGCUUCAUUUUGCGAAUAUUCAAUGGUUAACAUUUAAGUAAUUAACCUGAUAUUAAUCCAAUUAAACUUUUUAUGUAAUCCAAGUCAAAAAUAUAUUGAUAAACCUAAACUAAUCUAAUUGGACAUAUUAUUUCAACUUGAAAAGGUGAAUUUAUCAUUUUUCAAUUAAUUUUGAAUCAAGCUAUGUAAAAUAUAAGCUUAUUAAAGACAUAUUUGAAAAUUUCAAAUUGAAUUAUUUGACAAUUACAUUUCAACUAAGUUGUACUGCUAAUUAACUUCCUCAACUUAAAAUGUAUUUUUCUCAAUUAAUUCGUAACAAAGAAUGUUAGAUGUUUUGUUCGAAUGAUAACAUUCAACAUCCUUAUUCUUUAUGAUUAUUGCAUAAAAACAUAUUUUAUCCAUUUACGUCACAUAUGUUCCUAAAUUGUAUAAGAAAAUCACCAAAUUUACUCUUGUAAGUUACUAUAUCAAUGAACAUGAAACUAACUAAUCAUUAAAGUCUCGGAAUGACAUCAUGAGGGGGAUUCCGUUACAUUUAUUGAUAGGAUUAGAUAUAUGUCUUCCCAAAUAUUAGUAGGAGUAAUUAAACAGAUGCAGCUAUUAAAAAUAUGGAAUUACUUAUCUCGUCAAUAACUAACGAUAUUUUUUAUCUAUGCUCGAUAGGCGUCUGAGCUAUAUUAUAAAUUGUAAUAUUUGUAGAUUGUAACAAUUAUAAAAAAAAAAAAAAAAAGCUCCCUAAGACUAAACGACAACAGGACUGUUUUGAAAUAGAUAGAUAAAGUAUGCCCUUAUUUGAGAAAAGGUAAAACACUAGGGAUCUAAAUGUUAUUAUAAUCCCAUGCACAAAAAUGCUAGAAAAAACUAAUAACAACUAACCGAAAAUCCCAGGCGUCAUAUUCCUUUUUACCGCGUUUUAAAAUGCACAACAAUGAUAUUCUCACAAAAGUGGGUACAAAGGUUUGUACAACCAGGGUCUCUUUGUAAAUUAUUUCAAAGUUUUGUGUUAUUUUUUAAAUUUAUGAUUUUUAUUAAUUUUGAUUCAUUGGAGCAUUUCUCCUUCCAUCUCUUCUACAUCUAUUUUUAAAGUUUUUUAAAAUUUUGACUAUAUCUUUAUAGAGUUCUAAAUGAUUAUCUUUUUUCAUAAAAAUCUAUACUUAAAUUAAUCCUUGAAUUUAUAAUCAUUUAUCUUCUUUGAGUCAUAGACCAAAUUUUUUCUUCUAACAUAUCUAUGUAUACUCCUAAGCUAUCUUCAUGGCUUAGAUACAUUCUAUCAAAGCUUUCACAUAUAAAUUGUGAUUUGAGAUCUGCAUCUUGAAUCAACAUCUCUAUAUUAUCCAUUGUUUUACGCUCGAGGGUAGUUAAAAUUGAUUCUAUUAAUGCUAUCGUGUUUCUCCUUCAAAAGAAUCAAAUAUUUCUGGAUUAUUAAUUUCUUUUAUUUCUUCAUACAAGCAUUCGUUUGCCGUUAAUCUUGUUUUAAUCAAGGAAGCUGUAUAAGCAACUUGAUAUUCUUGACAAAAGUCUAAAUGAUCUAUUGCAUCUAGAAAUUUAUUAAUAGAUCUUUCCAUUUUUAAGAAAUUGAGUUACUCUUAUCACUUCCAAUCUUUUAACAUCUCAGAAAACAAACAAGGCCCAGCAUGCUUCCGUUUGUAGCUCAAAUAAAAGAAGAGUUCAGAUCACUAACCAAUGUACUAUCUCUCGGAAGUCUGAGAUAGACUCACUAAUUGCCUCUAACCAUAGAGAGGUCCAUGGUCAGCACCACCAUAGCUCCACACAUCAUACAAGAUCACUUCAACGACUGUUCCACAUGGCCUAAUGCAACACACAGCAGACUGGCCUAAUAGGAUAUGUCUAAGUGAUUUUCUUGCAGUUGUCUCUGGAAGAGUGCUUAGUAAUAGAAAAUCUUCUUCGUUUAGUACAAGUAUUGGUAUGUAAGGUUCUUGAUUAAUUUUCAAAAGAUGUAUAAGUGUUAGAGUGCAAUUUAUGCACUAGUUUUGCAUUAUUUACUUCCCUUAAUAUCAAUGUUUUGCACUUAAUAAUAGUGAUUUACUUGUGUUUUACUUUUGUAGGUCCAAUUCUAUUGAUUGAUGAUAAAAUUGAGCUAUAAGAUGAUGUUUAAGGAUGAUUGUUCUCUUGGAGAAAUUAUGAGCGUCAGAAGAACUUUGUUGAUAAGGCGUGGGCGCGUGCUGUCAAUUGCGGACCUGCAGUUUUUAGUUUAACGUGUUUUGUAUUUUUGGUUAUUUUUGUAAUUACGAAUUUAAUAUUUCAGAUAUUAAGAUUUUAUUUUAAAUAGAAUUCUAAAAGAGAAGAGAGAGAGAGUAUUUAAGGGAGGAAUCUAUUGUGAAAAAGGGGGAUUUUGGAUUGGAGAAAGAAAGAAACCCUAGAUCUAAUUUUUCUCUUCUCUCUAUGAAGAACUAAACUUAUUUUUCUAGUUGAAGGUUAACGAAGCUUUGAUUCAUCACUACUGUGAGAUCUUUCUUAUGCUUUAAUUGUUUUAUUACUUUUUGGAUAUUUGUUUAUUCUCUGAAUUUUUUUCAUGAUUAUGUUUGUUAAUUAGGUAAUUGGCCACUAUUUAAUUAUCAACUUAAUCUAUUGUCAAUUAAAGGAUUCAUCGUAUGAAGAAUUUAAUAUUUGUGACAAAUAACAUAGCAGAGAGUUGUGUUGUGAGAAUAAACAAUCUAAUUUAAAUGAAUCAUCAUAUGUGUUGAUUAGGAUUUGGGUCUCUCUGGUUUUUCAGGCUGUCAAUGAAUUAAAUCCUAUGAUCGUAUCUAGGGUUGUCCAUUGAUUAGGGAAAUAACCAACGGUCGUACCUUGGUUAUCGACUAGUAAAGGAGAGAUUGGCUAUUAGAGGGUCUCAAUAGCUAUAACCGGUCUAUUCAUAAGUAAUAAUAAUCUAUAUUUGAAUCAAUGAUCAGUAGUAGAAUCAAGCUGAGUUAAUUCCUUCAACCAGAGCUUUCUCCAAUUUGAAUUACAACUUUAAUUUGCAUUCUUGUUAUUUUGAUUUGAUUUUUAUUAUUGUCAACAAUUCCCCCAUUUUACGUUUUACGUUUCAAAAGGAUUUAAAUAAUUACCGAUCUCUGUGGACACGACCCUGCUCAAUCACUAUACACAAUUUAUUUAGAGUAGGAAUUUAUUUUUGUUCGCUUCGACACCACUGCUGCCUCGCCAACUAUUCCUUCUACAUCCGCACCACCUUUGAGCAUUCAGUUAGAGAAAAUAGAGCACAAGCUGAACAAGAUGGAGCAGAAUUUGGCCGCAUACUUCGAGAGUGUGGGUUUUACCCCACCAUUUCCGCCAAGCCCAUAGACGUUAUGUGGAUCAAAGCUCACAAUUCAGGGAAGUUUCUUUUUGCCCUUAAUCUUUUAUCCUUACGCUUUAAUUUUUAUGUGAGCUUUAAUUAUCUUACAUUGGGGACAAUGUAAGUUCUUGGUGUGGGGGAGGGAUUUUUGCAUUAUUGAUGUCUGGAAGUAUUAUUUUCACUCUACUCAUCUAUUUUCAUUCUACUCGUCCUUAAAUGAUUUUGGAGUUAGUAUGCUUCAUAUAUUAUUAUUUUUCUUUUCUUUUCUUUCUCACUACUUUUUUCCCAUCUAUCUCAAAUUAUUUACAUCUAUUUUUAUUCUAUCAUACUCUUUCAUCACUCACAUUUUAUCUUUCACUUUUCAUAUUACUACAUACAUCUUUCUCACUUCUUAUCAUUUUUACCUUUCCUUCACUCAUACCUUCUUCUCAUUCUACACCACUAUUGAUGGUUGAUUCAUUUGAAGAGUGUACAUGAUUUGAUGGCAAAUUUACCAACUUUGUGAGGAUUUGAGCCUAUGAGCAACCACUUUGCUCUAAUUAUUUUUAUUAUGUGAAUAUCAAUCUUAGUUUGUUUAUUCUAGAACUUGCUUUGUUAUGCAUGUUGAAGCCACAUUACGGGAUUUUUUGCAUUAAAAUGAUAAGGGCAAACCAUUUACCAUUUUUCUAUUCUCGCAUUUUCUUUUUUUUUUCUCUACCCGAAGACCUUGAUUUACUAUCUUUGUUUGAGCCUUAACCAUUACCCAUCUAAUUCUCUCCGUCUACUUAACCAUUUUUCUUCUUUUUUAGCCUCAAUUUAAGGAGAUUUUUGGACUCAUUGUGUGGAUAUAUUUUGUAUAUAUUUUGUUGCUUUUUCUACCUUGUAUUAAAGUUUCUCAAUUAGAUCAACAAGCAUUAUGCUUGAAUUAAAUUGUGCAAGGUUCAUUUCUUUUGUUUGAUUCAAAAAAAAAAAAGAAAGAAAAAGAAAAGGAAAAAGAAAAAAAAAGAAAAAAAAAGAAAAAUCGAAAAAAAAAGAAAAAGAAGAAAAAAAAAUGUUUACAUUCUUGGUGACUUGAGUAGAAAUAAGCGUUUCGAUAUCAUAAAGUUCGUUCAAUGAGUUCAUUCUUCUCAUUUUGAUCUCUUUUUCUUUCAUAAACCUUUCUUUUUCAUUUAACCCAUUUAACCCCGUUACAACCUUUUAAGACCCUUAGAUUUUUGUAUUUAAUUCAUGUUUUGUGGAUUGAAAUGUGAUAUAUAAGCAAGCUUAUGGUAAUAGCAUUCUUUGAUUUGAUUUGAGUGAAUAAAUGACACCCUAAACACUUUGAGUGCAUGGAGUGAAGUCAAUGAGAGGGCUAUUAAAUCUUGUUGCACUUGAAUUUUGAAUGGAUCUUCUUGGUGGUUGAAUGUUCUUAUUCUAUCUUAUGAGAUUCUAUGCUUUAAAAUCCUUGUCUCUCGAAUGUUGAUCGACUUAAUUUCUUGAGGUAUACUUGCUUAAAAUUGUUUUUGGAUGAGUUGAGAUGAGAAUUGAGUGGAGAUUUGGGAUUAGUCUUGAGUUAUAUGCUUGAGGACAAGCAUCAUCUUGGUGUGGGGGAAUUUGUUAGAGUGCAAUUUAAGCACUAGUUUUGCAUUGUUUACUUCCCUUAAUAUCGAUGUUUUGCACUUAAUAAUAGUGAUUUACUUGUGUUUUACUUUUGUAGGUGCAAUUCUAUUGAUUGGUGAUAAAUUAAGCUACAAGAUGAUAUUUAAUGAUGAUUGUUCUCUUGGAGAAAUUAUGAGCGUCAGAAGAACUUUGUUGAUAAGGUGUGGGCGCGUGCUGUCAACUACGGACCUGCAGUUUUUAGUUUAACGUGUUUUGUAUUUUUGGUUAUUUUUGUAAUUACGAAUUUAAUAUUUCAGAUAUUAGUAUUUUAUUUUAAAUAGAACUCUAAAAGAGAAGAGAGAGAGAGUAUUUAAGGGAGGAAUCUAUUGUGAAAAAGGGGGAUUUUAGAUUGGAGAAAAAGAAAGAAACCCUAGAUCUAAAUUUUUCUCUUCUCUCUAUGAAGAACUAAACCUAUUUUUCUGGUUGAAGGUUAAUGAAGCUUUGAUUCAUCACUACUGUGAGAUCUUUCUUGUGCUUUAAUUGUUUUAUUACUUUUUGGGUAUUUGUUUAUUCUCUGAAUUAUUUUCAUGAUUAUGUUUGUUAAUGAGGUAAUUGGCCACUAUUUAAUUAUCAACUUAAUCUAUUGUCAAUUAAGGGAUUCAUCGUAUGAAGAUUUUAAUGUUUGUGACAAAUAACAUAGCAGUGAGUUGUGUUAUGAGAAUAAAUAAUCUAAUUUAAAUGAAUCAUCAUAUGUGUUGAUUAGGAUUUGGGUCUCUCUGGUUUUUCAUGUAUAAGAUAUCUAGAAGAUGAUAAUUUCACUCAAAAGAGUUUUAUUUAUUUCAUUAUUGAAAUUGUUUACAGAGGAAGGUUACAGAGAAUACAGAGGUAAUUGAAGGUUAGACAUAUGAUAUCUUUCCUUUCUUACAUGCUUUCAUUUAUAUAUCUCUCUAGAGAUAAGAUUAUCUCUUUUACAUAACACAUGUUCGAUCCUUGUGGUGGAAUCUCGAUUUCCUUUUGAUAAGGUGACCCCUUCUUCAUCAUUGAAGCCAGUAGUUGUCUUCUUUUCAUGUUGCCAGACAACCUUUAUCUUGUUCUGGUGAGCUUUUUCUUUUUUGGAAUCUCUCUUUUUGAAUUAUUGAUACUUUUUGGAUAACACCUUUUAUCUUUUUCAGUAGUCCCCGUCACAUGCCAAUUAUCAUAUCUUCAUCUAUAGACAUGUCUUCCCCACUAGAAUCUCCUUUUUUUUUUAAUCCUUCGUAGUAGUAGCCACAUGAUGACUGAUGCUUUAGCACCUUAUAUAUCUCGUGGUGUGUCAGCAAGGUGGAUUCCACGAGAUUUUCGAAUAUGCCCUUUUUCUUUUUUAAUAUGGUAUGUCUGGCUAAAAUAUUUUCUUUUCUACUCAUAGAAAAGAUUAUAUGCUCUUUUGUGGCUUCAUGGAGCCAUAUUUUCUCCUUGUUUAUCCUCUCAAGAGAUUCAUAGAGGACUUUCAUUUCUAUGGCCCUUUUGUUGGUGAGAGCUUUUGGCUCGAAUAAUUCAGGAUCAUAAUCAUUGUAGACUUGAUGUAAAUCAAUGGUUGGACUAACUUUUCUACUGCUAAUUCCAACUUGAAUCAAGUGCUGUGCUGGAUACCACUUGUUACCAUAGUAUUCAGGGCAAGCAGUGAGGAUCUUGACAAAAAUCACUUCUUUUGUUUUAGACAUGAUUUUGAGAUCAUUAAUAGCCUCUGCAACUUUUGUGGGAAGCUCUUUUAUUUCUCUGCAAUCAUCACUUACAUAAACAAGGUUAAGAAAACCAUAUUCAAACAUGUCUUUUAUUAGUUUUAGAUUAGCUCCUGGCACAACGUUUAUCAUUGGAUAUAACCCUAAAUGAUCUAGUAUAAUAGUCUGGCUAGGACGAAUCCCAUAGGCUAUUUUACCAAUUCUUUUAUAAUCAUAAGCGUAGUCGCUUCCUAUUGGUAUUUUAACCAUAGGGACAGAUUGUCUGCUUUUAUCAUAUUGGGGUCUUAGGCUUACUGAAGAUCCCUGAGAUUCUUUUUUCUUUGUACAUUGAUCUUUAAGAUCAUUGAUUGUGAGAUAUCUCUCUGAAUGUGUGACCAUUGAUCUUUAAAAUACCAAUAGGAAGAGUAGUCGCUUCCUAUUGGUAUUUUAACCAUAGGGACAGACUGUCCGCUUUUAUCAUAUUGGGGUCUUAGGCUUACUGAAGAUCCCUGAGAUUCGUCUUUCUUUGUACAUUGAUCUUUAAGAUCAUUGAUUGUGAGAUAUCUCUCUGGAUGUGUGACCUUUAAGCUCUGCGAAGAACUCGAGGCAUUUUGACCCUCAAUUUGAUCUUUAAAAUGGACAUUUUUUUAGCAUAUUGCUAAUAUAUUGUUAUGAAGUUUGGAGUUCUGGAUGAUCUUGCAAACUUUUGUUUGGGCAAAGUUUGCUCAAUUCUUCAUGGGCAUCAUCUAUCAUGGCAAGCCCAUCAUAAAUCAUACUAUUGCCUUUGAGAAGUUAUUCUUGACCUUCAGAGCACAUUAUUAUGCCCUUAAUUAUUUUGGAAAUGCUCUGCUCCAUUGUAUUCUUGGCAAAGAUUAGAUCCUUUAAUAUAUUCAAUUUCAAAAUCAUAUUCAGCAAAAAACUGCUGCCAUCUAAUUAAUGUUUUCUAUUGAGGAAGAUUAGGCAAUUUAUUGAAUAUAAAUCCUUUGACUUGAGUGUUAUCGGAUCUUACCUUAAAUUUCUUUGGUAACAAAAAGAAAGUAAAUUUAGCUAUUCCUUUUUUAAUAGCUAAUAAUUCAUUUUCAUUACUAUGAUAAUUCUUUUCUAUGGGUUUGAAGGUCCCGCUAGAAUAUCUACAAAUUUUUUCUUGAUAUGUUUUUAAGACUGCUCGCCAGUGAUUAUCUGAAGCAGUAGUUUCAAGAAUUAAAUUAUCACUAGAGGUAGGGAAUCCUAACCUUAAGUAAAAAGCCAAAAAAAUUGACUUAUUUUAUUAAGUCAAUUUUUGAAAAUAUAAAUAAUGCAAAAUAUAAGAAUAUCAUCUACAUGAUCUAUCUUAUUAUUUGAAAAUAUAAGAAUAUCAUCUACAUAAAUAAUGCAAAAUUCAUGAAAUUUUUUUAAGAUGCUAAAUAUCUUUUUAUUUAUUAUAGAAGUAAUUAAUGUAUCUUUAUGAGGUAAAAAGUAUCCAUCGAAUUUGGUAUAUUUAUUUAAUUCUUUGUAGUUAAUGACCAUAUGAGCUUUUCCUCGUUUAAUUUCAGCAUGAUUUCUAACUGAUUAGUAUUAAAAAUUGUUUAAUUAUCAAGCGAUAAUAUGUUAUUUUAUGCUUAUGUUAUAAUUUAUAUUUGUGUUUAUGUAAUAUAUUAUGAAUUAUGAAUUAUGUUUUAAAUAUAUUUAAUUUUGUGUAUUUUUAUGUGUUUAUUAGGAAAAUUAUUAAUUUCACGUACUUUGAGGCUCCAAACAGAUAAACGGAGGUCAAAUUUGGAUUCCGGAGGUCCGAAAACCUUAAGAUCAGUCAAGAUCGGCUUAAAAUUGGGCUUGUGUAAAAAAAGUUGACUUUUCCUGUUGACCGAGCACUGAUUGGAUGAUGAAAUGAGCUUACAAUAGAUAUGAGUGCAUGGGAUAACUGGCAAUCUUGACUAAAUCUCAACCGUUCAUGAUUCAAUGGCCAUGAUUGUGCCACGUGGCAAUGGUUGGUGAAGCAAGUUGGAGGAUCCGAAUCUUUGUAUUCGGGUCGACCCGAUCCACCCAUUAACCCGCCAAAUCUCAACCGUUCUUUGGGCAAAUCGGACGAGUCAAAUGAUGCCAUGUGUGAUGUUGACUUUUGAAGUUUGACCAGCCAUUGGAUCUUGAUCUAAGGGUUGUGAGGAGCACAUGCAUGAAGCCUAUGAUGGACCGCAAAGCACUGGAUUAUGAAUUUAUUUUUCUAUAAAUAGGGCCUCAUUUUUAUGUUUUAAUCAUCUCUCUACAACUCUCUUCUUCUCAAAUUCUCUCCAUCUCCUUGUAAUCUUGAUUUCCAUAUGUGUUUUUAAUAUUUUGUAUAAUUAUUUUCAUUAAUAAAAUUAGUUUUAUUUCCAAUUUUAGUUGUUUUUAUUUCUUUUAAUUAUAAGUAAUUCAAUUUUACUACUUCUUUUUAUUUUAAUUAUGCUUAACUAAAUAAUAUUAGUUAGGGGAAGGUGAAACUCUUAAGAAAUAAAUAUGAUUUAAUCAAAUUCUAUGUUUAAUUUUAUAAAUUAAAUUAUUUUCUAUUUAAUUUUAUACAUGUUUUAUAUUUUGAAAAUUUAAUUUAUUGUAGACAAACAAAUGAAUUUGGCACAAUAAAUUCUUAAGAUCUUAAUAUAAGGCAUGGUGAAAUGGUAUUUUGACUUAUUGUAGACAAAUUAAAUUUUGGCACAAUAAAUACUUAAUCCAUCAUAAAAUUAAAGGGAAAAUAAUAAUAAUUUGUAUAAUUAAUCUUUUGAGUAAUAAAUCUAAAACAAAUUGGCAAAAAGAAUUUAUUAAGUUUUAUUUAUUUCUAAGAGUGGAUCCAUAACCCUAACUAGUUCAAUUCCAUAGUUUCAUUUAAAUUAAGUUGUUUAUAUUCAAGUUUUAAUUUCAAUUUUUAGAUAAAAUAAAAUAAACUAAUUAAAUCUUUUCUCUGUGGAUCGACCUCGGACUCACCGAGUUAUAAUACAACAAGACACUCUUAUACUUGGGAGUUAAAAUUUACUUUUAAGUUGUGUCAAGUUUUUGGCGCCGUUGCCGGGGAAAAGUUUUUUAUUUGGUUUGUUUUUCCGUUUUUUAUUUUUCUCUUAUAUGUAAAACUUCGUUUGCCCCCUUUUCCUUUUCUUAAAUUCUCCUUAGUCCCCAUGUCUUUCAUAUUUCUCGUUUCACCCCAACAAUUUCCUUUUCUAGCCCAAUCUUCUGGUAAUUACGUUCGGACCCCAACAUCUUUCAACUGUUUCACUUUCAUCCCAAAUUACUAAUUCUAAACUUCUAAAAAUUACAUUUUGACCAUAAAAUUAAAAAUAAUUUGCAAUAGAAUCCCUAGACGAAAUUCCUCAACAUAAUCAAGACUUGGACAUAUUUGGACAUACUUUGGACAUAUUUGGACAUAUUUGGACUUAUUUUGGACCAAACUAACUUUAACUACUAACUCUAAUUACUAACUCUUAACUUACUAACUGCUAACUGCUAACUGCUAACUUUUAUUUAAUUUCAGUUAUUUAAUUUUCUGCAUUUAUUUUAUUUCGUAUUUAUUUAUUUGUUUUUGCUUUAUUGGUGGGUUUAACCACCAAACUAACUACUAACUCUUAACUUUUAUUUUCAGUUAUUUAAUUUUCAGUAUUUAUUUAAUUUUGUAUUUUUUAUUUUUUUUAAUUGGUGGGUUCAACCACCAUUUUUUUUUAUUUUGCAUUUAUUUAUUUAUUUAUUUUUUACUUUGUUGGUGGGUUCAACCAUCAAAAUUGUUAUUUAAUUUUCUUUUGUAUACUUAUAUUAUUUAUUUAUUUAUUUUUUUAUUUUAUUUUGUUAUCAAUUUGUGUAAAUAUUAUCUUUAUAACAUAACCAUUGCAUGAGACGUUGGUCUCGAUCUUCAAGUGGCAGGUUAAUUCGUAGAUCUCAAUCUCCACCACCAAUCAUGGAUGAGAAUGAAGGCGAAAACGUUUUGGGCGAACUUAAUCCUCAAAUUGAUCAGGGAGACAACCAAUCUCAACAUGGGCAUGAUCAGAAUCAACCAAGGACUCUGAGAGACUACAUGAAUCCAACCAGAACCGGAGCACCGUCGUGUAUAGUAUUUCCUCCAGAAGCAUCUCGAUUCAACUUUAAACCAGGUAUUAUCCAACUUUUACCAACAUUUCAUGGUUUAGAAUCUGAGAAUCCGUACUUGCAUCUAAGAGAUUUUGAGGAAGUUUGUAAUACAUACACGGACCAAAAUUGUAGCAUGAACAUAAUUAGAUUAAAGCUUUUUCCUUUUUCAUUAAAAGAUAAAGCUAAAACUUGGCUACAAAACCUUAGAUCUGGAUCAGUAAGAACUUGGAAUAACAUGCAAGAACAGUUUUUUGAAAAAAUUCUUUCCACCUCAUAGAACAAAUUCUUUUAAAAGGCAAAUCACUUCUUUCACUCAAAAAAAUGGAGAAACAUUAUACCAAUGUUGGGAUAGGUUUACAGAGUUGCUUAACAUAUGCCCACAUCAUGGUUUUGAAACUUGGCGAUUGGUCACUUAUUUCUACGAGGGCUUAAUACCCCAAAGUAGACAGGUUGUUGAAAUGAUGUGUAAUGGUGAAUUUAGGGAUAAAAAUCCUGAAGAUGCACUAGAUUACCUUGACCAAUUAGCUGAAAAUGCACAACAUUGGGAUACUGUUGGAACUUUUGAAUUGACAAAUAAGCAACAAUCAUCUCCAUCUAGUGGAGGAAUCCAUAACCUUAGGGAAGAUCAUGAUUUACAAGCAAAAUUUGCAUCCCUAGUUAGGAAAGUUGAAGCUUUGGAGCAUAAAAAGAGUGAUCAAGUAAAAUCUGUUCAAGAAAUUGCAUGUAACAUAUGUAAUUCGAAUGAUCAUUUCACUCAAGAGUGUCCCACUUUGCCUGCACUUAAAGAAUGUCUAAAUGAUCAAGCUAAUGUCAUUAACACUUUCAAUAAACCAAACCCAUAUUCACAGACUUAUAAUCCUGGUUGGAGAAAUCAUCCGAAUUUCAGUUGGAGGAAUAAUAAUAAUGCACAAUCUUCACAAGCACCACCUCCACAAAAUUUUCAAAAUCCUCAGCCUUAUGCACCAUAUGUUCCACCACCCUGGAAAAAUCUGGAAGACACAAUGCAUUCAUUCAUCAGAAAGCAAGAUGUUAUUAACAAUCAAAAUGCACAAAAUUUUUCUGAUUUGAAAGAUACUCUUGCUAAAAUUGCUUCUGCACUCACCAUUCAAGAAAAAGGAAAAUUUCCAGCCCAACCACAACCAAAUCCUAAAAUUCAACAAAAUCCACCCACAGACCAAGUCAAGUCAGUUAUAACUCUUCGUAGUGGUAAGGUUGUUGAUAGACCUAUGCCUGAACCUUAUGAAAAUGAUGAAAAUUCAAAGGGUAAGGAAGGACUAAAUGAACUUACACCUAGUGAAGAAAUAACUAGUGUUCCACCUGAACCACCAUUUCCGCAUGCAUUGAAUAAACCAAAGAAAUCAAACCACUCUUCUGAAAUUUAUGAAAUCUUUAAGCAAGUGAAAGUUAACAUUCCUCUAUUAGAUGCAAUCAAGCAGGUUCCUUUAUAUGCCAAAUUUUUAAAGGACUUGUGCACUGUUAAGAGGAAAUUGAAGGUAAGAAAGAGUGCUUUCAUGGCCGAACAGGUAAGUACAAUUCUGUCUACUAAUAAUAAGUUGAAAUAUAAAGAUCCUGGUUGUCCUACCAUUUCUUGUAUUAUUGGUAACCACAGAAUUGAGCAUGCUUUACUAGAUCUUGGUGCUAGUGUUAAUUUGCUUCCAUAUUCAGUUUAUCUUCAACUUAAUCUUGGUGAGUUAAAAUCAACUUCAACUACACUUUUGCUUGUCGAUAGAUCAGUUAAAGUACCAAAAGGAAUAGUGGAAGAUGUUUUAGUACAAGUUGAUAAAUUUAUUUAUCCUGUGGAUUUUAUUGUCUUGGAAACUGAACCUGUUGUGAAUAAUUACAAACCAAUUCCUGUAAUUUUAGGUCGACCAUUUUUAGCAACUGCUAAUGCUUUGAUUAAUUGUAGGAAUGGUUUAAUGAAUUUAUCCUUUGGGAAUAUGACUUUGGAAUUGAAUGUUUUCAACAUGUGCAGGCAACCUAAUGAAGAAAAUGAGAAUGAAGAUGAUACUGAUGAACAAAAGGAAUUGUUUGAAUCUUGUAUCGAGGAAAAUAUUCAAAAAGGGGAUUUUUCUGAACUUUCAAAUGUUUGUUUAGUUAAUUCAAUUGAGUCAAAUAAGCAACUUGAACUUGAUAUUUCUAAUAUAAAUUCGUUGCUUGAUUCUGUGCAGACUUCACAAAAUUAUGAUGACGAGCCAAAAUUUGAGGAGCUUGGAAGUAUUGAAAAGACAGAACAACAAGAAGCACCUAAAAUGGAAUUGAAACCUUUGCCUGAAGGAUUGAAAUAUGCUUUUCUUGGAGAAGAACAAACUUAUCCUGUUGUGAUUUCUUCUACUUUAACAAGCGACCAAGAAGGUAAGUUACUUACUGUUCUUAAAAAGCAUAAAAAUGCAAUAGGAUGGACUUUAAAUGACAUUAAAGGCAUUAAUCCCUUAAUCUGCACACAUAGAAUUAAUUUGGAAGAAAAUGCUAAAAUAUGUCAACAACCUCAAAGAAGAUUAAACCCACACAUGAAAGAGGUAGUCAAAACAGAAGUCCUUAAAUUACUUGAUGUGGGAAUUAUCUACCCUGUUUCUGAUAGUAAGUGGGUAAGUCCUACACAAGUAGUGCCUAAAAAAUCUGAAAUCACUGUUGUUAAAAAUGAAAAAGGUGAAUUAAUUCCAACACGAAUUACAUCUAGUUGACGCAUGUGCAUUGAUUAUAGAAAAUUAAAUGAAGCCACUAGAAAAGAUCAUUUUCCAUUACCAUUCCUUGACCAAAUCUUAGAAAGAGUAGCAGGACAUCCCUACUACUGUUUUUUAGAUGGAUAUUCAGGUUAUUAUCAAAUUCCUAUAGCACUUGAGGACCAAGAAAAGACCACAUUCACAUGUCCUUUUGGAACAUUUGCAUUUAAAAGAAUGCCAUUCGGGCUUUGUAAUGCUCCUGCAACAUUUCAAAGAUGUAUGUUAAGCAUUUUUUGUGAUAUGGUUGAACAUUGUUUAGAGGUCUUUAUGGAUGAUUUGACUGUGUUUGGGAAUUCUUUUGAUGAUUGCCUUGAUAAUUUGGAGAAAGUUUUAAAAAGAUGUGUUGAAAAAGAACUCGUGUUGAAUUGGGAAAAAUGUCACUACAUGGUUACUUCUGGAAUUGUUUUGGGUCAUGUUGUUUCUAUUAAAGGAAUUGAAGUUGACAAAGCAAAAAUCGAAGUCAUAUCUAAAUUGCCACAACCAAAAACAGUUAGAGAUGUGCGAUCCUUUUUAGGACAUGCAGGAUUUUAUAGGAGGUUUAUAAAAAACUUUAGUGCCAUAUCUAAACCACUUUGUAACCUCUUAUUAAAAGAUGCACCGUUUGAAUGGAAUGAUGAUUGCCAAAAAUCUUUUGAAAAAAUAAUUUGUCUUUUAACAUCUGCACCUAUUAUGCAAUCUCCUGAUUGGUCUUUGCCAUUUGAAUUAAUGUGUGAUGCAAGUGAUUUUGCUGUUGGUGCUGUUUUAGGACAAAGAAGGGAUGGUAAGCCUUUUGUGAUUUAUUAUGCGAGUAAGACUUUAGAUAGUGCUCAAAUGAAUUAUUCUACAACUGAAAAAGAAUUACUUGCUGUGGUAUUUGCAUUAAACAAAUUCCGUUCAUAUUUGCUUGGCUCCAAAUCUGUUGUGUUUACUGACCACGCUGCUGUGAGAUAUUUGAUGAGUAAACAGGAUGCCAAACCGAGGAUAAUUCGUUGGAUUUUGUUACUACAAGAAUUUGACCUUACCAUCAAAGAUAAAAAGGGUGCUGAAAAUGUUGUUGCGGAUCAUCUAUCAAGACUCACAUCCGAAUUCUGCAAUGAUAUAACACCCAUAAAUGAUUCUUUCCCUGAUGAAUUUUUAUUUUCUGUUACUUCAAUGCCAUGGUAUGCUAACAUUGUUAAUUUCCUUGUUACAGGUAAAAUGCCUUUGCAAUGGAAUGCUCAAGAGAAGAAGAAAUUUUUUGUUGAAGUAAAGAAAUUUUAUUGGGAUGACCCUUAUUUGUUCAAAUAUUGCCCAGAUCAAAUUUUUCGGCGAUGUAUUCCUCAUAAUGAGGUAAGUAGUGUCAUUAAUUUUUGUCAUUCUGAAGCAUGUGGUGGUCAUUUUUCUUCAAGAAAAACUAUUGCUAAAAUUUUACAGUGUGGAUUUUAUUGGCCUACCAUGUUUAAAGACACAUAUGAAUUCUGCAAAAGUUGUGAAAAAUGUCAAAAAUUGGGAUCAAUUACAAAAAGAAACAUGAUGCCCUUAAAUCCCAUACUUGAAAUUGAAAUAUUUGACUGUUGGGGAAUUGAUUUCAUGGGUCCAUUUCCAUCAUCUUUUGGAUUUGUGUAUAUAUUAGUUGCAGUUGAUUAUGUCUCAAAAUGGAUUGAAGCAAUUUCUUGUCGAAAUAAUGACAGUAAAACUGUGAUUAAAUUUUUAAGAGAAAACAUUUUAAGUCGAUUUGGAAUCCCUCGAGCCAUUAUCAGUGAUGGAGGUAAGCAUUUUUGUAAUAAGUCAUUUGAGUCUUUAAUGAAGAAAUAUGGAAUUACACAUAAAAUUGCUACCCCUUAUCAUCCUCAAACAAAUGGUCAAGUUGAAUUAGCAAAUAGGGAGAUAAAACAAAUUUUGGAAAAAACGGUUAACCCAAACCGAAAAGAUUGGUCUCUUAGACUUAAUGAUGCACUUUGGGCUUACCGCACUGCAUUUAAAACAUCAUUAGGAAUGUCACCCUAUCGGUUAAUUUAUGGUAAACCUUGUCAUUUACCUGUUGAACUUGAACAUAAAUCACUUUGGGCUAUUAAAGCUUUUAAUUCAAAUUUGGAUGAUGCUGGUAAUGUGCGAAAAUUGCAAUUGAAUGAACUUGAGGAAUUAAGGAAUGAUGCAUAUGAAAAUUCAAGAAUUAUUAAGGCAAGAACAAAAGAAGAUUAAACCCACACAUGAAAGAGGUAGUCAAAACAGAAGUCCUUAAAUUACUUGAUGUGGGAAUUAUCUACCCUAUUUCUGAUAGUAAGUGGGUAAGUCCUACACAAGUAGUGCCUAAAAAAUCUGAAAUCACUGUUGUUAAAAAUGAAAAAGGUGAAUUAAUUCCAACACGAAUUACAUCUAGUUGACGCAUGUGCAUUGAUUAUAGAAAAUUAAAUGAAGCCACUAGAAAAGAUCAUUUUCCAUUACCAUUCCUUGACCAAAUCUUAGAAAGAGUAGCAGGACAUCCCUACUACUGUUUUUUAGAUGGAUAUUCAGGUUAUUAUCAAAUUCCUAUAGCACUUGAGGACCAAGAAAAGACCACAUUCACAUGUCCUUUUGGAACAUUUGCAUUUAAAAGAAUGCCAUUCGGGCUUUGUAAUGCUCCUGCAACAUUUCAAAGAUGUAUGUUAAGCAUUUUUUGUGAUAUGGUUGAACAUUGUUUAGAGGUCUUUAUGGAUGAUUUGACUGUGUUUGGGAAUUCUUUUGAUGAUUGCCUUGAUAAUUUGGAGAAAGUUUUAAAAAGAUGUGUUGAAAAAGAACUCGUGUUGAAUUGGGAAAAAUGUCACUACAUGGUUACUUCUGGAAUUGUUUUGGGUCAUGUUGUUUCUAUUAAAGGAAUUGAAGUUGACAAAGCAAAAAUCGAAGUCAUAUCUAAAUUGCCACAACCAAAAACGGUUAGAGAUGUGCGAUCCUUUUUAGGACAUGCAGGAUUUUAUAGGAGGUUUAUAAAAAACUUUAGUGCCAUAUCUAAACCACUUUGUAACCUCUUAUUAAAAGAUGCACCGUUUGAAUGGAAUGAUGAUUGCCAAAAAUCUUUUGAAAAAAUAAUUUGUCUUUUAACAUCUGCACCUAUUAUGCAAUCUCCUGAUUGGUCUUUGCCAUUUGAAUUAAUGUGUGAUGCAAGUGAUUUUGCUGUUGGUGCUGUUUUAGGACAAAGAAGGGAUGGUAAGCCUUUUGUGAUUUAUUAUGCGAGUAAGACUUUAGAUAGUGCUCAAAUGAAUUAUUCUACAACUGAAAAAGAAUUACUUGCUGUGGUAUUUGCAUUAAACAAAUUCCGUUCAUAUUUGCUUGGCUCCAAAUCUGUUGUGUUUACUGACCACGCUGCUGUGAGAUAUUUGAUGAGUAAACAGGAUGCCAAACCGAGGAUAAUUCGUUGGAUUUUGUUACUACAAGAAUUUGACCUUACCAUCAAAGAUAAAAAGGGUGCUGAAAAUGUUGUUGCGGAUCAUCUAUCAAGACUCACAUCCGAAUUCUGCAAUGAUAUAACACCCAUAAAUGAUUCUUUCCCUGAUGAAUUUUUAUUUUCUGUUACUUCAAUGCCAUGGUAUGCUAACAUUGUUAAUUUCCUUGUUACAGGUAAAAUGCCUUUGCAAUGGAAUGCUCAAGAGAAGAAGAAAUUUUUUGUUGAAGUAAAGAAAUUUUAUUGGGAUGACCCUUAUUUGUUCAAAUAUUGCCCAGAUCAAAUUUUUCGGCGAUGUAUUCCUCAUAAUGAGGUAAGUAGUGUCAUUAAUUUUUGUCAUUCUGAAGCAUGUGGUGGUCAUUUUUCUUCAAGAAAAACUAUUGCUAAAAUUUUACAGUGUGGAUUUUAUUGGCCUACCAUGUUUAAAGACACAUAUGAAUUCUGCAAAAGUUGUGAAAAAUGUCAAAAAUUGGGAUCAAUUACAAAAAGAAACAUGAUGCCCUUAAAUCCCAUACUUGAAAUUGAAAUAUUUGACUGUUGGGGAAUUGAUUUCAUGGGUCCAUUUCCAUCAUCUUUUGGAUUUGUGUAUAUAUUAGUUGCAGUUGAUUAUGUCUCAAAAUGGAUUGAAGCAAUUUCUUGUCGAAAUAAUGACAGUAAAACUGUGAUUAAAUUUUUAAGAGAAAACAUUUUAAGUCGAUUUGGAAUCCCUCGAGCCAUUAUCAGUGAUGGAGGUAAGCAUUUUUGUAAUAAGUCAUUUGAGUCUUUAAUGAAGAAAUAUGGAAUUACACAUAAAAUUGCUACCCCUUAUCAUCCUCAAACAAAUGGUCAAGUUGAAUUAGCAAAUAGGGAGAUAAAACAAAUUUUGGAAAAAACGGUUAACCCAAACCGAAAAGAUUGGUCUCUUAGACUUAAUGAUGCACUUUGGGCUUACCGCACUGCAUUUAAAACAUCAUUAGGAAUGUCACCCUAUCGGUUAAUUUAUGGUAAACCUUGUCAUUUACCUGUUGAACUUGAACAUAAAUCACUUUGGGCUAUUAAAGCUUUUAAUUCAAAUUUGGAUGAUGCUGGUAAUGUGCGAAAAUUGCAAUUGAAUGAACUUGAGGAAUUAAGGAAUGAUGCAUAUGAAAAUUCAAGAAUUAUUAAGGCAAGAACAAAAGCAUUUCAUGAUAAAAGAAUUUUUCGAAAAACAUUUGAGAUUGGUCAAAAAGUGUUGCUUUAUAAUUCUCGUCUUCAUUUAUUUCCAGGAAAGUUAAAGUCAAAAUAGAGUGGCCCAUUUGUUGUAAAAAAUGUAUAUUCAUAUGGGGCCAUAGAAAUUGAGAAUCCAAAUAACGGUGUCACAUUUAAAGUUAAUGGUCAAAGAUUAAAACCAUAUCUGGAACAUCACCCACGUGACGAGGACACCGAAAUUAAUUUGGAUGACCCACCAGUUCUUGAUUAAGUCUUUAAUGAUUUUUUUUUUUUUUACUAUUAUUUUACCGUUUCAUUGUUUGAUUUUUUUUCUUUAGAUUGAUGCACUGUACAUAGUUUUUUUUUAACAUUGUUUUUCUUGUGUAAGCGUGUUUGUUUGACAGUUGUACAUUCUCUCAUCAAUUUUCAUUUUACAUCAUGAGCACCUCAAUGAGAAAAUACCUAUUCGCACAUCUUAAAAGAUUUCGGCGUAUAAAAUUUCACUUAAGAGGCCUAAUACAAAGCUGUAAAUCACAUCCACUUUGGGAUCUGCAACCACCAGAAUUCGUGUCCUAUGUUGAGGAUCUAGAAGGACAACUCAGAACAGUAGAGAGUGGCAUAUAUGAAUUUCAAAUAGAGCUUGAGGUUAACUCAAUGAGAGGACGAAUGUAAGUUCAUUUUCCUUUUAUAUUGUGUGCUUUUUUUUUGCUCGCUUUCACGCUUGAUUUGAUUUUGCAGAUUUGAUUUUGGUGUGUUUUGAUUUAUUUUCCCGUAUAAAUGGCGGAUAACGGUACUCCGUGACUUCUUAAGUCGGUAUCUUCAGUUUCCCACAAUAACUGAAACCCCAAAAUCAAACAUGGAAGAAAUACAACAUAAACUCCAUAAGCAUUUUCCCUCUCUCCCUCAGAAUGCCCUCAGGAAAAUUUACAAAGCUCGUUGUGAACGACUGCGUUUGUUAAUGAUCAAUGGCAUUCUUUCUGACAUUCGUUGGUUAAUUGAAGCAAAGGUCUGAUUAGCAGGUGAGUUUUCUAGUCAAUUUGUUUCUUACAUGCCUGGUUUUGGUAAAAGUACGUUUGCUAAGAAAAGGAGAGCUAAACGACUUGGCUCAAAAUGUCAUAACUGUGUAAGACUUGGUUGCAAACGACCGGAUUGUAAAUCUUUAGGAAUGGUUUCUGAUACUCGUGAAGAUAAAAUUAAAUUCGUUAAAGAUGGCAUGAGUAAAGAAUCGUUGGAUGAUAUCUUACGAUCUCUUGAGACGCAUCGAAGCGGAAUUGUGCAAUGUGAGAUUUACAAUUUGUGGAUACUAUUCCAAAAACAAAGUGCACAGUUAAGUCUUGGGAAUCUGACUCAAAAAGACCCUGUUUGCCAGUUUAUAAGAAAACUGGAUGGGAAGCCGAUCCUCGACCCAUAGAGGGCGUUCAAGCCGUUACUGGACGUAAAACCAGAGGAAGAUGUGAGCCACAAUCACAACUACUAGUAAAUAUCCUUUCACUUCACUGUUAUUUUACUUUACUGUUAUUUUAUCAUUUGAAUUAUUGCAUUUAGCGAUGUGAUUUUGUAUUUAUUUGGUUUCUUUUACUGUUUGCUUUUUCUAAUCAUUACUUUUUUUUUUACUAUUUGUUUUUGAAUUAUUGAGCCACGAGCUUUCCUCGUCAUUUGACAAAUAUGCCAACCCAUUUACAGCUGUUUCUCUUUAUUUAUGUCACCAAGAUCUUUAAAUAUGAGCUCGUUUUUCAAACACUCACAACUUGUUUUUGAAAAAUUAGUCCAAUGGCAGCAUCUUCAAGUAAACAAUUCAAAAAUAUUUGUGUGCUUUCUGGGUUUCACUAUGGAAAGUACAAAGAGUUCGUUCAGGUAGCUGUAGAUCUUGGUCGUGUCAUAGCAGAGAGGAAACUGCAUCUUGUAUAUGGAGGAGGUGAACGAGGGUUAUCAAGACUUGUCUCAGAAGCUGUUUUUACCAGAGGAAGCCAAGUACUCGGCAUUAUCCCAAAACCCAUGAAACCGCUAGUGUGCAUGUCUGGCCCACCAAUUGGAGAAGAAUUAGUGGUAUCAAGUAUGCAAGAGAGAAUAUCUGAAAUGAUGAAUCAUGCUGAUGCUUUUAUUUUCUUGCCAGGAGAUCUUGCAACUUUUGAGGCACUAAUUACAUUUGCAUCUUGGGCCCACUUGAACAUUCAUCAAAAGCCCAUCGGUUUGUUAAAUGUUAAUAAUUUUUAUGACGGCUUGCUAACUUUUAUUAAUCAUGCAAUAAAGAAUCAUUUUGUUCCACAUUCUGUAAAAAAACUCUUUAUCUCUGCUUCUACUGCUAAUGAGUUACUUGAUCUUUUACAAGCUUAUACACCAGAGCCAGAUCCACAGACUGUUGCACUGAAUUGGUCGACUAAUGAUGGUAACGGUAACAGUAGCAGUAAUAAGAAGUGCGAUUUAGAUUUAACUCUCCGUUUGUAAAUAUUUGCUGUUGUAGUGUUCAUGUGAUGUCUUCUACACUCUUUCUAUUUCCUUUUAAAACAUUGAGGACAAUGUCUUUUUCAGGUUGGGGGGAGGGAAUAGUUGAUAAUUGUGGAAUGUCUUAGUCCUGGUUAUGUGUUUACAAAAAAAAAAAAAAAAAAAACAAUAACAAAAUUUUUUUUUUCUGUAAAGACUAACUUAGGACAAAUUUGAGUCGAAGAUGGCAGGAUAUAGAGAAUGUAGUCUCUCUAGAAACGCAUCUUCUUAAUCUUAAGGGUGUUGUUAAAAAAAAAAAAAAAUUGACUUUUUCUUCAUCUUUGUUAUCUACUUUUAAGCUUCUGCAUCAAGUUAAGGUGAGAUCUCCUAUUCUUCUUCUUUUAUUAUUCUCUUUUAUUUUUAUUUAUUAUUAUUAUUAUUUUUUUGCAUAUCUGUAAAAUUAUAAAAUGUUAGGAUAAUGUUUAGAUUAGGUUGUGGGGUGGGGAUAAUUGACGUAUGUUUUAAAUAUGUAUGUUGUUUUUUUCUCUUUUCUCUUUUCUUUUCUUUUCUUUGCCAAAAAAAAAAAAAAAUUGUUUUUUGUCUAGGAUGGCCGUGUAAAGAGUCACGACUUUUGAGACGCAUCCUAAUAGUCUUGUUGUAUUAUAUUUUGAUUUUGAGAUUCAUGGUAAGUUGUUUUUGUUCCCUUUUCUUUGAAUUACUCAAAUUUGUGAACUCUCCACUUGGUUAUUAAGUUAUUUAAUUGUUUACUCAUUUAACAGGUAUUAUUGAAUCAUUCUUCACACACACAUUAUGACACAUACUAGUGGGUUGUAAGUUAAAAUUUUACAGCAUUUAGUUCUUUUGAUUUAUUAGGAAAAGUAUCUAAGGUAGUAGAAAGUGUAUAGUUCCAAAAAAAAAAAAAAAAGUAGAAAAAAAAUUGUUUUUAAUUUUUCUAUAUCUAGAACCCGAGUAAUUAAGUCCGUAGGGGUGUUUCAACACCUAGUGCCCUAAGGUCAACUGGUCUGGGAGUCACUGGCCUAAAGCUCACUACAUGGGUAAUAGAUAUAUUGUUUGUUUAUUAGAAACCCGAGUAAUUAAGUCCGUAGGGGUGCUUUAACACCUAGUGCCCUAAGGGCAACUGGUCUGGGAGUCACUGACCCAAAGCUCGCUACACGGGUUAGAAAUGUAAUAUAUAAAAAAAAAAUGUGUGAAUAAUCUAUUGCCUAAAGAUAUAAUUUCUAAUGAAUUUUAGAACGAAAAUGUUGUUUUUCUUUUAAUGAAGCCCCAUAAGUAUUGUGUUAAUUACUUGAGCACAAAAGAAGGUUUGAUGAUAUUCUGGAUAAUGAGUGAACAUCAAUGUGGUAAAGGAAUUUGGGAGAGUUCAUUUAUUUGGUAAUUUAGAGGAUAGAUGAACAACUAUUAACUUGCAUGUGAAUUUUAUAAAUCUUAAUAUAACGCUUUAAUUGCUAGAGGGCUAGCAAUAAGCUGGUUGGGGGGUGUGAUUAGUAUUAAAAAUUGUUUAAUUAUCAAGCGAUAAUAUGUUAUUUUAUGCUUAUGUUAUAAUUUAUAUUUGUGUUUAUGUAAUAUAUUAUGAAUUAUUAAUUAUGUUUUAAAUAUAUUUAAUUUUGUGUAUUUUUAUGUGUUUAUUAGGAAAAUUAUUAAUUUCACGUACUUCGAGGCUCCAAACAGAUAAACGGAGGUCAAAUUUGGAUUCCGGAGGUCCGAAAACCUUAAGAUCAGUCAAGAUCGGCUUAAAAUUGGGCUUGUGUAAAAAAAGUUGACUUUUCCUGUUGACCGAGCACUGAUUGGAUGAUGAAAUGAGCUUACAAUAGAUAUGAGUGCAUGGGAUAACUGGCAAUCUUGACUAAAUCUCAACCGUUCAUGAUUCAAUGGCCAUGAUUGUGCCACGUGGCAAUGGUUGGUGAAGCAAGUUGGAGGAUCCGAAUCUUUGUAUUCGGGUCGACCCGAUCCACCCAUUAACCCGCCAAAUCUCAACCGUUCUUUGGGCAAAUCGGACGAGUCAAAUGAUGCCAUGUGUGAUGUUGACUUUUGAAGUUUGACCAGCCAUUGGAUCUUGAUCUAAGGGUUGUGAGGAGCACAUGCAUGAAGCCUAUGAUGGACCGCAAAGCACUGGAUUAUGAAUUUAUUUUUCUAUAAAUAGGGCCUCAUUUUUAUGUUUUAAUCAUCUCUCUACAACUCUCUUCUUCUCAAAUUCUCUCCAUCUCCUUGUAAUCUUGAUUUCCAGGUGUGUUUUUAAUAUUUUGUAUAAUUAUUUUCAUUAAUAAAAUUAGUUUUAUUUCCAAUUUUAGUUGUUUUUAUUUCUUUUAAUUAUAAGUAAUUCAAUUUUACUACUUCUUUUUAUUUUAAUUAUGCUUAACUAAAUAAUAUUAGUUAGGGGAAGGUGAAACUCUUAAGAAAUAAAUAUGAUUUAAUCAAAUUCUAUGUUUAAUUUUAUAAAUUAAUUUAUUUUCUAUUUAAUUUUAUACAUGUUUUAUAUUUUGAAAAUUUGAUUUAUUGUAGACAAACAAAUGAAUUUGGCACAAUAAAUUCUUAAGAUCUUAAUAUAAGGCAUGGUGAAAUGGUAUUUUGACUUAUUGUAGACAAAUUAAAUUUUGGCACAAUAAAUACUUAAUCCAUCAUAAAAUUAAAGGGAAAAUAAUAAUAAUUUGUAUAAUUAAUCUUUUGAGUAAUAAAUCUAAAACAAAUUGGCAAAAAGAAUUUAUUAAGUUUUAUUUAUUUCUAAGAGUGGAUCCAUAACCCUAACUAGUUCAAUUCCAUAGUUUCAUUUAAAUUAAGUUGUUUAUAUUCAAGUUUUAAUUUCAAUUUUUAGAUAAAAUAAAAUAAACUAAUUAAAUCUUUUCUCUGUGGAUCGACCUCGGACUCACCGAGUUAUAAUACAACAAGACACUCUUAUACUUGGGAGUUAAAAUUUACUUUUAAGUUGUGUCACUAACUAUAAAGGCUGGGUUACUUUGAGGACUUUUAGAUUCUCCAAAAUUUUUAUCAAGUUUUUCUAUUUUUUUUUUCAUAAUCUGAUAUAAUUUGAUUGAUUUUUAUAUUGUAUUCACCACGCUGGCUGCUUCGAAAAUGUAAUUUUCGAGUUGUUUACCUAAUAAGAUUAUAAAUUCUUGGUGUGGUGAUGGAAUGAUUACAUGGUGUUGUAAGAGUAAUUCUUUCGUUAGUCAUUAUAUAAAUGAACUGACAAAGGAAAUUGACUUCUAAAAGUAUAUAUGCUCCUAUAUGAUUAUAAGACCAUAAUAUAUGGAUACUUAAAAUGUAAUCUUCGAUUUGGAUUAAAGUUUUUAUCCUACAUGUUCCUAAAAUGAUUUGUUCACCAUUUAUUCCUUGUCCUGUUAAGGGUUUAUAAUCUUUCGAAUAUGAUUUUGGAUAAAUCCUUAAAUUAGGUAAGCUAACUCCUGAACCAGUGUCUAUUAAAGCAUGAAACCAUUCUGGCUUAUGCUUAUAAUAUGGUUUAAUCACUUUUAUAUAAACUAUAAAAAGAUUAGACAUAUCUUGAUAUGGUUUGCUUAAUUCCUUCAACUGUUAAGCUUAUUUUUCUAUCUCCUAUAGAAUAAGGAGUAAAAUUCUCAAGAAAGUUCAUCCCUAAUAAUAAAGGACUUAUUUAUGUUUCAUAAUCUGGUUCUAUGAAAAAAGAAAAGAUGAAUUCUAUCCCUUUUAUUCUUAAUAGUAUUUCACUAUAUUGACUUAAUGUCUUUCUUUCUCCAUUAAAUCCUACAUAAGUAUGAGGCUCAAUUAAAAUUUUUCUUUCUAAAUAUUUAAUAAUUUUAGAAUCUACAUAAGAUUUUGCAGCUCCUGUAUCAAGGAUAGCAAAAGUCUCGUGCCAUGAUUUUCCAUUAUUAUAUUCAAUCUUAAUUUUUAGAUUUUGAUUAUCCAGUAUUGCUAAAUUUACUGGACUAUUUGUCCUUUCUCGAAAAUGAGCUCUUAUCAUGACUUGAAUUCCUCCGAUAUGAACAUAUCCAAUUUUAAGUCUAUCACUAGAUUUUAUCUCAUUUAUCUUAUCUUUUAUAUCAGUUUUUAAUAAUAAUGGUAUAUUUGUAUUUCCUCUAGCAUACCUAAUUUCAAUAGGUUCUUCUCUUACAGUAGCACUAAGAUACAUUAUAUUUUUUCUUUUAAUCAUGUUAGCAAUGCCUUGUGCUAACUUAUUAACCGAAGUCAUAGAUGAUUCCAAUCCUUUUUUAUUAUUCUUGAGAUAUUGCUUUUUAUCAAAGAUUAAUUCUCUAUUAAAAGAACCUUGUUCUUCUAACUCUUCAUCUUGAUAUAAAUCUUUAUUUUCUAAUUCUUCUAUACUCAUUCUGAAUCAGAUUCUAAAUCAGAACUUCUCAAAGUUUCAUUAGAAAGAUAAUAUAUGCUAUCAUUUUCACUAAUAUCUUUGCUAUCGGUGAUUAAUUCUAAAUCAUUGAAAUCUUCAAAUAUUUUUAUAUUUGCUUUCUUCGUUUUAGGACAUUCAUUUGCAUAAUGUUCUUCUUCAUUACAUAACUAGCACUUGCAUUUUUUAGGUGCAUUGGUUUUGGAUCUUCUUUUAAAUUUAUUUUUCUUGUAGAAUUUCUUUUUAUAUUUAUUUUUCUUGUAAUAUUUCCUGUUGGCUUUAAAGAAUUUCUUCUUUUUGAAUUUUUUUUCUUGUGUUUAUAGAUUUUAUCUGAACAUCCAAAUCUUGGCGGAUCUUCUAAUUUAGAACAACAUAAUUCUCGAUUUUGCCUUUUCAUAAGUCUUCUAUCUCUUAUUUCAGAACACUAUUCAUUUAUUCUAUUUUGAGCAAAUCUAAUCCUAUUUCGUAAUGUAUAAGUUUCUGUAGUAUCUUUGUAUUCUUUGUUAUAUUCCAACAUAAUCCUUCUACCCCAUGGGUCUGGUAUCUUUACAAAAUAUAGAUCAUGGUAAUAGCAUAUGUUAUCCUCAUCUUUAUCAAAUUCACAUUUAUAAUAUAAUUCUUCGAAGCUACAUGUAUAUUCUUCUAAAUAACAUAUAUUACAUAUUUCAAGCCUUGUUAGCUUCAUUAAAUUUUCUAUCUGUUUUCUUUUUAUUUCUUGUUGAAAAUCAGUUUCCCAAUCUUCUCCCAAGAAUUUUUUUCUUAUUUCAUUUUCGAAUCUAUUUAAAACCUGAUCAACACUUUCGUUUCGAUUAUUAUUUUCUCCAUACAAUAUUCUAUUUUUAUGAUUAUCAUUUAAUCCCAUAAACCAAUGAGAAACAAUUCCUAUAAACGAAAUUUUAAGGAAUUCUAUACUAUUAUCCCUAUCAAUUUUGUGAAAUGCAAAAGCCAUUUUCAUAGAUUUAACCCAAGCGGUAAUCGUUUUAUCUCUAUCUUUGAUACAGUCUAAACCUAACCAUACACCAUCAUGGUUGAUUGGUCUUUCUCUAUAUUCUCCUGGAGUUUUAUGAUCUUUUUUAGGUUUGUUAAUCCUAAAAUAUUGACCUUGUGCUCUUUCCUGAGUUGGUAUUUCUUCCCUAACAUAGGAAGCUCUAUUACUAGUUUCUCCUUGUUAAAAACCGUUUAACUUUGGUUCAUUCAUUUUUAGAUGUUCUAUUCUAUUUUCAAUAUCCUGCAAAUUAAUGACUAUAUCAUCUUCUUCUUCGGAUUCAGAUUCUUUAUCAGAUAUCUCUUGAUUAGGUAAUUCUAUGUUUUCACUUAGCAUUCUUAGACUUAUUAAUUUUUUGUCUUUGUUUAUUUUGUUAAAUAUCGGUUUAGAUGUUGUUAUCAUUUCUUUAUCUUUAAGUUCAUUAUAGUAAAUUAUGGUAUCUUGUAAAAUUUUAUUUUGUUUAUUGAUCUUCUGUACUUCAAUCCUUUUGUAAUUUUCCAUUUAUGCUUAUAGCGAAUUUAUUACCAAUUUUUUCAUCGAUUUUUUCAAUUUUUUGUAGUUGAUUUCAAUCUUGUUGAAUUUAUUUUCAAUUGAACUUUUGUUCACAAUAUUAAAGAUUUCUUGUUUUAAUCUAUCUUGAUCUUCAAUAUUAAAGUCUUUUAUUAAUAGCUUAACAAAAUCAAAUUCUUCACUCAUUCGCUAUCCUAUCAUUUUGACUUGUCUUAUAUUUUCGGCAUCAAAGCUUUUAAUCUCAAGUAUCUUAUUUACACUUUCUAUAUCAUCUAUGGUUAAAUUAGGGUUUCCUAAUUUAUUUAAUAAAUAUAAUGAGAUCCAAUUUAAUUGAUUAUUUCCCCACAUAUCAGAAUCAUUUACUAAAUCAAAUGGUUGAAAUCUUCCAUAAGUAAAUCCUCUAUGCCUAUAGCUAGAAGGUGGUAAUAUGUUGGUUUCAAUAUUUCUAUAUACUUCUCUCCUGAUCCUAAAGAGAAGAAUAGGAUCAAUAUUUAAAUUUCUAAUUUUUAUUAUGAUGAGUUCUCCAAUUUUAAAUUCAUGAACUCUAACUAAAUAAAAUUGUAUUAAUUGUUUAUCAUCCAAUAUAUUAACUUCUGAAUAAUAAUAUUGUUUAUGUUUUGUUAUAUUAUCUUUAACUCCACACUUGUUUAAAAUUCAACACACAGAUGUGCCUCUUUCUUACUAUACUGGAAUCCUCGGUAAACUUUUUGUUUGCGCAAUUUAUGUGAGCAAAUUGUGUCUUCUUUUUCAUAUGUAAAUGUUUUUGAUAUCUUGAUGUGAAGGUAGAAAAUUGCAUGUUUUGAGUUUUUGCAUAUUUGAUGGAAACACAGAACUGUACCUGAAUCUUUCAGAACCCCCUUUUCUUUGAAGUUUGAACACUUUUCUUGAAUGUAUCAACUUUAUUUAUGGGAUAUGUUGCCAAAUUGGCAAAUCUAUUCGUUAUAAAACUUUCCUUUGACAGUUUAAUCUAAGCAGAUGUUAAUUAUGCAAAUAGAGUGUGCCUAAGAUUAGUUUCAUAGAUUUGUCUCCUUCUGUACAGUAAAAACUUUGAGCAUUUUCGCCAUAUUCUGAUCAAUACACUCCAACUAGUUAGUUCUUGAGGCGUUUUAUGGUUUCGUGGAGUGAGGCAAGAUGUAUACGUUUGCAAAUUGGCAAUGUCUUUUGCUUGAUGGGUUGAGAGUUGUGAGUGUCAACAGGAAACAAGACCUCUGUUUUAUGAACUCCAAAAAGUUAUUCUGUUAAAAAGAUCGAGACAGAGGCCAUACUAUAUUUAUUAUUGCUAUAAAAGUGUGAAAAAAUAUUCUUUGUUUAAUAUUCUAAACGAUUGAGCCAUUUAGUUAUGAUACUCUGCUGUAUUGGGGCUAAUAAUCUAAGUCGGUUCAAAGUGGUAAAUUUAUAAAUUGAUAGGUAUGCCUGGUAUGACCGCUUACGUUGGAUUUUAUGAGGUCUGCUCUCCUAAGCAAGGAGAGUGUGUCUUCAUAUCCGCAGCAUCUGGUGCAGUUGGACAGCUUGUGGGGCAGUUUGCAAAGUUAUUGGAUUGCUAUGUCGUCGGAAGUGCUGGAAGCAAAGACAAGGUAUGUAAUCUGUGUGAAGUACUUGAUUGUUUCCAUGUUACUUUCAAACAUUUAAAUUAAAAAGGAAAUUUUCAUAAUCUUGCCUUUUCUAUGAUUUUCAAAACCAAGGUUGAUCUACUGAAGAACAAGUUUGGGUUCGACGAGGCAUUUAACUAUAAAGAAGAAGCUGAUUUGAAUGCAGCAUUGAAAAGGUUAGCAUCAAUAAAUGCCUUAGCUUGAUGCAGCUUGAUGAAGUAUGAUACACAUUUCUGACCAAUAUACUGCGUUCCCUGAUCUCUUACUUGAAAUAUCUUGGUUUGAGAAUCUCAUGCCAAUGCCUUUAACAUUUUGGCAGGUACUUUCCUGAAGGAAUUGAUAUAUAUUUUGAAAACGUUGGUGGAAAAUUGCUUGACGCAGUGCUACCCAACAUGAAAAUCCGUGGUCGAAUUGAUGCAUGCGGUAUGAUCUCACAGUACAAUCUUGACAAGCCUGAAGGUGUGCACAACUUGAUGUAUCUUGUUUCGAAACGGCUUCGAAUGGAAGGAUUCAUUGUUCUCGAUCACUAUCACCUCUAUCCAAAGUUUCUGGAAAUGAUCAUUCCUCACAUCAAAGAAGGGAAGCUUGUAUACGUCGAAGACAUGGCUGAAGGUCUUGAGAGUGCUCCGGCAGCUCUCAUCGGUCUAUUCUCUGGCCAGAAUAUUGGGAAACAAGUGGUUGCUGUUGCUCCUUAAUGAAGAACAAGUUAGUGUUGUCUGUCCUUUUACCCUUUGACACAAAACUUCAAUGUUAAAGAGAGAAUGCUGUUCAUAUAUACUGCUUUAUAAAAUAAUCAAGUGAGUGCAAGUUUCAUGAUAUUUGCUGAAUAAAAUAUUGGAAAUUAAGCAGCUAGCCUAGCUCCUUCUUGUAGUUGCAGUUUGAAUGAUGCUGCUGCACAACUGCUGCCGAAAAAAUCCUUAAUAGAUGAUUAGCAAGGUUUCAAAAAUAAAAAUAAAUGUUUGUGCAAUGUGUCGAAUAUGACAGCCACAAAGAAAGAGCACACAAAUUGAUUGGUUUUAUGUCUUCUCUAGGAGAAAGCUACAAUACAAGAAAUUGUACUGAUGGAGCCAUGGACCAAAUUUCUUAUUUAAACUUUUAAUUUUUUUAUUAAAUUACUUAUGUUAUUAUGGUUUAUAAUUUUAGAAAUUCUUUAGAAAUUAAUACAGAACUAGUAGCAAGUUGAGAAAUCUAUUGAAUGGUCAAGAUAUGAUCAUGUUUAUUGAAUUAAAUUGACAAUCAUCAUUUUGAUAAAUUAUUGUCAGGAUGUUUGAUUCAUGACACGUGUAAGCAACUAAAUGUGCUAAAAAAAAGUUAAUGAGUUGGGCGUGUUUGAGUUAAUGAGUUGGGCUUGUUUGAUAUUCAUUUGUUGUAAUUCUUUUAAUAAUUAUUGGGGAAAAAAAGUUAUAAUAAAAAAAAUUAUAAUUAUAAAAUAAAAAUUAAUAAUAUAUAAUAAAUAAGAUUUUAAAUAAUAAUUUUAAUAAAAUAAUAAAUAUAUUAUAAAUUUUUUAUGAUUAAUUUUUAAAUUACAACAAUAAAUAUUUAACAAACACCUUAAUACCACAACUAACACCACAACUUUUGAAUUAUGAUAGUACAAUCUAAAUGCCACAGGCCUUAAAAAAUAAAAUUACAGUCAAGUUUUAAAACUGUUAAUGAUAUUCACAAAGACUCUGGAACAAUAUUACAGAAGGUGCUCGUCGUGUAAGCAACACAUGGGACCCAACCAAUAAAUGUUUCUGAUCCUCAACUUUCCUCAUCACUGUCCCUGGAAACAAUUCUGAUUUUCUUGUCUGAUUAAACAACUGAGAAACAAUGGCGGCCGACCAAGAAGCUGGGAGCAAUAAGCGGGUGAUUCUAAGCAACUAUGUGACAGGUUUUCCAAAAGAAUCAGACAUGAAGAUAACAAGUUGAUCAAUAAAGCUGAAGGUAGCAGAGGGUGUUUGGGAGAAAUACGUCGACGAGACCAGGCAUGGUGAGCAGAUAUCUGAUGGCAGAGUUCUGCGAACCGGUGUGUUCCGUAAAAGCCUGGUGCGCGGGGGAACAGGAGCAGAAGUAUCCUGCUCGUCCACGAGCACGUCAUCCGCGAGGCCAAUUUCCUGUAAGAGGCAUAAGGUCAUUCCGGCUAGAGGUCGAGAGGCGAGGAGACCCGGUCGACGGCAGUUGGCAAGACAUGCUCCCCAGCCCGAGAAUCUAGGCACGACAGCCACGCUUUCCCCAGAACCGUGGCGUAACACGCAAGAUCUCACAGAACCACGACAGCCACGCUUUCCCCAGAACCGUGGCGUAACACGCAAGAUCUCACAGAACCACGACAGCCACGCUUUCCCCAGAACCGUGGCGUAACACGCAAGAUCCCACGUUUGCCCAUAACGCAGCAGUCAGAGUCCCAUACCGUCUCGAAAAAAGCGGAAAACUGGGAUUCAGGGGAAGCCUAUAAAAAGGUAGCCAACGAAGGUAAAAGGGUUAGCAUUUUUGAGAUUAGAAAAGAAAUGAAAAAAGAAGAGAAAACCACGAAAAAGCCAUAAGAUAUGUGGCAAGCGUUCCCCGAACCUUCAUAUCUGACUUGAGCGUCGGAGGGUUUGCGCCGGGAAAACAACCGGCGUACUCUGACUUGUCUGUGUGCGCAGGAACCUCUGGAGAAGAAGCCUCACGUGGAGACCUCCUGGUCGUGAAGAAGUUGAUCGGGCAGAGAUCCUGGUCGUAGAACGAGGAGAACCGGAAUCCCGCAUCAACAUUUUGGCGCCGUCUGUGGGGACCGGAGCAAAAAGCUUCUGUUGAUAGCAAGAAGAGGGGUGAAGCAAGUGAAAAACAAUGGAGACAGGAGGAAGUAGUGCACAAGGGGGUGAUAGGAAGCUUAACGAUUCCGUGACGCUGAGGGAGAUAGUCAGUGAAGCACGGGAAAAAGUCAUGUUCGACCGGAUGGAACGGAUGGAAAAGCAGAUGGAGACCUUGACAACCAUCCUGCAUGAGCUGCGGAGCGAGCGAAGUAUAAUCCAAGAGGGAAGGGUGAGAGGCGGUGGAGUGGCACCAGGUCCCGAUAGUGCGGGGAGAAGUCAAACCACCGGGAGAUUUGGUGGUGAGAGAGGUAACGUACCUCUGCGGGGAGAAUUUCAUAGAGAAAGAGAGCAGUCCCCGGCAAGACAGACUGGCGACGAGGACGACGGGGUGGUGAAUGCAGAGGAAACAGAGUUGAGGCAACACUUGCAUGAUGUAGAGCAAGAGCGGGAUCAAGUUGCAGCACGUGACCCUGGUUGUGCAGUGCAGCUGGAGGAGGAAGUGCGCAGACUAGCACAGAUAAUCGACGACAUGCAAGGAAGGAACAGAGCCCCUGGUUGGAGGAUAAUGCUGGACGGAGAAUCACCGCUCGCAGCAGAGAUCAUGAGGGCAGUUAUUCCGAGAGAUUUCCGCCUCCCAGACCUCAGAUACUCGGGAAGAACUGAUCCGUUGGUGCACAUAGAGCGCUUCAACGACAUAACUGGGGUACAAGGAUUAUCUCAAUCCCAAAGGUGCAGAGUGUUCCCACUAUCCCUUGAGGGACGUGCACGAGAAUGGUACAGGAAACUUCCUCGGGGCAGCAUUAAAACCUUCGAGCAGAUGUGCCAGGAAUUCGCGGAGCAGUUUAGUGGGGCAAUGGCGCCGGAAGAUGACAUGAUGGAGCUGAAAAGCAUGAAACAGGGGGAGCAAGAAACCCUUCGGGAAUUCAUCAAGAGGUUUCAUCGGGCUGUCCUUGACUUGGGAGCCUUCAACCACCCUCAGGCGUUAAGGGGAUUGAAAGAAGGGGUGAAGAUAGGAAGGCUGUGGUACAAUUUGAGAAGCCCAGCUAUUCAAACGUAUGCAGCCGCAUACGAACAGGCUAAGAGAGACAUCGAGAUUGAAGAGGAGAAGGCUGCACGGAUUAAGACAGACCAGUUAGAAGGGUUGGGGAGGAAAGAGAAGAAAGCAUUACCGGGGAAUGGGCCGAUCAGGAGGAGGGACCACCAGGCCUCCGGUAGUGGAGCAGGAGGUCGGGUAGCCGCUUACCAGCCUCAUCAAAGGCCACCACAGUAUCAGCGCAGCAGGGCGCAACCUCCUCGUUCCCCAGCUAGGGAGCCUUGGAGAAGGCAUGAGUCGGCAUCUGGUGGUCUCCAACAACACCCCCACGGUAUCAGAGCGAGCAGACCAGAAGUACUUCCACCGCCCCCAACUCAGAGCGGGGCAAACAGAGAAAGAGCAGUGCACCUGAUCGACCAGAACCCGGACUAUGGGCGGUACACUUCCUUGAAGAUGUCCCUGGAUGAGGUGUACGAGGCCAUAAAGGAUCGAGGGCUGCUGCACCUCCCUACACCAAUAACAAAGCUACCCAACAGGAGGGAUAGAGGACGUUAUUGUAAGUUCCAUGGCACCCAUGGCCAUACCACAGCAGAGUGUAGAGAUCUCAAGACCCAAGUCGAAGAUUUGGUGAGAAAUCGGUACCUGGACGAGUUUAUGGAUGGGACUUUCCCGAUGGGGGCCACAACAGGUGAAGGGGAGCAGAGUGGCGGAAACGUUAGGCGCGAGCAGCCCGCAGUAAGGGUGAUAGCUGGGGGCCCGACAUUGGCCGGAGAUUCCAACAGAUCGAGAAAAAAUUAUGCUAGGUACGCCAUGACCAGUAAAGAGGUACUCCUCAACACCCCAGCAGCCAAACGAGCAAGGGUCAGGCAAGUGCCAAUCAUGUGGACGGAUGAGGAUGAGGAAGGGAUUCUAUACCCCCACGAGGAUGCUUUAGUCAUCAAGGCUACUGUCGCUAGCAAGAAGUUUGACCGGAUACUGAUUGAUACAGGGAGCUCAGUUGAUGUGUUAUUUAAGUCAACCCUGGAAGAGAUGGGAAUAGCCGACCGGAAGUUGGAAUACACCAAUACCUCCUUGAAGGGGUUCGGAGGAGGGAAGCUGGUCCCUCUGGGCGUGGUCGAGCUGCCUAUCACAAUUGGGAGCUCUCCGACAGAAAGAACAAUGAUACUGGACUUUGUCGUAGUGGAUGAGGAAGGUCCUUACCAGAUGAUCCUAGGUCGGCCAUUUUUAAGGAUGAGCAAAGCGGUGUUGUCCAACCAUUAUCUGGCUCUGAAGUACCGGGUGAACGGGGUAGUAGGAGUGGUACGAGGAGACCAGAGGAUCGCAAGAAGCUGCUACUCCUCGGCAGCAAGGGAAGCAAUGCAGAUAACAUCCCUCGAUACCCGAGUGGAAAACAAGAAGGGCAGACAAGAACCUGUAGAGGAUCUGGAAACAGUAAGCCUGGGACCAGAGAACCCGGGAAAGACGAUCAGAAUCGGGUCGAGACUUAAGGGAGAGCAAAAGCAGGAGUUGGUGAAAUGCUUACAGGCUCAUGCUGAUGUGUUUGCUUGGACACAUGAAGACAUGCCAGGAAUUGACCCUGAGGUAGCAUGUCAUAAGCUGGCAAUAAAGAAAAGUGCUCGGGCAGUAAGGCAGAAGAGGAGGUGCUUCAACCAGGAGAGGUAUGAGGCUAUAAAUGGCGAGGUGGAGAAGCUCUUGAGAGCAGGGUUCAUUCGGGAAGUCAGUUACCCUGAGUGGAUAUCGAAUGUGGUGUUGGUAAAGAAGGCAAACGGCAAGUGGAGGAUGUGUGUGGAUUUCACAGACCUCAAUAAGGCGUGCCCAAAAGACAGCUUCCCUUUACCAAAGAUCGAUCAGCUAGUAGAUUCAACGGCUGGACAUGGUCUGCUUAGCUUCAUGGACGCGUUCUCGGGAUACAACCAGAUCCCCAUGUACGAGCAGGAUGAGGAGAGCACGGCUUUCAUCACUAACCAAGGUUUGUUCUGUUACAGGGUAAUGCCAUUCGGUCUCAAAAAUGCCGGGGCCACCUAUCAAAGGCUGGUGAACAAAGUCUUUAAGCCGUUGAUUGGGAAAACCAUGGAGGUGUACGUGGAUGACAUGAUCACCAAGUCCAAAAUCCCGGAGGAACAUGUCAGACACCUCGAGGAGACAUUCGAGCUUUUGAGGAAGUAUAAGAUGAAGCUCAACCCGGAGAAGUGUGCUUUUGGGGUCGAGUCAGGGAAAUUCCUUGGAUUCAUGGUGAGCCAUAGGGGGAUUGAAGCACAUCCCGAGAAAAUCCAGGCGAUUGUGCAAAUGACGUCUCCCCAUAACCUGAAGGAGAUGCAAAGCCUCACGGGGAGGUUGGCGGCGUUGAGCAGAUUCAUAUCCAAGGCUACAGAUAAGUGUAAGCCAUUCUUUCAAGUGAUGAGGAGGGGAAAGAAAACAGAAUGGACCUCAGAAUGCGAGGAAGCCUUCCGGAACUUGAAGCAAUACUUGCAGCAAGCUCCGCUGCUGUCCACACCGAGGGAUGGGGACAAGUUAUAUCUGUAUUUGGCGGUAUCGGAUCGGGCCGUCAGUUCUGUUCUGGUGAGAGAGGAAGAAGGAGUUCAGUAUCCGAUAUAUUACACCAGCAAGGCCCUGCUCGACGCUGAGACCAGAUACCCACCGUUGGAGAAAUGGGCACUUGCCCUUGUGGUUGCUGCUCGGAAGUUGAGGCCAUAUUUUCAAGCAUUCCCGGUCUUGGUAAUAACAAACCAGCCAUUGCGUCAAACUCUGCACAAGCCAGAUGCCUCUGGUCGGCUCGUCAAGUGGGCUGUAGAGCUGAGCGAGUUCGACAUAGACUAUAAACCCCGCGCAGCGAUAAAAGCCCAGGCAAUGGCCGAUUUCGUAGCUGAAUUCACAGAGCCCGAAGUAUGCUUAGAUCAACAAGAUGCAGAUAUAGGCAAUGACGAAACUCAAGUAUGGCAGAUGUCUGUGGAUGGGUCAUCAGGGGAGCGGGGUUCAGGAGCAGGGAUUGUCUUGGAAGGCCCAGAGGGGGAGGAGAUCUCUUAUACUGUAAAAUUGGAAUUUGCAGCCACGAAUAACCAGGCAGAGUAUGAAGCCUUGAUAGCAGGUCUGGAAUUGGCUAAGGCCGUGAAAGCAGACAGAGUUAAGAUCAGAACUGAUUCCCAGCUGGUUGCGAAUCAUGUCAGUGAAAGAUUCCAACCAAGAGAGGAGAAGAUGGGGCAGUACCUGAAGAUAGUCAGGCAGAUGAUGGGGAAGUUCGAAGCAGUGGAGGUGAUACAAAUCCCCAGGGAGCAGAAUAGUCGAGCAGACAUUUUGGCUAGGAUGGCAGCAGUAGCCGACCCAAAAAUGCCAAAGUCGGUCCCUCUGGAGGUGAAGUCCAGCCCAAGUAUCGAUCAGAAUUUGGGGGUGUUGCAGAUAGAACAAAAAUGCUCGUGGAGGGACCCGAUAAUUUCAUACCUUAGAGACGGGGUAUUACCACCAGAUAAGAUGCGAGCUCGCAAGCUUAGAGCCCAGGCCUCGAGAUACACGAUGAUUGAUGGGGUACUGUAUCGGCGAGGAUAUACACUACCGUUCCUUCAGUGUUUGGAUGAGGACGACGCGGAUUACGUACUGAGAGAAGUACACGAAGGAAUUUGCGGAAAUCAUUCUGGCGGGAGGUCCCUGGCCCAUAAGGUUCUAAGGCAGGGAUAUUUCUGGCCGACAAUGCACCAGGAUGCGCAAGAGAAGACCAGGAGUUGUGUAAGCUGCCAGAGUUUUGUAAAUUUCUCUAACCAACCACCAGAGAAGCUCACCUCCAUGACCUCCCCCUGGCCAUUUGCUCAAUGGGGAAUUGAUCUGAUCGGCCCAUUGCCAAAGGCACGGGGAGCAGCAACAUAUGCAAUAGUUGCUAUAGAUUACUUCACGAAGUGGAUAGAGGUAAAAGCCCUUAGCAGGAUCACAGAGAAGAAAACAACAGACUUCGUAUGGAGAAACCUGGUCUGUCGAUACGGGAUCCCUUAUGCCUUGGUAACGGAUAAUGGCAGGCAGUUCGAUAAUCACAGCUUCAGGGAUUUCUGCCAGAACCUCGGGAUAGAGCUGAAGUAUUGCUCGCCUGCUCACCCUCAAUCGAAUGGACAAGUAGAAGCAGCCAACAAGACCAUCAAGAGGCUUUUGAAAACCAGGCUUGGAGCAAAAAAGGGUGCGUGGGUUGACGAGCUGGCAGGUGUGCUAUGGGCAUCCAGAACAACAAAACCGCAACUGGGGAGACACCGUUCGCUUUGGCUUUCGGACAUGAAGCGGUCGUGCCGGCUGAGAUAGGAACGACCACACACCGGACAAAUCAUUUCAAUGAGCAGGAGAACGACGAGCAGAUAUGUUUGAAUCUUGAUCUGCUAACGGAAAGGAGGGAGCAAGCAGCCGAGCGAUCAGUCAUUUACCAAUAGAGGGUUGCUCGGUAUUAUAACCAGAAGGUGAACAUACGGCAAUUCAGGGUCGGAGACUGGGUACUGAGAAGAGUGAAUCAGAGCACCAAAGAUUCGACUCAAGGAGUGCUGGGACCGAAUUGGGAAGGGCCAUAUAGAGUCAAGCAGAUAGCGGGACCCGGAGCUUACAGGCUGGUUCGCACGGACGGCCACGAGGUGAAACGCCCAUGGAACGCAGCACACCUCCGAAAAUACUUCCAGUAAGACUUGUUCACAUGUGAAAACUAUUUUUGCUCAUGUUCAUUACCGUUUAUCUUUCACGCUUAUUGUCCAAACAAUUUCAUGUAAGUCGAAUCCUGCCAUUAAUGGAACGUCGAGGAAUUUCUUUCACUUGAAACCGAGAAAAUUUCCCAAGGCAUGCAAAGGCUCACCAAGUCUCAAAGCCUGUCUUAUGGUGAGACAGAAGCCAAGCAUGCCAGGAUCUGCUCGGCCACGAGAAGGCAAGCAGAAUCCCAAUCCUCGAAGAAUCCAAGGCACGCAAAGGCUCACUAAGUCUCAAAGCCUGUCUUAUGGCGAGACAGAAGCCAAGCAUGCCAGGAUCUGCUCGGCCACGAGAAGGCAAGCAGAAUCCCAAUCCUCGAAGAAUCCAAGGCAUGCAAAGGCUCACCAAGUCUCAAAGCCUGUCUUAUGGCGAGACAGAAGCCAAGCAUGCCAGGAUCUGCUCGGCCACGAGAAGGCAAGCAGAAUCCCAAUCCUCGAAGAAUCCAAGGCACGCAAAGGCUCACCAAGUCUCAAAGCCUGUCUUAUGGCGAGACAGAAGCCAAGCAUGCCAGGAUCUGCUCGGCCACGAGAAGGCAAGCAGAAUCCCAAUCCUCGAAGAAUCCAAGGCAUGCAAAGGCUCACCAAGUCUCAAAGCCUGUCUUAUGGCGAGGCAGAAGCCAAGCAUGCCAGGAUCUGCUCGGCCACGAGAAGGCAAGCAGAAUCCCAAUCCUCGAAGAAUCCAAGGCAUGCAAAGGCUCGACAAAGUCUCAAAGCCUGUUUUAUGGCGAGACAGAAGCCAAGCAUGCCAGGAUCUGCUCGACCACUAGAAGGCGAGCAGACUCCAAAGCAUUCGAAGAAAUGCCCAAGGCAUGCAAAGGCUCGACAAAGUCUCAAAGCCUGUUUUAUGGCAAGGCAGAAGCCAAGCAUACCAGGAUCUGCUCGACCACGAGAAGGCGAGCAGACUCCAAAGCAUUCGAAGAAAUGCCCAAGGCAUGCAAAGGCUCGACAAAGUUUCAAAGCCUGUUUUAUGGCGAGACAGAAGCCAAGCAUGCCAGGAUCUGCUCGACCACGAGAAGGCGAGCAGACUCCAAAGCAUUCGAAGAAAUGCCCAAGGCAUGCAAAGGCUCGACAAAGUCUCAAAGCCUGUUUUAUGGCGAGACAGAAGCCAAGCAUGCCAGGAUCUGCUCGACCACUAGAAGGCGAGCAGACUCCAAAGCAUUCGAAGAAAUGCCCAAGGCAUGCAAAGGCUCGACAAAGUCUCAAAGCCUAUUUUAUGGCGAGGCAGAAGCCAAGCAUGCCAGGAUCUGCUCGACCACUAGAAGGCGAGCAGACUCCAAAGCAUUCGAAGAAAUGCCCAAGGCAUGCAAAGGCUCGACAAAGUCUCAAAGCCUGUUUUAUGGCGAGACAGAAGCCAAGCAUGCCAGGAUCUGCUCGACCACUAGAAGGCGAGCAGACUCCAAAGCAUUCGAAGAAAUGCCCAAGGCAUGCAAAGGCUCGACAAAGUCUCAAAGCCUGUUUUAUGGCGAGGCAGAAGCCAAGCAUGCCAGGAUCUGCUCGACCACUAGAAGGCGAGCAGACUCCAAAGCAUUCGAAGAAAUGCCUAAGGCAUGCAAAGACUCACCAAGUCUCAAAGCCUGUUUUAUGGCGAGACAGAAGCCAAGCGUGCUAGGAUCUGCUCGACCGCGCGAAGGUGAGUCGAAUCCCAGGCAUUGAAGAAUCUCCAAAGGCAUGUGGCAAAACCAUGAGCCAAGCCGGAACCUGCUCGUCUAGACAGAGACAAGCAGAUUCUCAACCGAAAAUUAAUUCAUAAUUACAACACAAGAAAGUAAUCAAAAACCAUUUUUAUUAAUUUGUUAAUAAUUAACAGAGGGGAUAAUCUUUAUGAACAUUGUUCAUUACAAUACAAGAAAUAUAUCAGGAAGAUGGUGGACCAGUAAGCCCGGCAGCAUCGGUUGGCUGGACCUCCUCAGGUGCAGGAGGGGUAUCACCAGUUGCGUCCGGGGGGGUGCUCGCCUCGCCAACAUCAGCAGGGACUGCAUGAGCAGGAGAGUCUUCCUCCUCAAUCACGAUCGGCUCUACCCCAUCGGCAUCUUCCUUGGCCGCCUCCUCGUCCAUAUGUUGAGCAACACCAGCUGCAAGGUCAUCCAUCUUCAGAUCAGGGUGUUGCUUCCCGAGGACGGCCAUGAUGCAACGAUAGGAAUGCCGAAGUCCCUGGUCGUACUGGUUGUCAGCCUCCCUCUCUAAGUUCUCGACCUGAGCUCGGUGGGAGUCGCGGAGAGAUUCGAGCUGAGCCUCAUACAUAGCCUUCUGCCUUUGCAGAUCCUCCUUGACCGUGGUAAGCUCCUCCUCGAGGGAAAUGGCUUUUGCUUGAGCAAGUGAUUCUUGCUCUAUUAGCUUCAGAUUCUCGAGAUUCAGGUCCUUCUUGCUCACGAGUUUAGUUAACUCAUUGAGGUAGGGGACCAGGUGUUCUGCUCGGCUGUCAGGUAAGCGAGAUCGAGGCCCGACAGGAGGAAAAGAGGAAGCAGGAUCUGUGGCUGCUCCACUAGCUUCCCCGACUUUUACAGGAGCAGGAGGUAAAAUCUUCAAGGGUGGGACCUGCUGCAUGAUGUUGGCCCGCUUUGCAGCAGGGGCAUCCUUACUCUGGUCCCUCUUCGUGGUUGGAGGUCGGGAACGUUUUCGGGUCAGAGCCCCAAUCACAGCGUCCUCCAUCCUAUGGCCAGGAAGUAUCAAGCGAGACUCGAGCAAGUUGUAUGUAGUUAGCAGUUCUCGGCUCGAGCAGGAAUUGGCUAGUACAGCCUCGACCCGUUUGAGCUGGUCAGGUUCAAGCGGGAAGUGGACACCCCAAGAAACUACAACACAAACAGACACUUGGUUAGAGACAAGCCAAUAAAGCAAGAACAAUUAUGGAUGCAAGACAUCUAGAGUGAGCAGGCAACCUGGGACCGUGAAACGGGGUGGGACGUGACAAUCCUUCCCGCCUAUUUGUGCAACUUGACCCCAAGGACCCCCAGCAAAAAAGAAUUUCCUCUUCCAAGCCCCACCACCACCGGUUGGAAGAUCGGUUAUGGGUUUCCGGCUCUUGGUGCUAGAUUGGAAGUAGUACCAGCCGGCAUCUUUGGGGCUGCUCUUUAGCUGGUACAAGUGCUUCACCUCAUCAACCGUGGGCUCGCUUUGGCAACAUUUGUCCCACAAUAUGAACAGACCAGAGAGCACUCUCCACCCAUUGGGAUUCAGCUGACCAGGAGCUAGAUUUAGCCCGUUAAGUAUCUGGGCAAAGUAGGGUUGCAAGGGACACCUCAGCCCGUACUUAAAGCUCUCUAGAAACAGGGUAACGUAUCCCCUAGGAGGCCGGCUGGGAGCAUCCUUCUUUCCUGGGACCUUGAGAGGUAUCUCACCAGGAAUGCUAUACCUAAGCCGGAGGUCAUUGAGCUCGUCAAACAAGGUCGUGCACGUCAUGUAAUCAAUGGCAUAAUCGCGCGACAAGGCUCUGCCUCCUACUGUACCCCGUUCCUCUGGUCGUGAUGUUCCAGAUGGAGACACCUCACCAGAGUCACCUUCCCCAUUCUCACUUAAGGUGUCCUCAGAGCCAGAAGGUCUCUCUUCACCAUUGCUUCCACUCGUGGAGGUUGUUUGGGGGGACAUCCUCCUAGCACUAGUCCCGACACUAAACCUAAUGGGUUCUAAGGGGAUCCCGGGGUCAAAAGCAGAAUCAGUGAGCAGACCAGGCAGGAAACUUAGUUCGUCGUCAUCAAUCUCAACGACUUUCUCCUUACCUUUCGACAUUCCCUAAGCCCUAACCACAACACCACCAACUACUACCCAAACAGAAGAGAAGAGAAAUUAUCUACAACUAUCCGAGACCAAGGAGAUAGAAGAAAUACCUGAAGUAAUGGUUCAGUCGGUGAAAGUCAGAGAUGGAGGCCUUUUAUGCCGGAACUUCUUUGCCGGAGAAACAGAGACGGAGACGGAGUGAAUGAUGAAUAUGCCGUUCGAGAGGAUUUGGUUUUCCUAAUGAGGACGGACUCUUGGGUUGCCAGCAUUUAACGGCGCCGAAUCCCGAGGGUCUCAUAACCGUCGGUUUGAAAUUCAAAUGGAGGGGGGGAUUUCUGCCACGUCACCUCGUCCGCAAUUAAAUGCGACAUGACUCUUGGCAGCCUUUUCCAAUCCCACGCGGGCGAGUACUAACGAGUUUCUACUGCUGGUCCACUACAUUACCCAACACCAGAAACUGGGGGACCGGUGUUUGGGAGAAAUACGUCGACGAGACCAGGCAUGGUGAGCAGAUAUCUGAUGGCAGAGUUCUGCGAACCGGUGUGUUCCGUAAAAGCCUGGUGCGCGGGGGAACAGGAGCAGAAGUAUCCUGCUCGUCCACGAGCACGUCAUCCGCGAGGCCAAUUUCCUGUAAGAGGCAUAAGGUCAUUCCGGCUAGAGGUCGAGAGGCGAGGAGACCCGGUCGACGGCAGUUGGCAAGACAUGCUCCCCAGCCCGAGAAUCUAGGCACGACAGCCACGCUUUCCCCAGAACCGUGGCGUAACACGCAAGAUCUCACAGAACCACGACAGCCACGCUUUCCCCAGAACCGUGGCGUAACACGCAAGAUCUCACAGAACCACGACAGCCACGCUUUCCCCAGAACCGUGGCGUAACACGCAAGAUUCCACAUUUGCCCAUAACGCAGCAGUCAGAGUCCCAUACCGUCUCGAAAAAAGUGGAAAACUGGGAUUCAGGGGAAGCCUAUAAAAAGGUAGCCAACGAAGGUAAAAGGGUUAGCAUUUUUGAGAUUAGAAAAGAAAUGAAAAAAGAAGAGAAAACCACGAAAAAGCCAUAAGAUCUGUGGCAAGCGUUCCCCGAACCUUCAUAUCUGACUUGAGCGUCGGAGGGUUUGCGCCGGGAAAACAACCGGCGUACUCUGACUUGUCUGUGUGCGCAGGAACCUCUGGAGAAGAAGCCUCACUUGGAGACCUCCUGGUCGUGAAGAAGUUGAUCGGGCAGAGAUCCUGGUCGUAGAACGAGGAGAACCGGAAUCCCGCAUCAACAGAGGGUUCAAAAGACACGGUGCUUUUGAAGAAUCUUUAUCUUUAUUGUGAUCCUUACAUGCGAGAGCGUAUGAGCAAGCUUGAUAGACCUUCUUUUGUUGAUUCAUUCCAUUCUGGUGAGGUUAGUUCAUCACGACCUCAACUUAGAUUUUGGGAUGGUUUACGAUUCACUCUCAGUUUAUGCAGAAAAACAAUCUAGUUUUAAUUUGGCAGGGUUUUUCCUUCUCUCUCCUUUUCUUCCUUUUCUUCAUUGGUUUCUUCCUCUUUUAUAGCCGCUAUCCCACGUUUUCGUUCAUCCUUCAUCCCCAUUUUUCGGGUAGUGGCAGCCCCUCAUGGGACUCCAACUGCUACAUUAUGGGUAAAUGUGGGACACCGUAUCUCCCUCAAUGGUUUUAGAAAAAGCGCAACUGUCGUGAUUUCGUGAGAUUGUGUUCCCGUUCUUUGGGGAAUGGAUAUCUGCUCGGUAUAUGUCUCUGGUCGGCCUAUAUUUAUAGAAGGCUCAUUAUCAGUAUUCUACUUAUACCAUUCAGCUGAGGUGAUCUACCUCGAAAUGAGAAUGAUAACAUGACUGACCUGAUGCUCUUAUUUACUUAACAGUAAAUUUUCUAUGACCCUACAGGUGACUAAUUAAUGAGAACUUGACAAUGACAAAAGAAAGUGUAUGAGCUUUGCAGGCUGGCAUGCCAAUAUUGACUGUGUGGCACCAUCCACCAUCUGCAAUUGAAUAUCAUUAUUGUUUAAUCAAUGUGGUGGAGUCCACUGGAACCACACCACAUGGUCAGUCUUAUCUCUAUUCCUCAAUUUUCAGUAUUCCAUACAUCAAACCAAUUUCAUGUUUGUUAGCAAUUAUAAUUUCAUUGUUGGUGACGAUUCUGAUUCCUUUUGUUGAGAAUCAAAUAAAACGGCAUUGAAUGAAGCUUUCAAAGACAGAAUCUGCACUUGUCAAAGGGGUAAUCUGCACUUGUCAAAGACAAGAUCCGCGCCGAACGGAUUGACACAUUUCCUUCCGUAUUCACAUAUGUAAUCUUUGAAAAAAUGUAGCCUCUGCAUCUAUAAAUAACUCUCAAUGUAUAAUGCUUUAUUUAAGAAAUGAAAACACGUUUCUUCAUGGUAUCAGAGCCAUGAAUACGCUCAAGUUUCUUCAAGUUCCGCUGCUCUGUUUGUAACAAAAAUAGAGGAAACCAAAUUCCUCCCACAACCAUUUUUCCCACCAUUUUCUUUCUUAAACCCAUUCCUACCAUUACAGAUAUCCAUGCCGAUCAAGAAACAAGCCACCCAUACGUAAAAAACUUGAGUUUACAAAUUUAUCAACAAUCCCAUCAAUUUUCUGAGAGUGUGUUCCUAAAAAACCAAGAACACCAUCAAAUUUCUCAGUUUUCAGUGAGGAAACUGUAAAAAUUUCGCAUUUAAACACAUUCCCACGCGCUCCCACGCGCCACCCGAAGCCACGGCCAGUCAACCACGCGCCUCUGUCAUCAUUCACGCGCUCUCACGCGCUCCAGAGGUUGAAGAAGACGCCAGCCGACAUGUCGUUCUUAUCUCAGAAGUUCAGCAGUCACAAAACGACGUGUCGUUUUUUGUUAUAUUAAAAUCGACAUGUCGUUUUGUAAAUUAGAGAUAAAACGACGUGAUGCUUAGUCUCCAGAAGUGCAGCAGGAUUAAAACGACAUGUCGUUUAUAUUCCACCAUAAUCGACAUGUCGGUUUGGCAAGCAGUGGCCAAACGACCUGGCGUUUUGUUACCUAAAAAGGUUAUUUUUUUUCUUCUUCCAAUCUAGAUGGAAAAAAAAAAAACAAACAAAAAAAAGAAAAAAAAGAAAAAAAAGAAAAAAAAGAGAAAAAAAAAAAAACAAAAAAAAAUGGAGAAAACUCCAACUGAAUCUAGUCCUGUUGUCAUUCAAUCUGUUCAAUCUGAUGGAGUAUUUAAUGCUGGAAUUAUCCUCACUGAGACAAACUACGAUGUUUGGUCUCAAAUAAUGGAGAUGCAUCUUGUAGAAAGAGAAAAACUCUCAUAUAUUCGUAGCAGCACAAAGCCAUUUGAGGAAUCUUCAAAGGAAUAUGAGAAAUGGUAUAGUGAGAACCAAAAAGUAAAAAGAUGGUUACUCAUAUCCAUGUCUCCGGAGAUCAUGAAGCGAUAUUUACGAAUUCCUACAGCCUACGAAAUCUGGGAUGCAUUAUCAAAAGCCUUCUAUGAUGGAAGCGAUGAAUUACAAGUUUUCACUCUAAACCAGAAGGCAUUCUCUACCAAGCAAAAUGGACAACCACUCUCUAAAUUCUAUGGAGAAUUGGUCGAAAUAUUUCGAGAACUUGAUCACCGAGAUAAAGUGGUCAUGAAGGAUCCAGAAGAUAUUGUAAUAUACAGAAGGUCUGUUGAAAGAUUGAGAGUGCACAUUUUUCUUGCUGGGCUAGAUGAAGAAUUUGACCAAGUUCGUGGAGAAAUUCUACGAAAAGACAUUAUCCCAGACUUAGAAGAAUGUUAUUCUUUGAUCCGAAGAGAAGAUAUACGGCAAAGCAAACUAAACAAGAAGGUCGACUCAGAAACGUUUGCAAUGAUAGCACGACAGCAGCCUCAAAGGAAGUUUGUUGACAAGUCAUCACUCCAUUGCACUCAUUGUAGAAAGAAGGGUCAUACGAAAGAACAAUGUUUUGAAAUCAUUGGAUAUCCUGACUGGUGGGAUACUCGAAAGAAGAACACCAAGCAUGGAUCAAAAACUGCAGUAGCUGAAUCCACAUCCACUACAGAUCUUAGAAAAGAAUCUUCAGUGCAAAUCGCAACCUCUGUCAGUCCAGGUAAGGCCCUUAAAACUCUUACACCUGUUAUUAAUAGUACAUGGAUAAUUGAUUCUGGGGCAACUGAUCAUAUGACUUUUGAUUCUCGACAAGUUUCUCAAUUGAAACCAUCUUCACAAAAAUAUAUUUCCACUGCAAAUGGAACCACAACCUCAGUUAUUGGGGAAUGAUCUUUACGACUCACAAAUGAAUUAAAUUUAGACGCUGUGUUAAUUGUUCCAUCUUUAGAUUAUAAUCUUUUAUCUGUGUCUCAAUUAACCACUUACUUAUCAUGUGUUGUAAUUUUUUGGCCUGAUCAUUGUGUGUUUAAGGACAUCCAAACGAAGCAAACGAUUGGUUAUGGUAUUAGACGAGGCAGCUUGUACUACUUGGAGAUGUCAUCAACAAACACUGGAAAGCUAAGCCCCGCACUAGUUGCAGAUAGUUCCAUAAAAAAAGGGAAAUCAGAAAUUUGGUUAUGGCAUAGACGUUUAGGGCAUGUGUCAUUUAGUUACUUAAAAAAAUUAUUUCCUAGUUUGUUUCUGAAAUUUGAUGUUUGUAACUUUAAAUGUGAUGUUUGUGAACUUUCAAAAAGCCAUCGAACUACUUUUCCAUUGUCCUUAAAUAAAAAUCCAGUUCCUUUUAUGGUAGUACAUUCUGAUGUAUGGGGGCCAUCUAAAGUUUCUACAAUUGGAGGUGCUCGUUGGUUUGUUACAUUUAUUGAUGAUUGUAGCAGAAUGACAUGGAUUUUUCUGAUGAAAUCGAAAGACGAAGUAAACUCUUUAUUUCAAAGAUUUCAUAAGAUGGUGACAACUCAAUUUCAGACACAAAUUCGAGUUCUACAUACUGAUAAUGGAGGUGAGUAUAUGAGCACAGCAAUUCAACAGUUUCUGAAAUCACAAGGAUCUGUCCAUCAAACCACUUGUGUGGGGACACCCCAACAAAAUGGCGUUGCUGAACGAAAGAACAGACAUUUACUAGAAGUUGUUCGAGCAUCACUAAUCCAAGCCCACAUGCCAUUAUCUUAUUGGGGAGAAGCAUUGACAUCCGCAGCAUACUUGAUCAAUCGAACACCUUCAAGCUCCCUUGGAUUCCAGACUCCUUUCCAAGUUCUGAAUGAUGCAAUUAUGUCACCAAAUGUGCCGAAUCUGCCCCCACAUGUGUUUGGCUGUGUUGCCUUCGUUCAUUUGCCGCAACAAGACAAAUUAUCUCCUCGAGCACUACGUUGUGUGUUUGUAGGGUAUGCCUUACAUCAAAAGGGAUACCGAUGCUAUCAUCCACCAUCAAGAAAAAUAUACAUCACCAUGGAUGUCGUUUUUCAUGAAGAUAUCAUGUACUACUUGUCAGAGUCUGAAUUUCAGGGGGAGUAUAAUGAAGAGGAAAUUCAUACUCUUACAUAUCUUCCACCUGAAGAAAGUCAAUCUUCCAUUGAGAUAGUAAACCUUCAAGAUACUGGAAAAGCAAAUGGUGAUGAUUCGCAAGCUGAGAUAUGUGAAAACACAUUUGGGGAGCACAAUACUCAGACACAACUGCAAUCGAGAAUGAGUCACAUGAAGAAAUACCUAACCAAUCGUCUGCAGAGGAUGUUCCUACCACAAGUCCAAUCAGAAGAAUUCUUCCCCAGCGUCAAAAUAGAGGUAUCCCUAAACCCACAUAUGAGCCUGACUUCUCUAGUAGAGUCAAAUACCCUAUGAGUCAUUUUGUGUCUAACCAUCGCUUGUCAGAAUCAAAUCAGUCAUUUGUGAAUCAAUUAUCUGCUGUAUCUAUUCCUAACAGUGUGCAGGAAGCUUUAAAAGAUCCAAAGUGGAAAGCGGCUAUGAAUGAUGAAAUGAGAUCUCUUCAGAAAAAUCAAACAUGGGAACUAGUUGAUCUUCCACCAGGAAAGAAACCAAUGGGUUGUCGAUGGAUCUACACUAUAAAAUACAAAGCAGAUGGCUCUAUUGAACGAUACAAAGCAAGACUCGUAGCUAAGGGUUACACCCAAACCUACGGGAUUGAUUAUACUGAUACGUUUGCACCGGUAGCAAAAAUUAAUACUAUUCGUAUCUUAUUAUCAUUAGCAGUCAACUUGGAUUGGCCAGUGCAACAGUUCGAUGUAAAGAAUGCUUUCCUCCAUGGAGACCUGUCUGAAGAAAUUUAUAUGGAUCUGCCACCAGGAUGCAGUGGACCAGAACGACUCAAUCAGAAAGUAUGCAAAUUGAAGAAAUCAUUGUAUGGGUUGAAGCAAUCCCCAAGAGCAUGGUUCGGGAAAUUCACGAAGGCUAUGGUUCGUUUUGGGUAUAACCAAAGCAAUUCAGAUCAUACCUUAUUCAUUAAAAAACGACAAGGUAAAAUCACUGCCCUUAUUGUCUAUGUGGAUGAUAUGGUAGUUACAGGCAACGACGAGGAAGAAACAAAGGCUCUUCAGAAGUACUUGUCAAGAGAGUUUGAGAUGAAGGAUUUAGGUGCCUUAAAAUACUUUCUUGGAAUUGAGGUUUCUCGAUCUAAGGGAGGAAUCUUUCUGUCUCAAAGGAAAUAUGCCUUAGAUCUAUUGCACGAAACGGGAAUGACAGCUUGUCAGCCUAUUGACACCCCAAUAGAAGAAGGACUGAAGUUUUGUAUUACUUCAGACCAAGUUCCAGUAGACAAAGGAAGAUAUCAAAGGCUGAUUGGAAGAUUGAUGUACUUGUCCCACACAAGGCCAGAUCUUGCUUAUGCAUUGAGUGUUGUAAGCCAGUUUAUGCAUAAUCUCGGAGAACAACACAUGAAAGCAGUAAUGCGGAUCCUGAGGUACCUGAAGACAAAUCUAGGAAAAGGAAUCUUAUUUUCCAAAAAUGAAGAUUACAGCAACAUAGAAGUUUAUACUGAUGCAGAUUGGGCCGGGUCAGUUAGUGAUAGACGCUCUACUUCAGGAUACUUUACCUUUGUGGGAGGAAACCUUGUCACAUGGAGAAGCAAGAAACAACAUGUCGUUGCCCGUUCGAGCGCUGAAGCAGAAUAUCGAGGCAUGGCCCUUGGGAUAUGUGAAGGGCUAUGGAUAAGUUUUAUCUUAAACGAUUUGGGCUAUCCAUCACAACAACCAAUACAACUAUACUGUGACAACAAAGCUGCACGAGAUAUUGCUCAUAACCCAGUUCAACACGAUCGAACAAAACAUGUGGAGGUAGAUAGAUUUUUCAUCAAGGAGAAAUUAGAUGAAAAAAUCUUAGAAUUGCCGAAAAUUCGAUCAGAAGAUCAACUUGCAGAUAUUUUAACGAAGGCCAUUUCAAGCAGGGCAUUUACAAAAUUCCUAGACAAGUUGGGUAUGCAAGACAUCUAUGCACCAGCUUGAGGGGGAGUGUUGAGAAUCAAAUAAAACGGCAUUGAAUGAAGCUUUCAAAGACAGAAUCUGCACUUGUCAAAGGGGUAAUCUGCACUUGUCAAAGACAAGAUCCGCGCCGAACGGAUUGACACAUUUCCUUCCGUAUUCACAUAUGUAAUCUUUGAAAAAAUGUAGCUUCUGCAUCUAUAAAUAACUCUCAAUGUAUAAUGCUUUAUUUAAGAAAUGAAAACACGUUUCUUCACCUUUCUUUCUCACAAAACGGAACCAUGGUUGCUAUUGGAGAGAUCUUACUCAACGCCUUCUUUCAGGUGUUGUUUGAUAGGUUGGCUUCUUGUAAUUUUCUCAGCUUUGUGCGUCAACUCCAAGGCGGGGUUGAUUUGGAACUCAAAAAGUGGGAGAAAAAGCUGAAGAUGAUUCAGGCUGUGCUCUACGAUGCAGAGGAGAAGCAACUGAUCGACGAGGCUGUGAAGACGUGGCUGGACGAACUCCAAGACUUGGCUUAUGACGCUGAGGACAUUCUUGAUGAGUUUGCUACUCAAGCUUUGGAAAGCGAGUUGAUGGAGCAAAAUCAGGAUAGCUCUGGCCAGCUUCUUAGUUUCAUCCCAGCUAGUUUGAGUCCGAAUGCUAUUAUGUUCAAUUAUAGCAUGGGGUCCAAGAUUAAAGAUAUUACUAGCCGGUUGGAGCACCUCGGCCAAGAAAGAAUUGAACUUGGUCUGCAACGGAUUACUGGAGGGGCAUCAUCAUCUACUGCUGCCGCACACCAGAGGCCACCCAGUUCGAGUGUCCCAACAGAACGUGAAGUAUUUGGAAGAGAAGAAGAUAAGGCCAAAAUUCUUGAUAUGGUUUUGGCCGAUACCCCAAGUGAUCAUGCCAAAUUUGUUGUAAUACCCAUUGUUGGCAUGGGCGGAAUAGGAAAAACAACUCUUGCUCGGGAGGUCUACAAUGACAAGGCGUUGAAGAUUCCAAGUUUGAUGUAAAAGCAUGGGUUUGUGUCUCUGAUGUCUUUGAUGUUUUGGUCAUCUCAAAGGCACUUCUGGAGUCAAUCACCCGCAGGCCUUGUGUUCUAAGCAAUUUAAAUGAAGUGCAGGUUGAGCUGAAAAUAGUUGUGGAUAAAAAAAGAUUUCUACUGGUCUUAGAUGAUGUUUGGAACGAGGACUACAGCUUGUGGGUAGACUUAAAAGCUCCUUUCAUGGCUGCUGCACCAAACGGUAAAAUGAUCAUCACCACACGCAAUUCAAAUGUUGCAUCAAUAAUGGGACCAAUUGAACAUUACAAUCUCAAGAGUCUGUUAGAUGAUGAUUGCUGGUCCAUUUUCAUACAACAUGCACUUGAAUCUAGAGAUCUUAACGCAAAUCAAAUUUCAGAAUCAUUCCGCAAGAAAGUUGUUGGCAAGUGUGGGGGCUUGCCCCUGGCAGCAAAAACACUAGGGGGCCUUCUGCGUACUACGAGGCAUGAUGCAUGGGACGAUAUAUUAGAUAGCAAAAUAUGGGAUUUACCUCAACAAAGUGGCGUUCUCCCUGUGUUAAGAUUGAGUUACCACCAUCUUCCGUCUCAUUUGAAAAGAUGUUUCGCUUAUUGUGCAAUCUUUCCAAAAGAUUAUGAAUUCAAUGAGAAGGAGCUGACUUUCUUAUGGAUGGCUGGAGGAAUUAUUCGACAGUCAAGAAAGAAUGAGCAGCUGGAAGAUUUGGGCGGCAAGUGCUUUCAUGAUCUAGUGUCAAGGUCAAUUUUUCCACAAACCAGCUCGGGUAGUUCUAAAUUUGUAAUGCAUGACCUUAUCCAUGAUCUUGCUGAACUGGUUUCUAGAGAAACCAUUUUCAGAUUAGAGGAGGCCAACUUGUCAUCAAGAAGAUUUGAAAGGAUCCGCCAUGCUUCCUAUACCCGUGGUUGGUAUGAUGGUAAAAAUAAGUUCAAGGUUUUCAAUGAAAUUGAACAUCUACGAACAUUCCUACCAUUACACGAAAGACGAGGAUAUUACAUACCUCGAACGGUUCUAUCUGAUUUGCUGCCAAAGUUCAGAAGGUUGAGAACGCUAUCUUUACAAGGAUACUGUAUUGGUGAGUUACCAAUGUCAUUUGAAGAUCUGAGACUUUUAAGGCUCCUCAACCUUGCUGACACUGACAUAAGAAGUUUACCUGAGUCAACAUGCACAUUGUUGAACUUGGAAAUUUUGAUAUUAAGAAAUUGUUCCCGUUUGAUAAAGCUUCCGCCCAAAAUGAGGAAUUUGAUCAAUUUACGCCAUCUCGAUAUAAGAGGUGCGAAGUUGCUGAAGGAGAUGCCGUUCGGAAUGAAGGAGUUGAAGAAUCUUUUACAAGUUUGGAAGAUUUAAAAUGUUUAAACUUUCUUUGUGAUGAACUCUGCAUGAGUGGAUUAGAGAAUGUGAAUAAUCCACAGAAUGCAAGAGAAGCCACAGUAUGCGAGAAGCACAAUCUUGAAGCAUUGACUCUAGAUUGGGGGUCUCAAUUUGACAAUUCUCGAGAUGGAGUAGUAGAAGAGCAUGUACUGGAAAUUCUACAGCCCCAUAAAUGUAUAAAAAAGGUGGCAAUCAGGAACUAUGGUGGUGCAAGAUUUCCGCAUUGGAUCGGAGAUCCUUCGUUCUCCAAGAUGAAGGUCCUUAAAUUGGAGAACUGUCACAAUUGUGUAUCGUUGCCGUCGCUUGGCCUGUUGAGUUCACUUAAGCACCUUGCUGUUAAAGGGCUGAAGAAACUAAAAAGCAUAGAGUCUGAGGUUUAUGGGGAGGGUUUCUCAAUGCCUUUUCCAUCACUGGAGAUUCUAAGUUGCGAGAAUUUGCCAGAAUGGGAGCAUUGGGAUACCGAGAUCAAAGGAAAUGUGCCUGUUGAUAUAUUUCCUCGUCUCCAAGAACUUUCCAUUGCAGAAUGUCCCAAACUCUCUGGACAACUGCCUGAGCUCCUGCCUUCCUUGGAGACACUUGUUGUUAGUAAAUGUAAAAAGUUGGUAGUUCCAUUGUCUUGCUAUCCGAUGCUCUGCAGAUUAGAAGUUGAUGAGUGCAAAGAACUAGUCUGCCGGACUCCGAUUGAUGUUAAGUUGAUAAAGUCCAUGACUAUUUCAAAUAGUUCAUUAGACCUGAAUGGAUGUAAGGGGAUGCUAUACGAUGGUCCAGCUGGCUCUUCACUGCCAAAGCCCAUGACUACUACAAAUGUUUUGGAGUUUGGAAAAUUAUUGAAGCCUGGAUUUCAGAUAUUCGAAACUUUGGUAAUUGGCAAUUCUGAACAGCUCAAGUCAUGGAGGCAGCAUGGGGAUUUUCCUAAAAAAUACAUGGUCACUGACCAUAGGUUUAAGAAACCAGUACCAGGGCUGAAUAUGCUCGCUUCCCCUGAAGAGGUAAAAAUUGAAGAAAGCUGCGUAAGUCUUGUUUUGUUUCCAGAGAUCAAUUUUUUUCCCAGAAAUCUACGCUCUCUUCUAAUUAAAAACAGCACAACUUUAAAAUCCUUACCCGAGGAAAUGAUGGCAACAAUUCACAACUCGAAAGGUUGUAUAUCAGAGAUCGCGACUGUCUAACAUUCAUCGCAAGACGGAGGCUACCGGCAUCUCUUAAAAGGCUUGAGAUAGAAAAUUGUGAGAAAUUGCAACGUCUGUUCGAUGAUGAAGAGGAUGCUUCUUCUUCUUCUCCUGCAUCCUCGUCGUCCCCAGUGAUGCUGCAACACCUGAGUAUAGAGAACUGCCCAGAGCUCACCAGUUUAUCAUCGGGUGUCCAAUUCCUUGAGGCGCUUGAAUUCCUCGAGAUACGGGAUUGCCCAAAGCUGGAGUCAAUACCGGAUGGCCUGCCCAAUCUUAAAUGUUUACAGAGCAUUUAUAUAUGGAAAUGUCCAAGUCUUGUUCCUUCCCAGAAAGAGGGCUUCCCAACACGAUUUCAAGGGUUGGCAUUGGCGAAUGUGACAAGCUCGAAGCCUUGCCCAAUGAUUUGCACAAAAUCAACUCUCUUCGAUAUUUAAGCAUACAGCUGUGUCGAAAUCUUGUAUCGUUUCCAGAAGAAGGUUUUCCUACCAGUCUAACAUCACUUAGAAUUGGAGAUUUCAAAAUGUAUAAGACCCUCGUCCAGUGGGGGUUGCACAGGCUUACCUCUCUUAGACGCCUCUAUAUCGUUGAUUGUGAUGACGAAGCAGAGUGUUUUCCAGACGAGGAGAUAGGAAUGACGCUGCCCACCUCUCUCACUGAUCUGUACUUAUCGGGAUUCCAAAAAUUGAUAUCCCUGUCUUCGACGGGUUUUCAGAGCCUCAACUCUCUUCAAUAUUUGUUGAUCGCGGGUUGCCCAAAUCUCACAUCAUUUCCAGAGGUGGGCCUUCCAUCCUCACUUUUGGGAUUAUUCAUUUUCAAAUGUCCAAAGCUUAAAAGAGCGUGCAAAAGAGAUCAAGGAAAAGAGUGGCCCAAAAUUGCUCACAUCCCUUGCGUUGAGAUAGACGAAAAAUUCAUAUACGAUCCCGAAUCAGAGGAGUAGAUUUCUGUUAUCCAUUAAAAACGAUCUCCUAUUAGUUUUAUUUUUUAAAUAAUAAUUUUGCAGUUCUGUUUUCUGUAUAAUUAUAAAUCCUCUGCCGUUAAUUAUUGACAAUGUCACUCACGUGAUUCCGUCUUCACUAAUCAGACUGUAUGUUGAGGCUAUUUGCUUUUUAAUCAAAGAUUAAAUUAUAACAUUUAUCUUAAAAUUGAAUAUCAUAGACAGAUAGACGAUUUUUAAAUCCAAAGUUUUUUGAUCCACUUCAAUUAGCAUUUAUUUUUUCCCCCAAAACAGGCAAGCCGAGAGUUUCAAUCAAGAAUUGGAGGAUGUGAAUGGGAUUUUUGUGAAAACAUAAUGGAUGAACGAACAUUUCAUCUGUGAUCUCAAAGUCAACAGAAUUUUAUUUACUCAUUGACUUUUCAACUCCUGUGGUUAUUUAUGGGUGAAAGAUAAGGGCAAUUACAAGAAAUUUGCAAACUUUGUCAACUUCUUUUAAUUGUACCAAUUUGUCGUUUAUGUUUUAGUUUUAUUUUUUCAGUUUUGUUUAUUGCUUAGAUGGUAGAUAUAUCGACAUUUUAGAUUUCAGAUAUUUGUCACCAGUUUCAUUCCCUUUUUUUUCGUUUUUUUAAGCUAGUUUGACUAAUUUUAACCAGAAUUAGAGCAGAAUAUUUUGGAGCGAGCAUACUUGAAAUGAUGCUUUUUAAUUUUGAUCUAGUAAAAAUACAUAGCCCUCACCGGCAGAAUUCUAGUCCCUACCGGGAUUCAAGAAAUUGAAAUUUCUGUCUUCAACGGGUUUUCGAAGCCUGACCUCUCUUCGAUUUUUGUGGAUCGGGAAUUAUAAAUUUACAGUUGUCAGAAGCUUGAAAAAGUGCGCAAAAGAGAUCGAGGAAAAGAAUAUUUCUCUGUUUAGUGAAGGAUGAAUGCUUGGAGUGGAGUAUUUGGUAACAUUUCUGUUUAGUUAAGGAUUUUGAAAUUAAUGAUGGUAAGAUGUGUACUUAUUCUUUCUUCCAGACAACCUUGCCUUCUUUCUUCGGUAGCAUAUCUAAUGAAUAUUUCUCUGUUUAGUUAAGGAUGAAUGCUUGCAGUGGAGUAUUUGGUAACAUUUCUGCCGUAGAUGAAUCCUUGAAGAAAUGCCUGCACUUCCUGAGACCAAAUACAGGUCUGAUUCAAAACAACACCUGUCCCAGAAAAUAUGAUACAAGGCAAAGCCAUGUUCUGAUAAUGUUUCCUUAAGUACAAAGUUGCAAGGAAACUUGAUUCAUUAACUACAAAUUUUUAUUUUUAGGACCUUGCAUCUGAAAGGUUCAGUGUAAUUUUUUUUUUUCAAUUUAUUGCUCAGAUCUCAGACGAGUAUAUGGUUUAGAUUACAAAACACUUACGAUUAAUUUCAUUUUUUUUUAUUUCAGGGAGAAGAAGUGGUCAGUUUCAAUCCAGAAUUGGAAUAUGGCAAUUUGGUGCAAGCACAAAUACCUGGUCACUUCGUCAGUGAACCUGAACUUUACUGAACUUUACACAGUUUUUUCAACUCAGUGAUUUUUGGAACGCAUAUUGGUGUAAGGAAAUCAAACGAAAUUUAUGCAUAGUCAAAUUCUGAUAUUUGCUAUAUUUUAUACAUUCUAAAGUUUCUCCAGUUUGUUCUCAGAUUACCAUCACUUUUUGCCUUCACCAAAAAAAAAUAUAUAUAUAUUUGAGUGGCUUUCCGGUGGAUAUUUAAUCGGAGGCAUGACUGGAUUUUUUUUCACUUCUGUAGAUCUUGCAUUUUAAACUGGCAAAUUUAACUUUAAUUUCAAUACGACUUUGUUGGUGCCUUCUGUUCCAGGAGCUAGAAAGAUGUGUAGUUUUCAGAUAAAGGGGCUUGUGAAUUCUCUAGUAAGAAUCCAAUAAUUUGCUUUUGCACGUUCAUUUUAUUUGUAGAUCCUUGCAUCUGAAUUUGAUCAAUCCAAAAGGAACUGCUUUUAGAGGGAAGAAGAAUAGCAGUACCUAUUCGAUGACAUAGUGUAUGGACCCUCACAUGUUAACUUUCAUGAAAAACACAUUUAAGAAAUUUGCAACUUUUUGGUUAGUUAUGUAUCCAAUGUUGUUUUCUGUUUUAGCAUUUGUAGAAUCUACUGUAUUAUAUUUUGGCAGCUACAGUAUCUGAGGUAUCUUUUGCAUUUAACUUGCUUUAUAUGUUUUGUCUGUGACUUAAGAACACCAAUAUUUGCCAGAGAUUUAGAGAAGCAUAUCAAGAUGCUUGGCUAACUUGACAAACUUCAAGAUCCUUCAUUCUUCACAAUGCAAAACUUGUGAGUACACUUAUGCCCGCAAUUAUUGUGAAAUGCUUGCAAUUUUGAUGCAGCGAAAUGGUUUGUUGAUGCAAAGGUUUGAACUUUUAAGGUUUACCCUGCAGGGUAGUUGGAUGCUGUAUACUCGAAAAGCCACCAACAUCAAGAACUAUACCUCCAAGACUGGGUUUGCAUUAAUUCAAUCAGCUGAAAUAAUGAUGCAAAGGACACUAUCAGCUGGACUUAGAGACCAGUCAGAUCAAUUAUCCAUUUUAUCAACAGUUAAUGUCAUCAUGGUGGCUAUUAGAGGAAACAGAGGAUGUGUCGGAAUCAAUAUGAACAGUGAGAAGAAUGAGAGGAGCUUUGAUUAUAAAUUGGCUCAAUGAACUCAUGCUGGUAAGUGGUAAUUAAAGAAAUUUGUGCGCUUAGCAGAGUUUCAAUAUUUUCUGUUUGGGAUAUAGUUGAUAAGUUGAUACUCUGAUUAAUAAGCCUGAUUAUAGUAGCUGACUGUAUUAACCAGGUUCUUUUCUUUCUUUUUUUUUUGGUGGUUUGCUGUUGUUUUGAUUAUGCUGUAACUACAAGGAAGAGCCGGACUUGGAUGCAGGCGUUCAGCUUUUAAUGGUUAAGAACAAAUGUAUGCUUUAACCAUGUUUCUCACUUAUUACAAUGUACGCAUUGAAGGCAUCUGAGCUGAUCCUGAAAAUGUCAUGGAAAUACUUCUCUGUUUACAUAAAACAGGACAAAUAGAGAUCUCUGAUCAUGCCUGAGAAUUCGUUGCAUUGAAAUUUCUACCAUUGCCAAAAAUAGAAUAAACUAGGGAUACAUUAGCGUAAGACUCAAUUUUGAGAAGGAAGUUUGUACUUGCAGCCUAAAAAAUCAUGUCUUUGUUGUAUACUUGUAUGUUUCUUUGGGAAAUGAAAGAUUCUGUGUUCUUUUAUUUCAAGUUUGCUGAAAUCACAUUUGUUUUCUUAGAUGCUUUCCAGAAGGUAACAGCAUCAAUUUCAAAAAUGCUGGGGUAAUAUGCAUCACGCAGUGCUACUCAACAUGAGAAAUCCUGGCUGCAUUAACUGUAUGUUGAGUGAUCGCACAGUACAACCUUGAGAAGCUUGUAAGGAGUAGACAACUAGAUGCGAGUAGUUUCAAUAUGGAUUCGCAUCAAAUGAUUUCUUGCCACUGAUUACCAUAACUUCUAUCCCAAAAUUCUGGGAACUGGUCAUACCAGCUAUGAAGUAUUGUAUACGUUGAAGAGCUCAAGGCCUUGCAAAAGCUCCGUCAGCCUUUGUAUUGGCAAACAGAUGGUUGUAGUUGCUUCUGAAUGAUAUGAUUAAUAGAUUCUGUAAAAAUGAAUUGUGCUAUACGCUUUCAGAGUUCUGUUAAGAUGUCUUGGUAGUUUUUGAUGCUUGUUUGAUUUAUAUUGCAUUCAGCUAUAAAUCAAAGGUUCAGAACACGAGUAUGUUGCUGAUUUCCAAAUAGAAAAAUUGCCUUGUGAUGUUAGUGUCCAUUGUUUUCACAGGAGAUCAGGUUCCUUGUUAUUGAAUCAAGAAGGCAAACGCAUCCAUGUCUGAGUUCAAUUGUGUCCCUUCUAUUUUCUAUUACUGACUCAUUUAUUUUGAUUUCUUCAUUGUGAUUGAAUUGGUUUUUUAUUCCAAAUUAGUCAAAACCUCAUAGAGUUAUUAAGUUCCGUUAGCAUUCAGAACUACGUACCAAAUGAUUAACAGGAUUAAAUUACAAUAAAGAAUUAAGUUCUUUAUUGUAAUUGAAUUUGCUUUCUCAUGUUUAGAGAUAUUAUGUUCUGGUUAGGGGUGAUUUCUUGAAGAGUCAAUCCAUUUGUGUUUAUACAUUUUUCUAUUGCCUUGAUUUCUGUUUUCUGGGGAGUUUAUACAGAUUCUUAUUUUAUGCUUCACAUGCCACAUGAAAGAUCAAAGCCUUCUGUCUGAACAUAAUAUACGUAGAAAGUUAAAUUUAUUUAUUUAUAAGCAUGUCCCAGUGCCCAGUGGCAUCCUCUUAACUUGUGAUAGUCAAAUGUAUUAUACGAUACAAUAUCAGCUUGACUUUAGCAUAGAGGAGAAUAGGGUUGGUGUUGGACUGAAUUCUGAUCCUUGAAUAAAUAUAACAGCUGCCUGAACCAGCUUAUUUGACUCCACAACUUUAUACUUGUUUUAUAGUCUAUGCCUACCUCCAUCGUCGGCAGCUUACAGUCUCUUUUAGCAUUUUAAAAAGUUUCAUGAUAUUCCAUAGUUCGCAUGGACUGCUACAAUUUAGAGAAACAUAAUUACGGCAUAUUUAAUUACCACGCGAGGAGUCUUCUUUUUUGCGCACCAAUAAUUCUUUGUACUUAAUUAGAAGAUGAGAAAUCCUUUAGCCGAACCACGAACUCACCUAUUAGUGGGGUUUUUUCCGCUUGCAUUCAGUCGCUCAAGUGAAAAUUGCGUGCAAUUUUUUCCUCAACUAAAAUUGGAAUAGAUAUUUUGUUAUUGCUGGCACAAAUUUUCCUUUAAGUCAAAUUGGAAUAGAUGUUUGUGAGAUGCCUAGACCUGAGAUUUUGUUAUGAUUAUAUGCAUUAAAGCUUUCGGUAGACCCUUGAAAUCUUAUGAUCAAUGUAUUAGAAAUUUAGAAUUGGGGUUUAUAAGAGCUAGUUUGACCAUGUUAUAACUUUUAAAAUUAUUGUUGCUAAUUGUGUUAUAGAAAUAAUUAAUCAGUUGUAAAAAUAAUUAGUUAAACAUUUGGUAAAUUUUAUUUUUAAAAGUGUUAGGAGUUUUAAAAGCAGACGUACGUACUUAGUAAAUCUCACUUUUAAAAUAUUAUAAGAAUGCAAAAGGUUUAAAUAUAUAUAAAUCUAUACAAUUUAUUUACACAUGCAUUUAUAGAUACAUGUAUAUAUAAUAAUUGAUAACUAAAAUAAAGAUUUUUAUUUUAUUAAUUUUUUUUGUUAUCUAAAAAAAGGUAAUAAUAAUAUCUUUAAUGACGUAUUUAUUAAUCAGUAAUCGGAAUGGACUGGAAUCAAAAUGGAGGAAUGGAAAUCGGAAUAAAUUGUUUACUUUAACUAUCAAUAUUGGAAUCGCAAUGAACUGUAUUAUCACUUAUAUAUUUAUUUUAUCUGAGAAUCAGAAUGGAUUGAUUUAAAUUACUAGACAGACCUUAUUAUUAUUAUUAUUAUUAUUAUUAUUAUUAUCAUCAUUAUUAAAUAAGGUAAAAAGGAAUUUUCAAUUUUUACUGAAGUAAAAAUAUCAAUUCACUUCUCAUUUUCAGCCCUAGGGAAUGAGACUCCCAUUCCACAUUCUAGAAUUUAUAGAGUCCACUCAAAUUUUCAUUCCCAUUCCCCCUCCUUGUUUUGCAAGUAAACAAGUUAAUAAUCCUAUUCUCUCAUUUCUACUCCCAUUCUCAUUCUCAAGUACUAACACAUCAAGGUAUUCGGUUCGGUUUUUGCCCAAUAGAACUGAAAUUAUUCGGUUUGGUUUGAUUUGGUUUAAUAUAAAAAGCCAAAGGGUUUAUAUUUUUAUGAACCAAAUGGUUUGUAUUUGAUUCAAUUCUAAAACUGAACCGAAAGCACAAACCAAUCGGUUCACGUAAUUUUAAUUAUUUUUAGAAAAAGAAAAACCAAAACUAAAUCGUAGAAUGUGAAUCCCUAAAAUCUAAAUCCCUAAUUCUCCUAACUAACUAAAACUAAUCACAGAACAACACAACCACAACAACCUAGCAAGCGCAGCGGUAGCCCCUCGAACCACGCUCACUCUCAAGUAUAGCAUGACAAUAGGGCUCUCUCAUGCAAUGAUAGGUAAUUUCUUAGUUUAGAAGGGAAAGUAAGAGAAACAGAGGAAGAAUAUAAGUUGAUUAAAAGGGAAAAGUCAAUUCUUAUUCCAAAAACUUGCUUAGUGCAAGUUCAAUAGGGUCUCUUAAAUAGACCUAUACAUAUAAUAAAAACUAGAAAAGACGAAAAUCACUUGAAAAUAAAAAGCAUGAUCACUUAAAUGGUAAACAUACAUAACCGCCAUGAGCUACAUGCAACCUAAGUCAAAUAAUCAACUGAAGAAACUUGAUCCCCAUGCAUAUUGAGCACAUACCAUUCCCCACCCUUUAGAAACACCUUGUUGGUGCGGUUAAAGUGAGGGUGAGCCUUUGAGAAUCACCAACAGUUCCAACGAGUGUCCUCAAUUGCUGCUCCUAUCCCUAUAACCAGUAUUGAGUUGUACGAAUGGCACAUGAUCUUCAAUCAUGAAUAGUUGCAGCUUUUAACAACAGUGUGAUACAAACUAAUAAAAAUAAUAAAAAUUAUUUAUUUUAUUUUAUUGUAUUAGUUAAUUUUGAACUAGUCAAAACUAGUUGCCCUUAUUUUGUGGAACUACAUGUAAUUAGUGGAGCAUUAUGUGAGAACAUGCUUAGUGUUACUAAUUUUUAGGUUGUAAUCCUAAAUAAACUUUUAUUAUAUAAAGCUUAAUGUUACUCAAUAAAAAGGAUCAUGAGUUUAUUAUUUUGGCAACAUAAAAGUUGUAAUUGGGAGUUUAUUGGUUUCUCGAAUAACCAAUACUUAUUUGGAGGUUUGGAUUUCCUUGAAUUAACUCCAUUUGUCAUCUAAUUUUUCUAUUUCAUUUGAUUUCUCCUUAUAAACUUUAGUGUUCGUAUCACAGUGGCCAAGAAUAAGUUUCUCGUCACAAUAAUAACACAACCCUUUUCCACGAUGAGCAUGUGCUUCUUAGUUAGAUAGUUGCUGGAUAUGAGGGGAAGCGAUGUCAUCGGCUAUUUAAUCAACCUUAGGAGGUGGACCUAAGACUCUAACAAAGCUAUUUGGGGUUGGUUGCUAUAUCACCAAAAUAGAGGGUGGUAGAGAAAAGUGACUAGUGCAUUGAGAAAGUGAAUUUCGCUCCUCAAUCAGUCUUGUCACACCAAUGGUGUUAGCCAAGGUAAAGGGCUAUUUAAUCUUGACAUCUAGUUGUAUCUCAUCCUGAAGACCUACAAUAAAACAACCAAUUAAAAAACAUUCGAGUAAGCCAUCAACCUAAUAUAAAAGCUUUUCAAAAGUUUAUUGAUAUUAAGCUAAUAAUGGAAGUCUAUUUCAGGUGCAUCAAAGCCUUAGAUGGGUCCUCAUAAUCCAUUAGUUCGAAUCGUAGAAGGACUGUUGUUGAUGCUGAAAUCUGCUCGCCCUCUACCCAACCAAAUCAUUCCACCAACAUUUGUGUAUGCAAUGGAGAGAAUACUGCCCUUUUGCCUCCUUCAGCAACUGCGGAUGCUCCAGGGGUUGGAAUCACCUUUUUCCCUUCUUUCUAAUCCUGCACUCACAGAGAUAGAUCAGAGACGCCGGUGGUUUUACCAGCAUAAACCCUCCAAUACUUAAGUUAGCACAAGGUGUUUUACGGGAAAACUAUGUAACUUGGAUUGUUUGGUUUCUCGUAAUGCUUUCUAAAACUUGUAAAGAAUAUAAUCUGGUUUCAAUUUGGCAGAGUUUUCCUUUUUCUCUCAAUUUUUCCAUCCCUUUUUUCAUUGGUUUCCCGGCUUCUUGUAACCGUUGUCCCACGUUCCUAUCUACUCCUCAUGCCCCCCCUUUUAUCGGGUGAUGGCAGGCCUUCAUGGCCUCCAACCACUGGAUUGUGGGUAAACAUGGGAUGACAUGUCCCUCUUGACGGUUUGGGGCAUAGCGAAACUACCGCAUUUUCGUGAGAUCGUGUGCCCCUUGUUUGGGUGAUGGGUAUCUGGUUGGUAUAUGUCUCUAGUCGGUACAUUCCUCUGGUCGGUGCUCGUCUCUAGUAGGCCCACUUUUGUAUGAGGCGUUUUACCAGGGCUCUUUUUGUGCCGCUCAGUUGAGGUGAUUCACCUCGGGGUGGGAAAUGAGGGCAUGGCUGAGCUGGUGCUCUUUAUUACUUAAUACCAGUCCCCUAGUUUCUGGUCUUGCGAGUGAAAUGAGUUGAGAUUAGAAACUAAGAAUCGGAUUUUAUCGACCCCGGGAAAUUCCUAUCUGGUCUUCGUGUUAUUGUGAUGGACCUGAGGUUCUGCCUUUUGUUUAGGGAGAUUUUUUAUCUAAGUAUGGGCCUUUGUGAGCAUGUCCAAUAUAUAGCUGGGCUAACAUCUCGUCAGGCCUUUUAUAACGGUCAGUGACGUGUCGUUUCUCGUCCUUUCAUAUUUGAAAUUUGAAACGACGGCUUAUCUGCCCUCGAUAUACGGCGAGUGAGCUAGCACCCGUAUAACUUAAACGCUUCCAUUUCCCUAUUUCAUUUCAAAUCCCUAAAUUGAAGCUGUCAUUGCGUUUCACUAUCCGCCAUUUCACUGUAAACUAAGUCCCUCUUUGGACUUCAAUCACACUUUUUGCGUCCGAAACCUCUAUUUGCUGGGUCCUCUCUCCGUCACAGCAGCACUACCAGUGCCAGUUUAUUCUAGGUAUCACUUUUAACUUCUUCGCUGGUUGUUGUUGAUUGGGUUCUGUGUUGCCCCUUUUUGUACCCAUACACUCGGAUUUACUGUGUUUUCCUUUUUGAGUUUUUGAUAUGUCAAACCGAAAGGGGAAACUAAUUGUAGAUGAGAGUGAUGAAGAGGUGGGGGACUCAUACCCCAACCUGUUUGGGCCUAAUGACCCCUUAUCAUCUUCUCGUAGUAUAAGUCUUUCCCAUCAUAGGGAUACCCUAGAGUAUCCUCAUCGCGUGACCACUUUGCCUUCCCCUGAAUUAGAACCCGUGGGAAACCGUGGUGGUUCAGCUUCUUGCUCUGGUGAAAAUCACAGUUCUGAGGGCUGGGGGGGUCCCUGGAAAGUGGGUGAAGGUAAGGAGAGUAGCUCCGAGCCGAGCAGACCCUCUAAGAAGAGAAACUUUGGUCAUAUGAUGGCGGGAGAUGCUUAUCCCAUUGACUAUAUCACCUGUGUUACCACCCACACUGACCUACUCAAGUUUAGAAACCUCUACCAUAUCCCUGAGGUGGUUCUUCUUUUAAUCCCUGGGAAAGGUGACUUCCCCAGUCGGCCUCCAAGGGGAUAUGUCACGAUGGGCACGAUUACCCCUUCAACCUUACUUUGCUUGGAUACUGGGUGGUAUGCAUCUGGCUCCAGGUCAGCUUCACCCGAAUGGGUGGAGGGUUCUCUCAGCCAUGUAUGUGCUAUGGAAAAAGUGUGGACUUGAGGAGCCUUCUCUUGAGGAAGUGAAGCAUUUAUACCAGCUGAUGAGCUUUCCAAGGGAAGCAGGUUGGUACUACUUCAUGUCAAGCUCUGCAAAGAGGAAGCCUGUCACCGACUUUCCUUCUUCCUGUAAAAAUUAGAAGAACAAAUUCUUCUUUGCUGGAGGAAAUUGGUGUCCAACAAUUCAUUCGCUUAGUGGUGAUAUUCACCUCCCAACACAUUUUGUCACCCCAGGUCGUUAAUUUUUCUGCAUACUUCACUUCUCUAAUCGUUACUUAUCGAGUUCCUUAACCUUGUUUGUUCUUUCAGAAUUGUGGGGUUUGAUCAAGAAACUUGACGAUAGACCACUGCUCCAGGUGGAAAUGGCUCUGGUGAACGCGUCUACCUGUCACGAUCUCAUAUCGUUAAUAAAUCUUGUCGGGUUGCACUUAGUGGACGUAGCUAUUGGGAUGGACAACAAGAUCCUCAGCGCUAUGUCUAAGAAACACACUUUGGGUUCAGGUAGCUCCAGCAACCUCCCUCCUCCUUUGAAGAAAGUCAAUGUUGGUUCCUCCAAGGCUUCUGCUCCUGCUCUGCCCCCUCCUUCACCUCGGAAGAAUGGUAGGGAGAAAGUUAGUGACAAGAGCCCCGAGGUCAGCAUUCAAUUUGGAGACCGAUCCUCUCCUCUACCGCCUCGGGACCAGGGUGACUAUCUGACCCUGUACCAGAGAGAUUACAACAAGUCGAUGGGACCAAAAAUGGUCAAGGACAUUGAAAGCAUGAACCUCAGCGAGCUAGGUGGUUCAGUUCAAAUGGUCUCCUUUAAGCUGGCUACUCUGGUUUCUUGCUACAAGAAUAGGUCUACGCGCCAAGAGAGGAGGCUUCAAGCUGAUAACGAGGACUUGAAGAAAAAGGCUAAUUCUGUUGAUCGCUCGAAGGAGAAGCAGAUUGAGCUACACAAGCAGAUCAUGGACCUGGAGGAGAAAGUGGCUAUUGCUGAGUCUAACUCCUCCAAGCUUGAGGGUGAGUUGGGUGAUCUAAAGUCCGAUCUCCAGGUUGCUCACAGUGAACGAGAUACUUUGAGGACGACCCUUGAGGAACAUAUUAGGUCCUUAGAUGAGCAGGUAGCCGAGCUGAAAGGCAAAUCUGUUGAGGUGGACAAUUGACUGGAUGCAGAAUAUAACUCUGGGCUCGCCUUUUGCUACAAGUGCAUCAUGUUUGUGCUUAAGGGAGAAUAUCCUGAGCUUGACAUGAGCAAGCUGGAGGCUGGAGUGCAGAAAUACAUGGCCGAGCCCGAUCAAGGGGAUAAGGAGCAGGGAGAGCAGGAUCAGGUGGAGGCUCCUUCAGAUGGGGUGCAGGAGAGGGAAACAGAGGAUUAUGCUCUUGAAACAGGUCAGGGGUCACUGCCUGCUCCCCCAGAAGUUGCUGGUCCACCUUUUAUCGAGGCUGCUGAACCUCAUAAUCCUUAGGCUUAUAUAUAUAUAUAUAUAUAUAAAUAUUAUUUUGUAUAAAUUCUAAACUCCCAUCUGUCUACAAAUGUUUGGAUGUUUAUAAACUUUGGAUGCUUUUUGUUUGCUUUCUUGCCAUGGUUUUGGUUGUGAAUCGUUUCUACAAGUUACCUUAACAAUUUUGAGUGACUUUGGCUGCUGGUCCUUUUGUCGUCCGAGCAGGAACUGACACUUGUUUGCCUUAGCGAAAUUUGUAAAACUUACAUUUCAGUUUUUCAAACGACUGAGCAGGAACUGGCGUUGGUUUGCCUUAACGAAAUUUUGUAAAAUUGCCUGCUGGUGCUUUAGGCGACCAAGCAGGAAUAGGCACUUGCUUGCCUUCAUAAAAUUUAUAGAUUUGCCUGCUGGUCCUUUAGGCGAUCGAGCAGGAAUAGACACUUGCUUGCCUUAAUAAAAUUUGUAGAUUUGCCUGCUGGUCCUUUAGGCGUCCGAGUAGGAAUAAACACUCGCUUGCCUUAAUAAAAUUUGUAGAUUUGCCUGCUGGUCCUUUAGGCAACCGAGCAGGAAUAUGCACUUGCUUGCCUAAAUAAAAUUUGUAGAUUUGCCUGCUGGUCCUUUAGGCGAUCGAGCAGGAAUAGGCACUUGCUUGCCUUACUAAAAUUUUUAGAACGAGGGAAUUUAUGCUGAAUUCAUCUUUAUUGAACUUUGCAUGGAUUACAAGAGGCGAGAUAUAGUCACGUGUAACAAUUCAUCAUGCUUUUAACAUAAAUAACUUAUUGAAAUAAAACUUGGUAAGGCAGUUUGCUUACUGGAAGUAUUUCUUCAAGUGCUUAGCGUUCCAUGAUCUUUUCACGUCUCGUCUAUCUGGGUAAAUCAGCUUGUACGCUCUUGGGCCAGUUAUUCAUACCACUCUGUAUGGGCCCUCCCAUUUCGGGCUAAGAACACCAUGAAUAGGAUCUCUUGUGCAUUGGUUCACUUUUCUAAAUACCCAAUCUCCUGCUCGGAACUGUCUCAUGCGAACAUUUUUGUUGUAGUAACGCAUGAUCCUUUGCUGGCAUUUGGCUGUUCUCUGCGAUGCCCCUUCUCUUUUUUCCUCCAGCAGGUUCAGGCUCAAGCAGAUCUGCUCGUCAUUUUGUUCUUUGUUGAAAUACUCUGUCCGAUAUGCCCCCACCCCAAUUUUUGCUGGGAUUACUGCCUCAUGACCGAAAGCUAAAGCAAACGGGGUUUCUCCCGUGGCCAUUUUGUGGGUUAUCCGGUAGGCCCAUAACACUCCUAGUAACUCGUCGACCUAAGCUCCUUUUUUUUCUCAUAGCCUGGUUUUCAAGAGUUUCUUUAUUACUUUGUUGGCUGCUUCCACCUGCCCAUUUGCCUUGGGGUGUGCUAGGGUACAAAACUUCAGGUCCACCCCUAAAUUUUGGCUAAAUUCUCUGAAGUUGUGAUUGUCAAACUGUCUCCUAUUGUCUGUAAUGACAGCAAUGAGGAUCUCCUAUCUGCAGAUGAUAUUCUUCCAAACAAAAUCCGUUAUCUUUCUCUCUGUGAUUUGACUGAGGACCCUUACUUCUACUCAUUUGGUGAAGUAGUCUAUAGCCACAAUUGCAUGUAUUACUUCUCCUCGGCCCUUGGGUAAUGGGCCAAUCAGGUCAAUUCCCCACUGAGCAAAAGGCCAUGGGGAUGACAUAGUGGUUAACCUUUCUGGGGGCUGAGCAGGGACUUCCGAGAAGCUCUGGCUGACUUUAUAGUUUUUUGCCAUCCCCGUCGCAUCCUGAUGCAUGGUCGGCCAGAAGUACCCUUGCCGAAGCACCUUGAAAGUCAAAGUUCUCGCCCCCGAGUGGUUGCUGCAUAUUCCUUCAUGAAUUUCCCUCAACACAUAAUUUGCUUCCUCGUCAUCCAAGCAUCUCAAAAGGGGCAAGGUGAAUCAUCGGCGGUAGAGUACCCCAUCGAGUAGCGUAUACCUUGCUGCCUGACAUUUCAACUUUCUUGCUUGCUUCCUGUCCUCUGGUAAGAUGCCCUCACGAAUGUAUAAUAGAAUGGGGUCCAUCCAGGAUUUUUCGAUGCUCACCUGCAUUACUUCUGCUUCCUCCCCUAUGCUUGACGAGGUUCUCACUUUUAGUGGAAUUGACUUGGGUAAUUUUGGAUCUGCAAUUGCGGCCAUUCUGACCAAUAUAUCUGCUCGGUAAUUCUCAUUCAGAUAUAUCUGCUUUAUUUCUAUCUCUUGGAAGAGCUCAACCAUCUGUUUUGCCUUCUUCAAAUAAAGCCCCAUCUUCUCUUCCCUCGCUUGGAAUUGAUCACUGAGCUGAUUACAGACUAAUUGGGAAUUUGCUCAGAUUUCUAUCCUUUUUGUUCGUAGUGCGUGUGCAAACCCCAGCCCAGUGAUGAAAGCUUCAUAUUCAGCUCGGUUAUUCGUAAGCUGAAAUUUAAAUUUCACUGCAUAAGAUACAUCGGCCCCUUCUAGGCUUCGUAUUACAAUUCCUGCUCCAGAUCCCUGUUUACUACGUGACCCAUCAAUUAUUACUAGCCACACCCCCUUUGAUUUCUCCUGCUUCACUGGUUGCUCCUCCCAAAUUUCCUCCCCUAAUUUAACACGGUCAACCAUAAAAUCGGUCAAGGCUUGGGCUUUGAUUGCUUCUCGGGGUUUGUAGGAUAGGUCGAAUUCGCUCAACUCCACGGACCAUUUACUAACCGACCAGAUGCAUCUAGUUUUAGAGCAUUUACCGAAGAGGCUGGUCAGUCAUCACAACUAUCGGGUGGGCCUGAAAGUAAGGUCUGAACUUGCGUGCUACUGUUAUUAAAGCUAGUGCCCAUUUCUCCAUUAGUGGAUAUCUGGUUUCUGCAUCUACCAGGGCCUUGCUAGUGUAGUACACAGGGUGCUGCUUUCCUUCCUCUUCUCUGACUAAUACCGAGCUGGUAGCCCAUUUAAAGACUGCCAAGUACAAAUACAGCUGGUCACCUUCUCCAGGAGUUGAUAGUACAAGGCGCGGGCUAAAUAUUCCUUCAGCUGCCCGAAUGCCUCCUCACAUUCUAACGUCCACUCCAUUUUCCUUCAAUUCUUUAUGAUUUGGAAGAAAUGGUGACAUUUAUCUGUGGCUCGCGAGAUGAAACGGUUCAAUGCUGCUAACUUCCCUGUAAGACUCCGUACCUCUUUAACUGUCCGGGGGGACUUCAUUUUUGUUACUGCCCGUACUUUUUCCGGGUUGGCCUCAAUCCCUCGAUGGCUCACCAUGAACCCCAAAAAUUUACCCGCGCUAACUCCAAAUGCACACUUUUCCGGAUUCAGCUUCAUCUGAUACUUCCUUAGCAGUUCAAAAGUCUCUUCCAAAUGCUUCACAUGAUCCUUCGGUUCCUUGGACUUUGUGAUCAUAUCAUCCACGUAUACCUCCAUAGUGUGACCGAUCAGUGGCUUGAAAAUCUUAUUCACCAACCUUUGAUACGUAGCCCCUGUGUUUUUCAGGCCAAAAGGCAUCACCUUGUAGCAAAAUAAACCCAUGUUAGUUAUAAAGGUGGUACUCUCCUCAUCUUGCUUGUUCAUGGGUAUCUGGUUGUAUCCCGAAAAGGCAUCCAUGAAGCUAAGCAGACUAUGACCUGCCGUUGAGUCCACCAACUGAUCUAUUUUAGGUACGGGAAAGCUGUCAUUUGGGCAUGCCAUAUUAAGGUCUGUGAAAUCCACAUACAUUAUCUAUUUCCCAUUGGCCUUCUUUACCAGCACUACAUUAGAAAUCCACUCCGCAUAUUUAGCCUCCCUUAUAAAUCCUGCUUUCAACAGCUUCUCCACCUCGGCAUUUAUGGCCUCGUACCUUUCCUAGUUAAAGCACCUCCUUUUCUGCAUCACCGGCCUUGCCCCUUUCUUGAUUGCCAACUUGUGGCAAGCUACCCCGCGAUCAAUUCCUGGCAUGUCCUCAUGAGACCAGGCAAAUAUAUCUGCGUGGGACUAUAGGCACUUCACCAGCUCAUCUUUUAUUGCUUCACCUAAUCCUGACCCGAUCUUAAUCACUCUGCUCGGGUUAUUCUUGCUCACAAAAAUCUCCUCCAGUUUCUCGACAGGCUCUUGACGACCCUUCUUAGAAUCUCUUCGGUUAUCCAGAGAGGUAACAUGUAGCGUCUCCUUGGCCGCUGUUGCGUAACAGCUCCUUGCUAUUCUCUGGUCACCUUUUACUACGCCCACAACUCCGUUUACUCUGUAUUUCAAUGCUAGAUAAUGCAUGGAUAUAAUGUAUUAGCUUGCUCUCAUAAAAGGUCGCCCUAGUAUCAUCUGGUAGGGGUUUUUCUCUUCCACCACUACGAAGUCCAGCAUAAUUUUCUUUUUAGAUGACUUCGCUCCUACGGUAAUCGGCAGCUCUAUGAUCCCCAUAGAGGUCAACUGUCUUCCUCCAAAUCCCUUUAAGGAUGUGUUCGUUCGCUCCAAUUUCAAAUCUGCAAUCCCCAUAUCAUCUAGGGCCGACUUAAAUAAUAUGUCGACCGAGCUGCCUAUAUCCACCAAUAUUUGUCGGAAUUCCUUACCCGCCACUAUUACUUUAACUACCAGUGCAUCCUCAUGAGGGUAUAAAAUGCCCUCUUCAUUAUCAUCUGUCCACAUAAUGGGAACUUGUCUUACUUUCACCCUCUUGGUCGUUGGUAAGUUGAAAAGUACCUCUUUGCUGGUCAAAGCGUAUCUCUCAUAAUUCUUUCGUGCUCUGUUUGAGUCUCCAGCCAAUGUUGGCCCUCCUGUUAUCACCUGAAUAUUUAGCUGUUCCCGCUCUAGGCUCCUUUCAACUCCAUCACCCAGCGUAUAUUGUGAUUCAAUGACGGGGGAUACUCCAUCUACAUACUCAUCCAAAUACUGGUUCCUCACCAAAUCUUCCACUUGAGUCUUCAAGUCAUGAUAUUGGCUGAUAGUGUGACUAUGAGUGUCGUGAAAUUUGCAGAAUCUGUUCUUAUCAUGUCUAUGAGCGGGUUUUGUUAUAGGGGCAGGAGGGUACAGCAGGCAUCGUCCCUCGAUUCUCUCAUACAACUCCUCCAUAGAGACUUUCAGUGGGGGUGUACUGUUUGUACGCCAAGCUUUGGUCAAUCAGUUGGACCGUUCAGCUAUCGUGGGUAUCGUUCCGAGCUGGUAUUGUAGGUAGCUGGUUUGGUUGACCAGCCCUGGAGUUAACUAUAUGCAGUACCCUGGGAGCGCUGUGAUAAGGGUGGGCGACUAACUGCCUGAAUUCUCGUUGCCACUCGGGGAAUGAGGGGCGCGGAGGCUGAGCUCAGUUGUGUUGGAGCUGUUGCGGUCUCUGAGCCAUGGGAUAAGGGCGAGACCAAGCUGAUAUUCCACACAUCACUAGCGAUUCUCCAGCUCGCCUUCCUGAUCCGCUCCCGCUCAGGGUUCUUCAAUCUCCAUGUCUCUCUUUGCCUGCUCAUACCCCGUUGAAUAAUUCUGAACGAUGGGACUUCACAAGUUGUACCAUAAUCGGCCUAUUCUUACACCCUCUUUUAAUCCCCUUAACGCCUGCAGGUGAUUGAAAGCUCCCAGAUCAAGCACGGCCCAAUGGUAUCUUUUCACAAAAUCCUGAAGGGAUUCGUGUUCCUCCUGCUUCAUCCCCAUCAAAUCCAUCAUAUCGUCAUCUGGGCCUACUGAUUAUCGGAACAGUGUUGUGCAAAUUUUAAUGAACUCGCAAGCACACGAAUCUAUUGUAGUAUAGAUCAUUGGUAACGAGUGUCGAUCUCAUGAGGAGGUGGAUUUUAAUUGUGUAUAGAAUUGAUUUUGUAAAUGGGUGGUUGGAUUUGUGGUGGAAGUGAUUCAGAUUAUCCUAAAAUUGGAAUUAAAAUGGUGAAAAUAAUUUGAAGAGAAUUCUAUUGAAAUGACGUACUUGGGUAUCUGGAUCCGUAUCAACAUGCAUCAUGGGCUAAAUAUUCCUUAUUAAUACCAAUUAAAUCAUGAGGGGGGAAUCCACACCUCAUGAACCACGCUCUAAUCAAUAUGGUGUUAAGGGCUUAUCGUGCCAAAUAAUAAUAACCUGUACUAGAGAGCCGGUGUAACCAAGGCGGUAUCUAGACAAUACUAGUAUUAUUUGUCAACGAGAAGUCAAAACAUCCAAAAAAACUAGAGGGGAAGAGAAAAUAAAUUUACCAAAUAAAGCCCAUGACACAUGUUGAGACUUCACCUUCAACCCAAGCUUGAAAGAAAAUUAGCUACUCAUAAUUGAACUAGGGGCAAAAUGGGAAUUUAUUAAAAUACGUAGAAAAUACAAGAUGGAGAGAGAAUUACAGAAAAUGGAGUCCAAAAAUGGAUUUAGGGAUAUCAAAUUAGGGGGAGAGGCCCCCUUUUUAUAGAUACAUUGAGUAAAUCGUGGUCAUCGGAUAAAAAAUAGUUUGGACGCUCAGGAUUGCGCCACGUCAUCAGUCAACAGUCCGCGUGAACAGUACACGAUUUGACCACGCGGAUGAACAGUAACACAGUUUGACCCGGGUGAACAGUGACGCAGUUUGGUUGAAAAUGAUCCUGUGUGUUGCAUGUACCGUACAUGAGAUUUUUGAUCCACUGAUAUGCUGCCACGUCAUCGAUCAACAGUGCAUAAGAAUUUUAGUCCAACAGGAUCGUGACACCUCAUCAGUCAAUGCCACAUCAUCGGUCAAUGCCACGUCAUCGAUCCGUCUAUGUGAACAGUGCCGUGAACAGUAACGUAGACAGUACCCGUACAUGUGAAUAGUACCGUAUAUGUGAAUAGUAUUAUUUUUCUUUUUAUGCUCCUCCUAAGAUUUUUGACCGUCCUAAGUUCAAAAAUGAUGUCCGUUUUGCCAUCUGAUCUCUCGUUUAUUGUGAAAUGACUGUGAUACCCCUAAAAUACAUAAAAUACUUGAUUAAAAUAAAACACACGUAAUUAAAUUACAAGUAAGGGUUGUUAGUAAGACAUUUUCUAACACUCAACAAACAGCUCGGCCAACUCUUGGUAUAUCUGCUCGUAUCCCCUUAUACUUCCUCGUGGUAGCUUACGAUACCAUUCUCUGGCUCGUCCUUCUAGUGUCAAUGGGAACACCCUGCACCUCUGAGCUGCUGUUAGCCCCUGUAUGCCCGUCAUGUCAUUGAAGCACUCAAUGUGCACUAGCGGGUCGCUUCUCCCGGAGUACUUGAGGUUGGGAAAGCAGAAAUCUCUUGGGAUAAUAGUGCUUAUGAUCUCGGCUGAUAGCGGAGAUUCUUCAUCCAGCAUUAUCCUCCAGCUUGGAGGCUUUCUCUUGCCCUAUAUCUCAUCCAUCACCUGCGCUAGCCUGCGCACCUCACCUUCCAAUUCCAAAGCACGGUCAAGGUCGCGCGCAGCUACUUGAUCUCGCUCCUGCUCGGCAUUAUGCAGUCGCUGUCUGAGCUCGCCUUCGUCAACAUUUACUCCUCGGUCAUUGAUUUCUAGAACUCGCCCAAGGCGAGAUUGAUCUCUCCUUUCAUCCACACGCUCCCCGGGGAUCCGACCAGCACUUCUAUGGGGAUGUAUCCCAUAGGGUUGUUCUACUAGCGGAGGGAUCUCCUCGAUUCUACGCCUUCGUAGGUUGGGUUCCGCCAUAGUUUCAUCCCUUACCACAGUGGUCUCGCCUUCCCUUCUCCGCUCAUCCCUAAAGUCAUAUAAUAUAGCUGUGAGCGUCUCCAUUUGGUUUGCCAUCUGUUCCAUUCGGUCUUGCAUCAUCCUCUCUCUAGCUUCAUUCGCGAUCUCUCGGAGAGUGAUCGAUUCACCAGUUUCAUUGUCGCCCCCUAAGGCGUCCUUCCUUGUCAUAUCCAUAACUAAUCGUUCACUGCGUCUCUGGUGAUUACUAACUUGAUGGUAGCUUUUUAUCCAGCUCCCUACAGACGGCACCAAAAUGUUGAUGCUGAAACAUGCUUGCCCUCUGCCCGGCCAGAUCGUUCCACUAACGUUUGUGUAUUCAAUGGAGAGGAUACUGCCCUUUUGCCUCCUUCAGCAACUACGGAUGCUCCAGGGGUUGGAAUUACCUUUUUCCCUUCUUUCUAAUCCUGCACUCACAGAGAUAGAUAAGAGACGCCGGUGGUUUUAUCGGCGUAAACCCUCCGAUGCUUAAGUUAGCACAAGAUGUUUUACGAGAAAAUUAUGUAACUUGGAUUGUUUGGUUUCUUGUAAUGCUUUCUAAAACUUGUAAAGAAUAUAAUCUGGUUUUAAUUUGGCAGAGUUUUCCUUUUUCUCUCAAUUUUCCAUCCCCUUUUUCAUCGGUUUUCCAGCUUCUUAUAGCUGUUGUCCCACGUUCCUGUCUACUCCUCAUGCCCCCCCUUUUAUUGGGUGAUGGCAGGCCUUCAUGGGCCUCCAACCACUGAAUUGUGGGUAAACGUGGGAUGACAUGUCCCUCUCGAUGGUUUAGGGCAUAGCGAAACUGCCGCAUUUUCGUGAGAUCGUGUCCUCCUUCUUUGGGUGAUGGGUAUCUGGUCGGUAUAUGUCUCUAGUUGAUACAUUCCUCUGGUCAAUGCUCGUCUCUAGUAGGCCCACGUUUGUAUGAGGCAUUUUACCAGGGCUCUUCUCGUGCCGCUGAGGUGAUUCGCCUCGGGGUGGGAAAUAGGGGCAUGGCCGAGCUGGUGCUCUUUAUUACUUAACAACUGUCUUUGAAAAUUUUGGCUAAGUUAGUAGGCCACAAAAUUUUAUUAACCAUCUAUGCAAUUAUAGAGCAAUCCCCUCCAAAUAGAAUGAUGCCAAUUGUAUUUAUUGUUCUAGGACUACAUUCUCAAAUCCGAAGAAUUAUUCCACCUUAUGAAUCCAACCAGUCGGAUCAUCUCCGUUGAAAUUUGGAAAGUUUAGUUUGAGAUAGUGGUGAUGGUUGGGAAAGUUUGAGGAGAAAGGUUUUAUGGCUUGGUUAGAGGAUGUUGUAGCCUGUAGGUGCAAAGGGGUUAAUUUCAGAGGCAAUUAUGUGUGAGGUUUGUGAUGCACGAAGAGAUUGAAGAUUUCUUGAACCUCAUUACGAAACUCAGCAUUUGAUUGACUUCGGGUAGCCGUAUUUCGAGCAACCUUUGUUUGAUACCAGAUGAUAGGUAAUUUCUUAGUUUAGAAAGGAAAGUAUGAAAAGUAGAGGAAGAAUAUAAGUUGUUUAGAAGGAAAAAGAUAAUUUUUAUUCCAAAAGCAUGCCCACUAUAAAUCCAAUAAUUUCUCUUAAAUAAACCUAUACAUAUACCAAAAACUAAAAAACUAGAAAAGAGGAAAAUCACUUGAAAAUAAGAACAUGAUCAAUUAAAACGGUAACAUGCACAACCGCCACGAAUCAAAACCAAUCGAUUUUAAAUAGUAUGAAUUGAAAUCAAAUUAAACCAAACCAAACUAAAUCGGACCGAACCGAAAUAUUAGGUUCGGUUCUAAAUUUUGGUUUGAUUUUGGUUCAGUUCUAAAUUUUCGGUUCGAUUCUAACUUGUUGUUUUAACACCACGAUUUAUGUUCGUUGGAAGUAUCUUCCUCGUCGUCCAAAAUUCAUCCCACUUGCAGCUCAUUCUCUCAUGCAAUCCCUCAUCUUCUGUAGUGAUUUGAUUGCUCUGAUAACUAUAAGCAAUAAACCACUGCCCAAGAAAUUUUGCCAAGAACAAUUCAAGAUGAAAAUAAGCCAAUGAUUGAUUUAAAGUUCUAAUGAUGAAACGAAACCUUAGCUCUAGGUUAAUGGAGAUUUAACAAAAGAUUGAAACAAAUCAAGAAGCAAACACACUCAAUGCAAAGACAGGAUUUUAAUGUGGUUCAAUUAUGCACAAAGUUCAUAAUCUACAUCCGCGGGAGAAGCCACAAAAAUCUCUUUAUUGAUGAUUCAAGAUGAAUUUUAUUGAGAAAAUACAGAGAUCGUUACAAGGAACAAGAUUACUCUUUCUCACUUUCUAGAAACUCUCUGAAAAGCUCAAUCACACACACGUAAUCUGCUUCAACAACCAGCCUCUUUAUACUCUCUUAUGAAAACCCAGAUUGCACAGCCCUUUGACACGUGUGUAACAGCUUCUAACGACUUGAUUCCUCCCUCACAUGCUAGCUCACGUGUUUUACUUAAGUUUCCUAAAAACGACACAAAGCAAUGUCGUUCUGCCUUAUGCUGAAGAGCCCGUGACUGCACGUGAGUUGUAAGUAAUUCCAACUGAUCAAAACGCAAUCGUUUUGGGACUCUGAGUUUUGAAUUCAUAACACUCCGGUCCACAUCUUCCUCACCCACUAAUAUAAACAAAGCACAAAACAAUUCCAAUCUCAGAAUUAAGAUCAUGCUCAGACAAAUCCUUAAGCCCAUCAGCGAUCUAUCGUCUACUGCGAGCUAAUCGAGAGUGCCAUCUAAUACGAGGUGGCUGAGAGACCGUGAGAGUGAGAUGUUGACCAGAGAUAGACAUAGUGAGAGUGAGCGUGGUUGCGUGAGUGUGGAAGAAAGGGGAUGCUGCUAUGCUGCGUGUUGUGCUUGAGAGUGAGCAUAGUUGCAUGAGAGAGAGAGGGGCUACUGCUAUGCUGUACUUGAGAGUGAGGGUGGUUGCAUGAUAUCUGCUCAAUAUGUAUGGGAUGAAGUUUCUGAUGGGUAAAAAUCAUGUUUUUAAAUUUUUAUAAAACCUUUUUAAGAUCGCUUUCAUAUAAUAUAUAAGAAUUUGUAAUCUAGAAAUCAUACCUUGAAAAUCCGAUUUAGCUUUUUCCGCUGGAAUGAUUUAGGCUCCCAGAUCACGAUCCAUCACCACCACUCCUGUUAGAUUACGAUCCGUCACCACCACGCUUGUUAGAACACGAACUGGCACCAAUGAUCUUCCAGGUUAUGACUCAAGUUUGAUCUGCACUUGACGUGUGGGCGCCUUUAUCACUACCAAAGCAACUAGCACAAGAAAACUUUUCUCUCAACAAUAGAGAGAAAAAUCUUUUUCUCUGAUCUGUAUAAAGUGCCUGCUCCCUUUUUCUUUAGAGAAAAUAAGCAUUUUAUAUCUCCCUUUAGUGAAAACCCUAAGCUCCAAAAAAUCAAAAAACAAAACUCACGUUACUUGCUUUUUCUAUAGGGGACACACCUUGUAAAAUAACAUAAUAGCCCUUACACACAAGCGAAUUAAAUGGAGCCUCCCACUAAAAGAUAUAUUUAGGCUUUUGACCCAAAUAGCUUAUCUUACUUAUUAGUCCAGUAGUGGUGCAUUCAAUUAAAUGAGCUAACCCGGGGAUCAUUUGGGAACAUACAAUAGUGGCUAUAACAAUUAGACCUGUAAUUAAACUAGCCUAAUUAUUUAAUUCCAAAUCUACUCCACUAAAAGAUUGGAAUUGACCUCCAUAAUUGUAUGCUCGAAUAAUAAUUUGUCCCAAGUCUAAUUGAUUUCUUUACUGCACAAUCCUUUGUAUCACAUCGUUAAUUCAAUUGAUAUCUCAACUGUCCAAUCAAUUUAAUAACAUCUUGUUCCUUGAUACUUAUUGGUUUUCUCUAAUGAUCAUUUUCAACAUACUAAAUAUGUUGACACACUCUGGCCAAAGAAUUCUAUGAUCAAGUGCCGAAAACCCAUCAAGAGAUGUAUUGUACAAAUUCUAUAUUGUUAAUCCAUAACUCCAAUACUCAUAAUUGCUCCCACCAAGAUACCGGGUAAUCUUGACCACAAGAAUGUGUCGUGCCCAUUGGUAACUCAAAUGGAAUAACAAUUACAAUCAUGAAAUCAUAAUUAACUCAAGAUUAAGAUUACAGUAAAAUCAAUAGAUUUAAUAAGUCUGACAGUCAUUUCAAUGUUAAUUAAAUCUCAUAUGUGAUCCUGUUCAAUGUAGUCGUACUACAUUAAUAAAUUCAUACAUGAUUAAGACAAAUCAUUCAAUGAAUUCAUUACAGUCUAUACUUAAAUAAAGUGCCCAACUUUAUUUAUCAACUGCGAACUAAAUUUAUUUAAUCAUAAGAUAACUUAUAUUUAUGUCUUCUGUGAAUCCACAUGGUGAUCACAUAAAUACAUAUAAUAUGAUUAAAUGGACUUUGAUCAAAAUAUUAAUGCAAUUAAGAUAUUUGAAUAAAAUACCUCAUUAAUUUUAUUAGUCAGAAAAAAUGUUUAUUAUAAUUAAAUAAACACAUAUACUUUUAAAGAGUAUAUUUUCCCAACAGUUUCUUCAGUUGGUUAUUUCACUUAGUCAAAAUAAAUUAUAGUAGUGGUUGCAUACCUGACUUUGGAGGUAAGGCUGGAGGCAAACUUCUACAUUAAUUUAUAACUUGUUUCACAACAUAUUACGGUUAUAAAUGAGACUUAAUCCAAAGACGGAAAGAGAGAAAUUUGCUACACUCUUUAGUAUCCAUUAUUGAGAAAAACACCAAAAUUAACUUUUACUUCUUUAAAAUCAUUUUUGAAACCUCCCAAAAGAUAUCUCAAAUGGGUUCUCAAUUUUUUAAAACAUUACUUUUGGCUAAACACCCCAUCCUCCAGUAGAUUUUGAAAAUGUCAAAAUGUAUAAGACACUCAUCCAGUGGGGGUUUCACAGGCUUACCUCUCUUAGAAGUCUUUGCAUUCUUGGAUGUCAUGAAGCAGAGUGUUUUCCAGACGAGAAGAUAGGAAUGACGCUGCCCAAUUCUUUAACUUGUCUGUCCUUUCGAGGAUUCAAAAACACAUUUAAGAAAUUGGCAAUUUGUUGUUAGUCACAGUAUCUGAUGUUCUUUUCUUUUAUAGUUUGCAGAAUCAACUGUAUUAUAUGUUGUCAUUUGCAGUAUCUGAGGUGCCUUUUGCAUUUUACUUGACCUUUAUUUGUUUUGCUAGUGACUGAAGAAUACCAACAUUGGUUAGAGAUUUGGAGAAGCAUCUGAAGAGGCUUGACAAAGUUGGAGAUGCACUUGCUCCCAAGCCUUCAAUCAUCACAAUGCAAAUCCGAUGAGUACUUAUGCCGGCAAUUAUGUAAAAUAUUUGAAAUUUUGAUUCAGGGAAAUGGUUUGUUGAUGCAAAGCUUUAAACUGUUAAGACUUACCUAGCAGGCCUGUUGGAUGUUGUAUCAACUCCAAAAUCCAACAAGAACUACGGCACCAAGACCCAUUUUUUACUGAUUCAAUCAGCUGAAAUGAUGAGGCAAAUCCCACGUGUUCGAAUCAGUCAUCCAUUUCAUGAACUGUUAUUUUCAUGAUGCUGGCUAUUGGAGUUGAAGAGGAAACAAGGAUGUGUUGGAAUCAAUGAGAACAGUGGGAAGCAUGACUCGAGCUCUGAUUAUAAAUAGACAUUUUAAAAACAUGUGCUGGUAAGUGGUGAUUAAAGAAAUUUGUGAGCUUAUUCAAGUUUCAGUAUUUGCUGUUUGGAUAAAGCUGAUACCAAGUUUGGCAAAAUCUGUGCUUUCUUUGUUCAAUCUGUGUUAUGGUUAAAGUAGAUGCUCUGAUUAAUAAGCCAGCCUACGAUAGCUGGCUCUAAUAAUCGGCUUCCUUUUUCUUGUUUGCUGUUGUAUAUUCUUUCAAUUUUUUUUCCGCAUUAGGACGAUCAGUUGAAGAACAAGUUUAUGUUUGACGAUGCAUUUAAGGAAGAGCCAGACUUGGAUGCAGAUCUGAAAAGGUUAGCAUGAACGAAAACCUUCAGAACUGACUGAAGGUUUCUGAGUUGAUCCUAAAAAUGUAGCAGUUGUCUGUUUCAUAAAGCAGAACAAAAACAGAAUAAGAGAUCACUAAUCAUGCUUGAGAAUUCAUUUAAAUAAAAUUUCAAAAAUUGCCAAACACAGCAUAAACUAGGAUGCACUUGCUUAAGAUUCAUUUUCAGAAGGAAGUUUGUACUUGCAGCUCAUAAAAUCAUGUUUAUGUUGUAUGUUUAUUCAGCAAAUGAAAGAUUCCAAGUUUGCUGAAACCAUAUUAUUUUUUUACCAGGCGCCUUCCUGAAGGUAUCGACGUCAAUUUCAAAAAUGUUGGGGAUAAGUUGCUUGAUGCAGUGCUACACAAAUAUGAAGGAUUUCUUGUCGGUGAUUACUACCACCUCGAUAAAAAAAUUCAUGGAACUGGUCAUGCCGGCAAUAAAAGAAGGAAAGGUGGUAUACGUCGAAGACAUAGAUGAAGGCCUCGAGUCCAUCAGCCCUCGUUGGGCUAUUCACUUGUCGGAAUGUCAGGAAACAACUUGUUGAAGUUGCGUGGGAAUUUUAAAACUACCAUAUGUUGUAGAAAUGCACUGAGCCAUGUGCUUUCAGAGCUUUGUGAAGAUGUCUUGGCCAUGUGUUUGAUACAGGUUAUGCUUGUUCCAUUAAAUUGUAUGCACUUAUAAAUCAAAGAUUCAGAACAUGUGUAUGUUACUGGUUUCCAGAAUCCAGAUCAAUAAAUGCCUCCAUGUAGAAGUUCAAAUUUUAAAUUUUUUGAAGUAGAGGUGUAGAGUUUCUUUUUUCAAAAAAGAAAAAGUAAAUUCUGAAGACUUUCUUUAUUUAAUUUUACAAUCUUAUUUUAUUUCUUUUACGAUAUAUUUUUAAAAUACUUAUUUAGUAAAUUAUUAACAUCUAUACCACUAAAAGAUUUUUUUUGUUAAACGCUCUACUUACAAAGUUAUAUUAAUUAUAGAUUUACUCAAAGAAGCCCUAUUUAAAAAGUUACAGCAAAAAAAGUCAUAGUUACCUUUAGUAAAUAAUAAUCUUCUAAUCUGUCUUACAACGGACUUUUGACAAAAGUGUGCUACUCCCACCUCCUCAAAGUCCACCCGACACCCCGUCUUCUCUAUUUAAAAUUUUAUAUAGUUGAAAAUUAUAUUUUCUUUUACUUGACGCCCCUCCAAAUUCUAAAACUUAGCUUCGAUGAACCUUCUUCGUUAAAUCUCGUUGCUUUCCUUUUUUCUUGUUACUUGAGAAGAAGAACCAGAGUCUAGAAGAAUGAAAGAAAAUUCAGCGUGAUAGAAAUUUAGAAAUUUCAUCCGAUCUUUUUUUCUUAAAUUUUUUGGUAUUUUGAUUCGUUCAAUGGAUUCUUGAUCAUUCUUCAUUCUUUCUAGUUUCUACCAUGAUUCGGAAAUUUUUCUUAAAAAAACUACUACUCUUGUGUAUUUAAAAAAAAAGGAAAGAAAGAAAAAAGGCAUUAAUAAAGAAUUGCGCACGUAACAUUAUUAGUACCCUGUUGAUUGGUCGUUUGGUCUUCAAGAAAUGCUAGUUAAUAUGUGCUUGAAAUUAUAUUCUGCUUUUUUUUUCCCUAUGUAUUGUUUCCCGUUUGAUUACAUUUCAAACAUUUUUAACACGAAUGAAUGUUUUAACCAUUUUUGUCACUUCAUUAUUACAAUAAGCUGAUUGAAGUUAUCUGCGUUGGCCCUGAAAAUGUAAUGGACACUACUCCGUUUACAUAAAACAGGACAAAACAUCGAUAUUUCUACCAUUGCCAUACAUAGUAUAGCCUAGGAAUACAUUUCCAUAAUUAAUAUUUAUUUCAGAAGGAACUUUUCACUUGCAGCUAACAGAAUCAUGUUAAAUUUAUGAUGUAUGUUUAUUUGGGAGAUGAAAGAUUCGCUGCAUUAUUUUAUUCCAAGUUUGCUGAAAUCAUAUUUGUUUUCCCGGCUGCUUUCCUGAAUGUAUCGACAUCUAUUUCGAAAAUGUCGGGGGUAAGAUGCUUGGUGCAGUGCUACUCAACAUGAGAAUUCAUCUUCUAACUCGUUACCUGAUAUUAUUGUCUUCUUGAAAAUUUAAUUAAGCUUAGAAGUCCCUUAACCACAAAAUCAAUGGAGUUUAACUCUAUCGAUAGACAACUUUUAAGUAAUAAACCAACACAUGAGUUCAUCUCUAUUGAUACUCAAGUUCUAAGUCCCUUAUUCAAUACUAAAAUCCAUGAGAAUUAAACUAACCGUAGUUUAACAUGUGAUUAACAAAUGGUAAAAGGUUCAAAAAAUACAUCAAUUAUAAAAGAAAUAAAAUCAGCAAAGAGACCACAUCAGAAAUUUCUUAGAUGUCCGAAACUAUUAAAAGAAUUCACAUACCAAAUCAAAAAAAGUAGAAAAUGCUUAAGCUCCUUAAGGUAAUUUGAAGUAUGAAAGUGAAUGGCAUAUAAUCCAAUAUAAAAAAAAAAUGGUUUUAGUGCCGUAUAAAGAGAAGUUAAUGGUGGUUACAGAAGUGGGGAAAGUUGAGUACAAAUCAGAUAAUGGGAGGUUCCUAAACUUCCUUAAAUCAAUUUUAAUUUCAAAAAUAAAAUAAUAAAAAAUAAAAAAUAGCAUAAAAGAAAUAAGAUAAAAAUUACUUUUCUAAAAUUGCAUGCAAGUAUACAAAAAUAACAUAUGUUGAUAUUACAUCGAGAAAGGUCCAUCAGCCCUAGUUGGGCUAUUCACUGCAUAGAAUGUCGGAGAACAACUUGUUGUGGUAGCUGUUGGGAAAAUAUGCUCUUUAAAAGCAUGUGUGUUUAUUUAAAUGUAAUAAACAUUUUUUCUGAUUAAUAAAAAUAAUGAGGUAUUUUGUGCAAAUAUCUUAAUUGCAUUAAUAUUUUUAUUAAAGUCCAUUUAAUCAUAUUAUAUGUAUUUAUGUGAUCACCAUGUGGAUUCACAGAAGACAUAAAAUACAAGUUAUCUUAUGAUUAAAUAAAUUUAGUUCGCAGUUGAUAAAUAAAGUUGUGCACUUUAUUUAGGUAUAGAUUGUAAUAAAUUCAUUGAAUGAUUUGUCUUAAUCAUGUAUGAAUUUAUUGAUGUAGUACGACUACAUUGAACAGGAUCACAUAUGAGAUUUAAUUAACCUUGAAAUGACUGUCAGACUUAUUAAAUCUCAUUGGCAUUGAUUUUACUGUAAUCUUAAUCUUGAGUUAGUUAUGAUUUCAUGAUUGUAAUUGUUAUUCCAUUUGAGUUACCAAUGGGCAUGACACAUACAUGUAGUCUAGAUUACUCGGUAUCUUGGUGGGAGCAUUUAUGAGUAUUGGAGUUAUAGAUUAACAAUAUAGAAUUUGUACAACACAUCUCUUGAUGGGUUUUCGGCACUUGAUCAUAGAAUUCUCUAGCCAGAGUGUGUCAACAUAUUUAGUAUGUUGAAAAUGAUCAUUAGAGAAAACCAGUAAAGAUCAAGGAAUAAGAUGUUAUUAAAUUGAUUGGACAGUUGAGAUAUCAAUUUAAUUAACGAUGUGGUACAAAGGAUUGUGCAGUAAAGAAAUCAAUGUGGCUUGGGACGAAUUAUUAUUCGAGCAUACAAUUAUGGAAGUCAGUUCCAAUCUUUUAGUGGAGUAGAUUUGGAAUUAAAUAAUUGGGCUAGUUUAAUUAUAGGCCUAAUUAUUGUAGCCACUAUUGUAUGUUCCCAAAUGAUCCCCGGGUUAGCUCAUUUAAUUGACUGCACCACUACUGGACUAAUAAGCAAGAUAACUAGCUAUUUGGGUCAAAAGCCUAAAUAUAUCAUUUAGUGGGAGGCUCCAUUUAAUUAGUUUAUGUGUAAGGGGUCUUAUGUUAUUUUACAUGGUGGGUCCCCUAUAAAAUAAAAAGUAACGUGAGUUUUAUUUGUGAGCCUAGGGUUUUCACUAAAGGGAGAUAUAUAAGGCUUAUUUUCUCUAAAGAAAAAGGUGAAGCCACUUUAUACAGAUCAGAGAAUAAGAUUUUUCUCUCUAUUGUUGAGAGAAAAAUUUUCUCGUGCUAGUUGCUUUGGUAGUGAUAAAGGCGCCCACACGUCAAGUGCAGAUCGUACUUGAGUCAUAACCUGGAAGAUCAUUGGUGACAGUUCGUGAUCUAACAAGCGUGGUGGUGACGGAUCGUGAUCUAACAGGAGUGGUGGUGGCGGAUCAUGAUCUAGGAGCUUAAAUCACUUCAGCGGAAAAAGCUAACUCGGAUUUUCAAGGUACGAUUUCUAGAAUACAAAUUCUUAUAUAUUAUAUGAGAGCGAUCUUCAAAAGGUUUUAUAAAAAAUUUAAAAACCUAAUUUUUCCCCAACAAUUGGUAUCAGAGCCAUCUCAUAUUAAUAUAUAAGAAUUUCGUAUGAAAUUAAUCUUGAUAUUUAUGUAUUAGAGUGGCACAAUUUAUUCAGAUAUAUAUUAUUUGUUUAAUAUAUGAAUAAAGCAUGUUUAUGGUUUGUCUUAAUUCAUGGUUAGAUUUUCUGUUGUAUUUUUCGUUUGGAUCUUUAACAAGAGGGGUGGUUUUUAUCACAAUGUUUCCCUCUUGAUUUAUUUUACUGUUAUAGAAUUUUUGUAAGCCAAAAAUUGGCCUAGGAAAUUUGUAAAUAAAUCACGGAUGACAAAUCAAAGCGACGGAGGCCGGAAAUUUCGACAUCGACCGCUGACCAGCGCACUCGCUACAACCAACGAGCGGCACACGCUGCAAGCGCAUGCUGGCAGUGCGCGCAGCAAGCAGCGCGCGCGGCCAGCCUGGCCAGCGGCGCGCGUUCCAGCAAGCAGCGCGCGCAGGGAUGGUUUGUUUCCGGCAUAUCGGCAACGGCAAACUCGACGUUGAUAGCGGCUGUCCGAUGAGAUUGGCCUGAACAGUGGCCGUUUGUGGAGAUGGCGACUGGGGAAGAAGAAAGAAAGAAAAAUAUGGAUUUAGGGUUUCAUGGCUUUUAUCAUGGAGAUCCCUAUGGUUCCAUAAUUUUUCACUUGGGCAAUUAAGUUUUAAUUUUUUGCAUUUAAGUCUAAAAAUAGUUUUCGGCUUAAAGAAUCCUAGUUUUAGGUCCAAUUGAAAUUUGGGCUUAAUGGAUUAAAAAUGCAUAGAUAAAAUUAAAUACAUUAAAAUUUAUUUUUGGUCCAAAAGUUUUAUUUUAAUAAAAAAAAUUAUUUAUUUAUUUAUUUCCUUUAAAAAUUAAAAUUGGACCAAUUAGAAAUUAUUUAUUUAUCUCUCAUUUGUACUUGGGAGACAGUCUAUUGUAAGUAGUGUGUAUUUUUGCAUGUCUAGGAAAGUUCUGUCAACAAAGGCGAUAAGUGUAUAAGGAUUCUGGUUUUUAAUUGGGACCAAGUUCCCAUCUAGUUUCCUGGAAACUUUCUUGGUGCAUUUAUUCACGCGAAAUUAACAUCAUAGAGACUGUUUUUCAAGUGAAAAUAGUUCGUUGAGAAAAUGGUAGAAGGUGAAACUUUCAAAAUUGGGGAGAGAUCUACCGAGACUAUUUCAGGAGACACUUCAGGUGGGAGGCGAGAUUUGUCAAAUCGCUAUUCAGCACCUGUAUAGAAGGCCAGAAGAUCGAUGUUGAAAAGUUUGAUGGGAAAAUCAACUUCGGCAUGUGGAGGCGCGAAGUUAUGGAUGCCCUUAUUCAAAUCGAUCUCGAUGUUGUUCUGAAAAAUAAAAGACACUUGUAUGAUGAAGAAAUUUGGGAUCGUAUGAAUGAAAAAGCAUGUGGUCAGAUCAGAUCUUGUUUGACCAAGGAGGUGAAAUACUUGGUGAAAGAUGAGGAGUGUGCGGUGACUUUGUGGCGUACAUUGGAGGAGAAGUACCUGGUGAAAAGUCCUGAAAAUCGCCUUCAUGCAAUGAGCCAAGUAUAUGGCUUUCGAAUAAAGUCUGGGGUGUCAAUGCACGAUCAUGUUUUAAGAUUUGAAAAGUUACUUGCUGAUUUGAAGAAUCUUGAUGAAGAUAUUAAGGAUGAAGUCAAGGCUAUGAUUCUGUUACACUCACUACCAGAGGAAUAUAGCCAUUUUGUGACUACUUUAAUAUAUGGGAAGAGUGUGAUCAUCUUUAAAGAUGUUUGCACAACAUUGACUAGCUUAGAGAUUCGAAAUAAUGAUAAAAAUUCUAAACGAGCAUCGUCUGAAGCUUUGGUGAGUAGAGAUUGGGCGAUGGAGAAACAAAAGAAGCGUGGUGGAAAGAAUUCUCGAUCCAAAUUGAAAAGCAGAAAUAUAGCUCGAGAUGAGUGUGCCUUUUGUCAUGAAAAGGGCCAUUGGAGGAAAGAUUGUCCAAAGGCUCAAAAGAGAGAUGGGAAGAAACCAGCAGCAGCAAACAUGGCACGGAAAGAUGAGGGCUCUGAUUAUUCACUAAGUAUUACUCUUGCAGCAUACGUGGCUAGUUCGAGUGAGUGGAUACUUGAUACUGGAGUGGUUUACGGAUUUUUAUCAUUUGUGUCCUAUUAAGGAAUGAUUUACGGAUUUUCGUAAUCUGGAAUCCGGUGCAGUUGUGAUGGGGAAUGAUCAACCUUGUCGCACAAUGGGGAUAGGAACAAUUCGGCUCAAAAUGUUUGAUGAAAUGAUCAGAGAACUCAAAGAGGUUAGAUUUGUUCUAGCUUUAAAGAAAAAUCUAAUUUCUGUGGAUUUCUGUGGGUGCUUUGGAAGCUAAAGGCUACAAGGUUACCAUUGAAGAUGGUAUAAUGAAGUUUACACAUGGGGCUAUGGUGAUUCUGCAAGGGGUUCGGUGUCACAAUCUGUACUAUUUGAAGGGAGGUACAACUGAUGAAGCAAAUGUUGUUAAGGCGCACAGUGACACCACCAAGCUAUGGCAUGUACGAUUGGGACAUGCUGGAGAGAAGUCUUUGCAAACUCUGAUGAGGCAUGGACUCUUAAAAGGUACCAAAACCUGUAAAUUAAAUUUCUGUGAGCAUUGUGUAGUAGGCAAGAAAACAAGGGUCAAGUUUGGUAUAGUUAAUCACGAUACUCGUGAGAUUCUUGAAUAUGUUCAUAGUGAUGUAUGGGGACCAACCAAGACUGCAUCAAUUGGUGGAAGCCAUUACUUUGUUACAUCUAUUGAUGAUUUCUCUAGACGUGUGUGGGUGUACACCAUGCGAGCAAAGGAUGAGGUUCUAGAGAUUUUCGUGAAAUGGAAGAAAUUGGUGGAGACUCAAACUGGCAGAAAGAUCAAAGUAUUACGAUCUGAUAAUGGGGGUGAAUAUACUUCUGAUCCAUUCUUACAAGUAUGCCAGAACGAGGGUAUUAAAAGACAUUUCACGGUGAGACAUACUCCGCAACAGAACGGUGUGGUUGAGCGUAUGAAUCGUACUUUACUGGAGAAGAUACGGUGUAUGUUAUCUAAUGCUGGUUUAGAUAAAAAGUUUUGGGCUGAAGCUGUGAGCUACGCAAGUCACUUGGUAAACCGGUUGCCUUCUGCUGCAAUUGGAGGUAAAACUCCUAUGGAAAUGUGGUCUGGAAAGCAUGCACAAGACUAUGAUUCCCUUCGUGUAUUCGGGUGUUCAGCUAAUCAUCAUGUCAAAGAUGGUAAACUGGAUCCUCGUGCUAGAAAAGCUAUCUUUGUGGGAUUCAAAGGUGGAGUAAAGGGCUUUAAGCUUUGGGAUCUCGAAGACAAAAAGUUUGUGUGUAGCAGAGAUGUCACAUUUGAUGAAGCUUCAAUGAUGAAAGCGUCAAGUUCUCAGCAGGUGGAGAACAAGACCAAAAAGGUAUUGCAGCGGGUGGAGUUUGAUGCAACUCCAUAUGUACCAGUUAGUUCUACAUCAAAUAAGAGUUCAACUAUGGAGGUGACACCUAGAGUUGAAGAAGAGGUCAUUUUUUCUGAUGUCUCACAAAAUGAAGAAACAAUUGAUGAUGUAGAUAAUGAUGAUUUUAUAGCAACAAGGAGGCCAAGAAGAGAGAUAAAGAAACAGGGAUGGCUUACUAAAGAUAUGGUGGUAGCAUAUGCACUUCCAGUUAUUGAUGAUGACAUCCCCAACACUUUUUGUGAAGCAUUACGCAGCAGUGAAAGUGAUCAGUAGAAGUUAGCCAUGGAGGAAGAGAUGAAAUCUCUCCAUCAAAACCAGACUUGGGAACUUGUAAAGUUACUAAAUGGGAAAAGGGCUAUUGGUAAUAAAUGGGUCUACACCACAAAGCAAGGAUCUCCGAAUCAAACAACUCCUCGAUACAAGGCAAGGCUCGUGGCAAAAGGUUUUGCUCAAAAGGAAGGUAUUGACUACAAUGAAGUUUUCUCCCCAGUUGUAAAACAUACUUUCAUUCGUAUCCUACUUGCCGUCGUUGCAGAAUAUGAGUUAGAGUUGGCUCAAUUGGAUGUUACGACGGCGUUCUUACAUGGAGAUUUGGAAGAGGAAAUCUAUAUGAUUCAGCCUUGUGGUUUCAAAGUUGCUGCAAAGGAGAAUCAUGUGUGUAGGUUGAUUAAAUCUUUGUACGGACUGAAGCAAUUGCCAAGGCAGUGGUACAAAAGAUUUGAUCAAUUUAUACAAGGGCAGAAAUUCACCAGAAGUGAACACGAUCAUUGUGAUUACUUUAGAAGACUACCAGAUGGAGCUUUCAUCUAUUUGUUACUCUAUGUCGAUGAUAUGCUUAUAGCUUCGAAGAAUAGAGAUGAGAUCGAAAGAUUAAAGAAGCAGCUGGCUUCUGAGUUCGAGAUGAAAGACUUGGGUGAUGCACAGAGAAUACUUGGGAUGGAGAUUCGUAGAGACAAGAAGAAUGGGAGCGUAUGAUUGACUCAAAAGUCUUAUUUGAAGAAAGUGCUAGAAAGAUUCAGUAUGGAUGACAAAACUAAACCGGUAUGUACACCUCUAGCUCCUCAUUUCAAAUUAAGCUCUUCUUCAUGUCCUAGAUCUCAAGAAGAGCGCGAUUACAUGGCUCGUGUUCCAUAUGCUAGUGCUGUGGGUAGUCUUAUGUAUGCUAUUGUAUUCACAAGGCCCGAUAUAUCUCAAGCAGUGAGCAUGGUUAGUAGAUACAUGCACAAUCCGGGUAAAAAUCAAUGGCUUGCGGUAAAGUGGAUUCUCCGAUAUUUGUAUGGGACAGUUGAUGUUGGGUUAUUAUUCAAGAAAGAUUGUGGUCAACAAUGUGUUGGGUAUUGUGAUUCUGAUUUCGCUGGAGACCUUAACAAGAGAAGAUCAACAACGGGCUACGUAUUCACAUUGGGUGGAGGUCCGGUUAGCUGGAGAUCGAUUCUACAAUCGACAAUUGCUCUAUCCACUAUGGAAGCAGAGUAUAUGGCAGCAAUUGAAGCUGUAAAAGAAGCUAUCUGGUUGAAAGGCUUGUUAGGUGAUUUGGGAGUAAUCCAGGAGAACAUUACGAUCUUCUGUGAUAAUCAAAGUGCGAUAUUCCUUGCAAAGAAUCAAACAUAUCACGCUCAGAUGAAGCACAUAGAUGUGAAAUAUCAUUAUGUGAGGGAGAUUAUCGAGAGCGGUGUUGUGUUGUUGAGAAAGAUCGAUACCAAAGAUAAUCCAUCAUAUAUGUUAAUGAAGGUAGUUUCUGGAGUUAAGUUUCAACAUUGCUUGAAACUAAUUCAAAUCCUUCGAUUGUGUUAAGAUAUGUCCUUCGGAAAUUUUGAACUACGGUUGGCUUGAUCCCAAAUUUUGGGUACGUUUGGCAGUCACAGAGAUACAGCCACUUUGCGGAUGAUGAUUGGUUGGGAGUCGGCUCAGAUUUGAACAAACCUUCGCCGAGGUGGAGAAUUGUUGAAAAGUCAAAGAAUUGCUUGCCAAUUUCAAAAGCAAAGUUGGUGGGUUUGCCAAAUUCAAAAAAACAAAGUUGGCCGGCUUGCUAAUUUCAAAAGGCAAAGUUAGGUGUUGAAAAACUUGUACAUGCAAUAUAAGAUCCAGCUCAACGUUUUGACCAAAUGAACCCAACUUGGAGCAGAAUGCACUCUAUAAAUAGAGAAGCAUUUUGCAAUUGUCAAUCAUCCCAACAAUUUGUUAAGCUUAUAAAUUUCUAAGCUUUUGAGAGUUCUAAGAGUGUGAAUAAUUGGAGAGUGUGUGUGAGAGUACUUGGUAUAUUUGGGUUCUGGGAAAGUGAGAUUUCUUUACUCAAAUAAUUAUUAAUAAUAUAAUUAUUUUUCUCUUGCUUCCGUGGACAUAGGCAUAUUGUCGAACCACGUAAAUUUUGUGUCCUUUAUUUUUCAGUAAUUAUUUGGUGUGUUUGAUUCCGCAUUCCGCGCACAACACCUACAGGUGACUAAUUAAUGGGAAAUUGACAAUGACAAAAGCAAUUUAUGAGUUUUGUAGGCUGGCAUGCCUAUGUUAUAGCAUUGUUCGAUGAACUGCCACACCACAUGUUUUUGACGAGAAAUAAAAACAUCAAGAUAUUGCCCGCUUGCCGUAUUCCACAUCGUGAAUUGUAUCUCUGUUCCUCAAUUUUCAGUGUUCCAUACAUAAAACCAUUUUCAGUUUCUCUUGUUAUCAAUUCAAUUUUCUUGUUCGUGACGAUCUUGAUUCCUUUCUUUCUGGUAAAACGGAGCCAUGUUUGCUGUUGGAGAGGUCUUCCUCAACGCUUUCUUUCAGGUGUUGUUUGACAGGUUGGCUUCUCGUAAUUUGCUCAGCUUUGUGCGUCAACUCCAAGGCGGGGUUGAUUCGGAGCUCAAAAAGUGGGAGAAAAAGCUGAAGAUGAUUCAGGUUGUGCUUAGCGAUGCAGAGGAGAAGCAACUGACUGACGAGGCUGUGAAGAUGUGGCUGGACGAACUCCAAGACUUGGCUUAUGACGCUGAGGACAUUCUUGAUGAGUUUGGUACUCAAGCUUUGGAAAGGAAGUUGAUGGCGAAAAAUCAGGAUAGCACUGGCCAGAUUCUUAGUUUCAUACCGGCUAGUUUGAAUCCGAAUGCUAUUAUGUCCAAUUAUAGCAUGGGAUCCAAGAUUAAAGAUAUUACUAGCCGGUUGGAGCAACUCUGCCAAUAUAGAAUUGAACUUGGGCUGCAACGGAUUGCUGGAGGGGCAUCAUCACCUACUGCUGCUGCACACCAGAGGCCACCCAGUUCAAGUAUCACAACAGAGCGUGAAGUAUUCGGAAGAGAAGAAGAUAAGGCCAAAAUUCUUGAUAUGGUAUUGACCGAUAUUAGAAUUCGUAAUAAGAUGUUUGGAAACAAAGAAAAACAGAGAAAAUGAAAAAGGAAACUUCACGAUUUAUUAACCAGAAUAUUCAAUGCUUAUUAAGCUUACUUAGCUAAGCUUAUAUACAAUUAUUCUAACUAAUUAAACAACUGCAAAACAACUAAUAACAACUUCAGAUUUAGUUUAGCCAUUGAGCUCUUGCCACAUGUCAUUCAGUUACAUUCAAUCUUGUCCAGCUCAGCAGCUCUGUCCAGCUCAGCAGCAACUAUAUCUUCAACAUCCCCCCUCAAGCUCAACCGAGGAAGUAAGGUUGAGCUUGUCACGUAAGUAGAGAAAAGGGUGAUAAGAAAGAGCUUUGGUGAGAAUAUCAGCAGUUUGUUCUGAGCUAGAAAUAUAUUGAACCUUAAGACAUUGAGCAGCAACUUUCUCUCGAACAAAAUGAACAUCUAAUUCAAUGUGUUUUGUUCUGGAAUGAAACUUAGGAUUAGAGGCUAAAGCAGCUGCACUUUGAUUAUCACACCAUAUGAUUGGAAUGGAGGGAAGAGUAAGACCAAUCUCAGCAAGAAGAGAACGAAUCCACAAGACUUCAGCUGCUGCCAUUGCUAGUGCUCGAUAUUCAGACUCAGCACUAGAUCGAGAGACCACUGCCUGUUUCUUAGAGCACCAAGACACUAGAUUUGGACCCAUAUAGACACAAUAACCAGCCACUGACCUCCUAUCAUCUCUGUCUCCAGCCCAAUCAGCAUCACUGAAACAAUCAAUCUGUAUGCUGCCAUGAUUGUAGAACUGUAAACCAAGAUUAACAGUACCCUUCAGAUAUCGUAAAACCCUUUUACAAGCCUGCCAAUGAUUGACAGUUGGAGAAGAUAGAAACUGACUGAGCUUGUUGACAGAGAAAGCAAUCUCUGGUCUGGUCAAUGUUGCAUACUGAAGAGCACCUAUGGUGCUUCUGUAUAGAGUAACAUCAGAAAAGGGUUCACUAUCAGCUUUAGUAAAAGCCACUCCAGAAAGCAUAGGAGUAGAACAAGGAGUACUAUCCUGCAUGUGCACCUUGGCAAGCAAAUCAGUGAUAUACUUGGAUUGAGAAAGAUGAAUACCAGAUUUAUUGUAAAUGACCUGAACUCCCAGAAAAUAAUUCAAUGCACCAAGAUCUUUAAGUGCAAAAACAGACUGGAAGUUGGUGAUGGUCUGCUGAACAAGCUGAGGAUUGGAGCCUGUAAUAAUAAUAUCAUCUACAUACACCAAGACAAGUAGCAGAUGACCUUGUGUGCUCUUAAAGAAGAGUGAAGUGUCUGAAAUAGAAUUUGUAAAGCCCCACUGAGUUGUAAGAACUAGUUUGAGUCUGUCAAACCAUGCCCUUGGAGCCUGUUUAAGGCCAUAAAGAGCUUUGUGCAGCUUACAGACAUAAUCAGGCCUGGAACUAUCUAUAAACCCCUCAGGCUGUUGCAUAUAAACUUCUUCAGUGAGGUAGCCAUUAAGGAAGGCAUUAUUAAUGUCUAUUUGCCUCAGUACCCAAUGAUUCAUGACAGCCAUACUCAAGAUAAUUCUGAUGGUUGAAGACUUAAUGACAGGACUGAAUGUUUCAUGAAAAUCCAGCCCUUGAGUUUGGUGAAAUCCCUUAGCAACAAGUCUAGCUUUGUAUCUAGAGACACUGCCAUCAGGAUUAUAUUUAAUCCGAAAUACCCACUUAUUCCCAAUUACUUUAAUGGGAUGUGUAGGUUUGACAAGAGUCCAGGUAUGAUUAUUGACUAAGGCUUGAUAUUCAUCUGUCAUUGCUUUAUGCCAAGCUGAAUCUUGAAGGGCUUUUAAGGUAGUAGCAGGUUCUGUAGGUUUGGUAGGAUUGGCUGUAAUAUAGGCUUUAGGUUUGAAGAUACCAGCCUUUGAUCGAGUGAGCAUUGGAUGACCAGUAGAUGACUGCAAUGGUGGAGUUAAAUGAUGAACAGGUGAGGUAGAUGGUUCUGAGUGUGAUUGUAUAGAAGAUUGAGAAGGAGAGUCUGGAGAGGAUUGAGAGAACCUGAGAUCAGCUGCUGUAGAGGAUGAAGACUUGGUUAUAUCAAGUUGAAUCAAAGGACAAACAGAAGAUGAACAAUGUGAAGAAGACUGAGAUGAAUGAUCUGAAGAAGAGCAAGAGUGACUGACAGAGGAAAAAUCAACUCCUGACUGAAAAGGAAAACAUGACUCAUCAAAUGUAACAUGGUUACUGACAUAGAUUCUACCAGAGGAAUGAAGACACAAGUAGCCUUUGUGAAGGGAGCUGUAACCAAGAAAAAUACAUCUAGCAGUUCGAAACUCUAACUUAUGAUGAUUAUAAGGCCUCAGAUAUGGGAAACAAGCACAUCCAAAAACUCUCAUAACAGAAUAAUCUGGUCUUUUGUUGAAUAAUUUUUCAAAAGGUGAUUUGUUAUCCAGAAUGGGUGUAGGGAGCCUAUUUAUGAGAAAUGUGGCAGUAUGGAAAGCAUUCCACCAAAAUUUCAGUGGUAAAUGUGCUUGAGCAAGAAGGGUAAGGCCUGUUUCCACUAUAUGUCUAUGUUUGCGUUCAAUCUUUCCAUUUUGAUGGUGAAUAUAAGGACAAGGAUGUCUAAAUUGGAUUCCCUGCUCAGCAAGAUAAGGAAGAAAUGGCCUAAAUUCACCUCCCCAAUCUGUUUGAAGACACUUGAUUUUCCUAUUUAGGCAUUUUUCUAUCAUAUGCUGGAAUUCAAUAAAGGUUUGUAAGGCUUGAGAUUUGGUAACAAGAGGGAAUAUCCAGGUGAACCUAGUGAAAUCAUCUAAGAUGGAAAGAUAGUAGUGAUAGCCUUGAGAGGACAGCAAAGGAGCUGGACCCCAUAGAUCAGCAUGCAACAGCUCCAGUGGUUGAAUGGUAGUGGUGUCUAUAGAAGGAAAAUGCUGCAUGUGACACUUUCCAAAUUGGCAAGCAUUACAAAAAAUUGGUUUCAGGGCUCUAUUGAUAUCGAGAGAAGGAUGCAAAUGCUUCACAAUUUGUUUAAGAGCAUGCACAGUUGGAUGACCCAUUCUUUUAUGUAAAACAUUGUAAUCAACUGAUUUUGAAUGAGUAACAGACAAGGCCAUUGAGGCAUCAUUAUUGAAUUGAGAAAUAUUUACAUCUGUCAAAAUUUCUCCAGAAUGUAUAGAGUUUGAAACAUUGGAAUGACUAAUCAUUGACACUGGAGAGGAACAGACAUUUGACACAGAACUGGAAUUUGAGAUGACACAGAAAACAUUAGACGGAACUCUAUUUGAAACUGCAGCAUGAGACACUACAACAGGACCUUCAACUUGAUAUAAUCCUCCUCUAGCAAUCCCCUUGAGCAAGAUGAUCCCUGAUUUCUUGUCCUUGACAAAACAGGAGGUUUUAUGGAAUUCAACAACAACAUCAUUGUCAGCAAGUAAUUUAGAUACACUUAAAAGGUUUUUGGUUAUAGUUGGGACAUGCAAAAUAUUAUUAAGAUAGAUAGAUGUUGCAGCAAGUGUAUUCAAUCGUGUGCACCCAACAUGUUUAAUAUGUAAUCCCAUGCCAUUUCCUACAUGUAGCUUAUCAAAACCAUGAUAAACUGAGUAAGAAGAAAAGAUACCUGCUUCCUUAGUCACAUGAUUGGUUGCCCCGGAGUCAAUAUACCAAGCAGGAUCAGCUACAACUCCAUAAUCAGCAACUGGACCAGUGGGAGCAAAUUGUGCAGUGGGAAUAGCAGAAGGAGCAACUCCAUAGUUAGCAAAUGGAGUAGCAAUUGCACCAUUGUAUUGACCUUGUAAUCCUUGAAACACAAGAAACCCUUGAGGAUACAUAACAUUUGCAUUCUGAUAUGCAACAUUCCCUUGAAACAUGGGUGCAUUAUAUCUAGGAGCACCAGUUGCAGUUCCAUAAAAAUUUCCAUAACCUCUUCCAAACAUGUUCUGAGGCUGACCAGGAAAGCCUCUAAAAUUGAAUCCACCUCUAGGCCUAAAGCCACCUCUUCCUUGUCUAGGAAUAAAGUUCUGAUUAAAUCUGUUCCUGCAUUUGUAUGCUCCAUGACCAGGUAUGAAGCAUAUUUGACAAAUUACUUCCUUAUCAACAUUAUAUCCUCCUUUGCCAUUAUCAAAAUUUCCACCAUUAAAACCUCUCUGAUUAGCAUUAUUGAACUUAUUGUAAUUCUGUCCUUUCUGAGCAAAAUUAGCUGACAUAUCAUGCAACAAUUCAUUUUGCACCUUUCCCUUACUCAUCUCAACCCUAGUUUCAUGACUAAGCAUUAAGGAAUACACUUCUUCAAUAGUGAGAUUAUCUUUUUCCAGCCUAGCAAGUAUAGUUGUCACUAAUGACUCAUAGUUGUCAUCUAAACCAGUGAGCAAAUGCAUUAUAAAAUCUGUUGAAGCAAGAGGAUUACCACCAAUAGCUAAGCUAUCUGCAAUUUUUUUCAUCUUAUUGAAGUAAUCACUUACUGACAUAGCUCCUUUCUUUGUGGUUUGAAUCUGCAUUUUCAGAGGCAUGUAUCUAGCCUUUGACUGUGACAUGAACAUCUCGGCAAGUUUCUCCCAGAUCUCAAGUGAAGUAUCACAAUCCACAACCAUGAUAAGUACAUUGUCUACCAUAGAUGACAGCAUCCAGCUCUGUAGAAGCUUGUCAGCUUUCUUCCAGUCAAUAUAGUCAGAAUUUUCACGUCUGCUUGAGCUAGGAGCUUCUGAUCUACUGGCAGCAUUCUCAUAUGAGGAAAGAAAACGAUCUGGACAAGGAGAUUCUCCAUUGAUAAAACCUUCAAGUCCAUUGGCAAUAAUCGAAGCUUGAAUUUGAGCUCUCCACACCAGAUAAUUUGUUCGAUCAAGUUUUGUUGGUUGAAUAAAAGAAAAAGAAAGUGAAGACGAUCCUGAAUUGCUUUGAUUCGUCAUGUUUCGUGGCUCUGAUACCAUAUUAGAAUUCGUAAUAAGAUGUUUGGAAACAAAGAAAAACAGAGAAAAUGAAAAAGGAAACUUCACGAUUUAUUAACCAGAAUAUUCAAUGCUUAUUAAGCUUACUUAGCUAAGCUUAUAUACAAUUAUUCUAACUAAUUAAACAACUGCAAAACAACUAAUAACAACUUCAGAUUUAGUUUAGCCAUUGAGCUCUUGCCACAUGUCAUUCAGUUACAUUCAAUCUUGUCCAGCUCAGCAGCUCUGUCCAGCUCAGCAGCAACUAUAUCUUCAACAACCGAUACCCCCAGUGAUCAUGCCAACUUUGUUGUAAUACCCAUUGUUGGCAUGGGCGGGAUAGGAAAAACAACUCUUGCUCGGGAGGUCUACAAUGACAAGGCCGUUGAAGAUUCAAAGUUUGAUGUAAAAGCAUGGGUUUGUGUCUCUGAUGUCUUUGAUAUUUUGGGCAUCUCAAAGGCACUUCUCGAAUCAAUCACCCGCAGGCCUUGUCUUCUGAACAGUUUAAAUGAAGUGCAGGUUGAGUUGAAAGUAGCUGUGGAUAAAAAAAGAUUCUUGCUGGUCUUAGAUGAUGUUUGGAACGAGGACUACAGCUUGUGGGUAGACUUAAAAGCUCCAUUCUUGGCAGCUGCACCAAACAGUAAGAUGAUCGUCACCACAUGCAAUUCAAAUGUUGCAUCAAUAAUGGGACCAAUUGAACAUUAUAAUCUCAAGAGACUGUUAGAUGAUGAUUGCUGGUCCAUUUUCAUACAGCAUGCACUUGAAUCUAGAGAUCUUAACGCACAUCAAAUUUCAGAAUCGUUCCACAAGAAAGUUGUUGGCAAGUGUGGAGGCUUGCCCCUGGCAGCAAAAACAUUAGCGGGCCUUCUACGUACUACGAGGCAUGAUGCCUGGGACGAUAUCUUGGAUAGCAAACUAUGGGAUUUACCACGACAAAAUGACGUUCUCCCUGUGUUAAGAUUGAGUUACCAUCAUCUUCCGUCUCAUUUGAAAAGAUGUUUUGCUCAUUGUGCCAUCUUUCCGAAAGAUUAUGAAUUCAAUGAGAAGGAGCUGACUUUCUUAUGGAUGGCUGGAGGUAUUAUUCGACAGUCAAGAAAGAAUGAGCAGCUGGAAGAAUUGAGCAGCAAGUGCUUUCAAGAUCUAGUGUCGAGGUCUAUUUUUCAACAAACCAGCUCUGGUAGUGCUAAAUUUGUAAUGCACGACCUUAUCCAUGAUCUUGCUGAAUUGGUUUCUAGAGAAACCAUUUUCAGGUUAGAGGAGUCCACCAACUUGUCAUCAAGAAGAUUUGAAAGGGUUCGCCAUUCUUCGUAUGCCCGUGGUAGGCUUGAUGGUAAAUCUAAGUUCGAGGUUUUCAAUGAAAUUGAACAUCUACGAACAUUCUUGCCAUUAUGCAUAAGAGGUGGCGUUACUUCUGGUUAUAUAACUAGCAUGGUUCUCUAAGAUUUGUUGCCGAAGUUCAAAAGGUUGAGGAUGCUGUCUUUAGACGGAUACCGUAUUAGUGAGUUACCAAUUCCAUUUGAAGAUCUGAGACUUUUAAGGUUCCUAAACCUUGCUGAUACUGACUUAAGAAGUUUACUUGAGUCAACAUGCGCAUUGCUGAACUUGGAAAUUUUGACAUUAAGAAAUUGUUCCCGUUUGAUAAAGCUACCGCCCAAAAUGAUGAACUUGAUCAAUAUUCGUCAUCUCGAUAUAAGAGGUGCAAAUUUGUUGAAGGAGAUGCCAUUCGGAAUGAAAGAGUUGAAGAAUCUUCAAACAUUGUCCAACUUUAUUGUGGGCAAGGGUGAAACUGCAUCUGGUUUGGAAGAUUUAGGAAGUUUAAACUUUCUUUGUGAUGAACUUUGCAUUGCUGGAUUAGAGAAUGUGAAUAAUCCACAGAAUGCAAGAGAAGCCGCAUUAUGUGAGAAGCUCAAUCUUCAUGCAUUGACUCUAGAUUGGGGGUCUCAAUUUGACAAUUCUCGAGAUGUAGCAGUAGAAGAGCACGUGCUUGACAUUCUACAGCCUCAUAAAUGUAUAAAAAAGGUGGCAAUCAGGAACUAUGGUGGUGCAAGAUUUCCACUUUGGAUAGGAGAUCCGUGGUUCUCCAAGAUAUAAUUCCUUGAAUUGGAGAACUGUAACAAUUGUGUAUCUUUGCCAUCGCUUGGUCUAUUGAGUUCACUUAAGCACCUUGCUGUCAAAGGGCUGAAGAAGCUAAAAAGCAUAGAGUCUGAAGUUUAUGGGGAGGGUUUCUCAAUGCCUUUUCCAUCAUUGAAGAUUCUACGUUUUGAGAAUUUGCCAGAGUGGUGGCAUUGGGACACCGAUAUCAAAGGAAAUGUGCACGUUGAUAUAUUUCCUUGUCUCCAAGAACUUUCCGUUGUGAAAUGUCCCAAACUCUCUGAAAAACUGCCUGAGCUUCUGCCCUCCUUGGAGAUACUUGUUGUUAGUAAAUGUGAAAAGUUGGUAGUUUCAUUGUCAAGCUAUCCAAGGCUCUGCAGAUUAGAGGUUGAUGAGUGCAAAGAACUAGUGUGCAGGAUCCCAAUUGAUUCUAAGUUGAUAAAGUUCAUGACUAUUUCAAAUAGUUCAUUAGACAUGAUUGGAUGCAAGGGGAUGCUAUACGAUAGUCAAGCUGGCUCUUCACUGCCAAAACCCAUGACCACUACAAAUGUUUUGGAGUUUGGAAAAUUACUGGAGCCUGGAUUUCAGAUAUUAGAAACUUUGGUAAUUGGCAAUUCUGAACAGCUCAAGCCAUGGAGGCAGGGAAGGGGACUUUCAAGUUUUAAUAGACCAGAACACCGGCUAAAAAUACUUGCUCACCCUGAUGAGGUAACAAUUGAGGAAAGUUGCGUAAGUCUUGUUUUGUUUCCAGAGAUCAAUUUCUUUCCCAGAAAUCUGCACUGUCUUCGAAUUUACAACAGCACUGCUUUCAAAUCCUUACCGGAGGAAAUGAUGGACAACAGUUCACAACUCGAAAGCUUGUAUAUCAAAGAUUGCCAUUCUCUACCAUUCAUCACAAGACGCAAGCUACCUUCAUCUCUAAAAAGGAUAGAGAUUGAGAAUUGUGAGAAAUUGCAACGUUUGUUCGAUGAUAAAGACGAUGCUUCUUCUUCUUCUCCUUCAUCCUCGUCUUCCCAAGUGAUGCUUCAACAUCUAAGUAUAAAGAAUUGCCAAGCGCUCUCCAGUUUGUCAUCGGGAAUUCAAUUACUUGAGUCGCUCGAAGAACUUGUGAUAACAAAUUGUCGAAAGCUGGAGUCAAUACCCGAUGGCCUGCACAAUCUUAACUGUUUACAGAAGAUUACUCUAGUGAGUUGUCCAAGUCUUGUUUCCUUCCCAGAAAGAGGGCUUCCCAACGCCAUUUCAUGGGUUGACAUUAGUUAUUGUGACAAGCUUGAAGCCCUGCCCAAUGACAUGCACAAACUCAACUCUCUCCAAACUUUAAGCAUAAUUCAAUGUCCAAAGCUUGAGUCGUUUCCAGAAGAAGGCUUUCCCACCAAUCUUAGAACGCUUAAAAUUGGAAAUUUCAAAAUGUACAAGACCCUCGUCCAGUGGGGGUUGCACAGGCUUUCCUCUCUCAGAAGCCUCUACAUUUAUGGAUGUCAUGAAGCAGAGUGUUUUCCAGACGAGAAGGUAGGAAUGACGCUGCCCACAUCUCUAACUCAUCUGUCCUUAUUGGGAUUCCAGAAAAUGAUACUUCUGUCUUCAGUGGGUUUCCAAAGACUCACGUCUCUUCAAUGUUUGAAGAUAUGGAAUUGCCCAAAUCUCACGUCAUUUCCAGAGGUAGGCCUUCCAUCCUCACUUUUGGAUUUAUACAUUAACAAUUGUCCUAGGCUUAAAAAGGCGUGCAAAAGGGACCAAGGAAAAGAGUGGCCCAAAAUUGCUCACAUCCCUUGCGUUGUGAUAGAUGGAAAAUUCAUAUACGAUCCAGAAUUGGAGGUGUAGAUUCUAUUAUUAAAGUCGGUUUAUUUAUAUUAUCCACUAUAACAAUCUCCUAUUAGUUUUUUUUUUUUUUUUUUAAUGAAAAAAAUUGCAGUUCUGUAUAAUUUAAAAUAUAUAUAUUAAUCCUCUGCCCUUAAUUGAAAAUACCACUCACUUGUUUCUGUUUUCACAAGUCAGAUUGUACGUUGAGGCUAUUUGCUUUUUAUCGGUGUUUGUUAAGGUAAUUAGUGUCUCAUAGGCUGAUUAUAGGCAGAUGAAAUUAUAACUUUUAACUUAAAAUUUAAUACCAUAGACAGAUAGAUGAUUUUUAAUCCAAAGGUUUUUAGAUGUGAUCAAAUUGUCACAUGCAUAACAUAUUAGGCAUGCAUGAUGUAUCACAAGGUUGAUACAUCUUAUAUGCCACGUGAUGAAAUUAAGGAUGUUUCUCUUACAAGGGACACAUCCUUACAUGUUCAAAUUUGAACAUGUAACUUCCAAGUGGUUAAUGGAAGUUACUUGUUCAAAAUUCGAACAUAUAACUGUCAUAUUGUUGCCUAUAUAGAGGCAUGAACGCAUCACAAAUUCAUACAUUCCAAGACAUACUUAAAGUCUUAUCAUAUUAUGAUCUUGCAGUUUUGCAUGUAGCCACCAGCCUAAGGGCAGUGUAAAACGAUCCCAAAAACCAUCAAUAAUAACAAUGGAUAUAGUUCCUAAAUAAACUGAUGAAAUUUAAGGAUGAUUGGAUGAAACAGCUAUGAUAAAAUGAACUAUCUCGAACCGAGCGAAUGGCACUGACUCAUGAAUAAGUGUGGAUUCCAAAUAUCUUCAUAUCUUCAUAGAUAUUCAUUUCCGUGUUAAUUCGAGGACUUCUAGAAAUUUAGUUAGUUAUUCUAUGAAAUAGAUAUACUAAUAAUAAUAAAACAAAAACGACGGGUGUUACACAAAUUCACAAGUAAAACUGUACUACUUGGAAACUGUGAACAGUAUAGAUUGAAGAUCAUACGAUUGCUAUUUUCAUUGAGUUUCAUGCAUAAAACUUUAUCGAUUAUUAAAUUAGACAUCUUUAUCUUUCUAUCCAUAUGUUUAUUGUUCAAAAACUUAUUGUAUAUUAAUUGUUUUGAUUUUUAAAAAUUGAAACACUGGUGCUGGAAAAUUCUGAUUUUCAGUAGCGAUUCUCAAUUCUAUAAUUUAUUUCAUAACUCCAAAUACUUCUGAAAAUUCUGGGAAUUUUUAUUACUGUACACUUAUAUGUCUAGUUUCUGUCUUUUUAAUUUCGUAAUUUUUGGCUUUAUAUAAAAAUCAUAGAGUUAGACUGCGCAAUCCCAGAAACUGUUUUCCAGAAUUGCGAGGGCUGAUAUUUAGGGCAGUUUGGGAUAGUUUUUCAUCAGUAAAUGUCUUAUAAAUCUUUAAUUCUGACUCCUAUUGUUUCCUCUAAUUGUCAAAACUAGAAUCACUAUUUUUGGACAUGUGUAACUAAAGUUAUAAAUUUUUCAAGCAACAGUCCUCUGUUUAUAUCGUUAUUGGACAGUUUGGAUAAUUUUGUGGAAAAAUAAGUUUUCAGGGGAUGUUUUUAAACUCUAAUUGAUUAUGUAAAAAUUUAAAUUGAAUGCCAAUAUGUUGACAAUAGUGUUUUGUGAUAUUUGUGAUAUUUCCGACGUACUUAUAGCUUGUUAGAAAUCAGCUCCUAUAUAAUGGUCUAGUAUAGUUUAGUGAAUUGAUGUGCUUAAGUAAGAGUGCAUGGUUUAAGGAUUUUUGGAUUUUCCUAUCUAGGUCAGAAUUGAAUAAGAUAUUGAUAGUACUUUUUUCUUAACAAUCAUAGGCCAAAAGUGAGCUCGUUUGAUUUGGGUUAUUGUUGAUUGCUUUGUAUCAUGGUAAGUAAAUUCAUGCAUAAUAUUUAUUAAAGUAUACACGUAAAUAUUUAUUAAUAGAAUAAUGUUGUCCAAAUGGAUUGGCAAGUUAUGGUUUUGAAGUUAUUUUAAAAUGUUUUCUUAAAUUUGUUUUAAAAAUAACUUCAAAAUACCUGCUUCUCUAUAAAAUGUUUUCCUUAAAAAUAUUUGUAAAGCUUUGCCAAUUCAAUGUCUUGUAAGCGUUUUAUCGAAAUAUUAUGGAAUGAUUGAUAUUGGAAAUCUGAAAACUGUUUUUAAGGUUUUGGCUCAUUGUCCGUAGUUAUCGUUACUAAUAUUACUAAAUAGCUAGUUGUAUUGUGCGCACCUAUUGACGAUUAUUGCAGGGUAAAGUACCCUGGUAGAACUAUAAGUUGGGUCACCGAGAUUAUAGGUGACAUAUUGAACUAUUGACCAGGUCACCGGGGGUAUAAGUGACACUAUGUGAUAUGAGUAAAUUGAAUGAAAGAAAAGUUUUAUUGAUAAAAGAUUUCUUACACGAUUAUUUAUUGAAAAUGAUUAUUAUGCUAUGACUUAAUUGAUUAUGAGUUUUACCGCACACAUAUGAUUACAAAAUGAUUUUUGUUUCCUAACUUGUGGUACUACAUAAUAAUGAUUAUAUACUUUUUUCCUUAUUGGUAACCUUAUGCAUGAGUUCGCUUACCGAUUGACGGCUCACCCCUCGUCUCCAACAUUUUAUAGAUUGAUUUUAGUGAUGUGCGCUUUUGGUCUAGCAAAGAGGAUUUAGCUGAAAAACUUUGGCAUUUUCUAGAUGAAUUAAUUGUAGCUAGUUUGAUUAUUGCUUAGAGCUAGAUUUUAUUUUGGAGGAUUUUUGAGUUAUUUUUUAUUUUAGAGACUAUGUUUUGUCAAUGAACAACAUUGACUUUAUUUGAAAAUAGUAAUAAGAUUAAUGUUAUAAGGUUUCAUUUGGGGUGUUACAACUUGUCUCUUAGUAAGUUUAUUUUUGUUAGCCUAUCCAGUAAGGUUUAUUAUCGACUGACAUCAUUUUCAAUGAAAUCAUCUUAUGUUGUUAAGUUUUGCAUAAAUAAAUAUUUCAGUAGGGUCAAAAGAGCAAGAGUUUACCUAUAAAAAAAAAGUCAAAAUUAGUUUAACCACCCCAGUGCGAAUUUCUGACCACGUCUUGCUUUGUAUGAUUUAACUCUAUUAUUAAUUAGUACUAAAAUAUCGAUGAAAAAAAUGGACAUGAAUUUUGAUCUCGUGUUGCUUUGUUUUGGUUGAGUGGCCAAUUUUAACUUCAUGUUAAACUUUCUCAAUUAUUAGUUGAAUUAUUUGGAUUUGAAAACUUAAAACCACCAUUUUAAUUUGUUUAGUAAUGACUAUGUUGAACUUCAACAUUUGUUUUCAAGAAAAAAAUUGAUCAAACUAUGAUGCUCUUGUUUCUAUUAUUAUGGAAUCUCUUUUUCAAUCGUCAAAGUUUGAAUUAUAUUAUGCUGCCUCUGUAUUUCCGCAGAAACAGAAUCAGUUGGUGAUCCUUCAAAACAAGAAAAACCAAAAAAAGAUGUAGUGCGUGAUAAGAUAAUGAGACAGAUGGCUCAUGUUGACAUUAAUACUCAAGUUGGAAGUUGCAUGCCCCUUGCUUGUAUGCGGACUGGGACCAUCAUCCACAAAAUUGAGGUAUACCCGGCUGAAGGUGGCAAGCUAGUUCGAGCCGCUGCGACGUCAGCCAAGAUUUUGAAGAAGACCCACUUCAAGGUACUGCUUAGUAAGGCUAACUUCUGGAAAUGAGAAACUGAUUGACGCUAGAUGUCGAGCCCACCAUUGGUACAGUGUCUAACCCCAGCCAUGGAGCUACGAAGCUUAGGAAGGCUGGUCAGAGCCGUUGGUUGGGUCGAAGGCCUGUGGUUGGAGGAGUAGCCAUGAAUCCAGUUGAUCAUCCUCAUGGUGGAGGUGAGGGACGAAGCAAAAGUAGCCGUAACCAUGGAAGGUGUUCACUUACGCCUUGGGGCAAGCCUUGUAAUUCUGGGUAUAAAACUGCAUUUCCUAAGGGAAAAAAAAAAAGAAAAAGAAAUUACCCGUCUGAUAAUAUUUUCCUUCUUUGCUAUUUAGCCUUUUUAAUAAUGUUACAUUGUUUGUCAUAUAUUUGAGGUUAGUUUUAGACCAAUUUUUAACUGAUCCAUAAUGAAACUGAAGUUUAAUUUUCUAUUGAACUUUUCCUGGUUUUACUCUUCUGUCAUUUCAAUUUAGCAAUGAUUUAAGAUGUUGAGUUCUGUGCUUGGAACAUGUAAAUGGGAAAGAGAGAUAUAAUGGGGUAGAAUAUAGAUUUUGUGUUUUGGUUUCUCAUGUUUAGAGAUAUUCUGUUCUUUUUCAUUUGUUCAAUUUGGUUAGUGGUGAUUUCUUAAAGAGUCGAUGCACGUGUGUAUAUAUACUUUUCUUUUGGCCUUGAUUCUGUUUCUUGGGGAGUUUAUGCAGUUUCUUUUUUUAUGCUUCGUAUGCCACAUGAAAGAUGAAAGCAUUUUGUGUAUUUAGAAUUGACUUGCAUCAUAGUAACUUUGAAUCACUGUUAACAUUUGUAUAAUAGCAGUCUGAGAUCUCCUUGAAGGAUUCAAAAGCAUUUUAUUUGAUGGUCUAGACCUAAAAUCAACUCCUUUAUAUAGAUAGGUUGGUCUUCUUCAAAGCAAUUCCUAUUUUAAGUAAUCAAAAUUUUGAUUUGGAAGUGUGUUUUAACACUACCAAAAGUUCUUUAAAUACUAAAAAUGUGUUUGGGAGUGAGGUGAUGUGGCUUUUAAGCUACAAUUACUGCAAAGUAAAAGUCAGUGAGUAUAAAUAAGAAAAAAUGACUGUUGAGUUGCCAAAGCCCAACUGCCGCACAUCACUUCCAAAUGCACCGUAAAAUGAUUUUGAGUCUUCUAUAUUAUUGAAACAAAAUACAUGAAAGCACUUUUGGCUACAGAAGUACACUUGGGGUUCUUUAUAAAAUUCUUCGACAGCAAUUUUUCCCCCUUUUUGCUCAUGGCGGUUUUUCUGGUUGUUCUUUUAAGAAAACACUUAAAGGUUCUUUUUAUAGAUUUCUGAAAGUACUUCCAACAUAAGCAUUUUUCAGAAAUUUUUUCUGAAAUUAAUUUUAUUUACUUAUCGACUUUUCAACUCCUGUGGUUGUUUAUGAAAUGAAAGGCAAGGGUAAUCACAAGAAAUCUGCAAACUUUAUCAAUUUUUAACUAUACCAAUUUGUUGUUUAUGCUUUACUUUUAUUUUACAGUUUUGUUUAAUGUUUAGAUGAUAGAUAUAUAGACAUUUUAGAUUGGAGAAUUUUGUCAACAAAUUCAUUCCUUUCUUUCACUUUUUCCCUUUUCAGAGGAAAGCAAUUUUGACUAAUUUUAGCCAGAAUCGGACUAUAAUAUUUUGGAGCAAGCCUACUUGAAAUGAUGCUUUUUAAAUUUGAUCUAGUUAAAAUACACUGCCGUUACCCAAAAAAUUCUAGUCUUGGAUUUCAUAGAAUGCCCUUUUAAGAUAUUUUCUCAGCUCUUUGUUGGUCGCAGCAUCUGAGAUUAGCAUUCUCACAUUUCACUUGUUUUGCCUUUGUUUUGAAGGUAACUUAGUUGCAUAGGUGAAUCGAGGUUCAAGAAUGCCGAGAUGGCUACAAGUUUCAAGAAUCAUUUAAAGAGGCGUAAUGACAGCACCAAGAUGGGCUUUGUGAUUAACAAGAUUACUAAUUGAACCAAUCUUGAUGGGACAGAGGACAUGUCAGAACCGUUGCGCACAGGGAGAAGAGUUAGGGGAGCUUUGAGAGUUGAGACCAUCAACAUCCAGAAAGGCUGCUGGUAAUGUUUCAUGUGUUACAAAGUUGCAAGGAAAUUUCAUUUAUAUUUUAACACCUUGUAUUUGAAAAAUUUAAUGUAAUUUUCUCUUUUUUCAAUUUAUUAUUCAGAUCGUAGACUAGUAAACGGUUUAGAUCGCAAGCUUUUAUUAUGCAGUUAUUUUCUCCUUUUCAGGAAGAAGUGGUCAGUUCCAUUCCAGAAUUGGAAUAUGGUAAUUAGGUGCAAGCAUACGUUGUAACAAUCAUUUCUUGUUUGUUUGAUUAUGCUUAUCUAUUUAGUUGUUUAUCGUUUGGUUGUGUUAAAUUAUUUGAAUUAGCAUUAUUUGAGAUAAAGCAUAAUUCUUUUAUUUAUUUAUUUAUUUUUUAAAUAAAUUAUUAUAGAAUAUCGUCUUUAUCGUAUAAUGUAUUUUUAUAAAAGUAAGCAUUUUUAUAAAAUUUAAACUCUUCCAAUCUCCUUAUGAUUAAAACCCUUAACCUAAUAAACGUAUAAAAGCAAAGAGUCCUAGGAUUUUCUUUUGUGCACAUUUGGAAGAAUUUUUGAGGUAAUUAUCCUUCUCUAAAACAUAUUCUCUAAUCUUAGGUGUUUAAUGAUGAAUGCAUGCAUUGUUUUUUUAAUCAUGAAUGACUAGCUAGACAUUAUGAGGCAUGAGUACUGUGAUUCUAUUACUGUUUUCCCUUUAUUUUUUAUUCAGGUUUUCACUAAAGUUUUCAUAAAAUUAAACUAGACAUUUUAAGGCUUUCAAUGAUAUAUUUUGUACGAAAAGAUUACCAGUAACCAAUUUGUUGUGAAUUUUCGAAUUCAGAACAGUGGUGCUGGAAAAUUCUGAUUUUCAGCAGCAUGUUUGACUUUGCCCAUUUUUCUGUCUGUCUAAAUGAUCCCUAAAAUUAUGCUGAUUUUUCUAUUAAAUCCUCAUUAUGUCUACUUACUAUAUGUUCACUUUCAUAAUUUUCAUUGAGUAAAAAAAAAAUUAAAAAUCAUUAUGUUGGGCUGCUGCAGUUUUGGAAACUGCUUUCCAGAAUUGCGAUGGCUGACAAUAAAAUUACUUUAGGCUAUUAAAAGGCUUUAGAAUGGCCUAUAAAAAUUAUAUUCAUAUAAUUUAUGAAUUCCUUAUGAUUUAAAGUUUAUUUGACUAAUUUUGAUAGUUAACAUUAAGUUAUGAAUUUUUCAAGUGCAAAACAUAAACCUGAAUGUUUCUGGACAGGUUUGCUGGUCUCUUAAUAUAAAUUCGUUUAAAAUAGUGUCAUAUCUUCAAAAAUUCUAGGAAUUUGAAGCUUUGUUUCUUGAUGCAUCUACUGUUUUAAAAUCAAGUGGUCUAAUUUUUAAGAGUUCUAUUAAAUAUUUUACAAAUUUUCCAGUUCAGCAACCUCUGUUUUUAUCACUGUUGGACAGUCUGGAUAUGCAUGUAAAAUUCUUUUUGCAAUAUGUUUGACUUUUAUUCAUUCUUUUGAAUUUUUAUUUGAAAUGUUAUCCAUGUUUAUGGUUUAUUUUCUUUGAUUUUACAAUUUUCCAACAUUUGAUUAGCUUGGUAAAAAUCGGCUCAGACUAGCUUUAAUGGUUUAGUGCUUAUGACUAGGCUUGAUUAUGUUAGAUUUAUAUCAAGAUCAGAAUGAGUAAUAGUAUUGAUAAGAAUGUGUCUUGAUAUUUUAGGACGAGAUUGAGCUCGAGGCUAAGGUUACUAUUCUUUAUUGUUGAGGAUUGAGAUAAGUAGAUUCAUGCAUGGUAUAUGUAUUUCACUAUUAAAUUAUUUUUAAUUCGAGGUAUCUAUUAUGUUAAAUGAAAAGUAUUUGAAACUAAUUUGUUUUAGCCUAUUACAAUAUUUUGUUAAAAUAAAAUCGUUCUUUAAAUUAUUUAUAAUAAACCUUUUAUUUAUUAAAAACUUGUUUUAUAAAUUGUCUUAAAAAAACUUUUAUUAAAUUGUUUUAAGUCAAAUACUUUGAAAUAAUUAUCAAUUAUUUAAAUGAUUAAAAGUUCAAGGAUGAUUUUAAAUGUUUUUGCUCAUUGUCUGUAAUGAUGCUAUGUUAUGUUAUAUGUUGUGGAAGGCUAGUUGGAAUAUGUGUACAUAUGAUGUUAAUGUUAAUGAUUCUCGUGGGGUACAGUACUCUAAAUGAUGUCAUACGGAUGGGUCACUGGGUCUACAAGUGAUACUAUGUGGAAUGAGCUAAGUAUGUUUUAUGUAUUUAAAAAGCUAAUUAUGUUUUACAUGUUUGAAAUGCUAUUAUUAUGUUUAAAGGAUUUAAAUGACUUUCUGAUGUUUUGAUUUAUUUUUUAUAAAUGAUUAUUUACAAAAGUAAUUUCCCUUAUUAUUAUUAUGCAUAUCUAAGAAAUUCAAACAAUUAUAAUUUAAUGGUUUUUAGUAUUGUGCAUGAAUUUACUUACCGAGUUGACGGCUCACCCCUUGUUAUCAUAUUUUUGUAGAUAGAGUUAGAUGAUGUGAGCUCAUGAUCUUAGGAGGAAGAAUGAGAGCUCGUUUAUUUUUGGGGAUUAAUGUUACAUUAAUAAUUUAGCUUCCUUUGGCAUGAUAUUUAUUUGAGAAUUUGUUAUUUCAUUACUUAUUAUCUUUUGGAAGAGGAGCAUUUACUGUUGGAUAUUAAUUUGAUGAUUUUAGAUACGAGAGUGAUGAAAUACAGUUUCACUUCAAUUUCACUUUAGUAUCUUAUUAGUGGAAUUGGGGUGUUACAUACGUGCCCGGUCAAUGAACUUGAACUUUAAAUAGUUUUUUCAACUCAUUGAUUUUUGGAACUCAUAUUGGUGCAAGGAAAUCAAAAGAAAUUUAUGAUUAGUCAAAUUCUGAUAGUUGCUAUAUAUUAUACAUUCUAAAGUUUCUUGAGUUUGUUUUCAGAUGAAAAUAUGAUCAAUUCAUUUUGUUUUUGAAGUGUAGGAAAAUAGGCUGGGAUAUUAAUGCAUAGGCAAAAACUUUUUGAGUGGCUUUCCAGCGGAUAAUUAUCGGAAACAUGACUGGAUUUUUUGACUUCCGUAAAUCUUGCAUUUUAACCUGGCAAAUUUAACAAAAGUUCAAUACAACUUUGUUAGUGCCUUGUGUUCCAGAAGCUAGAAAGAUGUGUAGAUUCCAUAUAAGCGGGCUUGUAAUUACUCUAGUAAGAAUCCAAUUAUUUGCCUUUGCACCUUCAUUUUAUUUGUGGAUCCUUGCAUGUUUCUGAAUUUGAUCAAUCCAAAAGGAAUUGCUCUGAAGAAUAGCAGUAACUAGCCUAUGUCUUAGUGCAUGGACCUGCAAACCUGAGCUGACAAAGCUGAAACUAUUAGUUUGAGGUGACAAAUCCAUGAUCGUCACCUGUUAACUUCUGCUAGUUGCUUUCGUGAAACACUUUUAAGAAAUAAGCAAUUUGUUGUUAGUCGCCGUAUCUGAUGUGCUUUCUUUUAUAGUUUGUAGAAUCAACUGUAUUAUAUGUUGUCAGUUGCAGUAUCUGAGGUGUCUUUUGCAAUUUACUUGACCUUUAUUUGUUUGCUAGUGAGUUAAGAAUACCAACAUUGGCCAGAGAUUUGGAGAAACAUCCGAAGACGCUUAACAAACUUGGAGAUGCACUUGCUUCCAAGCUUCAUUCAUCACAAUGCGAAUCCGGUGAGUACUUAUGUCUUCAAUUAUGUAGAGUGUUUGAAAUUUUGAUGCAGCGAGAUGGUUUGUUGAUGCAAAACUUUAUACUGUUAAGGACUUACCCUGCAGGCUUUUUGCAUGUUGUAUCAACUCCAAAAUCCAACGAGAACUACAGCACCAAAGCCCAGUUUUCACUGAUUCAAUCAGCUGAAAUCAUGAGGGAAAUAACAGUAUAGCACCAUCAAGCUGGACUUAGAGAAUAAUCAGAUCAGUCAUCCAUUUCAUGAACUGUUAAUUUCAUGAUGGAGGCUUAGUGGAGCUGAAGAGGAAACAAGGAUGUGUAGGGAUCAACAAACAACAGUGAGAAGCACGAUUGGAGCUCUGAUUACAAAUAGACAAUUUAAAAAUAUGUGCUGGUAAGUGGAAAUUAAAGAAAUUUGUGAGCUCAUUCAAGUUUCGGUAUUUUCUUUUUGGAUAACGUUGAUACCAAGUUUGGCAAAUCUGUGUUUUCUGCGUUUAAUCUGUGUUUUGGUUAAAGUAGAUGCUCUGAUUAAUACUUGUUUGUUUUCAUAAAACAGGACAAAAAGAGAUCACCAAUCUUGAUUGAGAAUUCAUUUAAGUAAAAUUUCAAAAAUUGCCAAACACAGUAUAAACUAGGAUGCACUUGCUUAAGAUUCAUUUUCAGACGGAAGUUUGUACCUCCAGAUCAUAAAAUCAUGUUUAUGUUGUAUCUUUAUUCAGCAAUUGAAAGAUUCCAAGUUUGCUGAAACCAUAUUAUUUCUUUCCCAGGCGCUUUCCUGAAGGUAUCGACAUCUAUUUCGAAAAUGUUGGGGAUAAGUUGCUUGAUGCAGUGCUACAAAACUAUGAAGGAUUUCUUGUCGGUGAUUACUACCACCUGGAUAAAAAAUUCAUGGAACUGGUCAUGCCGGCAAUAAAAGAAGGAAAGGUGGUACACGUGGAAGACAUAGAUGAAGGCCUCUGUAUACGUCGAAGACAUAGAUGAAGGCCUGGAGUCCAACAGCCCUCGCUGGGCUAUUCAUUGAUCGGAAUGUCACGAAACAACUGAUUGUAGUUGCUUGGGAAUUUAAAAACCACCAUAUGCUGUAGAAAUGCACAGAGCCAUGCACUUUCAAAGCUUUGUGAAGAUGUCUUGGUCAUGUGUUAGAACAGAUUAUGUUUGUUCGAUUAAAUUGUACGCAGUUAUAAAUCAAAGAUUCAGAACAUUGCAUGUAGAAGUUCAAAUUUUAAAUUUUUGGAAGCAGAGGCGUAGAGUUUUUUUCUUUUGGAAAAAAAAAUCUAAAUUGUGGAGACUAUUUUUAUUUAAUUUUACAAUCUUAUUUUAUUUCUUUCACAACAUAAUUUUAAAAUAUUUAUUUAGUAAAUUAUUAACAUCCAAACCACUAAAGAUUUUUUUGUUAAACGCUCUACUUACAAAGUUAUAUUAAUUAUAGAUUUACUCAAAGAAAGUAUAUUUAAGAAGUUAUAGCAAAAAAAAGUUCUAAUCUGUCUUACAAAGGACUAUUGACAAGAGUGGUGCGACUCCCACCCCUUCAAAGUCCACUUGACACCACGCUUUCUCGAUUUAAAAUUUUAUAUAGUUGAAAAUUGUGUUUUCUUUUAAAUCUCCUUGCUUUCCUCUAUUCUUGUUACUUGAGAAGAAGAACCAGAGUCUAGAAGAACGAAAGAAAAUUCAGCGAGAUAGAAAUUUGGAAAUUUCAUCCGAGCUUUUUUUUUCUUAAAUUUUUUGGUAUUUCUUCCUUGUUUCUAUGGAUUCGUUCAAUGGAUUCUUGACCAUUCUUCCUUCUUUCUAUUUUCUACCAUGAUUCAGAAUUUUUCCUUAAAAAAAAUCUAGAUGCAUGGCCAAAUGAAAUGACCCCCUUUAGAGCUUCGGUUACUGUUGCAUAUUCAGCGUCUGCAUUUGACAAAGCAACUAAAUGCACACUAAAGACUUGCUGUUUCCAUUCAGUAUGCAGUUACACAGACAAAGGCCUUAAUUAUUGUCAAGUUCUCCAGUAGCAUACUCCGAAAUCCACAUACCAACCCACCAGAACUCCAAUCUUGAAACUCCAUAAAUCAAAAUUGAAGUGCCUGCCUCUCUGGUACCUCUCAAGGUCCAUUUUACUACUUUCCAUGUCUUUCCAUGCAUCUACUGACAACUUGGGAAAUGCCAGGUCUUGCAAGCACCACUACUUACAUUUGAGUCUGCUAUUAUUAUUAUUACUAUUUUAUUAUUAUUAUUUAAAAAAAAACACUCUAACUAGGAGAGACAAGUUCCGUGUAGUAGGACUGAGCAACAGGGCCGUAGCAAAUAUUAUGUUUUUAAUCAUUCUUGUACCAAAGUAUUUAAGUAUGCGAUAAAAAAUAAUAAUAAUAAUUUAUUGACAACUAAAAGUUAAUAGUGGCUGGGGUGGACCUGGGUUUUGUUUAAAAAAAUUGAUUAAUAAAAUUUUCGAAAUUUCAAAUUUCUAGUACAGAGAAAAUUGAUGAAUAAAAUUCUGCAAGUUAAUUUCUAAUAUGCCAUGAAAAUAUUAUCAAGUUAAAUUGUAACAUCGUUAAUCACUUAAUCCUCAGUCUAAUAUGCCAUAUAUUUGUUUCUCAGGCUUUAAUCGAAAGUGCCGGUGAUUUAUUGUUAUUUUCAGUAAUCAGAUAGGUAUGUUAAGGCUGUUUAAUUCAUCGACAAUGUACCAACAAGACUCAGAUUGGGAGAUUGUAAAUGUAAUUAACAAUAAUCUUUUAUUCAUUUUGAAGUUCAUUCUAUUGUUUACACAGGAGCAGCGUUCUCUUAUGUUUUAUGGAUAUAAUGUUUGGUAAUCCUAAUUUAAGCUAAGGUAUAUAUAUUUCCUAAUUACAUCUAAUUUAAGCUUAUUCAAAUGCAAUCAAUUAAUGUUCAAUAGUAAAAAUUCCAAAUACUAUAUAUUGUAAGAAUUUUAAUCGUAAUGACAAGGUGAUCAUUUGAAUUAUUAUUAUUAAAUUAUAUGUAUGGUGGAGUCCACACGGUUUUGACUAGAAAUCAAAGAGUUAAGAGACAAUAUUAAUUUAUUUAAGUUAAUAGUAUUUGUUCUGUUUAGUACGUCUUUUGACCAACAAGCAUCCCGGCAUUGCACGCAUUAAUUAAUAAAGCAUUGUGCAUGUCACAUUAUUAGAGCCAAUUGCGCCCGGUACACCUCCAUACUUCAAAAAUUAUCUUAAUACCCUAAAAUCUGUUUUUACCAAAAUUUUCAUCGAUACCCUUUAAAAACGGAUAGGAAAUUACUAAGCUAUCCUCAUUUUAAAACAUUUCAACUCAACGGACAGCACCUCUCCCUUCUCUACUGAAGCAAACAAACACUCAUCUGCUGCAAUUCCCUCCAUUAUCAAACUCAAAUAAACAAACACUGCAAUUCCCUCACCGGCAUCACCUCUGCAAUUCCCUCACCGGCAUCACCUCUACCGAAACAAAUAUUCAUUCUCCAUACAUGAUAAAUUGAACUUCAACACGAGCAAACUAAGCUUGAGAAGGGGAAGCUGCCACAACUGAGAAAGAGAAGCCUAGUUCGUCUCUACAUAAUCGCCGGCGAGAGCUGAUCCUUUACUGUAAAAUAGUCAUAAUUUAACUAGUUGAGGUAAGUAAUUCUCUAUAAAUAGUUUUCUUGUUGAUAUUCAGGGAAAAAAAAAACAAAAAGUUAGGGUUUAUAUAGAAAAAUUAGAUUAAUUAGUUGCGGGUCUCUCAUUACAUGUUCAAAAACAAAUUUCUAGUUGUUUUACUACAUGCAAAUUGUGAACAAUUGAUGGAUUGUGCCGAUUAUAAUUUUGUCAUGUAACACACAAUUUGGUCGUGUAAGGUUAUGUAGGAUUCAAGGUUGUGUAUUACACGACCUUCAUGUAUUGCACUUACACGACUUCAUGUAUUGCACUUACACGACUUCAUGUAUUGCAAUUACACGACUUCAUGUAUUACACGACGUUCAUGUAUUACACGACGUUCAUGUAUUACACGACCUUCAUAUAUUACACGACCUCAUGUAUUACACGACCUCAAAAUUACACGACUUUUUUUACUGUUGUUAAUUCAUUAUAAUAACUUAGUUGUUUAAACACUUAAUUUUUGCUAAGAAUUUAUAUUUGUUGCUAUGCAGAAAAUGUCAACGAAAAGUAUUCAGGAAAAAAUGAAACGAGGCAAACCGAAAGUGAAAAUUACUAAUUUGUCAUCGUUGGAACCAAUAAGAAUAAUAAAAAAUAACCUUAGUGACGUACAAUUGGGGAUUUUUCGCAAAUCAUGUUUUGGGCACUUUUUGGACUUGAAUGAGUUUCAGUUUUGUGCCCAGUUGUUGCACAAGUUGGUAUUAAGUCAUAUGCAUUCAUCCGAUAAGGCAAUGUAUUUUAAGAUAGGGAAAAAAGUUUGUCGAUUUUCAAUGUUUGAAUUUGCAUUAGUUACUGGACUGAAUUGUGAAGAAAUUUAUAAACCUAACUUGGACAUUGUUGAUGACGGUGGUCGUGUAUGUGAUGUUUUGUUGGACGGUUGCACAAAGUUCACUAACACAACGCUAGGUCAGAUAUUUGAAGCAACUAAGUCCAAGGAUGAUAUGAAAAUGGUUAAAUUUGCCAUGUUGUACUUUUUGGAGGUUGUAUUACUUGGAAAAGAAUAUAGAUCAUCUAUAAUUAGGGAUCACAUUCUCCACAUUGACAACUUUGAAGAUUUCAAUAAAUAUCCUUGGGGCCGUGUCUGUUUUGAGAACACAUUAGAAAGUAUGAAGAAUGUGAUUGCAAUUAGACAGAAUAGAGAAAGGGCAAAUCCAGACUAUGUCCCUGAAAAGGAGGCAUACAGUCUUCAUGGCUGUCCAUUUGCAGUUCAGGUAACAAAUUGUCAAUAUUGGUUUCGUAAAGAUUAUUAAGAUUAGGAAUAUUAAUUAUUUCUUUUACUUGCACAGGUAUGGGCACUUGAAAUUUUCAGUGAAGUGUGUGAAACUUUUUCCUCGAAAUGUAAGCAUGUCAAAUAUCCAAGAAUUCUAAAUUGGACAAUCACUAAACAUGUUAGCUCUAAUUUGCUUGACUAUUCCAUAUUUGAUAAGAAAAAGGUAAUAACAAACAAUCUAGAUCGUUAGUGUCUUUCUUUUUUUCUUUUUAAUUUAUCUUUGACAUUUAUUAAUUGGCCUAAUUAUUACAGCUUAAGGUACUGGAGAAGUUGGAUGUCGCUGAUGAAAUAGAGGCAUCACAGCCUAAUCUACAAUGGUUUUGGCAAACAAAUUGGCUGCAACAACUUGAAAAUGAUUUUCGUGUUGACUCAAAGAGUAAAAAAUCAGCCACUCCAGUCUCAGAACAGAAAAGUAGCAGUGUUGUGCAGAAAAAUUAUGUGGCCAUGGAAGUUAAAGAGACUAAUAAACGUGCGAAGUGUCAAGUUAUGUCCAUGAAAUACAAAAUGAAUUAUGAACAUGCAAAUUCUGUUGAGGACAAAACUGUAAGUUUUUUUAAUCUUUUAAUAACAAUUGCAUUUUUCAAUUUUUUUUUUGUUUGCCUAAUAGGCUCUGUCUUGUUCUGCUUGCAAGGGUAAACGUCUUGGUUACAUUGAUAAUUUGAUUUCUUUUAUCGAGGACAAGUUUAAUUGUUUGGAUAAGCGUCUCAAAAAGAUCGAAGAGAAGGUGCAAAAAAUUGACUCAUUAGAGGAGAAUACAGGUGAUGUGAGGGAGAUGAGAGAACAAGUCAAUAAAAUUGUAGACUUAGUGGAGUUCCUAAAUUCAGCGGACUACAAUGUGAAGGUUCAUUUUAUUAUUAUUUUUAACUAAGUAUGUUAUUAUUUUUAACUAAGUACAAAUUGUGUAAAGUUAUUAAUAUUUGCUGCUGUGCAGAUUCCGACAACAUUUGAUGAUAACCCGAGUAUUGCCACACCUGCGACUGUGUUUCCAAGCUUCACCACAAAUGCAGGCAUAGUCAAAGAGGAUCCAAUAAUUAUUCCGUCUACACAGCAAGAGGUGAAAAAAUAUGAAAGAAAAAGGCGAUCUCGAAAGGAUGCAGCUGUUUUACGCACGCCAUAUACUAACCCAUUUCGAAAAUCGCGACAUGUCAACGUCGAUGAAGCAAAACAGCAAGUUCAGUUUGAGCAUUGGCUGAAGGAGGAUAAUAUGGAAUCGUAAUUCCUUAUUUCUCUUUGUAAACUUACUUUUAUUUGAAACAAUAUUUCCUGGUUGACUAUAACAAGCAAUAAGUUUUACUCACAUUUUCUUUUUCGUUACUGCACAGUAAAAUAUUAUCGUGGCCUAUGCAUAAAGCAACAAAGAACUUCUUCCGCAGCUUGUAUGAUGCAGACGCGUGGUUAAAUGGCGGGGUAUUAUUAAUAUAGUUUUUGUUUAGCAUGUAAUUUACUGCAGUAAUGUUUGCAUUUAAUAUUAAUUUACAUAUGUUGGUAAUAUGUACAGCAUAUAGACGUUGGUUGUUACGUGAUAAGAUAUGAUUUGGCCAAGCUCACUAUGCCACAUUUGCACCAAUGUGCAAUCAUGGAUAGUGUAUUUCAGGUACUUAGUACUCUGUAGUAAUAAACAAAUAAGAUAUGUAAAUUUGUGCACUGAAAACUUGCAAAAUUCAUUGUUUUUUCAGCAAAAGCUUUUGUUGAAGUAUGAGUUGUUUAAGAAGGAUCCAACUACAAUAUGGGAUGAAGAUCAAGAACAUGAUUUGACAAUCAAACAAGCAAAUGGCGAAGAUCUUCCAUUCGCUAUUCCAUGGAGAGAUGUUUAUAAGGUAAAGUUUAAAUUUUCUUAAUGCAUCGCUAAAGUUUAAAUUUUCUAUUUUUGAUUGGCUCAAAUUAUUGUAGGUUUAUAUCCCAAUUAAUGUACUUGAGUGUCAUUGGAUUCUUGCUGAGGUUGACAUUGUAAGGGAGACAAUUUCCAUAUAUGACUCCAUGGUUUCUAUAAUGAAUGACUCAACAUUUUUGAAAGAAUUAUUGCCAUAUGCUGUUAUUAUUCCUCUUCUACUGGAGAAGGUUUUAUGGUAUGAUUCGCACCCUGAAACUACCCAAAAAAAUAAAGUUUGGAUAGUUUUGCGUUUAGCGAAUACGCCACAGUAAGAAUCUCGGUGAGCAUACCAAAUGCUCAAUUUAUUUUCAUUUUACUGUUAUAGUUAUAUAUUCAGUAUAUAGUUAACUAUUUUUUAAAAUUCUCAGUGGAGAUUGUGGUGUGUUUGUUUUGCGUUACCUGGACACACUUGCACGUGGUGAAGAUAUUCAAACAAAUUGUACGCAGGCACAUGUCUCUUCUUAUCGCAAGCAACUAGCUGAAAGACUUUUCUAUGACCAGUCAUUACUUUCAAAGAACAACUAACAUGUGAGUAUUAUUUUUUUAAAUGAAGUCAUUGCUGUUGGAAUAGUUUGGUUUCUUAAUGUGAAACCAAAAUAGGCCAUCACUGUUAGUUUGGUUUCUAAUUAAUUUCAUGGAUUUAUUAUAUGCAGGCAUUCCUCAUGCAUGCAUGUAUGCUUCGGCAGAGGAAGAAAGCAAUUUCAAGAAAAAAAAACUUUUAAAUGGUUGUAAUAUGUUUAAUUGCGAUAUCCAUUAGUGUAUCCUAUCCAAAUAUUGACAUUGUAAACUGAUAACUUUCUUUAUUUAUAAUAAUUAAUCUCAUCAUUUCUCAAACUGUCGAAUAUGCAAACUUAUUUGUUUGCUGUAAUUUAUGAACACACAAUUUGGUCAUGUAAGGUCAUGUACACGACGGUCGUGUAUUACACGACCGUCGUGUAGUACACGAGUAUAUUACAUGACCUUAAUAUAGUACGCGACUAUUACAUGACGUUCAUGUAUUACAGGACUUCAUGUGUUACACGACUUUUUCCAAUAAUCAUCAGAUUAAUUUAGUUCUUUAAGGACUUAAUUGGGGCUAAAAUUUUAUAUUUGUUGCUUUGUAGAAAAUGUCAACUGAAAUUAUAAAAACAAAGAAGUUAAAUUAAAUUGGAAUGUAAAGAAAUUUAGUUAUUUCAUAAUGCAACAAAUUACAGUUUCCAAGCAUAACAUAUCCAAGACUAAAAAAUUGUAAAUCCAAUUAUCUAAGUUUGGUUAGCCGUAGGGCCAUGCUCUUGCUCUGAAAGUGGUGUUGUUGCAGUGCAUGUUAGUCGAUUAUGCCCCUCAAUCUGCACCUACUACACUUGCGGUGCACGAUGUCUUCCCCUUGAGAAGGUAUUCUAGUAGUUCGCGGUCGUCCUACCUCUCGCUUUUUCAUUGGCAGUGACAGCACAUAUGCACGCACCUCUUCUGAAACAUCCCAUUCCUCUUGUGGACCCACAAGAUAAAUGCUCUCUGCAUAUGCUGUAACCCAUGCAUUGACAGAAUAAUAAUGAGCACAUAAAUCAUAAAUAGAAUAGUUACGCAUAUGCUUACAUACAGCUACCACAUGUUCAUAGGGAAAUUGGUCAAUUUGAAACUCAUUACAACUGCAAGUCUUUUGUAGCACGUCAACAUGGCCAUCAAGGUCGCCAUCCUUAACUAUAAACUCAUGGAAAUUAAUCUGUAUUACUGGAUAUGUGUGUGAUUUAUCCAAUUUCCCUUUCAACUAUUUCUCAACCCAAGUAGUCAUUAAAGUACAUGCAUCCAUUGCCAAAUCUCGCCUUUUUGCAAACCAUUCUUGUAAUUUGUCAAUGAUACAAUCCAUUAACUUAUAAAUAGGCAAGGUUCGUGCUUCUUUUAAGAUAGAAUUCAUACUUUCUGCAAUGUUAGUCGUCAUAAUCCCAUAACGCCUCCCCUCAAAAUGAGAACGAGCCCACUUCUCAUAUCCGGCAUCAGUCAGGUAUUGGUGAACAUUCAAACUAACACUGCGGAUGACAUUCAUAUAUUGAGUAAACUUAAUGGGCCGAUAUGCCUUUGCAGCCAAUUCAAAUAAAGCACCCACAUCAACUUCUUUAAAAUGAGCAUUUACAUUUCGUUUUAGAUGAUGCGUACAUAUGUCAUACCCUACAGUAGGAAAUACUUUAUCAACUGCUUUCUUAAUACUUCCAUGACGGUCAGAAAUGAAUACUAAAUUAGGAACAUCACCAAUAGACUCUCUUAACUUCAUAAAAUACCAUUCCCAUGAAGCGUCAUUCUCACUGUCACCUACACCAAAUGCAACAGGGUAAAGUUGAUUGUUGCCAUCAAGAGAUGUUGCAAUGAAUAAUGUUCCUUUGUACUUGCCCCUCAUGAAUGUACCAUCAACUGCAAUAACAGGCCUAAUACAUGAAGUGAAUCCUCUCAAAGAACUUCCAAUGGCCAUGAAACAGUACUUGAAGUUGUUCGCACUGUCUUUUUUAAUGAAUGUUCGACUUCCAGGAUUUUUUUUUUUCAACCAUUGCCAUGUAUGAGGGUAAUAAAUGGUAUGAAUCAGCCGGACUGCCCCUAACCAUCUCCAUUGCAAACUCCCUUGCUCUCCACGCCUUGUGAUAACUUAUUUCAUAACCAAACUCUUUUUGAAAAUCUUGCAUAAUAUCAGCUGGCUUAUACGUAGAUGAAGCACCAUCAAACUUGUGCCGAAAAUUUUUCCCAACUAACUUGGAUGAAGCUUGACGGUUGUCUUUUUCCUGUGAAUCAAGGGAGCAAGUAUGGACAUUGUAAUACUUUCUAAUUUCAAACAUGUUGCAACCUUUAAGUCUACUUGCACGAAGGCGCCAUUUGCAGUUGUCAUCCAUACAAACAACAACAAGUAAGUCCUUGUCUGAUUUUGGGGUUUUGAAUUGGAACCUUUUUUUCACAACUAGUGCUUUAAGCUUUUCUUGCAAUGCCUCCUUUGACUCAAACACCUCUUUCACCAUCGACACAUCAGUAUCACCACUAACUUCUGUUGAUAAUAAAUUACUGCUACUAGUAAGUAAAUUUAUUCUGGGCACAUGUCCAUUGUUUGAGGUUCUUGAACUUAUAGGAGCUGGAGUAUUAUCUCCUAAUGCUAAAUCAACAGCUAAUGGUGGCUCAUCCAAACAAUCAACUUCAGUUACAAAUUCAUUAACUUCAGUAAAAUUGUUCGAACUGAGAAUAGGAAAUGAUGGAGGCACGUAGCUGGAGAAAGCAUGACUCUCUUCCCAUGAAAGACGAGGUGAAGGUUGUCUAUCCACCGGAACUGUCGAAAUUGAUCUACGUUCAAAAGUAAUGCAGAGCGGGUUUCUAAACUCCAUUCCACUAGCUACUUCCUCUAAGAAAAAUUCCACAUCAUCAUUGGUUUGAAUUGUAACUGGUGGCAUAGGAUCAGAUGUCUUAAGUUUGAACUUCAUUGUGAUUUCGAAUUCCGAAGUAUCUAUAUCAAUAACUUCAGCUAUCUUGUCCACCAAUUCGGCAUAUGUUGUCGAUCGUGGUAUCAUUAUCCCUUUAGCCUUGGAACCUUUGAACUUAUACUCGUCAUUUUGCUCAAUCCAUUCACCAUUAAAGAGAAUAGGCACACGUACCAAAACCAUUUCUGAUGAUACAAUAAAAACAAUAAUAUCAAAUUUCAUAUACAAGUAAGUACACGACUUACACGACUAUAAUACUUACACGACUUACACGACUAUAUUUCUUACAUGACCUACACGACUUACACGACUAUAUUUCUUACAUGACUUACAUGACUUACACGACUAUAUUACUUACACGACCUACAUGACUAACUAUAUGACGUACACAGUAUCAAGAGAAUGCACGGCGCGAAACAUUUUCGCUAUAAAUAAGUUAUAUUGCUGAAAAAAAUAAUUAAACAACCUACAUUGCAUAUAUUUCUACAUAUAAGAAAAAAUGGUGAAAAUAAAACAUUGUAAUGUGAGGAAAAUUUCUAAAUUUUUCUCAAAAUUAAUAAAUUUAAAACCCAAAAACAUUAACAUACCUUAUUGGGUUGUUUAAUAAGCAAUGCACCUUUAAAGAAAGAGUGGGUGUUAAAGAAAUAAAUACAUAAUUGUAUUUGUGUAAGAAGUUAUGAGAGAUUUUGAGAGAUUCUAAGAGAUUUUGAAAGAAUCGGCAGCAAAAAUGGAGUUGGGUGAAAGAAAUGAGGAAAUGAAUAUGAAGACAAUUUAUUGAAUGAAUUUGAUGCAUUCAUUAAGGGUAUUUCUGACUUUACUCACAUUUGUUAGGGUAUUCAUGAAAACUAAAAAGGGAGGGGGUAUUUCAAUAAUUUUGAAACUAUUAAAGGGUAUUUAAUUAAAAACCCCACAUUAUUAGUACCUAGUUGAUUAGUCAUUUGGUCUUCAAUAAAUGUUAGUUGAUAUAUGCUUGAAAUCAUAUUCUGUUUUAUAUGCCGAAUCAUAUUGUAAGAUGGUGAUAUUAGCAUGUUUCUUUUUCUUUGUGCUGUUUCUCGUUUGAUUACAUUUUCAACAACAAGUCGAUCUGUUGAAGAACAAGUUUGGGUUUGAUGAUGCUUUUAACUAUAAGGAAGAGCCAGACUUGGAUGCAGCUCUCAAUGGGUUGACACGAAUGAAUCCUUUCACCCUUUUUCUCACUUCAUUAUUACAAUGCGCUUUGAAGUUAUCUGUGUUGUUAAGGUUAAGGUUAACCCUGCAGGCUUGUUCGAUGCUGUAUCAACUCCAAAAUCGAACAACAUCUACAGCACCAAGACCCGGUUUCAAUCAGCUCAAAUGAUGAGGUAAAUAACACCAUCAAGCUCAGCUUAGAGACUCAUUAGAUAAGUAAUCCAUUUUCUCAGCUGUUAAUCUCUUGAUGGUGGCUAGUGGAGAAGCAGAGGAAACAAAGGAUGUGCCGGAAUCAAUUAGAACAGUGAGAAGCGUGAGGGGAGUUAUGAUUAUAUUUAGGCUUUUUGAUGAUGCUUUGAACAAAAAGGAAGAGCCAGACUUUGAUGAAGCUCUUGAAAGGUUAGCGAAAAUGAACGCUUUAACCAUGUUUCCAACUUCAUUAUCACAAUAUCUGACAUUGCAUAACUUCAAGUAAAGUUGCUCUUAAAAGGUUAGCAAAAAGCCAAAAAUGAUUGAAGUUAUCUGAGUUGAUCCAGAAAAUGUAAUGGAAAUACUCCCCUGCUUCGUAAAACAGGACAAACAGAGAUCGCUGGUCGCGCAUGGGAACUAAUUGCAUUAAAGUUUCAAACAUUACCAAACAAACUAGGAUGCAUUUGCUUAAGAUUCAUUUUCAAAAGCAAGUUGUAUGUUUAUGUUGCAGCCUAUAAAACCAUGUUUAUGUUGUAUGUUUAUUCAGGAAAUGAAAGAUUCGUCGUGUUAUUUUAUUCCAAGAAUUCGCUGAAACCAUACCUGCUUUCCCAGAUGCUUUCCUGAAGGUAUCGACAUCUAUUUAAAAAAUUCUGGGGGUAAGAUGCUUGAUGCAGUGCUACUCAACAUGAGAAUUCACGGCCGCUGCUGUAUGCUGAAAGAUCUCACCGUACAACCGUGAGAAGCCUGAAGGUGUAUUCAACUUGAUACAACUGGUCGUAGUUGCUAGGGAAGGAUAUAAGGUGUACUCAACUUGAUAUGCUGUAAAAGUGCACUAUGCCAUGUACUUUUAAAGCUUUUUGAAGAUGUUUUGGCCAUGUGUUUGAUUAGAUUGUACUCAGAUAUAAAUCAAAGAUUCAGAACAUGUUUGUUACUGUUUUUCAGAAUCCAGAACAAUAAAUACCUUGAAAUGUUUUUGUUCAAUGAUUUUGCAGAAGACCAGCUUCCUUGUUAAUGAAUCAAGAUGGCUGAAUCCGUCCCUAAGCCAAAUCUGUUUUCACUUUUAGGUUAGAAAUUGUCAUUAAAAAGUGUUUGAUAAAAUAUGCUCCGGGAACGCUAUUCGUCAGAUGGUUACUCCAAGUUUAUGAAAUCAAUGGUAUUUCAUCAUAUUCAUAACACUCUGCUUUAAUAUCUAUUCUAACAGAGAAAUUAUAUACAGAGAAUAGGUUGCGUUAGAACUUUUGCUAGAAAAAAGUGACAAGAAUUCAUCGUUCACUUGUAUCUUAAGUAAGUGUAAAAUUUAAAAUCCCAUCAUGAAAAACUCCUGGGAGAAAAAACUAUAAAAAUUAAAGAAAAAAGAGUGUGGCGUGCAUGUAAAUUAUGUCGAUUCUAUCUAUACGAUAAAUACACUCUCUUUUACAAUGGCACGGAUGCUUCAUUGAGUAAUCAUGAUUGUUGCUGGUAGUGCUUUGUUGAAUCAAUCUGCUAGAUAUUCAGCUUUCUUUCUUUCUUACUUUUUUUUUGUUUUAAUAAAUAGCUUGUGGUUGUGAAAAUAAUUUGAAUUAAACUAUGCUUAACUGCCUAUUUGGUACAACUUCUCUACUAGCCAAAAGAUUUUUUUUUAAUCAUUUAUUUAUACCUCGAGUAGAGUUUUUGGAGAUUAAAUAGGUGAUAUUUUGUCUCUAUUAAAAAGAAAACUCAAAAGGUAGGACUAUUUGAAGUUUGAAUCCACCAAACUACUCAUUAAAAAUUCAUUUGUGAAAAUAAUUUUUAAUUAUUAAAAUACCCCUAAAUUAAAUUACAAUUAUGAACACUAAAAUAUAGUAAACAAUUUUUUUUUUACUCUUUGAAAUUGUCCUUACAUUCGAUAUUAAAUUUUUUUCUUAAACUCUAAAUUAAUUUUUUUUUUCAUUUUUAAGUAAUUUUAAGGCACAUAUAAAGUGAUUCAUAUUGAUUUUAUACUAACAAACUAUUACAGCAGAUUUGGAAAAUGAUUAACUCGUUCUCAUUUUCCUAGUGAAAAUGCAAAUAGCUCAUUUAAACGUUAAGGAAUUGGAGAGUUGCUGCUGGAGAUGAAAGAUGUGAAUUAAACAUCAGAAAAAAAAAUUAUGUUUACUAUCUUACCAGACCAAGCACCGAAAAGCAUGGUAAAGAAAAAUUACAUAAUUCUGACUUAGAAGACGAAAAAAAAUGAAAUACAAUUUGAAUAAGAGAUAGAAGAUAAAGCACGUGAAUGGAGGCAGAAAGCAAGUAAUGAUAACUCUUUCGACAAAACUAAUAUAUAUCAAAAUGCAAUAUCAAAAAUGAAAAUAAAAAUUCAUUACGAAUACAUGUUAAUGAUAUCCCAAGUGUUGAGUAAUAAAAAGUACCAGGCAGGCAUCUCCCCAUUCCAUGCCUGAGAAUGAAUCUCUCCAGCUGAAUGAUACGAGCAGAUUCCUAAUAAUAUAUCCUUUAUGGAACACAUACCAACUAGAAACGAAUACCGACCAGAAGUUCAUACCGACCAGGUACUUGUCACUCAAAGAAAGAGAAUACAAUCUCACGAACGCGCGACAGUUUUGCCACAUUCCAAACCGCUAGGGAGAACACGACGCCCCACGUUUACCCACAUUCAGUUGUUGAAGACCCAUUAAGGCCCUUGAUCACCCAAAUAUGACGGGAAGGAAAAAUAUUCUGAGAAAGUGGGACGAUUGCCUAUAAAAAGCUGGGAAAUCAAUUAAGAAAGGGACAGACAAAAAGAGAGAGGGGGGAAACUCUACCGAAUUGAUACCAGGCAUUACUACAUAAUAGCCUUAAAUACAUUUUACUUUAAGAACAUCACAAUGAGUGUGCGUAACCAUAAAUCAUACAAUUUUCCCGCAAACUUCAUGUACUAACUUAAGCAUCGGAGGGUUUAUUCCGGAAAAACCACCAACGUCUCUGGUUUGUUUAUGUGAAUGUAGAUUUGAAAAGAAGAGAAAGAGUGAUUUGAGUUCAAGGAGCUCGGGCAAUUGCUAAAGUUAGUGGAAAAAAUUAAAUGAGACUCAAAAUCAAUCCAGAGGAAUAAAUGAGAAACCUAAUCCUAAUAAAAUACAUUCACAAAUCUUAAUGCUAAUUAAAAUCACGGAUAAAAAACAUAAUAUGAAUGAAUUACAGGCACAACUAUUUUAUUAAGAAAUUAAUAAAAUCGUGUAUUAAUAUAUUUUGUACAUUUUUUUUCCAUAUAUAACUUUCGGUAAUUUAGUUUUCCACUUAUCAUUUUUACUCCAAAAAAAUAUUGAGAAUAUUAUUUAUGUUUUGGUGUAAAAUAUUUGAACAAUAUACAAAUUUUCAGUUUAAUACAUCUAAACAUUUAUUAAGUUAUAAAUGAAUUUAAUGGGUUUAACUAGUACAAAUACUAUUAUUUUAUAAAUUGGGUUUAAUAAUAGUAUAUUGGGGAUUUAGGUUGAGUAAAUUUUAAAAUUUUAAAAUUAAAGGGUGGGUUUGUUUAGCAAAUGAGUUUUUUUUUUUUUUUUAUUACAUGAGACUAUUGCUCAAAUUACAGUUCAAGUUACAACUCAUAUUACAUGAGAGUAUAAUUGAUAUGUACAAUCAUAUAUUUAUACUGAGCCCUGUUGAUAUUAAUGCUGAUAUGACACCGCUCAGAUUUUUAACCCUCUCAAAUAUUUGAGGGAUGUCAAACUCCCAUCCUGGGAGAAAGACUGUCUUCACUCGAGCUCAAGGGCUCCAAGAAAGAAUAUUUAAAGUAAAACCCCUACAAUGCGACUGCGGAGGCUCGAACCCCUUCCCUCACAUUUGUGAGGGAGGGGCUUAGCCUUAGCCCAAGUGGCUCUUUUAGCAAAUGAGUUAAGGGAAUAGUUUGUUGGGAUUUAAAUAGCCCCACCCAAACUCAAAUGUAAAAUUUUUGAAAAAAGAGACUAUUACGUUUUAAAAAAAAGAAUUAAAAGGUCAAGAAUACCUCUAUUUAAUUUUAUAAUCAUAUUUUAUUUCUACCCUAAUAUAAUAUUAAAAAACUUAACUAAAAAUUUUAUAAUUUUUUAUAAAAAUUACCAUUAACAUCCAAAAAGCUAAAGAUUAAAAAAAAAAAAGGAACUGUAUUUACAAAAGUUAUAUCAAUAAUAAAUUCAGUCCAAAGAAAAAAGUUAUUGUAAACAAGUACUCAUAUUUAUCUCUACUUUAACAAUAAUCUUCGAAUCCGUUUUACAAUGGAUUUUAACCAAUGGGCUUAUGAGUCCUUUUUUGGAAAGCAUGAAAGCGAUGGCCCAAUCUCUAAACUUCAUUUUCUUUAGCCAGAAAGCCUAAAACAAGACCAGCCCAUAGAUAUAUAACUACCGGAAAAAAUUAAAAAGAAAAAAAAGAGUAAAAUUGUGUAAGAGCUUUUAGAAUUACAAUUUUAGGAUCACGUGUGUAAAUGGAACUCCAAGAUUGAUCAAGAAUUAACAAGGCAAGAUGAAGGGAUGAUCUUGUAGCAAAGAAUGAAGAAAUUGAAUCAAGAAAGUACUCUAGUGCUUUAGUGCUUUACAGUUAAGGGAUAUAGGGUGCGUUUGGGAUUGAGGUUGGGCAGCUGUAGCUUAAAAGCUACAGCACUAAAGUGUUUGGUAAACACUAGCUGCUGUAACUUUUAAGCUAUGUUGAUAUAAUUUUUCACUUGUAUAAUAUAAAAUUUAUUAUAUCUUUAAUAAUUUUGAUAAAAUUAUUAUUUACAAUUUAUAUUUAUUAUAUAUUAUUAACUUUUAUUUCAUAAUUACAACUUCUUUUUUACAGCAGCUGUAGCUUAAAAACUACAGCACCUCAAUCCCAAACACAACCAUAGUGUGAAUUCAUUACAAAGCAUUCGCAAAGAAAUUGUUUUUAAAUGAAACUCCUCGUCUUGACCAGAUUAUUUAUUAUUAUUCAAAAAAAAAAUGUUCAAAACUUAGCCAAAGUGAUAAACUCGUAAUUAUUCUACAAAGGGAACAAUUUUGAACGGUCGGAAAUUCCAUGCUUAUGAUUUUCUCUGCACUAUUUCAAUAAAAUUAUUACCCAGUGAAGACUUUAGAGACAAGUGCCCCCAUGAGAUCAAGCAAAUAUGCCCCCACAAAGAUCACAUAAUUAUUUCUUGUUCUUUUUCUUUUUGACAAUUUUAUCUGUGGUUUCAACUUUUACGCUUUAUUGUCAUUUCUCGUUGAGGGCUCCGCUGCACCCAUUACAACUUACCCCUAUAUUGUCUUUUACUGACUAAACCGUUAGAUUUGACGGAUAGCACGUUCAAUGCUGAAUUUUAAUUAUAUCAUCAAAUUUCGUUUAGCUCCUUAAACUCCAUUUUAUUUUUUAUUUCUUUAUAAAAUAUUCAAAGCUUCAUCAAGCUCCCGAUGGACCAUCAUGGCUAGGGGUGCAUUAGAGCCGAACUGAAAUAUGUUAGUUUAGUUUAGUUUGGUCAGUUUAAAUCGAAUGGUUUAGAAAAUAUAAAAUGAUCAAUUUUAAUUUUGAAUUGAACCGAACCAAAAAUUAAUUGAUUUGCUGUUAGUAUUUUUGCAUAAACAUAAAUGAUUAGUGAUUAUAAUUGAAUUGGACUAAAAAAAAUCAAACAAAAGUGAAAAAUAUAAAAUCUUAGACAAUAUAAAAGAAAAAAUAUUAAAUAUAUAAACCAAAACGAACUGAAUUAUUUUGACUCAGUUUUGGUUCAUAAUUUUUUAAACCAAACUGAUUUAUUCCCACCCCCUAAUCGUGGCCCUCUAUCUUUAGUCAUUCACCCUUGAGUUUGAUACCAAUUGUUGGGUUUCAAAUGAUUAUACACUCAAAUGGAACCCCUCAUAACCAAAAACUAACAGAAACAAUAAGAACACAAUGUUAAAAUCUUAAAUCAAUCGCAAAAAAGCACCCAAAACAGAUCGAUUAGGAAUAGUUAACAACAAAAGAUUUAAUGGUUCAAAAUCAUAAUGUGACCUACUUCCAUCCAAGAAUCAUACUAAUUGCUUUACUUGUUGUCAAAUACGAGAUCAUAAGAUUGUUUAUCACUCUACAGAGAAAAAAAAUUUAGAAGAAAUACUCCCCAAUUUUUCUCUUAAUAGUUAUGAAUCAACACCCCUGAUUUACUUUUCCUUAUUUCCUAUGAUCGGUUGCUGCUACUUAAUCCUUACCAAGCUCCAACAUAGUCCAAACACUUUUCAUGGUACAUGCACAGUGCACCUUCAGAAACUUUACAGCUCUUCUUAAAACCUCAGGCCUAUAGAGUGCAAUUUCGCACCUAUAUGCUUAGUCCUCUCAGUUCUCGUGAUGUUUUUGAUUUAUUUCUCGGACGAGUAGCACUUUUAGCUGCCAUAAUACAAUGUAAUUGACUUCUGAGCAUGACUUAAUUUUGAGAUCAUUACUUUUAGUUAAAUGAUCUCCUCCAGAGCUUCUACCUAUGUAGUGUUUUUAGACCUCUAUAGUUGAUAAAGCAUGUUCAAGGUGAAGGCUUGUUUUCCAAUCUAUAGUCCAAUUAUAGACUGGAACUGGUCAGGCUUAAUGCACCUUCAAAAGCUUCACAACUUAUAUUGAAACCUUAAGCCUUGUAGAAUGCUACAAAUUUUAAAUCCAUAUACUUAGUGCUCUUAUGAUUUGUUUGAUUUUUACUUAGAUGAAGAGCAUUUUAGCUAUAGAAUACAGAAACUAAUUCAAAGCCUGCCUUAGCUAUGAGAUCAUUCAUUCUAGCCAAAUGCCCCUUUAGAGAUUCUGCUAUUGUUGCGUAUUAAGCCUCUAUAUCAAAGCAAUUACAUGUCGAAGGCUUGCUUUGCAGUUAACAGCGCAAUUACAAUUAUAUAGAUUAAAGGUGUAAAUCCAUAAAACUACCAGACUUCAAUCUUUAGACUCCAUAGAUCAAACCAUAACUUAGUGUGCCUUUCAAUCUCAGGUAACUGUUUUCCACGUCUUGCCAUGUACUUGCUGCUAACACUAACAAUUUGAGAAAUGUUAGGCAUCGUAAGCAGCCGACAACACUCUUCUUCAUUUCUUCAUUGUCAAUUUCUUUCUUGGAACAUUGCUCCAUUGAGAGUCUGCUAUCAUUGCUCCAAUUAUUAUUAUUUUUGUUUUUGUUUUUUAAAAAAAUAACCGUGCAAUAAGAGUAUAAGACUAAGCAACGGUCCUUUUUUUUUUACCCAUUCUUGAACAUGAAGUAUUUGAGUAUGUAAUAAAAAUUGUUUAUCGAUAAUUAAAAGUUAAUAGUGGGUGGCUUUAGGUUUUGUUUACAAAAUUGACAACAAAUUAGAUUUUUCAAAUUCAUAGGUAAGAAACUUUUCAUUUAUUCAUAGAUUUUCCGGUUUAAACUUUAAAGGAAACUUAAAAGAAAAAGAUGUAUCAUUAGGUUUGUAAUUAAAAAAAUUUAAUAUUGUAUGAUCUGUUCGAUAUGCAUAAUUUAAAUAAACAUUAAUAUAGAUGUUAUAUAUCCUAAAACUUAAUUGACUUAAUUCUUAUGGUGCAAGGAAGAGGUUUCCAAGUUUAAAUCUAAAGUCUUGUAUUUAAUUUGGGGUCGGGAAAGCACUGGGAAAUAAAUGUAACAAAGGAAAAAAAAAAAAGAAUGACAGUCUGAGUGGAGCCAACGCGGUUUUAAAAAAAGUGAAAAAAAGGGUUUAAAAAAAAAAACGCGGUUUGCUUGCUUGUGGAAAUAGAAGUCUCAUGUUUCUUUGAAAGGUAAGCAAGUGUGAAUGUUUCUAUCUAGAGCUGGAAAAUGCAUUUCCGUGCAACUUACUUGAUGAAUGAAGUUUUCAUCGCUGACCCUGAUGUUUCCCUGAGCUGCAUUCAUUGCAGCUGAUGUAUUUCAUUUUGUUUUCGAAGGAGUGACACAAAAUCUCCUUCGUUAAGGUGAGAAUUUAGAGUGGCUUUAACUGUUAACAAAUAGCCUAAUAUAAGACUUAAUCUACUUCCUGCCCUGUUGUAUGCUUAUGAAAUUUGAUAGAGUUAUGAGUUUGCAGAAGCUACUGUAUUAUAUGUUGCUUGAGGCUGUAAAAAUGAGGCAGAUCAAACACACAUUUAAAUUUCAAUGACAAUUUACUGGAAGUAAAUUUCCUAUGACCCUACAUGUGACUAAUUGAUGAGAAGUUGACAAAUGACAAAAGAAAGUGUAUGAGCUUUGCAGGUUGGCAUGCCGAUACUGACUGUGUGGCACCAUCCGCCAUUUGGAAGUGAAUAUCAUUAUUCUUUAAUCAACAUGGUGGAGUCCACUGGGACCACACCACAUGGUCAGUCUUAUCUCUAUUCCUCAAUUUUCAGUAUUCCAUACAUGAAAACAACUUCAGUUUUGUUAUCAAUUAUAAUUUCAUUGUUGGUGACGAUUCUGAUUCCUUUCUUUCUGACAAAACGGAACCAUGGUUGCUGUGGGAGAGAUCUUACUCAACGCCUUCUUUCAGGUGUUGUUUGACAGGUUGGCUUCCCGUGAUUUGCUCAGCUUUGUCCGUCAACUUGGAGGCGGGGUCGAUUCCGAGCUCAAGAAGUGGGAAAGAAAGCUGAAGAUGAUUCAGGCGGUGCUCAACGAUGCAGAGGAGAAGCAACUGACUGACGAGGCUGUGAAGACGUGGCUGGACGAUCUCCAAGACUUGGCUUAUGACGCUGAGGACAUUCUUGAUGAGUUUGCUACUCAAGCUUUGGAAAGCAAGUUGAUGGCGCAAAAUCAGGAUAGCUCUGGCCAGGUUCUCAGUUUCAUCCCGGCUAGUAUCCGAAUGCUGUUAGGUUCAAUUAUAGCAUGAGGUCCAAGAUUAACGAUAUUACUAGCCGGUUGGAGCAACUCUGCAAAGAAAGAAUCGAACUUGGACUGCAACGGAUUCCUGAAGGGGCAUCAUCAACUGCUGCUGCUGCACACCAGAGGCCACCCAGUUCAAGCGUCCCACCAGAACGUGAAGUUUUUGGUAGAGAAGAAGAUAAGGCCAAAAUUCUUGAUAUGGUAUUGGCCGAUAGCCCAAGUGAUCAUGCCAACUUUGCUGUAAUACCCAUUGUUGGCAUGGGCGGGAUAGGAAAAACAACUCUCGCUCGGGAGGUCUACAAUGACAAGGCCGUUGAACAUUCCAAGUUUGAUGUAAAAGCAUGGGUUUGUGUAUCUGAUGUCUUUGACAUUUUGGGCAUCUCAAAGGCACUUCUCGAGUCAAUCUGCUGCGCAGCUAGUGAUCUCAAGACUUUAAAUGAAGUGCAGGUUCAACUGAAAAAAGCAGUGGACGGAAAAAGAUUCUUGCUGGUCUUAGAUGAUGUUUGGAACGAGGACUACAGCUUGUGGGUAGACUUAAAAGCUCCAUUCUUGGCUGCUGCACCAAAUAGUAAGAUGAUUAUCACCACACGCAAUUCACAUGUUGCAUCUACAAUGGGACCCAUUGACCAUUAUAACCUCAAGCAUCUGUUAGACGAUGAUUGCUGGUCUAUUUUCAAAACGCAUGCAUUGGAGGGUAGAGAUCAUAAUGCACUUGAAAUCUCAGAAUCAUUUCGCAAGAAAGUUGUUGCCAAAUGUGGAGGCUUGCCCCUUGCUGCAAAAACACUCGGAGGCCUUUUGCGUACGACGAGGCAUGAUGCGUGGGAUGAUAUAUUAGAGAGCAAAAUAUGGGAUUUACCUCAACAAAGUGGGGUUCUCCCAGUAUUAAGAUUGAGUUACCAUCAUCUUCCUUCUCAUUUGAAAAGAUGUUUCGCUUACUGUGCAAUCUUUCCAAAAGAUUAUGAAUUCAAUGAGAAGGAGGUGACUUUUUUAUGGAUGGCUGGAGGAAUUAUUCGACAGUCAAGAAGCAAAGAGCGGCUAGAAGAUUGGGGCAGCAAGUGCUUCUAUGAUCUGGUGUCAAGGUCAAUUUUUCAGCAAACAGCAAUCUCUGGUAGUUCUAAAUUUGUAAUGCACGACCUUAUUCAUGAUCUUGCUGAAUUCGUCUCUGGAGAAACCAUAUUCAGGUUAGAGGAGUCCACCAACUUGUCGUCAAGCAGAUUUGAAAGAGUUCGCCAUUCUUCCUAUGCCGGCGGUUGGUAUGAUGGUAAAAAUAAGUUUGAGGUUUUCUAUGAAAUUGAACAUCUACGAACAUUCUUGCCAUUACGCUUACGCAUGCGAGGUACUUUUUUCAUAACUAGAACGGUUCUAUCUGAUUUGCUGCCAAAGUUCAAAAAAUUGAGGAUGCUAUCUUUAGAAGGAUACUGUAUUGGUGAGUUACCAAUUCCAUUUGAAGAUCUCAGACUUUUAAGGUUCCUCAACCUCGCUGACACUGACAUAAGAAGUUUACCUGAGUCAACAUGCAAAUUGCUGAACUUGGAAAUUCUGAUAUUAAGAAAGUGUUCCCGCUUGAUAAAGCUUCCCCAGAAAAUGAGGAAUUUGAUCAAUUUACGUCAUCUGGAUAUAAGAGGUGCACAGCAGCUGAAGGAGAUGCCAUUUGGAAUGAAAGAGUUGAAGAAGCUUCAAACAUUGUCCAAUUUUAUUGUGGGCAAGGGUGAAACUGCAUCCGGUGUGGAAGAUUUAAAAUGUUUAAGCUUUCUUUGUGAUGAACUUUGCAUUGCUGGAUUAGAGAAUGUGAAUAAUCCACAGAAUGCAAGAGAAGCCGCAUUAUGCGAGAAGCACAAUCUUGAAGCAUUGACUCUAGAAUGGGGGUCUCAAUUUGACAAUUCUCGAGAUGUAGCAAUAGAAGAGCACGUGCUUGACAUUCUACAGCCUCAUAAAUGUAUAAAAAAGGUGGCAAUCAGGAGCUAUGGUGGUGCAAGAUUUCCACUUUGGAUAGGAGAUCCGUUGUUCUCCAAGAUAGAAUUCCUUGAAUUGGAGAACUGUGACAAUUGUGUAUCUUUGCCAUCGCUUGGCCGUUUGAGUUCACUUAAACACCUUGCUGUUAAAGGGCUGAAGAAACUAAAAAGCAUAGAGCCUGAGGUUUAUGGGGAGGGUUUCUCAACGCCUUUUCCAUCAUUGGAGAUUCUAAGUUUCGAGAAUUUGACAGAAUGGGAGCAUUGGGACACGGAUAUCAAAGGAAAUGCACUUGUUGAAAUAUUUCCUCGUCUCCAUAAACUUUCCAUUGUGAAAUGUCCCAAACUCUCUGGAGAACUGCCUGAGCUCCUGCCCUCCUUGGAGACACUUGUUGUUAGUAAAUGUGAAAAGUUGGUAGUUCCAAUGUCUUGCUAUCCGAUGCUCUGCAGAUUAAAAGUUGAUGAGUGCAAAGAACUGGUCUGCCGGACUCCAAUUGAUUUUAAGUUGAUAAAGUCUGUGACUAUUUCAAAUUGUUCACUAGACAUGUAUGGAUGCAAGGGGAUGCUAUACAAUGGUCCAGCUGGCUCUUCACUGCCGAAAUCCAUGACUAUUACAAAUGUUUUGGCGUUUGGAAAAUUAUUGAAGCCUGGAUUUCAGAUAUUAGAAACUUUGGUAAUUGACAAUUCUGAACAGCUCAAGUCAUGGAGGCAGCGUGGGGAUUUUCGACAAGAAUAUUUGGGCGUUCGCGUAAGGCGUCACAAACCAUCACAAGGGCUAGAUAUGCUCGCCUCCCCAGAAGAGGUAACAAUUGAAGAAAGUUGUGUGAGUUUUGUUUUAUUUCCAGAGAUCAAUUUCUUUCCCAGAAAUCUGCGCUCUCUUCUAAUUUGCAACAGCACAGCUUUAAAAUCCUUACCCGAUGAAAUGAUGGACAAUUCACAACUCGAAAGGUUGUAUAUCAGAGAUUGCGAUUCUCUAACAUUCAUCACAAGACGCAAGCUACCUUCAUCUCUAAAAAGUAUAGAGAUUGAGAAUUGUGAGAAACUGCAACAUUUGUUCGAUGAUAAAGAGGAUGCUUCUUCUUCUUCUCCUCCUUCAUCCUCGUCCUCCCCAGUGAUGCUGAAACACCUGAGUAUAAAUAAUUGCCCAGUGCUCACCAGUUUAUCAACAGGAAUCCAAUUACUUGAGGCGCUUGAAAGCCUCGAGAUACGGGAUUGUCCAAAGCUGGAGUCAUUACCAGAUGGCCUUCACAAUCUUAACUGUUUACAGGAGAUUACUCUAAACAGUUGUCCAAGUCUUGUUUCCUUCCCAGAAAGAGGACUUCCCAACACGAUUUCAAAUCUUGUAUCGUUUCCAGAAGAAGGUUUUCCUACCAAUCUAACAUCACUUACAAUUGGAUAUUUCAAAAUGUAUAAGACACUCGUCCAGUGGGGGUUGCACAGGCUUACCUCUCUUAAACGCCUCUGCAUCAUUGGAUGUGAUGAUGAAGCAGAGUGUUUUCCAGACGAGGAGAUAGGAAUGACGCUGCCCACCUCUCUCACUCAUCUGACACUUUCGGAAUUCAAAAAAUUGAUAUCUCUGUCUUCGACGGGUAUUCAGAGCCUCAACUCUCUUCAAUCUUUGUCGAUCGGGAAUUGCCCGAAUCUCACAUCAUUUCCAGAGGUGGGCCUUCCAUCCUCACUUUUGGAAUUACACAUUUACAGUUGUCCAAAGCUUAAAAAAGCGUGCAAAAGAGAUCAAGGAAAAGACUGGCCCAAAAUUGCUCACAUCCCUUUCGUUGAGAUAGACGGUAAAUUCAUAUACGAUCCCGAAUCAGAGGAGUAGAUUCUAUUACACAGGUCAGUUGAUUUAUAUUAUCCGCUAUAACAAGCUCCUCCUUUUUUAUUUUUUUUAAAUAAUAAUUUUGCAGUCAGUCACGUGAUUCCGUUUUCACAAGUCAGAUUGUAUGUUGAGGCUAUUUGCCUUUUAAUCGCAGAUUAAAUUAUAACACUUAUCUUAAAAUUUAAUACCAUAGACAGAUAGACGAUUUUUUAAUCCAAAGUUUUUUUUAUUCACUUCAGUUAGCAUUUUUUUUUCCCCCAAAUCAUGCAAGCCGAGAGUUUCAAUCAAGAAUUGGAGGAUGUGAAUGGGAUUUUUGUGAAAGAGUAACAUAAUGGAUGACCGAACAUUUCAUCUGUGAUCUCAAAGUCAACAGAAUUUUAUUCACUCAUUGACUUUUCAACUGCCGUGGUUUUUAUGGGUGAAAGAUAAGGGCAAUUACAAAAAAUUUGCAAAAUUUGUCAAUUUCUUAGAUGGUAGAUAUAUCGACAUUUUAGAUUUCAGAUAUUUGUCACCAAUUUGCAAAAUUGAAAUUUCUGUCUUCAAUGGGUUUUCAAAGCCUCGCCUCUCUUCGAUUUUUGUGGAUUGGGAAUUGCACAAAUCUCACAUCAUUUCCCGAGGUCGAGGAAAAGAGCGGCCCAAACUUGCUCGCAUCCCUUGGGUUAUGAUAGAUGGAAAAUUCAUGUACGAUCCAGUCAGAGGUGUUGAUUCUCUUAUUAAGGUCAGCUGAUUUCUAUUAUCCACUCUGACAAUCUCCUAUUAGUGUUUUUCCUUUUUUUUUUUUCAAAAUUUUGCAGUUCUGUAUAAUUGAAAAUGCCACUCACUUGUUUCCUUUUUCACAGGUCAGAUAGUAUGUUGAGGCUAUUUGAUUUCUAUCGGUGUUUGUUAAGGUAAUUAGUGCUCCCUCAUAGGUAUGACUAGAUUUUUUUCACUUCCGUAAAUAUUGCAUUUUAGACUGGCAAAUUUAGCAGUAAUUUUAAUACAAUUUUGUUGGUGCCUUGUGUGCCAGAAGCUAGAAAAAUGUGUAGUUUUCAGAUAAGGAGUCUUGUUAGUUCUCUAGUAAGAAUCCAAUAAUUUGCUUUUGCACGUCCAUCUAAUUUGUGGAUCCUUGCAUCAGAAUUUGAUCAAUCCAAAGGAAUUGCUUUUAGACAGAAGAAGAAUAGCAGCACCUAGCCUAUGUCAUAGUGUAUGGACCCGCAAACCUGAAACUAUUAGAUUGAGGUAAAAAAAUCAUUGACCCUCACAUGUUAACUUCUUCUAGUUACUUUUGUUGGGAAAAAAAAACAUUUAAGGAAUUUGCAAUUUGUUGUUAGUUAUGGUAUCUGAUGUUCUUUUCUGUUUUAGCGUUUGUAGAAUCUACGGUAUUAUGUGUUGGCAGUUGCCGUAUCUGAGGUAACUUGCCUUUAUUUGUUUGCUUCUGACUUAAGGACACCAACAUUUGCCAGAGAUUUAGAGAAGCAUCUCAAAACACUUAGCAAACUUGACAAACUUCAAGAUGCACUUGCCCCCACGCCUUAUUCUCCACAACGCAAAACUUGUGAGUACACUUAUGCCUGCAAUUAUUGUGAAGUGUUUGCAAUUUCGAUGCAGAGAAAUGGUUUCUUGAUGCAAAGUAUUAAACUGUUAAGAUUUAUCCUGCAGGCUUGUUAGAUGUUGUAUACUCGAAAAGCCAACAACAUCAAGAACUACAACUCCAAGACCAACUUUGCAUUAAUUCAGUCAGCUGUAAAAAUGAUGCAAAUGACACUAUAUCAAGCUGGACUUAGAGACUAGUCAGAUCAAUCAUCCAUUUCAUCAACGGUUAAUGUCAUGAUGGUGGCUAUCAGAGGAAACAAAAGAUGUGUCAGAAUCUAUACGAACAUUGAGAAGCAUGAGAGGAGCUUUGAUUUUGAGUAGGGUCAAUGAACUCAUGUUGGUAAGUGGUGAUUAAAGAAAUUUGUAAGCUUAGUAGAGUUUCAGUAUUUUCUGUUUGGAGUAUAGUUGAUAAGUUGACUCUGUUUAAGAAGCCCGAUUAUAGUAGCUGACUGUAUUAACCUUUUUUUUUUUGGUCUGCUGUUGUUUUUGGUUUCGAUUAUUUUUUCAACAUUGGGUUGAUCUGUUGAAGAACAAGCUUGGGUUUGAUUAUGUUUUAACUAUAAGGAAGAGCCAGACUUGGUUGCAGGCGUUAAGCUUUUAAUGGGUAAGAACAAAUGAAUGCUUUAACCAUGUUUCUCACUUAUUAAAAUGCAUGGAUUGAAGGCAUCUGGGUUGAUCCUGACAAUGUGAUGGAAAUACUUCUCUGUUUUCAUGUAACAGGACAAAUAGAGAUCUCUGAUCAUGCCUGAAUUUUUGUUGCAUUGAAAUUUCUACCAUUACCAAACAUAGAAUGAACUGGGGAUACAUUAGCUUAAGACUCAAUUUUGAGAAGGAAGUUUGUACUUGCAGCCUAUAAAAUCAUGUCCGUGUCGUACGUUUCUUUGGGAAAUGAAAGAUUCUGUGUGUUCUUUUAUUUCAAGUUCACUGAAAUCACAUUUGUUUUCUCCGAUGCUUUCCAGAAGGUAACAACAUCAAUUUCAAAAAUGCUGGGGCAAGAUGCAUCAUGCAGUGCGACUCAACUUGAGAAUUCCUGGCCACAUUACCCGUAUGUCGAAUGAUCGCACAGUUCAACCUUGAGAAGCUUGUAAUGAGUACACAACUGGGUGCAAGUAGUUUUGAAAUGAAUUUGCCUCAAAUGAUUUCUUGCUCGCAUCCCUUGGGUUAUGAUAGAUGGAAAAUUCAUAUACGAUCCAGAGUCAGAGGUGUUGAUUCUCUUAUUAAGGUCAGCUGAUUUCUAUUAUCCACUCUGACAAACUCCAAGACCGGGUUUUUUUUUUUUUUUAAUUUUGCCGUUCUGUAUAAUUGAAAUGCCACUCACUUGUUUCCUUCUUCACAGGUCCGAUAGUAUGUUGAGGCUAUUUGCUUUUUAUCGGUGUUUGUCAAGGUAAUUAGUGCUGCCUCAUAGGUUGAUUACUCACAGAUGAAAUCAUAACUUUUAUCUUAAAAUUUAAUAGCAUACACAGAUAGAUGAUUUUUAGUCCAAAGUUUUUUUAUUCACUUCAAUCAAAAUUUUAGAUUGCAGAUUUUUGUCAAGUAUUUCAUUACAAUUUUUUCAUUUUUUAUUUUAAACCAGAAUAUGAGUAUAACAUUUUGGAGCGUGCAUACUCUGAUGCAUGCAAUUAACUGUUUUUAAUCAUUGGAUUUUGAAAUUAAUAAUGGUAAGAUGUGUACUUAUUCUGUCUUCCAACAACCUUGGCCUCUUUCUUCGGUCGCAUAUCUAAUGAAUAUUUCUCUGUUUAGUUAAGGAUGAAUGCUUGGAGUGGGGUACUUGGUAACAUUUCUGCCUCAGAUGAAUCCUUGAAGAAAUGCCCGCAGUUCCUGAGACCAAAUACAGGUCUGAUUCAAAACAGCACCUUUCUCAGAAAAUAUGAUCCAAGGCAAAGUCAUGUUCUGAUAAUGUUUCCUUAAGUACAAAGUUGCAAGGAAACUUGAUUCAUUAACUACAGUUUUUUAUUUUUAGGACCUUGUAUCUGAAAGGUUCAGUGUUUUUUUUUUUUUCAAAUUUAUUGUUCAGAUCUCAGAGGAGUAUAUGGUUUAGAUUACAAAACACCCAUGAUUAAUUUCAUUUUUUUUUUAAUUUCAGGGAGAAGAAGUGGUCAGUUUCAAUCCGGAAUUGGAAUAUGGCAAUUUGGUUCAAGCACACACACCUGGUCACUUGGUCAGUGAACCUGAACUUUACGCAGUUUUUUCAACUCAGUGAUUUUUGGAACGCAUAGUGGUGUAAGGAAAUCAAAAGAAAUUUAUGCAUAGUCAAAUUCUGAUAUUUGCUAUAUAUUAUACAUUCUAAAGUUUCUCCAGUUUGUUCUCAGAUUACCAUCAUUUUUUGCCUUCACCAAAAAAAAAAAAUUGAGUGGCUUUCCAGUGGAUAUUUAAUCGGAGGUAUGACUGGAUUUUUUUCACUUCUGUAAAUCUUGCAUUUUAAACUGGCAAAUUUAACUUUAAUUUUAAUACGACUUUGUUGGUGCCUUGUGCCCCAGAAACUAGAAAGAUGUGUAGUUUUCAGAUAAAGGGGCUUGUAAAUUCUCUAGUAAGAAUCCAAUAAUUUGCUUUUGCACGUUCAUUUUAUUUGUGGAUCCUUGCAUCUGAAUUUAAUCAAUCCAAAAGGAAUUGCUUUUAGACAGAAGAAGAAUAGCAGUACCUAGCCUAUGACAUAGUAUAUGGACCUGCAAACCUGAAACUAUUAGUUUGAGGUAAAAAAUUCAUGACCCUCACAUGUUAACUUUCAUGAAAAACACAUUUAAGAAAUUUGCAAUUUUUUGUUAGUUUCGUAUCCGAUGUUGUUUUCUGUUUUAGCAUUUGUAGAAUCUACUGUAUUAUAUUUUGGCAGUUGCAGUAUCUGAGGUAUGUUUUGCAUUUAACUUGCUUUAUUUGUUUUGCUUGUGACUUAAGAACACCAAUAUUUGCCAGAGAUUUAGAGAAGCAUAUCAAGCUGCUUGGCAAACUUGACAAACUUCAAGAUCCUCCAUUCUUCACAACGCAAAACUUGUAAGUACACCUAUGCCCGCAGUUAUUGUGAAAUGCUUGCAAUUUUGAUGCGCUGAAAUGGUUUGUUGAUGCAAAGGUUUAAACUUUUAAGAUUUACCCUGCAGGGUAGUUGGAUGCUGUAUACUCGAAAAGCGACCAACAUCAAGAACUAUGACUCCAAGACCGGGUUUGCUUUAAUUCAAUCAGCUGAAAUCAUGAUGCAAACGACACUAUCAGCUGGACUUAGAGACCGGUCAGAUCAAUCAUCCAUUUUAUCAACAGUUAAUGUCAUGAUGGUGGCUAUUAGAGGAAACAAAGGAUGUGUCGGAAUCAAUGUGAACAGUGAGAAGAAUGAGAGGAGCUUUGAUUAUACGUAGGCUCAAUGAACUCAUGCUGGUAAGUGGUAAUUAAAGAAAUUUGUGCGCUUAGUAGCAUUUCAAUAUUUUCUGUUUGGGAUAUAGUUGAUGAGUUGAUACUCUGAUUAAGAAGCCUGAUUAUAGUAGCUGACUUUUUUUUUGUGGUUUGCUGUUGAUUUUUCUUUUGAUUUUUUCAACAUUAGGUUGAUCUGUUGAAGAACAAGCUUGGGUUGAUUAUGCUUUAACUACAAGGAAGAGCCAGACUUGGAUGCAGGCGUUCAGCUUUUAAUGGGUAAGAACAAAUGUAUGCUUUAAACAUGUUUCUCACUUAUUACAAUGCACGCAUUGAAGGCAUCUGAGCUGAUCCUGAAAAAGUGAUGGAAAUACUUCUCUGUUUACAUAAAACAGGACAAGAGAUCUCUGAUCAUGCCUGAGAAUUAGUUGCAUUGAAAUUUCUACCAUUGCCAAAAAUAGAAUAAACUAGGAAUACAUUAGCUUAAGACUCAAGUUUGAGAAGGCAGUUUGUACAUGCAGCCUAAAAAAUCAUGUCUGUGUUGUAUACUUGUAUGUUUCUUUGGGAAAUGAAAGAUUCUGUGUGUUCUAUUAUUUCAAGUUUGCUGAAAUCACAUUUGUUUUCUUAGAUGCUUUUGAGAAGGUAACAACAUCAAUUUCAAAAAUGCUGGGGUAACAUGCAUCACGCAGUGCUACUCAACAUGAGAAUUCCGGCCGCAUUACCUGUAUGUUGAGUGAUCGCACAGUACAGCCUUUAGAAGCUUGUAAGGAGUAGACAACUAGAUGUGAGUAGUUUCAAUAUGGAUUCGCAUCAAAUGAUCUCUUGCCAGUGAUUACUAUAACCUCUAUCCCAAAAUUCUUGGAACUGGUCAUACCAAUAAUGAAGUGUUGUGUAUGUUGAAGACAUUGCGAAAGCUCCGUCAGCCUUUGUAUUGGAAAACAGUUGGUUGUAGUUGCUUCUGAAUGAUAUUAUUAAUAGAUACUGUAAAAAUGAACUGUGCCACUCAUUUUCAGAGCCCUGUUAAGAUGUGUUGGUAAUGUGUUUGAAGGUUGUUUGAUUUAUGUUGUAUUCAGCUAUAAAUCAAAGAUUCAGAACAUGGUUAUGUUACUGGUUUCCAAAUCAAAAAAUUGCCUUGUGAUGUUAGUGUUCAUUGUUUUCACAGGAGAUCAGGUUCCCUGUUGAUGAAUCAUUAAGGCAAACGCAUCCAUGUCUUAAGUUCAAAUGUGUCUCUUCUAUUUUCUAUUACUGACUCCUUUAUUUUGAUUUCUUCAUUGUAAUGGAAUUGGUUUUUAUUCCAAAUUAGUCUUAAGUUCUGUUAGCAUUUGAAGAUAGAACUAGAACUAAAUGAUUGACUGGAUUAAAUUCCGAUAAAGAAUUAAGUUAUAUAUUUAGAGAUAUUAUGUUUUUUUUUUUUUCAUUUGUUCAAUUUGGUUAGUGGUGAUUUCUUAAAGACUCAAUCCAUGUGCGUUUAUGCAUUUUUCUUUUGCCUUAAUUUCUGUUUCUUGGGGAGUUUAUACAGAUUCUUAUUUUAUGCUUCACAUGCCACAUGAAAGAUCGAAUUCUUAUAAUAAGAGUCUGAGAUCUCCCUGAAGGAUUCAAAGCAUUUUAUUUUAUAUUAAACUCCUUUACGUGGGUUUGGACACUACCACAAGUUCUUUAAAUACUAAAACGAUUUUAAGUCUUUUGUAUCAUCUGAUUGAAAUACAUGAAAGCACUCGUGGCUGCAAAAAUACAGUUGGGGCUAUUUCUAAAGUCUUCAACAGCAUUUUCUUUUUAACCUUUAUCCUCAUGGUUGUUUUUGCAGUUGUUCUUUAAGAAAACAUUUAAAAGGUUCUCUUUAUGGAUUUUUGAAAAUAAUUUUAACAUAAGCAAUUUUCAGAAGCACUUUAGAUGUCUGGCAUUUAGAAAAUUUUAUUCCGGUGUCACAUAAAAUACUUAGGAAGUUAAAUUUAUUUAUUUAUGAGCAUGUGCCAGUGCCCUGUGGCAUCCUCUUCACUUGUGAUAGUCAAAUGUAUUAUACGAUACAAUAUUAGCUUGACUGUAGCACAGAGGAGAAUAGGGUUGGUGUUGGUCUGAACCAGCUUAUGUAACAGCUGCCAAAGGAUAAUUUAAUUGUACUUUGAGUAAAGCUUUUGCAAAUUAAACAAGUGAUAAUUUGUUUCUAUUAAGAAAAACUUAAAGGAUAGGGCUAUUUUAACUCACCAAACUACACAUUAAAAAUCUACUUACAAAAAUAGUUUUUAAUUAUUAAAAUAUUCCUAAAUUAAAUUAUAAUUAUGGACACUAAAAUAUAAUUUUUUUUAUAUUUUACCCUUUGAAACUAUCUUUACAUUCGAUAUUACAUUUUUUUCUUAAACUCCAAAUUGAUUUUUUUUAUUAAUUUUAAAACACAUAUAAAGUGAUUCAUAUUGAUUUUAUACUAACAAACUAUUAUAGCACAUUCGAAAAAUAAUUAAAUCGUUCUUAUUUACAUAGUGAAAAUGCAAAUAGCUCAUUCAAAUGUUAAGGAAUUGGAGAGCUGCUGCUGGAGAUGAAAGAUGUGAAUUAAACAUCAGAGAAAAAAUUAUGUUCACUGUCUUGCCAGACCAAGCACCGAAAAGCGUCGUAAAGAAAAAUUAGAUAAUUUAGAAGAUAAAGCACGUGGAAUGGAGGCAGAAAGCAAGUAAUGAUAACUCUUUCGACAAACUAAUAUAUACCAAAAUGUAAUAUCGGCCCUAAUAAAAAAUGUGUUACGUAAGUAAAAGCACCAGGUCGGUCGUGCUACUAUUUCUGUCCCGGUAUGGCUCACCUCAACUGAAUGGUACAAGCAGAGCAUGGAGACGAAUAUGGCCCGACCAGAGAUGAGUACCGACCAGAGGUGUAUGUCGAGCCGAUACCCGUCUCCUGAAAAAGCGGGAACACGAUCCCACAGAAUCGCGGAAUUUGCGUUUUUCCCAGAACCGUUGCGAGAGAUGCGAUACCCCACGUUUACCCGUAAUGUAGUAGUUAAAGUUCCGUGAAAGGCCACCACCCGAAAAAGGAGGGAUGAAGACUGAGCGGGAACGUGGGAUAACGGCUAUAAAAGAAGGAGAAAUCGAUGAAGAAGGGGACAGAAAAAUCAAAAGAGGGAAAACGCUGCCAAAUUAUUGUCAGGCUAUCUUCUUGAAAAUUCCAGAUAAAUCAAAAACUACUCUUAAAUCUAAAUUGCUCUGUUUUCCCGUAAAUACCUUGAGCUAACUUAGGCAUCGGAGGGUUUACGCCGGCAAAACCACCCGCGUCUUUGAUCCGUUUUUUUGUGAGCGCAGGUCUAGAAAGAGAAAGGAGGACGAGUCCAAGUCCCGCGGUUCGAACUUGAUAACAUAAUCGUUGGUGGAAAAUUCUGGUCGGUAACAAGGCGAGCAGAUUUAAGCAUCAACAUUUUGGCGCCGUCUGUGGGGAGCUGGAUAAAAAGCUACCACCAACUUAGUAGUUGCCAGAGAAGCGGUAAACAAUCAGACAUGGAUGUGCCCAGGAAAGACGCUCUGAGGGAGGAUAACGAGUCUGGAGAGACAAUCACUCUUAGGGAAAUUGCAAAUGAAGCCCGGGAGAGGGUAAUGCAAGAUCGAUUGGAGCGGAUGGAGAAACAAAUGGAGACUCUCGCGACCAUACUAUUUGAGCUGAGAGACGAGCGGAGAAGGGAUUGCGAAACCCCUGUGGGGAGAGAUGAUGUCGGAGCAGAACCCAGCCUCCGGACGCGUAGAGUCGAGGAGAUCCCUCCGCCGGCGGACCAACCUAAUGGGGUGCAUCCCCACAGAAGUACUGGUCGGAUUCCAGGAGAACAAAUAGAUGAAGGGAGGAACCAACCUCGCCCUGGGCGGGUACUGGAAGCUGAUGGCCGAGGGGCCAGUGUUAAUGAAGGGGAGCUCAGGCAGCGGUUGCAGAAUGCCGAACAGGAGCGAGAUCAAAUAGCUGCACGUGAUCCUGACCGUGCUGUAGAAUUGGAGGGAGAGGUGCGCAGAUUAGCGCAAGUGAUAGAGGAGAUACAGGGUAGGAGAAAGCCCCCGAGCUGGAGGAUAAUGCUAGAUGAAGAAUCUCCACUAUCAGUUGAGAUCAUGGGCACUGUAAUCCCAAGAGAUUUCCGCUUCCCCGACCUCAAAUACUCCGGGCGAAGUGAUCCACUGGUGCAUAUUGAACGUUUUAAUGACGUGACGGGUGUUCAGGGGUUAACACCAGCUCAGAGGUGUAGGGUAUUCCCAUUGACACUAGAGAGACGAGCCCGAGAAUGGUACCACAAACUGUUACGAGGAAGUAUCAGAGGGUACGAGCAGAUGUGCCAAGAAUUGGCCGAACAAUUCCGGGGGGCGGUGGCCCCAGAGGAUGAUAUGAUGGAACUAAUGGGGAUAAAGCAGGAGGAACAAGAACCCCUUCGAGAUUUUGUAAAACGAUACCACCGAGCCGUGCUUGAUUUGGGAGCUUUCAAUCACCCGCAGGCGUUGAGGGGAUUGAAGGAGGGUGUGAGAAUAGGCCGACUGUGGUAUAACCUGAGAAGCCCCCUGGUGCAGAAUUAUUCCGCGGGGUAUGAGCAAGCAAAGAGAGACAUUGAAAUCGAAGAAGAAAAAUCAGCCAGGAUAAAGAGUGAACAAUUGGAGGAGCUGAGACGAAGAGAGAUGAGAGCCCCAAAAGGAGCGGGUCAGGAAAGCAAGCUGGGGAAUCUUCAAUGAUGGGUGCAGUAUCCGCUCGAUCUCGCCUUUAUCCUAUGGCUCAGAGACCGCAGCAGGUCCAACACAAUCGGGCUCAGCCCUCACGCCCCCCAUUCCUGGAACGACAACGAGAAUUUCGGCAGUUGGCUAACCAUCCCUAUCACAACGCUCCCAGAGCACCGCAUACAGCCAACCCCAGAGCGGGACGAUCAGGUCAGCUACCUUCAAUAUCCGCUCGGGAUGAUACUCAUGAUAGCCGAGCAGUCCAGCUGAUUGACCAGAACCCAGCGUACGGACAAUAUACCCCGCUAAAAGUCCCUAUGGAGGAGUUGUAUGAGAGAAUCGAGGGACGAGGCCUGUUGUACCCUCCAGCCCCUAUAACGAAACCUGCUCACCGAAGGGAUAAGAGCAGAUUCUGCAAAUUCCAUGACACUCACGGUCACACCAUCAGCCAAUGUCGUGACUUUAAGAUUCAGGUGGAGGAUUUGGUGAGAAAUCGUUAUUUGGAUGAGUAUGUAGAUGGGGUUUCUCCCGUCAUUGAAUCACAGUACACGCGGGGUGAAGGAGAUGAGAGGAGCCUGGAACGUGAACAGCCAACUAUCCGUGUGAUAGCAGGAGGGCCAACCCUGGCUGGGGAUUCGAAUAGGGCACGGAAGAACUAUGGGAAAUACGCCAUGACCAGCAAAGAAGUUCUUUUCAAUUUGCCAGCAGCCAAGAAGGCAAAAUUGCGGCAAGUUCCCAUUAUGUGGACAGAUGACGAUAAAGAGGGUAUCCUAUAUCCUCAUAAGGAUGCACUGGUGAUUAAGGCAAUGGUGGCUGGUACAGAACUACGACGGAUACUGGUAGACACGGGCAGCUCGGUUGACAUCUUGUUUAAAUCGGCCCUAGAUGAUAUGGGGAUUGCAGACUUAAAAUUGGAACGGACGAACACAUCUUUAAAGGGAUUUGGAGGGGGACGGCUAACUCCCAUAGGAAUCGUCGAACUCCCAAUUACUAUGGGGACAAAGCUGUUUGAAAGAACAAUGAUGUUGGAUUUUGUCGUGGUAGAGGAGAGAAGCCCUUACCAGAUGAUACUGGGGAGACCGUUCAUGAAGAUAAGUCAAUGCGUUGUGUCUACGCAUUAUCUGGCACUAAAAUACAGAAUAAACGGAGCGGUUGGUGUAGUAAAAGGUGACCAGAGGGUGGCAAGGAGUUGUUAUGCUACAGCGGCCAAGGAGACGCUGCAGGUUACUUCCUUAGAUAAUCGAGGAGAACCUAAAAAGGGCCGCCAAGAACCUGUUGAGAAACUGGAGGCAGUUUCGGUAAGCAAAGGCGACCUGAGCAGAGUGGUGAAGAUCGGAUCGGGGUUGGUUGGUGCAGUCAAAGGCGAACUGGUAAAUUGCCUACAGUCUCAUGCAGAUAUAUUUGCCUGGUCUCACGAGGAUAUGCCAGGAAUUGAUCGUGGGGUAGCUUGCCACAAGUUGGCAAUUAAGAAGGGGGCGAGGCCGGUGAGACAGAAGAGGAGAUGCUUUAACCAGGAAAGAUACCCAGACGGACGAGAUGUGAAGAGGUCAUGGAACGCCGAGCACUUAAAGAAGUAUUUUCAGUAAGCAAAGUGCUCUGCUAAAUCCUCAUUUUGAUAAGUUUUCUUUGUUAACUGCAUGAUGGUUUAUUACGCAUGUACAUAGUCUGUAUUUUGUAAUACAUUCAAAUCGCAAUAAAGAUGAAUUCAGCAUGAAACCCUUCUGUUAAGCAAGGCCAUUAUAAUUUAUACCAAGGCAAGUAAGUGCCUGCUUCUGCUCGGUCAACGAAAGACCAGCAGCUAAAUUAGCGAAAUUUCUACCAAGGCAAGUAAGUGUCUGCUUCUGCUCGGUCAACGAAAGACCAGCAGCUAAAUUAGCGAAAUUUCUACCAAGGCAAGUAAGUGCCUGCUUCUGCUCGGUCAACGACAGGCCAGCAGCUAAAUCUACGAAAAUUAUACUAAGGCAAGUAUGUGCCUGCUUUAGUUCGGUCCACGAAAGACCAGCAGCUAAUACUACGAGAAUUCUGCUAGGGCAAAUAAGUGCCUAGUUCUGCUCGGUCAACGAAGACUAGCAACCAAUUUUAUUAAAAUUUUACUAAGACAAGUAAAUGCAUACUCCUGCUCGGUCCACAAAGAAACCAGCAAGCAAAAUCAGAUAAGUUGUCCAAUUAUUUUGCAGAAACCAUCUAUGAGCAAAUACCAGACAAGAAAGUCAAUAGAGAACAUCUAAAAGUUUAUAAAUGUUUGAUUGUCUACAAAAUAGAUGUAAAUCUAAAGUUUACACAGAAAUAGACUUAAAGAUUAGCAGGGUCAACGGCUCCAGCAGCUGAAGAAUCAGCAACCUCAGGAGGCGGGAGAUCGGCAAUACCGGGAGGAGGGGGCAUGGACCCUUGACCCACCUCGAAAGUACGUCCCCCGGCUUCCCCCUCCUGCACCCCCUCCAAAGGAGCCUCCGCCUGAUCCUGAUGACCUUGCUCCUUAUCUGCCUGGCCGGUUUCCGCCAUAUACCGCUGCACUCCAGCCUCCAGCUUACUCAUGUCCAGCUCGGGAUAUUCUUCUUUAAGCACGGACAUGAUACACUUAUAGGAGAAAGCAACCCCAGAGUCAUACUCGGCAUCCAGCUGGUCGUCCACAUCAGCGGAUUUGCCUUUCUCCUCAGCCAGCUGUUCAUUUAGGGAUUUGAUUUCUCCCUCAAGGGCAGUCCUCAGAGUAUCUCUUUCACUUUGAGUUACCUGAAGGUCAGACUUCAGGCUGCCCAACUCACCCUCGAGUUUGGAGGCAGUGGACUCAGCAAUUGCAGUUUUCUCCUCCAGCUCCAUAAUCUGUUUGUUCAGCUCGGCCAGUUUCUCCUUGGAGCGAUCAGCAGAUUCAGCCUUCUUUUUCAACUCCUGAUUAUCAGCUUGAAGCUUCCUCUCAUGGCGUAUGGACACGUUCUUGUAACACGAAACCAUGGUGGCCAGCCUGAAGGAAACCCUUUGAACAGAGGCAGCUAACUCGGAGAGCUCCAUACUCUCGAUGUCCUUCACCAUCUUGGGCCCAACCGACCUCUUGUAAUCCUUUUGGUACGGGCUCAAAUAGUCACCCUGAUCCCGAGAUGGAAGAGGAGAAGAUCGGUCCCCAGAUUGUAAGCUGACCUCAGGGCUCUUGUCGGAAGUUUUCUCCCCACUACUCUUACGAGGUGGAGGAGGGGGCAGAGCAGGAACUGGAGCCUGAGAAGGACUGGCACUGGCCUUUUUCGGAGGAGGAGGAGGGUGGCUGGAGCUGCUCGAUGCCCGACCACGCUUUCUGCUCAUCGCGCUGAGGAUCUUGUUAUCCAUCCCAGCGGCAAUAUCUACUAAGCCCGAACCGACCAGGUUUGUUGGUGACAGGAGGUCUUGACAAGUAGACGCGCUCACCAGAGCCGUUUCCACCUGGAGUAAAGGUCGGUCCUCGAGAGUCUUAACCAAACCCCACGAUUCUGAAAAAACAGACAAGGUUAAAGAACCCAAUAAGUGGCAAUUCGAGAAAGAAUAUAGGCAAAAAAUGAACGACCUGGGGUGACAAAUUGCGUUGGAAGGUAAAUGUCACCACCCAACGACCGAACUGCUGGACACCAAUUUCCCCCAGCAAAGAAGAAUUUGUUCUUCCAAUUUUUGCACGAGGAGGGGAAACCGGUGAUUGGCUUUCUCUUCGCAGAACUGGACAUGAAGUAGUACCAGCCCGCCUCCCUUGGGCUGCUCCGCAGCUGAUACAGAUGCUUCACUUCAACAAGGGAAGGCUCCUCCGACCCACACCUCUCCCACAACACAAACAUAGCCGAGAGAACCCUCCACCUGUUUGGGUGUAGUUGACCUGGGGCCAGGUGCAUACCCCCUAAAAUCUUGGCAAAAUAGCGCUGAAGAGGCAGCCGAGCUCCUAAUUUAAAGCUCUCCAGGUGCAUGGUCACGUACUCCCGCGGAGGCCGACUAGGAACAUCACCUUUCUCAGGAACCACAAGGAGAACCUCCUUAGGAAUAUCAUAGAGGUUCCUAAGCUUGAACAGAUCAUUUUGGGUGGUGGCACAGGCUAUGUGAUCAAUGGGGUAAGAAUCUGCCUCCAUCCUAUGCCCAAGGUUUUGUUUCUUAAGAGGUCGGCUCGGCUCGGCUCGGAGCUGCUUCCCUCACUAUCACCCGCUCCUUCAGGAACCCCGACCCCACCAGAACUGUGGUUCUCGCCAGAGCCCGACGCAGGUCCCCCUCUAUUUCCUACAAGCUCUAAUUCAGAGGAGGGUGAAAUGGUCAAGGGACGUGGGUACUCAAGGAUAUCCCUACUAUGGGAUAAGCCUACACUACGAGAGGGAUUCAAAAAAUCAGUGGGUAUGGGCAAGUUAAGGUCUGAAUCCCCAGAUUCUUCAUCACCCUCGUCUGCAAUCAACUUCCUUCUUCGAUUUGACAUACCGGAGUUCCAAAAGAAAACCAAAACAAACCCAAGUACACGAAUACAAAAAGAGACAGUACAGAACCCAAUCAACAACAGCCAAAAAAGAGGUUAAAGGCUAUACCUGGAAUGGACUAACAUUGGUAGCACUGCCGUGACAGAGAAAACACCCAGCAAAUGGAUACUCCGGACGCUGGAAAUGGGAGCAAAGUCCAGAAAAGAAAUUGGUUAGUGACGGAGAAACGAAUCGCAGAAUGAUGAUGAUUUUAGUCUAGGGAUUUGGAACGAAAAGGGGGGAAACGGAAGCAUUUAAGUGAUGGGAUAUGCCAGCUCACUCACCAUAUAUCGAGGAAGGAUAGCCCGUCGUUUCAAAUUUCAAAAUAUGAAGAGUCGGGAAGCGCCACGUCACUAACCGAUACAAGAGGCCAGACUAGAGCAAGCCCAGAUAUGCAAUGGACAGGCUCAUUAAGGCCCAUGCUCAGAAGACCAGAUGAGAAGCCCCGGGCUGGUCGGCUUCAACCAUCAGUUUCUACUCUUAACUCAUUUCACUCGCAAGACCAGAAACUGGGGGACUGGUGUUAAGUAAGUAAAAGCACCAGGUCGGCCGUGCUACUAUUUCCGCCCCGGUAUGGCUCACCUCAAUCGAAUGGUACAAGCAGAGCAUGGAGACGAAUAUGGCCCGACCAGAGAUGAGUACCGACCAGAGGUGUAUGCCGAGCCGAUACCCGUCUCCUGAAAAAGCGGGAACACGAUCCCACAGAAUCGCGGGAUUUGCGUUUUUCCCAGAACCGUUGCGAGAGAUGCGAUACCUCACGUUUACCCGUAAUGUAGCAGUUAAAGUUCCGUGAAAGGCCACCACCUGAAAAAGGAGGGAUGAAGACUGAGCGGGAACGUGGGAUAACGGCUAUAAAAGAAGGAGAAAUCGAUGAAGAAGGGGACAGAAAAAUCAAAAGAGGGAAAACGCUGCCAAAUUAUUGUCAGGCUAUCUUCUUGAAAAUUCCAGAUAAAUCAAAAACUACUCUUGAAUCUAAAUUGCUCUGUUUUCCCGUAAAUACCUUGACCUAACUUAGGCAUCGAAGGGUUUACGCCGGCAAAACCACCGGCGUCUUUGAUCCGUUCUUUUGUGAGCGUAGGUCUAGAAAGAGAAAGGAGGACGAGUCCAAGCCCCGCGGUUCGAACUUGAUAACAUAAUCGUUGGUGGAAAAUUCUGAUCGGUAACAAGGCGAGCAAAUUUAAGCAUCAACAAAAUGAAAAUAAAAAUUCAUUACGAAUACGUGUUAAAGAUAUCCCAAGUAUAGAUGUGACUGAAAUAUUUGAGAUUGAAGAAGAAUUAAGACUCAAAAUCAAUUGGGAGGAAUAAAUGAGAAACCCCAAUACCAAAAAAUACACGCACAAAUCCUAAUACUAAUUGUAAUCACGGAUAAAAAGCAUAAUACGAAUAAAUUAAAUGGGCAACUAUUCCAUUGAGAAAUUAAUUAAAUCGUGUAUUAAUAUUUUGUAUACAUAUAUUUUUCUAUAUAUAACUUUCGGUAAUUUAAUUUUCCACUUAUCAUUUUUACUCCAAAAAAAUAAUUGAGAAUAUUAUUUAUAUUUUGGUGCAAAAUAUUUGAACAAUAUACAAAUUUUCAGUUUAAUAAAUCUAAACAUCUAUUAAGUUAUAAAUGAAUUUAAUGGGUUUAAUUAAUAAAAUUACUAUUAUUAUAUAAAUUGGGUUUAGUAAUGGUAUAUUGGGUGGGUUUGUUGAGUAAAUUUUAAAAUUUUGAAAUUUAAGGAUGGGUUUAUUUAGUAAAUGAGUUAAGGGAGUAGUUUGUUGGGAUUCACAUAGCCCCACCAAAUUCAAAUGUAAAAUUUGUGGAAAAAGAAGCUAUUGAGUUAUUCUUUUAAAAAAAGAAUUAAAAUGUCAAGAAUACCUUUAUUUAAUUUUAUAAUCUUAUUUUAUAGUCAUAUUUUAUUUCCACCUUAACAUAAUUUUAAAAACCUUAACUAAUAAAUUCUAUAUUUUUUUUAUAAAAGUUAUCAUUAAUAUCCAAACGGCUAAAGAUUUUUUUUUUUUUAAAAAAAAAGGAACUAUGCUUACAAAAGUUGUAUACAUUAACAAUAAAUUUAGUCCAAAGAAUAAAGUUAUUCCAAACAAGCACUCCAAUUCAUCUUGCUAAUGAAUCAAGAUGACUGAAUCCUUCUCUAAGCCAAAUCUAUUUUCACUUUUAGGUCAGAAAUUGUCAUUAAAAAAAUGUUUGAUAAAAUAUGCUCUAGGAACACUAAUUCGUCAGAUGGUUACUCCAAGUUUAUGAAAUCAAUGGGAUUUCAUCAUAUUCAUAACAUUCUUCUUUAAUGUCUAUUCUAACAAAGAAAUCAUAUACAGAGAAUAGGUUUCGUUAAAACUUUUACUAGAAAAACUAACCACAAUUCACCAUUCAUUUAUAUCUUAAGUAAGCCUAAGAUUUUAUCAUUAAAAUCCCAUCAUGAAAAAAACUCAUGGGAGAAAAACUAUAAAAAUUGAAGAAAAAAGAGUAUGGCGUGCAUGUAAAUUAUAUCGAUUUUAUCUACAUGACAAAUAAGACUCUCUUUUACAAUGGCACGGAUGCUUCAUUGAGUAAUCAUGAUUCUUGCUGGUAGUGCUUUGUUGUAUCAAUCUGCUAGCUAUUCAGCGUUCUUUCUUUCUUUCUUCUUAUUUUUUUGUUUUCAAAUAGCUUGUGGUUGUAGAAAUAUUUCAAUUAAACUAUACUUAAGUACUUAUUUGGUAUAACUUCUUUACUAACCAAAAGAAUUUUUUUUUUUGGUUUUUUAUAAUUUAAUUAUACUUUAACUAGAGUUUUUGGGAUAAAACAAGUGAUAAUUUCUCUCUAUUAAGAAAAACUCAAAGGGUAGGGCUAUCUCAAUCCACCAAACUAUUUAUUAAAAAUCCACUUAUGAAAAUAAUUUUUAAUUAUUAGAAUGCCUUUACAUUAAAUUAUAAUUAUGGACACUAAAAUAUAAUAAAUUUUUUUUUUACUCUUUAAAACUGUCUUUACAUUUGAUAUCAUAUCUUUUUCUUAAAAUCUAAAUUGAUAUUUUUAUUUUAUUUUUUAUUAAUCUUAGAACACAUAUAAAGUGAUUCAUAUUGAUUUUAUACUAACAAACUAUCACAGCACAUUCGAAAAUAAUUAACUCGUUCUUAUUUGCAUAGUGAAAAGGCAAAUAGCUCAUCCAAAUGUUAAAGAACUGGAGAGCUGCUGCUGGAGAUGAAAGAUAAAUAAUUCUCACUUAGAAGAAGGAGAAAAAAAGGAAAUACAAUUAGAAUGAGAGGUAGCCAGUAGCCACUAGCCGCCACCACCACCAGUGAAACUAUUUCACAUAAUAGAAGAUAAAGCACGCGUAAUGGAGGCAAAAAGCAAGUAAUGAUAACUCUUUUCGACACACUAAUACAUAUCAAAAUGCAAUAUCGGUCCUAACAAAAUGAAAAUAAAAAUUCAUUACGAAUAUGUGUUAAAGAUAUCCCAAGUAUUGAUGUGAUUGAAAUAUUUGAGAUUGAAGUAGAAAUAAGACUCAAAAUUAAUUGAGAGGAAUAAAUGAGAAACCCAAAUAUUAAUAAAAUACACGUGCAAAUCCUAAUGCUAAUUAAAAUCACGGAUUAAAAAUAAUAAUAAUAUGAAUGAAUUACAGGCGCAACUGUUUCAUUAAGAAAUUAAUUAAAUCGUGUAUUAAUAUUUUGUACACAUACAUUUUUCCAUAUAUAACUUUCGGUAAUUUAGUUUUCACUUAUCAUCUUUACUCCAAAAAAAAAAUUGAGAAUAUUAUUUAUGUUUUGGUGUAAAAUAUUUGAAUAAUAUACAAAUUUUCUGUUUAAUAAAUCUAAACAUUUCUCCAGUUAUAAAUGAAUUUAAUAGGUUUAAUUAGUAAAAAUAUUAUUAUUAUAUAAAUUGGGUUUGGUAAUGGUAUAUUGGGUAUUUAAAUGGGUUUGUUGAGUAAAUUUUAAAAUUUUAAAAUUCAAGGGUGGGUUUAUUUUAGUAAAUGGGUUAAGGCAGCAAUUUCCCAAACUAAAAUUUUUAGAAAAAGACGCUAUUGAGUUUUUUUUUUUUUUAAAAAAAGAAUUAAAAUGUUGAGAAUACCUUUAUUUAAUUUUAUAAUCUUAUUUUAAAAAAUUUACCCAAUAAAUUUUAUAAUUUUUAUAAAAAUUAUCAUUAACAUCCAAACAGCUAAAGAUUAAAAAAAAAAAAAAAGAAGAAGGGAACUGUACGAGCAAAAGUUACAUUAACAAUAAAUUUAGUCCAAAGAAUAAAGUUACAGCUAAAAAGUGCUCCUAUCCUAUUUUUCUCUAUUUUAACAAUAAUCUUCUUCCAAUCCGUUUUACAAUGGACUUUAACAAAUGGGCUCAAUCUCUAAACUUCAUUUUCUUUUGCUUACCCAUGGCCAUUAGCCAGAAAGCCUAAAACAAGACCAGCCCAUAUAUAUAAUUUUUUUUAAAAAAAAGUAAAAAUGUGUGAGAGCUUGUAGCAUUACAAUUUUAGGAUCACAUGUGUAAAUGGAACCCCAACAUUGAUCAAGAAUUAACAAGACAAGAUGAAGAGAUGAUCUUGUAACUAAGAAUGAAGAAAUUGAAUCAAGACAGUACUCUAGUAAAACCCAGAAAACAGAGCUUGAAGAAUCACGCACAAAGCAGUAAAUUUGUAAAACCAGAAUUGGAGCUUCACUUCUCAAGAGAGACGAAACAGGAUACAGUCUAGCUUUAGCCAAAGUGAUAAACUCGUAAUUAUUCUACAAAGGGAACAAUUUUGAACAGUGGGAAAUUCCAUAAUUAUUCUUUUCGGUGAAUUAUUUUAAAUAAAAUUAUAAAAACCAAUAUAAAAUUAUUACCCAGUAAAGACUUUAGAGAGACAAGUGCUCCCAACAGGAUCAAGUGAAUAUGCCCCACAAAGAUCAUUUCUUGUUCUUUUUCUUUUUGACAAUUUUAUCUGUGGUUUCAACUUUUAUGCUUUAUUGUCGUAUCCCGUUGAGGGCUCCGCUGCACCCAUUACAACUUACCCCUAAAUUGCCUCUUACUAACUAAACCGUUAGAUUUUAUGGAAGCACGUUCAAUGCUGAAUUUUAAUUAUGUCAUCAAAUUUCGUUUAGCUCCUUAAACUCCAUUUUAUUUGUAAUUUCUUCAUAAAAUAUUCAAAGCUUCAUCAAGCUCCUGAUGGACCAUCAUGGCUAGGGGUGCAUUAGAGCCGAACUGAAAUAUGUUAGUUCAGUUCAGUUUGGUCAGUUUAAAUCGAAUGGUUUAGAAUAUAUAAACUGAUCAAUUUUAAUUUUUAAUUGAACCGAAAAUCAAUUGGUUCAUUAUUAGUAUUUUUUUAUAAACAUGAAUUAUUAGUGAUUGUAAUUAAAUUGGACUAAAAAAAAUUCAAACUAAGGUGAAAAAUAUAAAAUCUUAGACAAUAUAAAAGAAAAAAUAUUAAAUUUUUUUAACCGAAUUAUUUUGACUCAAUUUGGUUCAUAAUUUUUUAAACCAAAUGGAACCCUCAUAACAAAAAACUAACAGAAACAAUAAGAACACGAUGUUAAAAUCUUAAAUCAAUCGCAAAAAAGCACCCAAAACAGAUCGAUUAGGAACAGUUAACAACAAAAGAUUUGAUGGUUCAAAAUCAUAAUGUGACCUACUUCCAUCCAAGAAUUAUACUAAUUUCUUUACUAGUUGUCAAAUACAAGAUCACAAGAUUAUUUAUCACUCUAUAGAGAAAAAAUUUUUAGAAGAAAUACUCCCCAAUUUUUCUCUUGAUAGUUAUGAAUCAACACCCCUAGAAAGGCUAUUGAUUUACUUUUCCUUAUUUCAUAUGAUCGGUUGCUGCAACUUAAUCCUUGCCAAGUUCCAACAUAGUCCAAACAUUUUUCAUGGUACAUGCAUAGUGCACCUUCAGAAACUUUACAGCUCUUCUUAAAACCUCAGUUCUCGUGAUGUUUCUGAUUUAUUUCUGGGACGAGUAACACUUUUGUUGAACCUAGACCAGAUUUAGUAUCCAAUCAAGAAUUUCCAGGAUCUAGCUGAACUCUCUAAUCAAGACCUAAAGAAUAGUUAAUCAAAUCCACACAAAAGAAUCACCCAAAAACAGUAUACAAAGAACAACAAAUAUAAGUGGUUUUGAGAUAAAUGUAAUUGACUUCUGAGCAUGACUUAAUUUUGAGAUCAUUACUUUUAGUUAAAUGAUCUCCUCCAGAGCUUCUACCUAUGUAGUGUUUUUAGACCUCUAUAGUUGAUAAAGCACGUUCAAGGUGAAGGCUUGUUUUCCAAUCUAUAGUCCAAUUAUAGACUGGAAAUGGUCAGGCUUAAUGCACCUUCAAAAGCUUCACAAUUUGUAUUGAAACCUUAAGCCUCAGAAUGCUACAAAUUUUAAAUCCAUAUACUUAGUGCUCUUAUGAUUUGUUUGAUUUUUACUUAGAUGAAGAGCAUUUUAGCUAUAGAAAACAUUGUAACUAAUUCAAAGCAUGCCUUAGCUACGAGAUCAUUCAUUCUAGCCAAAUGCCCCCUUUAGAGAUUCUGCUAUUGUUGUGUAUUCAGCCUCUAUAUUUGGCAAAGCAAUUACAUGUCGAAGGCUUGCUUUCCAGUUAACAGCGCAAUUACAUAGAUUAAAGGUGUAACCAGGCAAAGAACUUAGUUAUUCUGCCAAGGUCUCCAACAUACUCCAAAUCCAUAUAACCACCAGACUUCAAUCUUUAGACUCCAUAGAUCAAACCAUAACUUAGUGUGCCUUUCAAUCUCAGGUAACAUUUUACUGUUUUCCACGUCUUGCCAUGUACUUGCUGCUAACACUAACAAUUUGAGAAAUGUUAGGCAUCGUAAGCAGCCGACAACACUCUUCUUCAUUUCUUCAUUGUCAAUUUCCUUCUUGGAACAUUGCUCCAUUGAGAGUCUGCUAUCAUUGCUCCAAUUAUUAUUAUUUUUGUUUUUUUAAAAAAAAAAAUUAACCGUGCAAUAAGAGUAUAAGACUAAGCAACGGUCCUUUUUUUUUUCCCAUUCUUGAACAUGAAGUAUUUGAGUAUGCAAUAAAAAUUGUUUAUUGAUAAUUAAAAGUUAAUAGUGGGUGGCUUUAGGAUUUGUUUACAAAAUUGACAACAAAUUAAGAUUUUUCAAAUUCAUAGGUAAGAAACUUUUCAUUUAUUCAUAGAUUUUCCGGUUUAAACUUUAAAGGAAACUUAAAAGAAAAAGAUGUAUCAUUAGAUUUGUAAUUAAAAAAAUUUAAUAUUGUAUGAUCUGUUCGAUAUGCAUAAUUUAAAUAAACAUUAAUAUAGAUGUUAUAUAUCCUAAAACUUAAUUGACUUAAUUCUUACGGUGCAAGGAAGACGUUUCCAAGUUUAAAUCUAAUUUGGGGUCGGGAAAGCACUGGGAAAUAAAUGUAACAAAGGAAAAAAGAAAAGAAUGACAGUCUGAGUGGAGCCAACACGGUUUUGAAAAAAGUGCAAAAAAGGGUUUUAGGAUAUAUUCUAUUAUCGUUUGUUUGCUUGCUUGUGGAAAUAAAAGUCUCAUGUUUCUUUGAAAGGUAAGCAAGUGUGAAUGUUUCUAUCUAGAGCUGGAAAAUGCAUUUCCGUGCAACUUACUUGAUGAAUGAAGUUUUCAUCUCUGACCUUGAUGUUUCCCAGAGCUGCAUUCAUUUCAGCUGAUCUAUUUCAUUUCGUUUGCAAAGGAGUGACACAAAACCUCCUUUGUUAAGGGGAGAAUUUAGAGUGGCUUCAACGGUUAACAAAUAGCCUAAUGUAAGACUUAAUCAAUUUCCUGCCCGGUUGCUUACCACUACUUAUCACUUUAACGUAUGAAACCUAAUCAAGAUUCCUUUGAUGAUUUUUCUAUUUGCUAAUUGAUUGAUAAGCUCUUCAGUGAAGAUAUAGUGUCCGCAAGCCAUAUGUUGAUAGAGUUAGAGUUUGCAGAAGCUACUGUACCAUAUGUUGUUAGAGGCGGUAAAAACGGAGGCAGAUCAACACACAUUUAAAUUUCAAUGACAAUUUACUGGAAAUAAAUUUCCUAUGACCCUACAUGUGACUAAUUGAUGAGAACUUGACAAUGACAAAAGAAAGUGUAUGAGCUUUGCAGGCUGGCUUGCCAAUAUUGACUGUAUGGCACCAUCCGCAAGUAAGUAUCAUUACUGUUUAAUCAACUUGGUGGAGUCCACUGGGACCACCCCACAUGGUCAGUCUUAUCUCUACUCCUAAAUUUUCAAUAUUCCAUACAUCAAACCAAUUGCAGUUUUGAUAUCAAAUUCAAUUUUAUUGUUGGUGACGAUUCUGAUUCCUUUCAUUCUCACAAAACGGAACCAUGGUUGCUGUUGGAGAGAUCUUACUCAACGCCUUCCUUGAGGUGUUGUUUGACAGGUUGGCUUCUCGUAAUUUGCUCCGCUUUGUGCGUCAACUCCAAGGCGGGGUUGAUUCGGAGCUCAAGAAGUGGGAGAAAAAGCUGAAGAUGAUUCAGGCUGUGCUCUGCGAUGCAGAGGAGAAGCAACUGACCGAUGAGGCUGUGAAGAUGUGGCUGGACGAACUCCAAGACUUAGCUUUUGACGCUGAGGACAUUCUUGAUGAGUUUGCUACUCAAGCUUUGGAAAGCAAGUUGAUGGCGCAAAACCAGGAUAGCUCUGGCCAGGUUCUCAGUCUCAUCCCGGCUAGUUUGAAUCCGAAUGCUAUUAUGUUCAAUUAUAGCAUGGGGUCCAAGAUUAAAGAUAUGACUAGCCGGCUGGAGCAACUCUGCCAAGAAAGAAUUGAACUUGGACUGCAACGGCUUACUGGAGGGGCGUCAUCAACCGCUGCUGCUGCACACCGGAGGCCACCCAGUUCGAGUGUCCGAACAGAACGUGAAGUAUUUGGAAGAGAAGAAGAUAAGGCCAAAAUUCUUGAUAUGGUCAAUACCCCAAGUGAUCACGCCAACUUUGUUGUAAUACCUAUUGUUGGAAUGGGCGGGAUAGGAAAAACAACUCUUGCUCGGGAGGUCUACAAUGACAAGGCAGUUGAGGAUUCCAAGUUUGACGUAAAAGCAUGGGUUUGUGUCUCCGACAACUUUGAUGUUUUCAACAUUUCAAAGGCACUUCUCGAGUCAAUCACCUCCGCAGCUAGUGAUCUCAAGACUUUAAAUGAAGUGCAGGUUCAACUGAAAAAAGCAGUGGACGGAAAAAGAUUCUUGCUGGUCUUAGAUGAUGUUUGGAACGAGGACUACAGCUUGUGGGUAGACUUAAAAGCUCCGUUCCUGGGUGCUGCACCAAACAGUAAGAUGAUCGUCACCACACGCAAUUUAAACGUUGCAUCAACAAUGGGACCAAUUGAACAUUAUAAUCUCAAGAGUCUGUUAGAUGAUGAUUGCUGGUCCAUUUUCAUACAGCAUGCAUUUGAAGGUAGAGAUCUUAACGCAUAUCAAAUUUCAGAAUCAUUCAGCAAGAAAGUUGUUGGCAAGUGUGGGGGCUUGCCUCUGGCAGCAAAAACGCUCGGGGACUUCUGCGCACAACAAGGCAUGAUGCGUGGGACGAUAUAUUGGAUAGCAAAAUAUGGGAUUUACAUCAACAAAGCAGCAUUCUCCCUGUGUUAAGAUUGAGUUACCAUCAUCUUCCGUCUCAUUUGAAAAGAUGUUUUGCUUUUUGUGCCAUCUUUCCAAAAGAUUAUGCAUUCACUGAGAGGGAGCUGACUUUCUUAUGGAUGGCUGGAGGUAUUAUUCGACAGUCAAGAAACAAUGAGCAGCUGGAAGAUUUGGGCAGCAAGUGCUUUGGUGAUCUAGUGUCGAGGUCAAUUUUUCAGCAAACAGCAAGCUCUGAUAGUUCUAAAUUUGUAAUGCAUGACCUUAUUCAUGAUCUUGCUGAAUUGGUCUCUGGAGAAACCAUAUUCAGGUUAGAGGAGGCCAAUACUCGGUCAAGAAGAUUUGAAAGGGUUCGCCAUUCUUCCUAUGCUUGUGGUGGAUGUGAUGGUAAAAAUAUGUUCGUGGUUUUCAAUGAAAUUGAACAUCUACGAACAUUCUUGCCAUUACGCUUACGCAGAAGAGGUGGCUCUAAUGCUGGUUACAUAACUCGUACGGUUCUAUCUGAUUUGCUGCCGAAGUUCAAAAGGUUGAGAAUGCUAUCUUUACAAGGAUACUGUAUUGGUGAGUUACCAAUUCCAUUUGAAGAUUUGAGACUUUUAAGGUUUCUCAACCUUGCUGACACUGACAUAAGAAGUUUACCCGAGUCAACAUGCAAAUUGCUGAACUUGGAAAUUUUUAUAUUAAGAAAUUGUUCCCGUUUGAUAAAGCUUCCACCCAAAAUGAGGAAUUUGAUCAAUUUACGCCAUUUGGAUUUAAGAGGUGCGAAGUUGCUGAAGGAGAUGCCAUUCGGAAUGAAAGAGUUGAAGAAGCUUCAAACAUUGUCCAAUUUCAUCGUGGGCAAGGGCGAAACUGCAUCUGGUUUGGAAGAUUUAAAAUGUUUAAACUUUCUUUGUGAUGAACUCUGCAUUGCUGGAUUAGAGAAUGUGAAUGGUCCACAGAAUGCAAGAGAAGCCGCAUUAUGUGAGAAGCACAAUCUUGAAGCAUUGACUCUAGAAUGGGGGUCUCAAUCUGACGGUCCUCGGGAUGCAGUACUAGAAGAGAAGGUACUUGACACUCUACAACCUCAUGAAUGUAUAAAAGAGCUGGCAAUCAGGCACUAUGGUGGUGCAAGAUUUCCACCUUGGAUCGGACAGCAUUCGUUCUCCGAGAUGAAGGUCCUUAAAUUGGAGAACUGUGGCAAUUGUGUAUCUCUGCCAUCGCUUGGCCUGAUGAGUUCACUUAAGCACCUUGCUGUUAAAGGGCUGAAGAAAUUAAAAAGCCUAGAGUCUGAGGUUUAUGGGGAGGGUUUCUCAAUGCCUUUUUCGUCACUGGAGAUUCUAAGUUUUGAGAAUUUGCCAGAAUGCGAGCAUUGGGACACCAAUAUCAAAGGAAAUGUGCUUGUUGAAAUAUUUCCUCGUCUCCAUAAACUUUCCAUUGUGGAAUGUCCCAAACUCUCCGGAAAACUGCCUGAGCUCCUGCCCUCCUUGAAGACACUUGUUGUUAGUAAAUGUGAAAAGUUGGUAGUUCCAUUGUCUUGCUAUCCAAUGCUUUGCAGAUUAGAAGUUGAUGAGUGCAAAGAACUAGUCUGCCGGACUCCGAUUGAUUUUAAGUUGAUAAAGUCGGUGACUAUUUCAAAUAGUUCAUUAGACAUGAAUGGACGCAAGGGGAUGCUAUACGAUGGUCCAGCUGGCUCUUUACUGCCAAAGCCCAUGACUACUACAAAUGUUUUGGAGUUUGGAAAAUUAUUGAAGCCUGGAUUUCAGAUAUUAGAAACUUUGGUAAUUGGCAAUUCUGAACAGCUCAAGUCAUGGAGGCAGCAUGGGGAUUUUCCGAAAAAAUACAUGGUCACUGACCAUGGGUUUAAGAAACCAGUACGAGGGCUGAAUAUGCUCGCUUCCCCUGAGGAGGUAUCAAUUGAAGAAAGUUGCGUACGUCUUGUUUUGUUUCCAGAGAUCAAUUUCUUUCCCAGAAAUCUGCGCUCUCUUCUAAUUAACAACAGCACUGCUUUGAAAUCCUUACCCGAGGAAAUGAUGGAAAACAAUUCACAACUCGAAAGGUUGUAUAUCAAGGAUUGCGACUCUCUAACAUUCAUCGCAAGACGGAGGCUACCAGCAUCUCUGAAAAGGCUUGAGAUAGAAAAUUGUGAGAAAUUGCAACGUCUGUUCGAUGAUGAAGAGGAUGCUUCUUCUUCUUGUCCUUCAUCCUCGUCUUCCCCAGUGAUGCUGAAACACCUGAGAAUCGAUAACUGCCCAGAGCUCACCAGUUUAUCAUCGGGUGUCCAAUUCCUUGAGGCGCUUGAAGACCUCAAGAUAGGGCAUUGUCCAAAGCUGGAGUCAAUACCGGAUGGCCUGCCCAAUCUUAAAUGUUUACAGAGCAUUUAUAUACGGGAUUGUCCAAGUCUUGUUUCCUUCCCAGAAAGAGGGCUUCCCCACACCAUUUCAGGGGUUUUCAUUGCGAGUUGUGUGAAGCUCGAAGCCUUGCCCAAUGAUUUGCACAAACUCAACUCUCUUCGAGGUUUAAGCAUACAGCUCUGUCCAAAUCUUGUAUCGUUUCCAGAAGAAGGUUUUCCUACCAAUCUAACAACCCUUGUAAUUGAAAAAUUCAAAUUGUAUAAGACACUCGUCCAGUGGGGGUUGCACAGGCUUACCUCUCUUAGAGACCUCUACAUCAUUGGAUGUGAUGAUGAAGCAGAGUGUUUUCCAGACGAGGAGAUAGGAAUGACGCUGCCCACCUCUCUCACUCAUCUGUCCUUUUGUGGAUUCCAAAAUUUGAUAUUUCUGUCUUCAAUGGGUUUUCAAAACCUCACCUCUCUUCAAUCAUUCCCAGAGGUGGGCUUUCCAUCCUCACUUUGGGGCUUAGACAUUAGAUAUUGUCCAAAGCUCAAAACAGCGUGCAAAAGAGAUGAAGGAAAAGAGUGGUCCAAAAUUGCUCACAUCCCUCGCGUUGAGAUAGACGGUAAAUUCAUAUACGAUCCAGAAGCAGAGGAGUAGAUUCUACUAUUAAGGUCAGUUGAUUUGUAUUAUCCGCUAUAACAAGCUCCUCCUUUUUUAUUUUUUUUUUUGAAAUAAUAAUUUUGCAGUCACUCACGUGAUUCCGUUUUCACAAGUCAGAUUGUACGUUGAGGCUAUUUGCCUUUUAAUCGCAGAUUAAAUUAUAACACUUAUCUUAAAAUUUAAUACCAUAGACAGAUAGACGAUUUUUUAAUCCAAAGUUUUUUUUAUUCACUUCAGUUAGCAUUUUUUUUUUCCCCAAAUCAUGCAAGCCGAGAGUUUCAAUCAAGAAUUGGAGGAUGUGAAUGGGAAUUUUGUGAAAGAGUAACAUAAUGGAUGAACGAACAUUUCAUAUGUGAUCUCAAAGUCAACAGAAUUUUAUUCACUCGUUGACUUUUCAACUGCUGUGGUUAUUUAUGGGUGAAAGAUAAGGGCAAUUACAAAAAAUUUGCAAAAUUUGUCCAUUUCUUAGAUGGUAGAAAUUGGAGUAUAAUAUUUUGGAGCAAGCAUACUUGAAAUUUCUUUCUUCAAUAUUUUGAUGCUUUCUUAUCCCAUGCACAAAAAUACUAGAAAAAACUAAUAACAACUAACCGAAAAUCCCAGGCGUCAUAUUCCUUUUUACCGCGUUUUAAAAUGCACAACAAUGAUAUUCUUACAAAUUUGCAAAAUUUGUCAAUUUCUUAGAUUUCAGAUAUUUUAAUGCUUUUUUUAAUUUUUGAUCUAGUAAAAAUACAUAGCCUUCACCGGCAAGAUUCUAGUCUUGGAUUUCACCUCUCUAACUCAUCUGUUCCCAUUGGGAUUCCAGAAAUUGAAAUUUCUGUCUUCAAUGGGUUUUCAAAGCCUCGCCUCUCUUCGAUUUUUGUGGAUCGGGAAUUGCACAAAUCUCACAUCAUUUCCCGAGGUCGAGGAAAAGAGCGGCCCAAACUUGCUCGCAUCCCUUAUUAGGUUAUGAUAGAUGGAAAAUUCAUAUACGAUCCAGAGUCAGAGGUGUUGAUUCUCUUAUUAAGGUCAGCUGAUUUCUAUUAUCCACUCUGACAAUCUCCUAUUAGUGUUUUUCCUUUUGAAAUUUUUUUUCCAAAAUUUUGCAGUUCCGUAUAAUUGAAAAUGCCAUUCAGUUGUUUCCUAAUAGUAUGUUGAGGCUAUUUGCUUUCUAUCGGUGUUUGUUAAGGUAAUUAGUGCUCCCUCGUAGGUGUGACUGGAUUUUUUUCACUUCCGUAAAUAUUGCAUUUUAGACUGGCAAAUUUAGCAGUAAUUUUAAUACAAUUUUGUUGGUGCCUUGUGUUCCAGAAGCUAGAAAAAUGUGUAGUUUUCAGAUAAGGAGGCUUGUCAGUUCUCUAGUAAGAAUCCAAUGAUUUGCUUUUGCACGUCCAUCUAAUUUGUGGAUCCUUGCAUCAGAAUUUGAUCAAUCCAAAAGGAAUUGCUUUUAGACAGAAGAAGAAUAGCAGCACCUAGCCUACCCGCAAACCUGAAACUAUUAGAUUGAGGUAAAAAAAUCAUUGACCCUCACAUGUUAACUUCUUCUAGUUACUUUCGUUGGGAAAAAAAAAAACAUUUAAGGAAUUUGCAAUUUGUUGUUAGUUAUGGUAUCUGAUGUUCUUUUCUGCUUUAGCGUUUGUAGAAUCUACUGUAUUAUGUGUUGGCAGUUGCCGUAUCUAAGGUAACUUGCCUUUAUUUGUUUGCUUCUGACUUAAGGACACCAACAUUUGCCAGAGAUUUAGAGAAUCAUCUCAAAACACUUAGCAAACUUGACAAACUUCAAGAUGCACUUGCCCCCACGCCUUAUUCUCAACAACGCAAAACUUGUGAGUACACCUAUGCCUGCAAUUAUUGUGAAGUGUUCGCAAUUCUGAUGCAGAGAAAUGGUUUCUUGAUGCAAAGUAUUAAACUGUUAAGAUUUAUCCUGCAGGCUUGUUAGAUGCUGGAUACGCGAAAAGCCAACAACAUCAAGAACUGCAACUCCAAGACCAGCUUUGCGUUAAUUCAGUCAGCUGUAAUAAUGAUGCAAAUGACACUAUAUCAAGCUGGACUUAGAGACUAGUCAGAUAAAUCAUCCAUUUCAUCAACGGUUAAUGUCAUGAUGGUGGCUAUCAGAGGAAACAAAAGAUGUGUCGGAAUCUAUACAAACAUUGAGAAGCAUGAGAGGAGCUUUGAUUUUGAGUAGGGUCAAUGAACUCAUAUUGGUAAGUGGUAAUUAAAGAAACUUUGUAAGCUUAGUAGAGUUUCAGUAUUUUCUGUUUGGAGUAUAGUUGAUAAGUUGACUCUGUUUAAGAAGCCCGAUUAUAGUAGCUGACUGUAUUAACCUUUUUUUUUUUUUUUUGGGUCUGCUGUUGUUUUUGGUUUCGAUUAUUUUUUCAACAUUGGGUUGAUCUGUUGAAGAACAAGCUUGGGUUUGAUUAUGCUUUAACUACAAGGAAGAGCCAGACUUGGAUGCAGGCGUUAAGCUUUUAAUGGGUAAGAACAAAUGAAUGCUUUAACUAUGUUUCUCACUUAUUAAAAUGCACGGAUUGAAGGCAUCUGGGUUGAUCCUGACAAUGUGAUGGAAAUACUUCUCUGUUUUCAUAUAACAGGACAAAUAGAGAUCUCUGAUCAUGCCUGAAUUUUUGUUGCAUUGAAAUUUCUACCAUUAUCAAACAUAGAAUGAACUAGGGAUACAUUAGCUUAAGACUAAAUUUUGAGAAGGAAGUUUGUACUUGCAGCCUAUAAAAUCAUGUCCAUGUUGUACGUUUCUUUGGGAAAUGAAAGAUUCUGUGUGUUCUUUUAUUUCAAGUUCACUGAAAUCACAUUUGUUUUCUCAGCUGCUUUCCAGAAGGUAACAACAUCAAUUUCAAAAAUGCUGGGGCAAGAUGUAUCAUGCAGUGCAACUCAACUUGAGAAUUCCUGGCCACAUUACCCGUAUGUCUAAUGAUCGCACAGUACAACCUUGAGAAGCUUGUAAUGAGUACACAACUGGGUGCAAGUAGUUUUGAAAUGAAUUUGCCUCAAAUGAUUUCUUGCCGGUGAUUAAUAUAACCUCUAUUCCAAAAUUCUUGGAACUGGUCAUACUAGCAAUGAAGGAUUGCAUACAUUGAAGACAUAGCUGAAGGCCUUGCGAGAGCUCUGUCAGCCCUUGUACCGGAAAACAGCUGGUCGUAGUCGCUUGUGAAUGAUAUGAUUAAUAGAUACUGCAAAAAUGAAUUGUGCCAUACAUUUUCAGCGCUCUGUGAAGAUGUCUUGGUCAUUUGUUUGAUGCUUGUUUGAUUUAUGUUGUAUUCAGCCAUAAAUCAGAGAUUCAGAACUUGGGUAUGUUUCUGGUUUCCAAAUCAAAAAAUUGCCUUGUGAUGUUAGUGUUCACUGUUUUCACAGGAGAUCAGGUUCCUUGUUAAUGAAUCAAGAAGAAGGCAAGCGCAUCCAUGUCCAAGUUCAAAUGUGUCUCCUCUAUUUUCUAUUACCCACUCAUUUAUUUUGAUUUCUUCAUUGUAAUUGAAUUAGUUUUUUAUUCCAAAUUAGUCAAAACCUCGUAGAGUCAUUAAGUUCUUUUAGCAUUUAAAGACAGAACUACGAACCAAAUGAUUUAAGUUCUUCGUUGUAAUUGAAUUUGCUUUCCCAUCUUUAAAGAUAUUAUGUUCUUUUUCACUUUUUCGAUUUGGUUAGUGGUGAUUUCUUAAAGACUCAAUCCAUUUGCGUUAAUACAUUUUUCUUUUGCCUUGAUUUCUGUUUCUUGGGGAGUUUAUACAUAUUCUUAUUUUAUGCUACACAUGCCAUAUACAGAUUCUUAUUUUAUGCUUCACAUGCCACAUGAAAGGUCAAAGCCUUGUGUGUGAUUAGAAUUUACUGGCAUCAUAGUAACUUUAAACCAUUGUGACGUUUUAGUAAUAACAGUCUGAGCUCUCCCUGAAGGAUUCAAAGCAUUUUAUUUUAUAUUAUACUCCUUUAUAUGGUUUGGCUGGUCUCUUUUAAGGCAAUUCCUGUUUAAAGUAAUCAAAAUUUUGAUUUCGAAGUGUCUUUCAACACUACCGCUAGUUCUUUAAGAAAAGUAAAUCGAUUUUGAGUCUUCUGUAUCAUCUGAUUGAAAUACAUGAAAGCACUCUUAGCUGCAAAAGUACACUUGGAGUUAUAAUAGCAUUCUGAAAUCUCCUUGAAGGAUUCAAAAGCUCUUUAUUUGCUAGUCUUUGCUUGCAAUAAACUCCUUUAAUAUAGAUUGGUUGAUCUUCUUUAAAGCAAUUACCAUAAGUUCUUUAAAUAAUAAAACGACUUUGAGUCUUAUGUAUCAUCUUGUUGAAAUACAUGAAAGCACUCUUGGCUGUAAAAAUGCACUUGGGGUUAUAUAUAAAGUCUUCAACAGAAUUUUAUUUCCCCCUUUAUCCUCAUGGUGGUCUUUUUAGUUGUUUUUUAAGAAAUCGCUUGAAGGUUCUCUUUAAAAAUAAUUUUAACAUAAGCAUUCUUUAGAAGCACUUUAGAUGUCUGGCAUUUAGAAAAUUUUGUUCCUGUGUUCACAUAAUAUAAUAUAUAUAUAUAGAAAGCUGACUGUAGAAUAGAGGAGAACGAGUUGGUGUUGGUCUGAACUCUGAUCUUUGAAUCUCAUGUGACUCCACUACUUUUUACUUGUUCUGUACAAGGUCUUUUAGCUUUUCAAAAAGUUUUAGCUUUAUGGAUAAAAUACUGUUAAUUGUAAUCUAUAAAUAAUGAAAGGAAUUAAUAAAAUAUUUGGUAAAUUUUAUUUUCUAAAGUGUUAUGAGUUCUAAAACGGCUGUAUGUAUAUAAAUUUAUUUACACAUAUAUUUAUAAAUAUGAUUAUAUAAUAAUAUUUUAUGUGUACAUAUCAUAAUUGAUAACUAAAAUAAAUAUUUUUAUUUUAUUAAUGGUUUUUCCGUCUCAAUGUAGUUGGUAAUAAUAAUCUCUUUAGAUGUAACGAUUUUAUUUCCUAACUGAAUAAGGAAAAUUUUAGAUUUUUAUAAUAAAUGUUAAAUAUAUAUAGAAUUACAUUAAGUAUGAAAUAAUCCUCAAAAUUAGAUUUGAAAAGUUAUUCUUUUCUUGCUUUUAAAAAUAUGUCAUAUGAUGAGAUAAUUUUACUAAAAGUGAUUUUUUUUUAAAAAAAUUACUAAACAUCAAAAUUAACUCUUAACUUUUUAAAAUCAUUUCUAAUCUUCUCAUCCUAAGUUCUUUAUUGUUUUGUACAAAAUCCAAGGUUUUGACUUUUAUAAAAUGCCCACUCAAAAAUAAAUUAUUUUCUAAUUAAGAUUUGUUGUUAAUGUAUAACUCGAAGUAAUAUUAGAUAUUUGUAAUUUUAUUUCAAAAAUUUUAUUCAAAUGAUAUGGCAAGCAAUGAACAAUAGUUGAUAGCAAUUUUUUUUUUUUAACAAUGUUCAAAUCAAUCAGUUGCAUUAUCUCACCAUUUUUAUGAUGUCAUGUUAUUUUAAAUGAUUUUUUUAAUUUUUAUAUAAAACAUACGACGUGUUAACAUCAUUUGCAUAACUUGACCUUUUUUUUUUUCCUACAAAUAGUGUUUAAAAUUCAACACACAGAUGUGCCUCUUUCUUACUAUACUGGAAUCCUCGGUAAACUUUUUGUUUGCGCAAUUUAUGUGAGCAAAUUGUGUCUUCUUUUUCAUAUGUAAAUGUUUUUGAUAUCUUGAUGUGAAGGUAGAAAAUUGCAUGUUUUGAGUUUUUGCAUAUUUGAUGGAAACACAGAACCGUACCUGAAUAUUUCAGAACCCCCUUUUCUUUGAAGUUUGAACACUUUUCUUGAAUGUAUCAACUUUAUUUAUGGGAUAUGUUGCCAAAUUGGCAAAUCUAUUCGUUAUAAAACUUUCCUUUGACAGUUUAAUCUAAGCAGAUGUUAAUUCUGCAAAUAGAGUGUGCCUUAGAUUAGUUUCAUAGAUUUGUCUCCUUCUGUACAGUAAAAACUUUGAGCAUUUUCGCCAUAUUCUGAUCAAUACACUCCAACUAGUUAGUUCUUGAGGCGUUUUAUGGUUUCGUGGAGUGAGGCAAGAUGUAUACGUUUGCAAAUUGGCAAUGUCUUUUGCUUGAUGGGUUGAGAGUUGUGAGUGUCAACAGGAAACAAGACCUCUGUUUUAUGAACUCCAAAAAGUUAUUCUGUUAGAAAGAUCGAGACAGAGGCCAUACUAUAUUUAUUAUUGCUAUAAAAGUGUGAAAAAAUAUUCUUUAUUUAAUAUUCUAAACGAUUGAGCCAUUUAGUUAUGAUAUUCUGCUGUAUUGGGGCUAAUAAUCUAAGUCGGUUCAAAGUGGUAAAUUUAUAAAUUGAUAGGUAUGCCUGGUAUGACCGCUUACGUUGGAUUUUAUGAGGUCUGCUCUCCUAAGCAUGGAGAGUGUGUCUUCAUAUCAGCAGCAUCUGGUGCAGUUGGUCAGCUUGUGGGGCAGUUUGCAAAGUUAUUGGGCUGCUAUGUCGUCGGAAGUGCUGGAAGCAAAGACAAGGUAGGUUAUCUGUGUGAAGUACUUGAUUGUUUCCGUGUUACUUUCAAACAUUUAAAUUAAAAAGGAAAUUUUCAUAAUCUUGCCUUUUCUAUGAUUUUCAAAACCAAGGUUGAUCUACUGAAGAACAAGUUUGGGUUCGACGAGGCAUUUAACUAUAAAGAAGAAGCUGAUUUGAAUGCAGCAUUGAAAAGGUUAGCAUCAAUAAAUGCCUUAGCUUGAUGCAGCUUGAUGAAGUAUGAUACACAUUUCUGACCAAUAUACUGCGUUCCCUGAUCUCUUACUUGAAAUAUCUUGGUUUGAGAAUCUCAUGCCAAUGCCUUUAACAUUUUGGCAGGUACUUUCCUGAAGGAAUUGAUAUAUAUUUUGAAAACGUUGGUGGAAAAACGCUUGAUGCAGUGCUACCCAACAUGAAAAUCCGUGGUCGAAUUGCUGCAUGCGGUAUGAUCUCACAGUACAAUCUUGACAAGCCUGAAGGUGUGCACAACUUGAUGUAUCUUGUUUCGAAACGGCUUCGAAUGGAAGGAUUCAUUGUUCUCGAUCACUAUCACCUCUAUCCAAAGUUUCUGGAAAUGAUCAUUCCUCACAUCAAAGAAGGGAAGCUUGUAUACGUCGAAGACAUGGCUGAAGGUCUUGAGAGUGCUCCGGCAGCUCUCAUCGGUCUAUUCUCUGGCCAGAAUGUUGGGAAACAGGUGGUUGCUGUUGCUCCUGAAUGAAGAACAAGUUAGUGUUGCAGUUUGAAUGAUGCUGCUGCACAACUGCUGCCGAAAAAAUCCUUAAUAGAUGAUUAGCAAGGUUUCAAAAAUAAAAAGAAAUGUUUGUGCAACGUGCCGAAUAUGACAGCCACAAAGAAAGAGCAUACAAAUUGAUUGGUUUUAUGUCUUCUCUAGGAGAAAGCUACAAUACAAGAAAUUGUAUUGAUGGAGCCAUGGACCAAAUUUCUUAUUUAAACUUUUAAUUUUUUUUAUUAAAAUUACUUAUGUUAUUAUGGUUUAUAUUUUUAGAAAUUCUUUAGAAAUUAAUACAGAACUAGUAGCAAGUUGAGAAAUCUACUGAAUAGUCGAGAUAUGAUCAUGUUUAUUGAAUUAAAUUGACAAUCAUCAUUUUGAUAAAUUAUUGUUAGGAUAUUUGAUUCAUCACAGGUGUAAGUAACUAAAUGUGCUAAAAAAAAAGUUAAUGAGUUGUGAGUGUUUGAUAUUCGUUUGUUGUAAUUCUUUUAAUAAUUGUUGUGGGAAAAAAAUUAUGGUAAAAAAAUUAUAAUUAUAAAAUAAAAAUUAAUAAUAUAUUAUAAAUAAAAUUUUUAAAUAAUAAUUUUAAUAAAAUAAUAAAUAUAUUAUGAAUUUUUCAUUAUAAAUUUUUAAGUUAAAAUAAUAAAUAUUUAUUAAAUAUUUUAAUAGCACAACUUUUAAAUUAUAACAGUACAAUGUAAAUACCAGAGGUCUUAAAAAAUAAAAUUACAGUCAAGUUUUAAAACUGUUAAUAAUGCUAUUCAUAAAGGCGCUCGUCGUGUAAACAACACAUGGGACCCAACCAAUAAAUGUUUAUGAUCCUCAACUUUCCUCCUCACCGUCCCUGCAAACAAUUCUGAUCUUCUUGUCUGAGAAAAAAACUGAGAAACAAUGGCGGCCGAACAAGAAGCUGUGAGCAAUAAGCGGGUGAUUCUAAGCAACUAUGUGACAGGUUUUCCAAAAGAAUCGGACAUGAAGAUAACAUGUGGAUCAAUAAAACUGGAGGUAGCAGACGGUUUAAAAGACACGGUGCUUUUGAAGAAUCUUUAUAUUUCUUGUGAUCCUUACAUGCGAGAGCGUAUGAGCAAGCUUGAUAGACCUUCUUUUGUUGAUUCAUUCCAUCCUGGUGAGGUUAGUUCAUCACGACCCAUCUCUUGAUUUUUUUUUUUUUUUCAUUUGCUUCAAGUUUUGAUGAGUUUCUGAGGUCAUUUGUACGGUUUUGGAAUGUGAACACUAUUAGUGAUUUUGGGGCUGUAACUGUCAUUAAUGAUAUGUAGUAAUUCAAUCAGAAUUUGGAUUUAGUGCUGAUAUGAUCUCUGCUCAUUUUUUAAAAUCUUGUGUCCAGAUGCAUUUUUAUAAUCUUGUACGGUUGAGAUUGUAUGUAGAUUAAUCUACGUGCAGUAUUCUUGUCUAAUGACUACUAACCACAACCUUAUGAGACGAUCGAAACCAAGCUCAGAUCAAUAAUCCAAUUGAGAGAGGGUCCUAACUCAAGCUUAUCGUGUGUAGGAAUAUUUCGGUUAAAUUGUAAUUCUUUUAAUAAUUGUUGUGAAAAAAAAAAGUUAUGAUAAAAAAAUUAAUAAUUAUAAAAUAAAAAUUAAUUAUAUAUAAUAAAUAAGAUUUUUAAAUAAUAAUUUUAAUAAAAUAUAAUAAAUACAUUAUCAAUUUUUCAUCGUUAAUUUUUAAGUCACAACCACAAAUAUUUACUAAACACUUUAACACCAUAAUUAACACCACAACUAUUGAAUUAUAACUGUACAAUCUAGACGCCAAGAGGCCUUAGUAUGAAAAAAAAAAAUUACAGUUAAGUUAAAAUUCAUCAUACAGAUGUGCCACUUUCAUACUAUACCGGGAUCCUCGGUAAUGAUUUUUGUUACACAAUAAGAUUUGCUUAUAGUAAUAUCAAUACAUAUGCUGCUUAAAUGCUUUCUGAUUUUUUGCCGGCCAUUGUCCAUUUUGCCAGGGAGUCUAUAAUUGAAGGAAUUUACUGAAGGAAUGCUGAUUGUUGGGAAUUUGAUUAUUCUAGGUAUGCCUGGUGUAACUGCAUACGCUGGUUUAUACGAAGUUUGCUUUCCGAAGAAAGGAGAGUAUGUCUAUGUAUCUGCAGCAUCUGGAGCUGUUGGUCAGCUUGUUGGACAGUUUGCAAAAUUAGCUCGUUGCUAUGUUGUUGGAAGUGCAGGAAGCAAAGAAAAUAUAGCACCGUGCCUUCUAGCAGAAUUUUACUUGCUUUAUGUUCCAACUAAGCAUCCAUAUUUGAUCAUGAUAAUUAGCAAGGUCAAUAAUUUUUUUUUGACUAUUUUUUCAACGUAAGGUCGAUUUGUUGAAGAACAAGUUUGAACGAUGCUUUUAACUACAAGGAAGAGCCUGAUUUUGAUGCAGCACUCAAAAGGUCAGCUGCAACAAACGUUUCAACUCUAAUAUUUCAUUUUAAUAUUACAGAGCUUUGGUUGAAGUGUGUGAGUUGAUCCCAGAAACGUAACUUCAUCAGUGUCUCUGUUUUCAAAAAACAUGACAAAUAGAAAUCUGAUUUUGCUUUAAAAUUUCCCAGAUGCUUCCCUCAAGGAAUCGACAUAUAUUUCGAAAAUGUUGGGGGAAAGAUGCUGGACGCAGUGCUACUCAACAUGAGGCUCCGGGGCCGCAUUGCAGUAAGCAGUAUGAUCUCACAGUAUAACCUGGAAAAACCCGAAGGCGUACACAACUUAGAGCAACUGAUCGGGAAACGGAUUCGCCUGGAAGGAUUUCUAGCUGGUGAUUACUAUCACCUCUAUCUGAAAUUCUUGGAACUGGUCAUUCCUCCAAUCAGAGAAGGAAAGAUGCUGUAUGUGGAAGACAUGGCCGAAGGACUCGAGAAAAUUUCUCGUAACUGCUACACAUUAAACGCGUUUCACAUUUCCACUCUCUUUCUAUAAAUAAAUACGCACAUAAAAUUUCUCACCAUCCAAAAACAAAAUCUACAUAAAAAAUGGCGGGUGAAGAAGCAGUGAGCAACAAGCAGGUGAUUCUGAGCAACUACGUGACAGGGUUUCCCAAGGAAUCAGACAUGAAGAUAAUAACAGGCUCAAUAAACCUUAAGGUGCCAGAGGGUUCAAAAGACACAAUGCUUUUGAAGAAUCUUUAUCUUUCCUGUGAUCCUUACAUGAGAGGACGUAUGAGCGAGCUUGAUAAGCCUUCGUUUGUUGCCUCAUUCGAGUCUGGCGAGGUCAGUUACUUCAAUUCCCAUCUCUUGGUUUCAUAAUCUUUUAUGGUUUUAGAAGGUGUUUUAGGGAAACAUUGUGGUUUUGGUUAGUGGGCAUGAGUCUUUGAAGAGAUUAUAAUGUGUAGGACUAUGCAUGCAAUAAUAAGCAUAGGGGAUCUUGUUAGGAGAAGAUUCUCUUAGCAAAAUAAAAACUUUUAUCUUAUCAAAACAUAUGCAGGGAACUUAGUUAUGAUGUCAUGUUAGCAUUGUCUCUGAGGAUUUGAUUUCUUGAUGGGGAAAGGGGAAUUUAAGGUUACAUUAUUCAGCAAUGGUUUUUUUUUUAAAUUAUGUUCAAAUUAUGCAGCCUUUAAGCGGAUAUGGAGUGUCCAAAGUGUUGGAUUCCACGCCUCCAAAUUAUAAGAAAGAUGACUUGGGUGGUGUUUGUUUUUUAACUUAAUGACUUAAAGUGACUUAACUUAAUUAAUUAAGUUAAUUAGAGAUGUUUGUUUUUAUAACUUAAUGUGACUUUUUAAAUAAUUUUGACUUAAUAAAAUAAGCCAAUUUUAUUUACUUUUUACUUAAUAGAGACAUCUGAAUUAAGUCAAGUACUUUCUAAUGUCAAAAAUAUACAUGCUUUAUAAUUUAUUUUUCAUGUCUAUCCCAAAACUCACCCAUAGACAUUUACCCCACAUAAUAAUCUCAUCAUUAUUUUUUUAGCCGUCAUGAAAUCCCUCCUCACUUUGGUAUCAACUCCUCAACUAUUGAAGAUCAAAAUUACAUGCGACAACUUCGAGAUGAAUGGCAAAUCAACUGUUUCAAGCAUCUUAUUAGUUUUUUUUCUUUUUUAUAUUAUAUACGAUAAAAUUUGAAAUUUAUGGUAUUUUAUAUAUUAAAAUUCCAAAAUCAUUAUAUAUUCACUUGAAUAUAGUUUUACUUAUAAAUGUUAAAAUAUUGUGAUAUUUAAUAUAUUGUUUAUUUGACAUUCAAAUUUAAUAAGGAUACAAAUGUAAAAGUACAUAUUUUUCAGUUUUUUAAGUUGAAAAAAGAAAACAACUUAAUAAUUAUUUUUCGAGAUUCAGACGAAAAAACAAACAUAUUAUUCAGAUUCAGACAUUCAGAUCUAUUCAGAAUUUAGACUAAUUCAAGUCUAUUCAGAUUUCAGAUAAAAAAACAAACGCCACCUUGGUCCGGGGCUUAACCAGUUGGGAGGAGUUCAGUCUCAUCCAAUCACCACAACUUCUGAUUAAAAUUCUGGAUACAAGUGUGCCUCUGCCAUAAUUAAUUGACAGGUUGCUAUGUUGUUGGAAGUGCCGGAAGCAAAGAAAAGGUGAGUUUGCACCCUUAACCCUUACGCUCUAAAUAAAAACAUAACACCUUCUGAAAGAAUUGUGCAUAGAGAAUUUUGCAUGUCACAUUAUUUGUGUUCUAACUAAUCAUGGAUAUUUGAUCAUUAGUCUAACUAAAACUGACAUAUUACCACCUAGUUGACUGGUCUUUGAGAAAUGUUAGUUGAUAUAUGCUUGAAAUCAUACUUUGUUUUAUUAGAUGAUUAUAUUAACCUGCUUCUUUUUCUUUGUGCUGUUUCUCGUUUGAUUACAUUUUCAACAUUAGGUCGAUCUAUUGAAGCACAAGUUUGGGUUUGAUGAUGCCUUUAACUAUAAGGAAGAGCCUGACUUGGAUGCAGCUCUUAAUAGGUUAGCACGAAUGAAUGCUUUAACCAUUUUUCUCACUUCAUUAUUACAAUGCGCUGAUUGAAGUAAUCAGUGUUGGCUCUGAAAAUGUAACGUAUACUUCUCUGUUUUCAUAAAACAGGACAAACAGUGAUCAGUGAUCUCAUUCGUUACAUUGAUAUUUUCUACCAUUGCCAUACAUAGUAUAAACUAGGAAUUCAGUUGCUUAAUAGAUAUUCAUUUCAGAGGGAAAUUUUCACUUGCAGCUAACAGAAUCAUGUUUGUGAUGUAUGUUUAUUUGGGAAAUGAAAGGAUUUGUUGCAUUAUUUUAUUCCAAGUUUGCUGAAAUCAUAUUUGUUUUCCCAGGUGCUUUCCUGAAGUUAUCGACAUCUAUUUCGAAAAUUUUGGGGGUAAGAUGCUUGAUGCAGUGCUACUCAACAUGAGAAUUUGUGGCCGCAUCGCUGUAUGCGGAAUGAUCUCACAGUACAACUUUGAGAAGCCUGAAGGUGUACACAACUUGAUGCAAGUAAUUGGAAAACGAAUUCGCAUGGAAGGAUUUCUUGCCAGUGAUUUCUACCACCAAUAUCCAAAAUUCUUGGAACUGGUUAUGCCGGCAAUCAAAGAAGGAAAGUUAGUAUAUGUCGAGGACAUAGCUGAAGGCCUCGAGAAAGCUCCAUCAGCCCUAGUUGGGAUAUUCACAGGUCAAAAUGUUAAAAAACAACUGGUUGUAGUUGCUCGGGAAUGAUAUGAUUACUAUAUGCUUUAAAAAGUGGACUUUGCCAUGCACUUUAAAACCUUAGUGAAGAUGCCUUUGUCUUAUUUUUGAUACAUGUUAUGUUUGUUUGAUCAAGUUGUACUCAGCUAUAAAUCAAAGAUUCAGAACAUGUGUAUGAUACUGGUUUCUAAAUCAAUGAACGCCUUGAAAUGUUAGUGUUUUCACAGGAGAAUGCAAUUUAAUUCAUCAACAAUGUCCCAACAAGACCCUCAGAGCUGUAGCUUGUAAAGUUAAUUACGAUAUUUUUUUGUAAAGUAAAUUACCAUAUUUUUUUCUUUCCAAUAUAUUGCUUAUUUCAUAGAAAGUUUACAUUAAAGUCUCAUGUUUCUUUGAAAGGUAAGCAAGUGUGAACGUUUCAAUCUAGAGAUGGAAAAUGCAUUUCCGGGAACUUACUUGAUAAAUGAAGUUUUCAUCUCUGACCUUGAUGUUUCCCACAGGUGCAUUCAUUUCAGCUGAUCUAUAUAAUUUUGUUUUCGAAGGAGAGACACAAAAUCUCCGUUGUUAAGGGGAGAAUUUAGAGUGGCUUUGACUGUUAACAAAUAGCCUAAUGUAAGACUUAACCAACUUCCUGCCCUGUUGUAUGCUUAUGAAUUUUGAUAGAGCUAAGAGUUUGCAGAAGCUAUUGUAUUAUAUGUCGUUAGAGGCUGUAAACAUCAAACACAUUUAAAUUUCAAUGAAAAUUUACUGGAAGUAAAUUUCCUUUGAUCCCACAGGUGACUAAUUAAUGAGAACUUGACAAUGACAAAAGAAAGUGUAUGAACUUUGCAGGCUGGCAUGCCAAUAUUGACUGGGUGGCACCAUCCACCAUCUGCAAGUGAAUAUCAUUGUUGUUUAAUCAACAAGGUGGAGUCCACUGGGACCACACCACAUCGUCAGCCUUAUCUCUAUUCCUCAAUUUUCAGUAUUCCAUACAUCAAAACAAUUUCAGUUUUGUUAUCAAUUAUAAUUUCAUUGUUGGUGACGAUUCUGAUUCCUUUCUUUCUGACAAAACGGAACCAUGGUUGCUGUGGGAGAGAUCUUACUCAACGCCUUCUUUCAGGUGUUGUUUGACAGGUUGGCUUCCCGUGAUUUGCUCAGCUUUGUCCGUCAACUUGGAGGCGGGGUCGAUUCCGAGCUCAAGAAGUGGCAAAGAAAGCUGAAGAUGAUUCAGGCGGUGCUCAACGAUGCAGAGGAGAAGCAACUGACUGACGAGGCUGUGAAGAUGUGGCUGGACGAUCUCCAAGACUUGGCUUAUGACGCUGAGGACAUUCUUGAUGAGUUUGCUACUCAAGCUUUGGAAAGCAAGUUGAUGGCGCAAAAUCAGGAUAGCUCUGGCCAGCUUCUCAGUUUCAUCCCGGCUAGUUUGAAUCCGAAUGCUGUUAGGUUCAAUUAUAGCAUGAGGUCCAAGAUUAACGAUAUUACUAGCCGGUUGGAGCAACUCUGCAAAUAUAGAAUUGAACUUGGGCUGCAACGGAUUCCUGAAGGGGCAUCAUCAACUGCUGCUGCUGCACACCAGAGGCCACCCAGUUCAAGCGUCCCACCAGAACGUGAAGUUUUUGGUAGAGAAGAAGAUAAGGCCAAAAUUCUUGAUAUGGUAUUGGCCGAUAGCCCAAGUGAUCAUGCCGACUUUGCUGUAAUACCCAUUGUUGGCAUGGGCGGGAUAGGAAAAACAACUCUCGCUCGGGAGGUCUACAAUGACAAGGCCGUUGAACAUUCCAAGUUUGAUGUAAAAGCAUGGGUUUGUGUAUCUGAUGUCUUUGACGUUUUGGGCAUCUCAAAGGCGCUUCUCGAGUCAAUCACCCGCAGGCCAUGUCUUCUAAACAGUUUAAACGAAGUGCAGGUUGAAUUGAAAGUAGCUGUGGAUAAAAAAAGAUUCUUGCUGGUCUUAGAUGAUGUUUGGAACGAGGACUACAGCUUGUGGGUAGACUUAAAAGCUCCGUUCCUGGGUGCUGCACCAAACAGCAAGAUGAUCGUCACCACACGCAAUUCAAGUGUUGCAUCAACAAUGAGACCCAUUGAUCGUCACCACACGCAAUUCAAGUAUUACGAUCUCAAGAGUCUGUUAGAUGAUGAUUGCUGGUCCAUUUUCAUAAACCAUGCAUUUGAAUCUACAGACCUUAGCGCACAUCGAAUUUCAGAAUCAUUCCGCGAGAAAGUUGUUGGCAAGUGUGGGGGCUUGCCUCUGGCAGCAAAAACACUCGGGGGCCUUCUUCGUACUAAAACGCAUGCUGAGUGGGACGGUAUAUUGGAUAGCAAAAUAUGGGAUUUACCUCGGCAAAGCAGCAUUCUCCCCGUGUUAAGAUUGAGUUACCAUCAUCUUCCUUCUCAUUUGAAAAGAUGUUUUGCUUUUUGUGCCAUCUUUCCAAAAGAUUAUGCAUUCACUGAGAGGGAGCUGACUUUCUUAUGGAUGGCUGGAGGUAUUAUUCGACAGUCAAGAAACAAUGAGCAGCUGGAAGAUUUGGGCAGCAAGUGCUUUGGUGAUCUAGUGUCGAGGUCAAUUUUUCAACAAACAGCAAUCUCUGAUAGUUCUAAAUUUGUAAUGCAUACUUGAAAUUUCUGUCUUCAAUAUUUUGAUGCUUUCUUAUCCCAUGCACAAAAGUACUAGAAAAAACUAAUAACAGCUAACCGAAAAUCCCAGGCGUCAUAUUCCUUUUUACCGCGUUUUAAAAUGCACAACAAUGAUAUUCUUACAAAUUUGCAAAAUUUGUCAAUUUCUUAGAUUUCAGAUAUUUUAAUGCUUUUUUUAAUUUUUGAUCUAGUAAAAAUACACAGCCUUCACCGGCAGGAUUCUAGUCUUGGCUUUCACCUCUCUAACUCAUCUGUUCCCAUUGGGAUUCCAGAAAUUGAAAUUUCUGUCUUCAAUGGGUUUUCAAAGCCUCGCCUCUCUUCGAUUUUUGUGGAUCGGGAAUUGCACAAAUCUCACAUCAUUUCCCGAGGUCGAGGAAAAGAGCGGCCCAAACUUGCUCGCAUCCCUUAUUAGGUUAUGAUAGAUGGAAAAUUCAUAUACGAUCCAGAGUCAGAGGUGUUGAUUCUCUUAUUAAGGUCAGCUGAUUUCUAUUAUCCACUCUGACAAUCUCCUAUUCGUGUUUUUCCUUUUUAAAUUUUUUUUCCAAAAUUUUGCAGUUCCGUAUAUUGGUGUUUGUUAAGGUAAUUAGUGCUCCCUCAAUAUUGCAUUUUAGACUGCCAAAUGUAGCAGUAAUUUUAAUACAAUUUUGUUGGUGCCUUGUGUUCCAGAAGCUAGAAAAAUGUGUAGUUUUCAGAUAAGGAGGCUUGUCAGUUCUCUAGUAAGAAUCCAAUGAUUUGCUUUUGCACGUCCAUCUAAUUUGUGGAUCCUUGCAUCAGAAUUUGAUCAAUCCAAAAGGAAUUGCUUUUAGACAGAAGAAGAAUAGCAGCACCUAGCCUACCCGCAAACCUGAAACUAUUAGAUUGAGGUAAAAAAAUCAUUGACCCUCACAUGUUAACUUCUUCUAGUUACUUUCAUUGGGGAAAAAAAAACAUUUAAGGAAUUUGCAAUUUGUUGUUAGUUAUGGUAUCUGAUGUUCUUUUCUGCUUUAGCGUUUGUAGAACCUACUGUAUUAUGUGUUGGCAGUUGCCGUAUCUGAGGUAACUUGCCUUUAUUUGUUUGCUUCUGAGUUAAGGACACCAACAUUUGCCAGAGAUUUAGAGAAUCAUCUCAAAACACUUAGCAAACUUGACAAACUUCAAGAUGCACUUGCCCCCACGCCUUAUUCUCAACAACGCAAAACUUGUGAGUACACCUAUGCCUGCAAUUAUUGUGAAGUGUUCGCAAUUCUGAUGCAGAGAAAUGGUUUCUUGAUGCAAAGUAUUAAACUGUUAAGAUUUAUCCUGCAGGCUUGUUAGAUGUUGUAUACUCGAAAAGCCAACAACAUCAAGAACUACAACUCCAAGACCAACUUUGCGUUAAUUCAGUCAGCUGUAAAAAUGAUGCAAAUGACACUAUAUCAAGCUGGACUUAGAGACUAGUCAGAUCAAUCAUCCAUUUCAUCAACGGUUAAUGUCAUGAUGGUGGCUAUCAGAGGAAACAAAAGAUGUGUCAGAAUCUAUACGAACAUUGAGAAGCAUGAGAGGAGCUUUGAUUUUGAGUAGGGUCAAUGAACUCAUGUUGGUAAGUGGUGAUUAAAGAAAUUUGUAAGCUUAGUAGAGUUUCAGUAUUUUCUGUUUGGAGUAUAGUUGAUAAGUUGACUCUGUUUAAGAAGCCCGAUUAUAGUAGCUGACUGUAUUAACCUUUUUUUUUUUGGUCUGCUGUUGUUUUUGGUUUCGAUUAUUUUUUCAACAUUGGGUUGAUCUGUUGAAGAACAAGCUUGGGUUUGAUUAUGUUUUAACUAUAAGGAAGAGCCAGACUUGGUUGCAGGCGUUAAGCUUUUAAUGGGUAAGAACAAAUGAAUGCUUUAACCAUGUUUCUCACUUAUUAAAAUGCAUGGAUUGAAGGCAUCUGGGUUGAUCCUGACAAUGUGAUGGAAAUACUUCUCUGUUUUCAUGUAACAGGACAAAUAGAGAUCUCUGAUCAUGCCUGAAUUUUUGUUGCAUUGAAAUUUCUACCAUUACCAAACAUAGAAUGAACUGGGGAUACAUUAGCUUAAGACUCAAUUUUGAGAAGGAAGUUUGUACUUGCAGCCUAUAAAAUCAUGUCCGUGUCGUACGUUUCUUUGGGAAAUGAAAGAUUCUGUGUGUUCUUUUAUUUCAAGUUCACUGAAAUCACAUUUGUUUUCUCCGAUGCUUUCCAGAAGGUAACAACAUCAAUUUCAAAAAUGCUGGGGCAAGAUGCAUCAUGCAGUGCGACUCAACUUGAGAAUUCCUGGCCACAUUACCCGUAUGUCGAAUGAUCGCACAGUUCAACCUUGAGAAGCUUGUAAUGAGUACACAACUGGGUGCAAGUAGUUUUGAAAUGAAUUUGCCUCAAAUGAUUUCUUGCUCGCAUCCCUUGGGUUAUGAUAGAUGGAAAAUUCAUAUACGAUCCAGAGUCAGAGGUGUUGAUUCUCUUAUUAAGGUCAGCUGAUUUCUAUUAUCCACUCUGACAAACUCCAAGACCGGGUUUUUUUUUUUUUUAAUUUUGCCGUUCUGUAUAAUUGAAAUGCCACUCACUUGUUUCCUUCUUCACAGGUCCGAUAGUAUGUUGAGGCUAUUUGCUUUUUAUCGGUGUUUGUCAAGGUAAUUAGUGCUGCCUCAUAGGUUGAUUACUCACAGAUGAAAUCAUAACUUUUAUCUUAAAAUUUAAUAGCAUACACAGAUAGAUGAUUUUUAGUCCAAAGUUUUUUUAUUCACUUCAAUCAAAAUUUUAGAUUGCAGAUUUUUGUCAAGUAUUUCAUUACAAUUUUUUCAUUUUUUAUUUUAAACCAGAAUAUGAGUAUAACAUUUUGGAGCGUGCAUACUCUGAUGCAUGCAAUUAACUGUUUUUAAUCAUUGGAUUUUGAAAUUAAUAAUGGUAAGAUGUGUACUUAUUCUGUCUUCCAACAACCUUGGCCUCUUUCUUCGGUCGCAUAUCUAAUGAAUAUUUCUCUGUUUAGUUAAGGAUGAAUGCUUGGAGUGGGGUACUUGGUAACAUUUCUGCCUCAGAUGAAUCCUUGAAGAAAUGCCCGCAGUUCCUGAGACCAAAUACAGGUCUGAUUCAAAACAGCACCUUUCUCAGAAAAUAUGAUCCAAGGCAAAGUCAUGUUCUGAUAAUGUUUCCUUAAGUACAAAGUUGCAAGGAAACUUGAUUCAUUAACUACAGUUUUUUAUUUUUAGGACCUUGUAUCUGAAAGGUUCAGUGUUUUUUUUUUUUCAAAUUUAUUGUUCAGAUCUCAGAGGAGUAUAUGGUUUAGAUUACAAAACACCCAUGAUUAAUUUCAUUUUUUUUUUUUUAUUUCAGGGAGAAGAAGUGGUCAGUUUCAAUCCGGAAUUGGAAUAUGGCAAUUUGGUUCAAGCACACACACCUGGUCACUUGGUCAGUGAACCUGAACUUUACGCAGUUUUUUCAACUCAGUGAUUUUUGGAACGCAUAGUGGUGUAAGGAAAUCAAAAGAAAUUUAUGCAUAGUCAAAUUCUGAUAUUUGCUAUAUAUUAUACAUUCUAAAGUUUCUCCAGUUUGUUCUCAGAUUACCAUCAUUUUUUGCCUUCACCAAAAAAAAAAAAUUGAGUGGCUUUCCAGUGGAUAUUUAAUCGGAGGUAUGACUGGAUUUUUUUCACUUCUGUAAAUCUUGCAUUUUAAACUGGCAAAUUUAACUUUAAUUUUAAUACGACUUUGUUGGUGCCUUGUGCUCCAGAAACUAGAAAGAUGUGUAGUUUUCAGAUAAAGGGGCUUGUAAAUUCUCUAGUAAGAAUCCAAUAAUUUGCUUUUGCACGUUCAUUUUAUUUGUGGAUCCUUGCAUCUGAAUUUAAUCAAUCCAAAAGGAAUUGCUUUUAGACAGAAGAAGAAUAGCAGUACCUAGCCUAUGACAUAGUAUAUGGACCUGCAAACCUGAAACUAUUAGUUUGAGGUAAAAAAUUCAUGACCCUCACAUGUUAACUUUCAUGAAAAACACAUUUAAGAAAUUUGCAAUUUUUUGUUAGUUUCGUAUCCGAUGUUGUUGCAUCACAGUAACUUUAAACCACUGCGACAUUUUUAUAAUAACAGUCUGAGAUCUCCCUGAAGGAUUCAAAGCAUUUUAUUUUAUAUUAAACUCCUUUAUGUGGGUUUCGACACUACCACAAGUUCUUUAAAUACUAAAACGAUUUUAAGUCUUUUGUAUCAUCUUAUUGAAAUAUAUGAAAGCACUCGUGGUUGCAAAAAUACAGUUGGGGCUAUUUCUAAAGUCUUCAACAGCAUUUUCUUUUUAACCUUUAUCCUCAUGGUUGUUUUUGCAGUUGUUCUUUAAGAAAACAUUUAAAAGGUUCUCUUUAUGGAUUUUUGAAAAUAAUUUUAACAUUAGCAAUUUUCAGAAGCACUUUAGAUGUCUGGCAUUUAGAAAAUUUUAUUCCGGUGUCACAUAAAAUACUUAGGAAGUUAAAUUUAUUUAUUUAUGAGCAUGUGCCAGUGCCCUGUGGCAUCCUCUUCACUUGUGAUAGUCAAAUAUAUUAUACGAUACAAUAUUAGCUUGACUGUAGCACAGAGGAGAAUAGGGUUGGUGUUGGUCUGAACCAGCUUAUGUAACAGCUGCCAAAAGGAUAAUUUAAUUGUACUUUGAGUAAAGCUUUUGCGAAUUAAACAAGUGAUAAUUUGUUUCUAUUAAGAAAAACUUAAAGGAUAGGGCUAUUUUAACUCACCAAACUACACAUUAAAAAUCCACUUACAAAAAUAGUUUUUAAUUAUUAAAAUAUUCCUAAAUUAAAUUAUAAUUAUGGACACUAAAAUAUAAUUUUUUUUAUAUUUUACUUUUUGAAACUGUCUUUAUAUUCGAUAUUAUAUUUUUUUUCUUAAACUCUAAAUUGAUAUUUUUUUAUUAAUUUUAAAACACAUAUAAAGUGAUUUAUAUUGAUUUUAUACUAACAAACUAUUAUAGCACAUUCGAAAAAUAAUUAAAUCGUUCUUAUUUACAUAGUGAAAAUGCAAAUAGCUCAUUCAAAUGUUAAGGAAUUGGAGAGCUGCUGCUGGAGAUGAAAGAUGUGAAUUAAACAUCAGAGAAAAAAUUAUGUUCACUAUCUUGCCAGACCAAGCACCGAAGAGCGUCGUAAAGAAAAAUUAGAUAAUUUAGAAGAUAAAGCACGUGGAAUGGAGGCAGAAAGCAAGUAAUGAUAACUCUUUCGACAAACUAAUAUAUACCAAAAUGCAAUAUCGGCCCUAAUAAAAAAUGAAAAUAAAAAUUCAUUACGAAUACUUGUUAAAGAUAUCCCAAGUAUAGAUGUGACUGAAAUAUUUGAGAUUGAAGAAGAAUUAAGACUCAAAAUCAAUUGGGAGGAAUAAAUGAGAAACCCCAAUACCAAAAAAUACACGCACAAAUCCUAAUACUAAUUGUAAUCACGGAUAAAAAGCAUAAUACGAAUAAAUUACAUGGGCAACUAUUCCAUUGAGAAAUUAAUUAAAUCGUGUAUUAAUAUUUUGUAUACAUAUAUUUUUCUAUACAUAACUUUCGGUAAUUUAGUUUUCCACUUAUCAUUUUUACUCCAAAAAAGUAAUUGAGAAUAUUAUUUAUGUUUUGGUACAAAAUAUUUGAACAAUAUACAAAUUUUCAGUUUAAUAAAUCUAAACAUCUAUUAAGUUAUAAAUGAAUUUAAUGGGUUUAAUUAAUAAAAUUACUAUUAUUAUAUAAAUUGGGUUUAGUAAUGGUAUAUUGGGUGGGUUUGUUGAGUAAAUUUUAAAAUUUUGAAAUUUAAGGAUGAAUUUAUUUAGUAAAUGAAUUCAGGGAGUAAUUUGUUGGGAUUCACAUAGCCCCACCAAAUUCAAAUGUAAAAUUUUUGGAAAAAGAAGCUAUUGAGUUAUUCUAAAAAAUAAUUAAAAUGUCAAGAAUACCUUUAUUUAAUUUUAUAAUCUUAUUUUAUAGUCAUAUUUUAUUUCCACCUUAACAUAAUUUUAAAAACCUUAACUAAUAAAUUCUAUAUUUUUUUUUAUAAAAGUUAUCAUUAAUAUCCAAACGGCUACAGAUUUUUUUUUUUUAAAAAAAGGAACUAUGCUUACAAAAGUUGUAUACAUUAACAAUAAAUUUAGUCCAAAGAAUAAAGUUAUUCCAAACAAGCACUCUAAUUCAUCUUGCUAAUGAAUCAAGAUGACUGAAUCCUUCUCUGAGCCAAAUCUAUUUUCACUUUUAGGUCAGAAAUUGUCAUUAAAAAAGUGUUUGAUAAAAUAUGCUCUGGGAACACUAAUUCGUCAGAUGGUUACUCCAAGUUUAUGAAAUCAAUGGGAUUUCAUCAUAUUCAUAACAUUCUUCUUGAAUGUCUAUUCUAACAAAGAAAUCAUAUACAGAGAAUAGGUUUCGUUAAAACUUUUUCUAGAAAAACUAACCACAAUUCAUCAUUCAUUUAUCUCUUAAGUAAGCGUAAGAUUUUAUCAUUAAAAUCCCAUCAUGAAAAAACUCAUGGGAGAAAAACUAUAAAAAUUGAAGAAAAAAGAGUAUGGCGUGCAUGUAAAUUAUAUCGAUUUUAUCUACAUGACAAAUAAGACUCUCUUUUACAAUGGCACGGAUGCUUCAUUGAGUAAUCAUGAUUCUUGCUGGUAGUGCUUUGUUGUAUCAAUCUGCUAGCUAUUCAGCGUUCUUUCUUUCUUUCUUCUUAUUUUUUUGUUUUCAAAUAGCUUGUGGUUGUAGAAAUAUUUCAAUUAAACUAUACUUAAGUACUUAUUUGGUAUAACUUCUUUACUAACCAAAAGAAUUUUUUUUUUUGGUUUUUUAUAAUUUAAUUAUACUUUAACUAGAGUUUUUGGGAUAAAACAAGUGAUAAUUUCUCUCUAUUAAGAAAAACUCAAAGGGUAGGGCUAUCUCAAUCCACCAAACUAUUUAUUAAAAAUCCACUUAUGAAAAUAAUUUUUAAUUAUUAGAAUGCGUUUACAUUAAAUUAUAAUUAUGGACACUAAAAUAUAAUAAAUUUUUUUUUUACUCUUUAAAAUUGUCUUUACAUUUGAUAUCAUAUCUUUUUCUUAAAAUCUAAAUUGAUAUUUUUAUUUUAUUUUUGAUUAAUCUUAGAACACAUAUAAAGUGAUUCAUAUUGAUUUUAUACUAACAAACUAUCACAGCACAUUCGAAAAUAAUUAACUCGUUCUUAUUUGCAUAGUGAAAAAGGCAAAUAGCUCACCCAAAUGUUAAGGAUAUGAAAAGCAUGGUCAAGAAAAAUUGCAUAAUUCUCACUUAGAAGAGAGGUAGCCGCCACCACCACCAGUGAAACUAUUUCACAUAAUAGAAGAUAAAGCACGCGUAAUGGAGGCAAAAAGCAAGUAAUGAUAACUCUUUUCGACGCACUAAUACAUAUCAAAAUGCAAUAUCGGUCCUAACAAAAUGAAAAUAAAAAUUCAUUACGAAUAUGUGUUAAAGAUAUCUCAAGUAUUGAUGUGAUUGAAAUAUUUGAGAUUGAAGUAGAAAUAAGACUCAAAAUUAAUUGAGAGGAAUAAAUGAGAAACUCUAAUACUAAUAAAAUAUAUUCACAAAUCCUAAUGCUAAUUAAAAUCACGGAUUAAAAAAAAUAAUAUGAAUGAAUUACAGGCGCAACUGUUUCAUUAAGAAAUUAAUUAAAUCGUGUAUUAAUAUUUUGUACACAUACAUUUUUCCAUAUAUAACUUUUGGUAAUUUAGUUUUCCACUUAACUUUUGGUGAAAAAAAUAAUUGAGAAUAUUAUUUAUGUUUUGAUGCAAAAUAUUUAAACAACAUAAAAAUUUUCAGUUUAAUAAAUCUAAACAAUUCUCAAGUUAUAAAUGAAUUUAAUGGGUUUAAUUAGAAAAAAUACUAUUAUUUUAUAAAUUGGGUUUAGUAAUGGUAUAUUGGGUAUUUAAAUGGGUUUGUUGAGUAAAUUUUAAAAUUUUAAAGUUCAAGGGUGGGUUUAUUUAGUAAAUGGGUUAAGGCAGCAAUUUUCCAAACUAAAUUUUUGGAAAAAGAGGUUAUUGAGUUUUUUUUUUUAAGAAAAAGAAUUAAAAUGUUGAGAAUACCUUUAUUUAAUUUUAUAAUCUUAUUUUAAAAAAUUUACCCAAUAAAUUUGAUAAUUUUUUAUAAAAAUUAUCAUUAACAUCCAAACAGCUGAAGAUUAAAAAAAAAAAAAAAGAAGGGAACUGUACUAGCAAAAGUUACAUUAACAAUAAAUUUAGUCCAAAGAAUAAAGUUAUAGCUAAAAAGUGCUCCUAUCCUAUUUUUCUCUAUUUUAACAAUAAUCUUCCAAUCCGUUUUACAAUGGACUUUAACAAAUGGGCUCAAUUAACAAGAUUGAUCAAGAAUUAACAAGACAAGAUGAAGAGAUGAUCUUGUAACUAAGAAUGAAGAAAUUACGCACAAAGCAGUAAAUUUGUAAAACCAGAAUUGGAGCUUCACUUCUCAAGAGAGACGAAACAGGAUACAAUCUAGCUUUGGUCAACUUCGUUUGGCCACGUCAUAAAGUCUCCCCACAGUCUUUCCCGCCAAAACAGAAAAGCUUUAAAAGCCAUUUACCUUCCUGAGUUACUUGCUCCUAUUACAUCAAGGCCCUGGAAGUCUAUAUUUAUUAUUACAAAAGCACUCUUAGGGUGCGUUUGGAAUUGAGGUGUUGUAGUUUUUAAGCUACAGCUGUUGUGAAAAAAAACUGUAAUUAUGAAAUAAAAGUUAAUAAUAUAUAGUAAAUAUAAAUUUUAAAUAAUAAUUUUAUCAAAAUUAUUAAAGAUAUAAUAAAUUUUAUAUUAUACAAGUGAAAAAUUAUAUCAACAUAGCUUAAAAGCUACAGCAGUUAAUGUUUACCAAACACUUUAGUGCUGUAGCUUUUAAGCUUCAGCUGCCCAAUCUCAAUCGCAAACGCACCCUUAAACCGAGAUCGAAGCGCAUGAUUUCAUUACAAAGCAUUCGCAAAGAAAUUGUUUUUAAAUGAAACUCCUCGUCUUGACCAGAUUAUUUAUUAUUAUUCAAAAACAAAUGCUCAAAGCUUAGCCAAAGUGAUAAACUCGUAAUUAUUCUACAAAGGGAACAAUUUUGAACGGUGGGAAAUUCCAUAAUUAUGCUUUUCUGUGAAUUAUUUUAAAUAAAAUUAUAAAAACCAAUAUAAAAUUAUUACCCAGUAAAGACUUUAGAGAGACAAAUGUCCCCAACAGGAUCAAGUGAAUAUGCCCCACAAAGAUCACAUGAUCAUUUCUUGUUCUUUUUCUUUUGGACAAUUUUAGACAAUAUAAAAGAAAAAAUAUUAAAUUUUUUUAACCGAAUUAUUUUGACUCAAUUUGGUUCAUAAUUUUUUAAACCAAAUGGAACCCUCAUAACAAAAAACUAACGGAAACAAUAAGAACACGAUGUUAAAAUCUUAAAUCAAUCGCAAAAAAGCACCCAAAACAGAUCGAUUAGGAACAGUUAACAACAAAAGAUUUGAUGGUUCAAAAUCAUAAUGUGACCUACUUCCAUCCAAGAAUUAUACUAAUUUCUUUACUAGUUGUCAAAUACAAGAUCACAAGAUUAUUUAUCACUCUAUAGAGAAAAACUUUUUAGAAGAAAUACUCCCCAAUUUUUCUCUUGAUAGUUAUGAAUCAACACCCCUAGAAAGGCUAUUGAUUUAUUUUUCCUUAUUUCAUAUGAUCGGUUGCUGCAACUUAAUCCUUGCCAAGUUCCAACAUAGUCCAAACAUUUUUCAUGGUACAUGCAUAGUGCACCUUCAGAAACUUUACAGCUCUUCUUAAAACCUCAGUUCUCGUGAUGUUUCUGAUUUAUUUUUGGGACGAGUAACACUUUUGUUGAACCUAGACCAGAUUUAGUAUCCAAUCAAGAAUUUCCAGGAUCUAGCUGAACUCUCUAAUCAAGACCUAAAGAAUAGUUAAUCAAAUCCACACAAAAGAAUCACCCAAAAACAGUAUACAAAGAACAACAAAUAUAAGUGGUUUUGAGAUAAAUGUAAUUGACUUCUGAGCAUGACUUAAUUUUGAGAUCAUUACUUUUAGUUAAAUGAUCUCCUCCAGAGCUUCUACCUAUGUAGUGUUUUUAGACCUCUAUAGUUGAUAAAGCACGUUCAAGGUGAAGGCUUGUUUUCCAAUCUAUAGUCCAAUUAUAGACUGGAAAUGGUCAGGCUUAAUGCACCUUCAAAAGCUUCACAAUUUGUAUUGAAACCUUAAGCCUCAGAAUGCUACAAAUUUUAAAUCCAUAUACUUAGUGCUCUUAUGAUUUGUUUGAUUUUUACUUAGAUGAAGAGCAUUUUAGCUAUAGAAUACAUUGUAACUAAUUCAAAGCAUGCCUUAGCUACGAGAUCAUUCAUUCUAGCCAAAUGCCCCCUUUAGAGAUUCUGCUAUUGUUGUGUAUUCAGCCUCUAUAUUUGGCAAAGCAAUUACAUGUCGAAGGCUUGCUUUCCAGUUAACAGCGCAAUUACAUAGAUUAAAGGUGUAACCAGGCAAAGAACUUAGUUAUUCUGCCAAGGUCUCCAACAUACUCCAAAUCCAUAUAACCACCAGACUUCAAUCUUUAGACUCCAUAGAUCAAACCAUAACUUAGUGUGCCUUUCAAUCUCAGGUAACAUUUUACUGUUUUCCACGUCUUGCCAUGUACUUGCUGCUAACACUAACAAUUUGAGAAAUGUUAGGCAUCGUAAGCAGCCGACAACACUCUUCUUCAUUUCUUCAUUGUCAAUUUCUUUCUUGGAACAUUGCUCCAUUGAGAGUCUGCUAUCAUUGCUCCAAUUAUUAUUAUUUUUGUUUUUUUUUAAAAAAAAAAUAACCGUGCAAUAAGAGUAUAAGACUAAGCAACGGUCCUUUUUUUUUUACCCAUUCUUGAACAUGAAGUAUUUGAGUAUGUAAUAAAAAUUGUUUAUUGAUAAUUAAAAGUUAAUAGUGGGUGGCUUUAGGUUUUGUUUACAAAAUUGACAACAAAUUAAGAUUUUUCAAAUUCAUAGGUAAGAAACUUUUCAUUUAUUCAUAGAUUUUCCGGUUUAAACUUUAAAGGAAACUUAAAAGAAAAAGAUGUAUCAUUAGAUUUGUAAUUAAAAAAAUUUAAUAUUGUAUGAUCUGUUCGAUAUGCAUAAUUUAAAUAAACAUUAAUAUAGAUGUUAUAUAUCCUAAAACUUAAUUGACUUAAUUCUUACGGUGCAAGGAAGACGUUUCCAAGUUUAAAUCUAAUUUGGGGUCGGGAAAGCACUGGGAAAUAAAUGUAACAAAGGAAAAAAGAAAAGAAUGACAGUCUGAGUGGAGCCAACACGGUUUUGAAAAAAGUGCAAAAAAGGGUUUUAGGAUAUACUCUAUUAUCGUUUGUUUGCUUGCUUGUGGAAAUAAAAGUCUCAUGUUUCUUUGAAAGGUAAGCAAGUGUGAAUGUUUCUAUCUAGAGCUGGAAAAUGCAUUUCCGUGCAACUUACUUGAUGAAUGAAGUUUUCACCUCUGACCUUGAUGUUUCCCUGAGCUGCAUUCAUUGCAGCUGAUGUAUUUCAUUUUGUUUUCGAAGGAGUGACACAAAAUCUCCUUUGUUAAGGUGAGAAUUUAGAGUGGCUUUAACUGUUAACAAAUAGCCUAAUGUAAGACUUAAUCAACUUCCUGCCCUGUUGUAUGCUUAUGAAUUUUGAUAGAGUUAUGAGUUUGCAGAAGCUACUGUAUUAUAUGUUGCUAGAGGCUGUAAAAAUGAGGCAGAUCAAACACACAUUUAAAUUUCAGUGACAAUUUACUGGAAGUAAAUUCCUAUGACCCUACAUGUGACUGUGUGGCACCAUCCGCCAUUUGGAAGUGAAUAUCAUUAUUCUUUAAUCAACAUGGUGGAGUCCACGGGGACCACACCACAUGGUCAGUCUUAUCUCUAUUCCUCAAUUUUCAGUAUUCCAUACAUCAAAACAAUUUCAGUUUUGUUAUCAAUUAUAAUUUCAUUGUUGGUGACGAUUCUGAUUCCUUUCUUUCUGACAAAACGGAACCAUGGUUGCUGUGGGAGAGAUCUUACUCAACGCCUUCUUUCAGGUGUUGUUUGACAGGUUGGCUUCCCGUGAUUUGUUCAGCUUUGUCCGUCAACUUGGAGUGGGGGUCGAUUCCGAGCUCAAGAAGUGGGAUAGAAAGCUGAAGAUGAUUCAGGCGGUGCUCAACGAUGCAGAGGAGAAGCAACUGACUGACGAGACUGUGAAGAUGUGGCUGGACGAUCUCCAAGACUUGGCUUAUGACGCUGAGGACAUUCUUGAUGAGUUUGCUACUCAAGCUUUGGAAAGCAAGUUGAUGGCGCAAAAUCAGGAUAGCUCUGGCCAGCUUCUCAGUUUCAUCCCGGCUAGUUUGAAUCCGAAUGCUGCUAGGUUCAAUUAUGGCAUGAGGUCCAAGAUUAACGAUAUUACUAGCCGGUUGGAGCAACUCUGCAAAGAUAGAAUUGAACUUGGGCUGCAACGGAUUCCUGAAGGGGCAUCAUCAACUGCUGCUGCUGCACACCAGAGGCCACCCAGUUCAAGCGUCCCACCAGAACGUGAAGUUUUUGGUAGAGAAGAAGAUAAGGCCAAAAUUCUUGAUAUGGUAUUGGCCGAUAGCCCAAGUGAUCAUGCCAACUUUGUUGUAAUACCCAUUGUUGGCAUGGGCGGGAUAGGAAAAACAACUCUCGCUCGGGAGGUUUACAAUGACAAGGCCGUUGGAGAUUCCAAGUUUGAUGUAAAAGCAUGGGUUUGUGUAUCUGAUGUCUUUGACGUUUUGGGCAUCUCAAAGGCGCUUCUCGAGUCAAUCACCCGCAGGCCAUGUCUUCUAAACAGUUUAAACGAAGUGCAGGUUGAAUUGAAAGUAGCUGUGGAUAAAAAAAGAUUCUUGCUGGUCUUAGAUGAUGUUUGGAACGAGGACUACAGCUUGUGGGUAGACUUAAAAGCUCCGUUCCUGGGUGCUGCACCAAACAGCAAGAUGAUCGUCACCACACGCAAUUCAAGUGUUGCAUCAACAAUGAGACCCAUUGAUCGUCACCACACGCAAUUCAAGUAUUACGAUCUCAAGAGUCUGUUAGAUGAUGAUUGCUGGUCCAUUUUCAUAAACCAUGCAUUUGAAUCUACAGACCUUAGCGCACAUCGAAUUUCAGAAUCAUUCCGCGAGAAAGUUGUUGGCAAGUGUGGGGGCUUGCCUCUGGCAGCAAAAACACUCGGGGGCCUUCUUCGUACUAAAACGCAUGCUGAGUGGGACGGUAUAUUGGAUAGCAAAAUAUGGGAUUUACCUCGGCAAAGCAGCAUUCUCCCCGUGUUAAGAUUGAGUUACCAUCAUCUUCCUUCUCAUUUGAAAAGAUGUUUUGCUUUUUGUGCCAUCUUUCCAAAAGAUUAUGCAUUCACUGAGAGGGAGCUGACUUUCUUAUGGAUGGCUGGAGGUAUUAUUCGACAGUCAAGAAACAAUGAGCAGCUGGAAGAUUUGGGCAGCAAGUGCUUUGGUGAUCUAGUGUCGAGGUCAAUUUUUCAACAAACAGCAAUCUCUGAUAGUUCUAAAUUUGUAAUGCAUACUUGAAAUUUCUGUCUUCAAUAUUUUGAUGCUUUCUUAUCCCAUGCACAAAAGUACUAGAAAAAACUAAUAACAGCUAACCGAAAAUCCCAGGCGUCAUAUUCCUUUUUACCGCGUUUUAAAAUGCACAACAAUGAUAUUCUUACAAAUUUGCAAAAUUUGUCAAUUUCUUAGAUUUCAGAUAUUUUAAUGCUUUUUUUAAUUUUUGAUCUAGUAAAAAUACACAGCCUUCACCGGCAGGAUUCUAGUCUUGGCUUUCACCUCUCUAACUCAUCUGUUCCCAUUGGGAUUCCAGAAAUUGAAAUUUCUGUCUUCAAUGGGUUUUCAAAGCCUCGCCUCUCUUCGAUUUUUGUGGAUCGGGAAUUGCACAAAUCUCACAUCAUUUCCCGAGGUCGAGGAAAAGAGCGGCCCAAACUUGCUCGCAUCCCUUAUUAGGUUAUGAUAGAUGGAAAAUUCAUAUACGAUCCAGAGUCAGAGGUGUUGAUUCUCUUAUUAAGGUCAGCUGAUUUCUAUUAUCCACUCUGACAAUCUCCUAUUCGUGUUUUUCCUUUUUAAAUUUUUUUUCCAAAAUUUUGCAGUUCCGUAUAUUGGUGUUUGUUAAGGUAAUUAGUGCUCCCUCAAUAUUGCAUUUUAGACUGCCAAAUGUAGCAGUAAUUUUAAUACAAUUUUGUUGGUGCCUUGUGUUCCAGAAGCUAGAAAAAUGUGUAGUUUUCAGAUAAGGAGGCUUGUCAGUUCUCUAGUAAGAAUCCAAUGAUUUGCUUUUGCACGUCCAUCUAAUUUGUGGAUCCUUGCAUCAGAAUUUGAUCAAUCCAAAAGGAAUUGCUUUUAGACAGAAGAAGAAUAGCAGCACCUAGCCUACCCGCAAACCUGAAACUAUUAGAUUGAGGUAAAAAAAUCAUUGACCCUCACAUGUUAACUUCUUCUAGUUACUUUCAUUGGGGAAAAAAAAACAUUUAAGGAAUUUGCAAUUUGUUGUUAGUUAUGGUAUCUGAUGUUCUUUUCUGCUUUAGCGUUUGUAGAACCUACUGUAUUAUGUGUUGGCAGUUGCCGUAUCUGAGGUAACUUGCCUUUAUUUGUUUGCUUCUGAGUUAAGGACACCAACAUUUGCCAGAGAUUUAGAGAAUCAUCUCAAAACACUUAGCAAACUUGACAAACUUCAAGAUGCACUUGCCCCCACGCCUUAUUCUCAACAACGCAAAACUUGUGAGUACACCUAUGCCUGCAAUUAUUGUGAAGUGUUCGCAAUUCUGAUGCAGAGAAAUGGUUUCUUGAUGCAAAGUAUUAAACUGUUAAGAUUUAUCCUGCAGGCUUGUUAGAUGUUGUAUACUCGAAAAGCCAACAACAUCAAGAACUACAACUCCAAGACCAACUUUGCGUUAAUUCAGUCAGCUGUAAAAAUGAUGCAAAUGACACUAUAUCAAGCUGGACUUAGAGACUAGUCAGAUCAAUCAUCCAUUUCAUCAACGGUUAAUGUCAUGAUGGUGGCUAUCAGAGGAAACAAAAGAUGUGUCAGAAUCUAUACGAACAUUGAGAAGCAUGAGAGGAGCUUUGAUUUUGAGUAGGGUCAAUGAACUCAUGUUGGUAAGUGGUGAUUAAAGAAAUUUGUAAGCUUAGUAGAGUUUCAGUAUUUUCUGUUUGGAGUAUAGUUGAUAAGUUGACUCUGUUUAAGAAGCCCGAUUAUAGUAGCUGACUGUAUUAACCUUUUUUUUUUUGGUCUGCUGUUGUUUUUGGUUUCGAUUAUUUUUUCAACAUUGGGUUGAUCUGUUGAAGAACAAGCUUGGGUUUGAUUAUGUUUUAACUAUAAGGAAGAGCCAGACUUGGUUGCAGGCGUUAAGCUUUUAAUGGGUAAGAACAAAUGAAUGCUUUAACCAUGUUUCUCACUUAUUAAAAUGCAUGGAUUGAAGGCAUCUGGGUUGAUCCUGACAAUGUGAUGGAAAUACUUCUCUGUUUUCAUGUAACAGGACAAAUAGAGAUCUCUGAUCAUGCCUGAAUUUUUGUUGCAUUGAAAUUUCUACCAUUACCAAACAUAGAAUGAACUGGGGAUACAUUAGCUUAAGACUCAAUUUUGAGAAGGAAGUUUGUACUUGCAGCCUAUAAAAUCAUGUCCGUGUCGUACGUUUCUUUGGGAAAUGAAAGAUUCUGUGUGUUCUUUUAUUUCAAGUUCACUGAAAUCACAUUUGUUUUCUCAGCUGCUUUCCAGAAGGUAACAACAUCAAUUUCAAAAAUGCUGGGGCAAGAUGUAUCAUGCAGUGCGACUCAACUUGAGAAUUCCUGGCCACAUUACCCGUAUGUCUAAUGAUCGCACAGUACAACCUUGAGAAGCUUGUAAUGAGUACACAACUGGGUGCAAGUAGUUUUGAAAUGAAUUUGCCUCAAAUGAUUUCUUGCCGGUGAUUAAUAUAACCUCUAUUCCAAAAUUCUUAGAACUGGUCAUACUAGCAAUGAAGGAUUGCAUACAUUGAAGACAUAGCUGAAGGCCUUGCGAGAGCUCUGUCAGCCCUUGUACCGGAAAACAGCUGGUCGUAGUCGCUUGUGAAUGAUAUGAUUAAUAGAUACUGCAAAAAUGAAUUGUGCCAUACGUUUUCAGCGCUCUGUGAAGAUGUCUUGGUCAUUUGUUUGAUGCUUGUUUGAUUUAUGUUGUAUUCAGCCAUAAAUCAGAGAUUCAGAACUUGGGUAUGUUUCUGGUUUCCAAAUCAAAAAAUUGCCUUGUGAUGUUAGUGUUCACUGUUUUCACAGGAGAUCAGGUUCCUUGUUAAUGAAUCAAGAAGAAGGCAAGCGCAUCCAUGUCCAAGUUCAAAUGUGUCUCCUCUAUUUUCUAUUACCCACUCAUUUAUUUUGAUUUCUUCAUUGUAAUUGAAUUAGUUUUUUAUUCCAAAUUAGUCAAAACCUCGUAGAGUCAUUAAGUUCUUUUAGCAUUUAAAGACAGAACUACGAACCAAAUGAUUUAAGUUCUUCGUUGUAAUUGAAUUUGCUUUCCCAUCUUUAGAGAUAUUAUGUUCUUUUUCACUUUUUCGAUUUGGUUAGUGGUGAUUUCUUAAAGACUCAAUCCAUUUGCGUUAAUACAUUUUUCUUUUGCCUUGAUUUCUGUUUCUUGGGGAGUUUAUACAUAUUAUUAUUUUAUGCUACACAUGCCAUAUACAGAUUCUUAUUUUAUGCUUCACAUGCCACAUAAAAGGUCAAAGCCUUGUGUGUGAUUAGAAUUUACUGGCAUCAUAGUAACUUUAAACCAUUGUGACGUUUUAGUAAUAACAGUUUGAGCUCUCCCUGAAGGAUUCAAAGCAUUUUAUUUUAUAUUAUACUCCUUUAUAUGGUUUGGCUGGUCUCUUUUAAGGCAAUUCCUGUUUAAAGUAAUCAAAAUUUUGAUUUCGAAGUGUCUUUCAACACUACCGCUAGUUCUUUAAGAAAAGUAAAUCGAUUUUGAGUCUUCUGUAUCAUCUGAUUGAAAUACAUGAAAGCACUCUUAGCUGCAAAAGUACACUUGGAGUUAUAAUAGCAUUCUGAAAUCUCCUUGAAGGAUUCAAAAGCUCUUUAUUUGCUAGUCUUUGCUUGCAAUAAACUCCUUUAAUAUAGAUUGGUUGAUCUUCUUUAAAGCAAUUACCAUAAGUUCUUUAAAUAAUAAAACGACUUUGAGUCUUAUGUAUCAUCUUGUUGAAAUACAUGAAAGCACUCUUGGCUGUAAAAAUGCACUUGGGGUUAUAUAUAAAGUCUUCAACAGAAUUUUAUUUCCCCCUUUAUCCUCAUGGUGGUCUUUUUAGUUGUUUUUUAAGAAAUCGCUUGAAGGUUCUCUUUAAAAAUAAUUUUAACAUAAGCAUUCUUUAGAAGCACUUUAGAUGUCUGGCAUUUAGAAAAUUUUGUUCCUGUGUUCACAUAAUAUAAUAUAUAUAUAGAAAGCUGACUGUAGAAUAGAGGAGAACGAGUUGGUGUUGGUCUGAACUCUGAUCUUUGAAUCUCAUGUGACUCCACUACUUUUUACUUGUUCUGUACAAGGUCUUUUAGCUUUUCAAAAAGUUUUAGCUUUAUGGAUAAAAUACUGUUAAUUGUAAUCUAUAAAUAAUGAAAGGAAUUAAUAAAAUAUUUGGUAAAUUUUAUUUUCUAAAGUGUUAUGAGUUCUAAAACGGCUGUAUGUAUAUAAAUUUAUUUACACAUAUAUUUAUAAAUAUGAUUAUAUAAUAAUAUUUUAUGUGUACAUAUCAUAAUUGAUAACUAAAAUAAAUAUUUUUAUUUUAUUAAUGGUUUUUCCGUCUCAAUGUAGUUGGUAAUAAUAAUCUCUUUAGAUGUAAUGAUUUUAUUUCCUAACUGAAUAAGGAAAAUUUUAGAUUUUUAUAAUAAAUGUUAAAUAUAUCUAGAAUUACAUUAAGUAUGAAAUAAUCCUCAAAAUUAGAUUUUGAAAAGUUAUUCUUUUAUUACUUUUAAAAAUAUGUCAUAUGAUGAGAUGAUUUUAUUAAAAGUGAUUUUUUUUUAAAAAAAUUACUAAACAUCAAAAUUAACUCUUAACUUUUUAAAAUCAUUUCUAAUCUUCUCAUCCUAAGUUCUUUAUUGUUUUGUACAAAAUCCAAGGUUUUUACUUUUAUAAAAUGCCCACUCAAAAAUAAAUUAUUUUCUAAUUAAGAUUUGUUGUUAAUGUAUACCUCGAAGUAAUAUUAGAUAUUUGUAAUUUUAUUUCAAAAAUUUUAUUCAAAUGAUAUGGCAAGCAAUGAACAAUAGUUGAUAGCAAUUUUUUUUUUUUAAACAAUGUUCAAAUCAAUCAGUUGCAUUAUCUCACCAUUUUUAUGAUGUCAUGUUAUUUUAAAUGAUUUUUUUAAUUUUUAUAUAAAACAUACGACGUGUUAACAUCAUUUGCAUAACUUGACCUUUUUUUUUUCCUACAAAUAGUAAGUCAAAUUUACUCACCCUAUUUCUACCUAAAACUCAUGCAUCACUGUAAAACAAAUCCAAAGAUUGCGAUACGUUUUUCUUGGCAAGAAAUCAAUAAUUAGGUCAAGUACUACUACUAAGCGUGCACAAUUAAUUCUAAAAUACGGUGAUCAAAAUCAUACUUGACGCAAGAGGAUAAGGGCUGAACUUCAAUUAGGCAUUAUUCAUCCAAAAUUCAUUGACUCGGCAUUCUUUGCAAGUUGUAGCAUGGGACAGCUAAGAUAAUUAGCAAAUGAUAUGGACCAUAUGCACCCAUACAUUUCCUUUAAUGCCAACUCUUCAUUGAAUGAUUAUCAGAUCCAAUACGCAUCCUUUGAUUGGAUUAUUUUAAGUCAAUUAUUGGUGGAUUGGGGCCCACUUGACUCUACCAAAUCGGGCUCCACCAUAUCACCUAUUAACGACCACCUGUCCUUAUCAUAAAUAGCAAAUGUCACUUGUUUUAUUUUGUAUUUUACCAAAAGCAAAGUCACUAUGAACCCAAAUGAAAGUGACCUCAAUUUUGGGGGUCAUGAACUUUGGAUUAUUAUGGACACAAGAGACAAGCGCAAUGUUUCUCAUUUAUCACUGGAUAAGAUUUAAGUUAUCAACCCAAUAUUAAUAAAUUCUGCUUGAAAAGUAAAGUUUGAAGCUUCAUUUUGCGAAUAUUCAAUGGUUAACAUUUAAGUAAUUAACCUGAUAUUAAUCUAAUUAAACUUUUUAUGUUAUCCAAGUCAAACAUAUAUUGAUAAACCUAAAUUAAUCUAAUUGGACAUAUUAUUUCAACUUGAAAAGGUGAAUCUAUCAUUUUUCAAUUAAUUUUGAAUCAAGCUAUGUAAAAUAUAAGCUUAUUAAAGACAUAUUUGAAAAAUUCAAAUUGAAUUAUUUGACAAUUACAUUUCAACUAAGUUGUACUGCUAAUUAACUUCCUCAACUUAAAAUGUAUUGUUCUCAAUUAAUUCGUAACAAAGAAUGUUAGAUGUUUUGUUCGAAUAAUAACAUUCAACAUCCUUAUUCUUUAUGAUUAUUGCAUAAAAAACAUAUUUUAUCCAUUUACGUCACUAUCGAAAACUUUGAACAGUCAAUACAAAUGCUUCCGUUUCAUCCCAUAAACAAAUAAAAUUCACAUCUGUACACAUCUACUUUGCUUUGCUAGAUAGAGUUCCUCUGCAUUUCCCAAUUGCCUAAAGAGAAGGGGAAAAGAAAAAGAGGGCCAAAAAAUGCCUGAAAUGGUAAGGAACAAGCAAGUGAUAUUGAAGAACUAUGUGUCUGGUUUCCCAAAAGAAACAGACAUGCACAUGACCGAAAGUUCCAUAGAAUUGAAGGUGCCAAAAGGUUCAAAUGGGGUUCUUUUAAAGAACUUGUACUUGUCCUGUGAUCCGUACAUGCGACCAAGAAUGACCUACAUCGAAGGAUCUUACGUUGAAUCCUUUAAACCUGGCUUGGUUAGUGCACUCGCUCAUGGCCACGCUUUUCAUUUCCAUGGCUUCUUGCUCUUUUGUUAUAGAAAAUUUAUUUUUGGUUGCAGUUUGGUUCGACUGCUAAAAUCUCGUGCGAUAAUUGUAUAAGAUAUCUAGAGUUUGAACUUCUUUCACAUUAGGGUUCAAGGAAGUUAACUUAAAUGAUUUUCAAAAUUUUAAAUGUGUACCAAUGAAUUUAAUUUCAUAGCUUAAACUUAUAUUUUGAUCAUACUCUAACUUUGGACAGGAAAAAUUAUAUUUUUCCUUUAGUUCUUUGACUUGGAGUAUGUUGUGUGAAGUACUUGUGCUUGAAAAUGAAUUGCUGACACAGAAAUUUCUAUGAAUGCAUGCAGCCCAUAAGUGGAUAUGGGGUGGGUAAAGUUUUGGAUUCAGAGAAUCCAGAGUUCAACAAAGGUGACUUGGUUUGGGGAAUGACUGGAUGGGAAGAGUAUAGUCUCAUUACGGCUCCACACUUGUUUAAAAUUCAACACACAGAUGUGCCUCUUUCUUACUAUACUGGAAUCCUCGGUAAACUUUUUGUUUGCGCAAUUUAUGUGAGCAAAUUGUGUCUUCUUUUUCAUAUGUAAAUGUUUUUGAUAUCUUGAUGUGAAGGUAGAAAAUUGCAUGUUUUGAGUUUUUGCAUAUUUGAUGGAAACACAGAACUGUACCUGAAUCUUUCAGAACCCCCUUUUCUUUGAAGUUUGAACACUUUUCUUGAAUGUAUCAACUUUAUUUAUGGGAUAUGUUGCCAAAUUGGCAAAUCUAUUCGUUAUAAAACUUUCCUUUGACAGUUUAAUCUAAGCAGAUGUUAAUUCUGCAAAUAGAGUGUGCCUUAGAUUAGUUUCAUAGAUUUGUCUCCUUCUGUACAGUAAAAACUUUGAGCAUUUUCGCCAUAUUCUGAUCAAUACACUCCAACUAGUUAGUUCUUGAGGCGUUUUAUGGUUUUGUGGAGUGAGGCAAGAUGUAUACGUUUGCAAAUUGGCAAUGUCUUUUGCUUGAUGGGUUGAGAGUUGUGAGUGUCAAUAGGAAAGUCUCAAAGUGCGCAGUGCUCACUUGAGCACCCAUAUUACUUGGUGACCUGUUGCCUCAGCAAACAGGACCUCUGUUUUAUGAACUCCAAAAAGUUAUUCUGUUAAAUAGAUCGAGACAGAGGCCAUACUAUAUUUAUUAUUGCUACAAAAGUGUGAAACAAUAUUCUUUAUUUAAUAUUCUAAACAAUUGAGCCAUUUAGUUAUGAUACUCUGCUGUAUUGGGGCUAAUAAUCUAAGUCGGUUCAAAGUGGUAAAUUUAUAAAUUGAUAGGUAUGCCUGGUAUGACCGCUUACGUUGGAUUUUAUGAGGUCUGCUCUCCUAAGCAAGGAGAGUGUGUCUUCAUAUCCGCCGCAUCUGGUGCAGUUGGACAGCUUGUGGGCAAAGUUAUUGGGUUGCUAUGUCGUCGGAAGUGCUGGAAGCAAAGGCAAGGUAUGUAAUCUGUGUGAAGUACUUGCUUGUUUCCAUGUUACUUUCAAACAUUUAAAUUAAAAAGGAAAUUUUCAUAAUCUUGCCUUUUCUAUGAUUUUCAAAACCAAGGUUGAUCUACUGAAGAACAAGUUUGGGUUCGACGAGGCAUUUAACUAUAAAGAAGAAGCUGAUUUGAAUGCUGAUUGUUGGGAAUUUGAUUAUUCUAGGUAUGCCUGGUGUAACUGCAUACGCUGGUUUAUACGAAGUUUGCUGUCCGAAGAAAGGAGAGUAUGUCUAUGUAUCUGCAGCAUCUGGAGCUGUUGGUCAGCUUGUUGGACAGUUUGCAAAAUUAGCUGGUUGCUGUGUUGUUGAAAGUACUGGAAGCAAAGAAAAGGUGCUGUUAUAACAUUCUUAAGUAGUAAAUAUAGCACCGUGCCUUCUACCAGAAUUUUACAUGCUUUAUGUUCCAACUAAGCAUCCAUAUAUGAUCGUGAUAAUUAGCAAGGUCAAUAAUUUUUUUUUGACUAUUUUUUCAAUGUAAGGUCGAUUUGUUGAAGAACAAGUUUGGACGAUGCUUUUAACUACAAGGAAGAGCCAGACUUGGAUGCAGCACUCAAAAGGUCAGCUCCAACAAACGUUUCAACUCUAAUAUUUCAUUUUAAUAUUACAGAGCUUUGGUUGAAGUGUGUGAUUUGAUCCCAGAAAUGUAACUUCAUCAGUGUCUCUGUUUUCAAAAAACAGGACAAAUAGAAAUCUGAUUUUGCUUUAAAAUUUCCCAGAUGCUUCCCUCAAGGAAUCGACAUAUAUUUCGAAAAUGUUGGGGGAAAGAUGCUGGACGCAGUGCUACUCAACAUGAGGCUCCGGGGCCGCAUUGCGGUAAGCAGUAUCAUCUCACAGUACAACCUGGAAAAACCCGAAGGCGUACACAACUUAGAGCAACUGAUCGGGAAACGGAUUCGCCUGGAAGGAUUUAUAGCUGGGGAUUACUAUCACCUCUACCUGAAAUUCUUGGAAUUGGUCAUUCCUGCAAUCAGAGAAGGAAAGAUGGUGUAUGUGGAAGACAUAGCCAAAGGACUCGAGAAAAUUUCUCGUAACUGCUACACAUUAAACGCAUUUCACAUUUCCACUCUCUCUCUAUAAAUAAAUACGCACAUAAAAUUUGUCACCAUCCAAAAACAAAAUCUACAUAAAAAAUGGCGGGUGAAGAAGCAGUGAGC